rnacentral:lncRNA from 1 species
AGUUAAAGACAUUGGAGGUUUUCAGUGUGGCAUACAAUAACUUAUCAGGCGAAAUUCCAGAAUGGACUGCACAAUUUGCAACCUUCAAUGAGAGUAGCUAUGAGGGAAAUACUUUCUUUGUGGAUUGCCAUUGCCCAUUUGCAGAUCACCAGCAACUAUGUCGGAGGCUUCAAUUGGCAAUGAACGAGAUGAUAAUUUAAUUGACAUGGACAGUUUCUUUAUCACAUUUACAACAUCGUACGUAAUUGUGAUAUUUGCAAUUGUUAUUAUUUUAUAUGUAAAUUCUUAUUGGCGACGUAGAUGGUUUUACUUUGUUGAAAUGUGGAUAACUUCAUCUUACUAUUUUGUUGUAGACAAUCUUAUUCCAACAAGAUUUAUCAUUGAAAUUAAUUAGUAGUUUAAUUACGAUUCUUUAAGUACUAAUCAAGUUUGUUUAGGAAAUAUUUUUUUAUUAAAAUUGUAGUAGUAUUUAGCAUUAUAUAGCUUCCAACUUCCAAGCACUUCACAUUUGUCUCUACACUUAAAAAACUGAGUGAUCAUGUUUUGCAGAUCUGGAUUUGGAGCAGGAUGGAUCCAAACCCAUAUCUGUCCACCGUAACUUAUAGCUUCCCUAUACUGUGCAGCAUACUUAAAAUAAGAGAACCAUCUCCAAUGUUAAAAGCAUUCACUCUAUAACAUUCAUUUAGAAAACUAUAUUCAGAAUAUUUUAUAAUUAAACACAAGAAAUGAAAACACACAGAUACACUUGAUCGCCUAUUUUACUCUAAAAAAGAACGAUUAUUGUGCUAUCAUCAUCUUCUUCACUAGCAACAUUAACACCAAAUCGAUGGACCCAUACAUUUCAUCAAGAAAGGUCUAUAUCCAAUAAAGUUGAAGCCUAACAAAAAAUUCAAGAAGAUUCAUGCCUCGCCACAACAAGGGCACAACAACAUCAAAGUAGAGAUUAAGCAGUAAUUCUCAAAGCUAAAACUCUCAAAUCCACCCACCAGAAUUUCAUAUCUCCUCAACAAUUUAAGAACUAAAGAUAAUUAGGAUUUAACAUUAGUUUUUUAUAUAUUAGUCAUAAUUUACAAAUCAAUGAAGAUGAAGAUUAUGCUAAUAAAAUUCAAAUUAUACCAUACAUUCUCUAGAUGUUACCAAAAAUUUCUAAGUCAAUCCCACAUAUUUCAUAAUUUUAAGACUAGAAAAUUUCACUAGUUAGAAGUUUCAUUACCUUCAAGUGGAAGAUGAAGAACAUUAUACAAGUGAUUCAGAUUAUAUCAUACAUACUCCAAAUGCAACUAGAAAUUAACAAGUUCAUGCACACAUAUUUCAUAACAUUAUGAUUGAAAAGUUUCACAGAGAAAAUUCUAAAUUCAAUCUCUUGCAUGAAGGCAAUUUGAUUGAUUGAGUUACUUCUUAUCAAGCUACUAAUAUAACAUUCAAGUCAGGAGAAAAUAAAUUAAAACUGGGAAGAAAUAACAGUAAAAAAUUUGUUGCUCAACAUGAUGUGUAUUUUUUUUCAAGGCAAUUUGGAAACACAAUUGUUACCACAGAUAUUCUUCUCAAACUUGGAGAUAAAUACAAAUAUUAAAAUGCAUAUGAUCGCACAUAUUACUUCGAGUUUAGUAAGAUUUCAUUAAAAGAAGCAAUCAAACCACUUAUCAAUUGUCGCAGUCGUUCUAUAAACUAAAAUAGCAAUAUAAUACAAGAAAAAGAACAUAUAGAUACUUGGCAAGAGUUCAUUAAGAAGUCACAUCACAUUCAGGUGAGGAGUUUGCUUCUGAUAUCUUGCUAGCUGGGGCUUUUUCUUGUCUUUCUACGUAUGCCGAGGGAAACCAACCAGCUUGGCCCUUGCAUUCACCUUCCGACCAUCCAAUAGGAGCCACCUUGAGAAGUUAUAACUAAAAUGGUGAAUUAAACAAAAGUUGACCGUUCAAAGACCUAAGGGGAAAACUAAUUCUUUUACGUAGGAGGAGUGAAUUAGUUGUGAUCACUGAAAUAACAGCAUAACUAUGGAAGCAUAACAAGAUAUAAAUUCACACGUCUAUAAGGGUAAACUGGGUGGUUGAGAACUGAGCUAGCAACCCUACUAUAUUCUGAUUUGCACUUCAAUGUAAAAGGGAAUAUAUGGUAGGAAGAAAGAAAACCAACCAUCAUUUGUUAACUCAUUGCUUUUCAAUCAAAAUUUUAAGAACAAAAUGCCAUGUGCUUUGAACAUCAAAUAAGUAUAAGCAUUAGUUCUAAAUUCCACAUAUCAUAAGUUGUUAGAAGGAUAAGUUAAUAGCAGAGUAGAAAAAUCUAUGUGUUGGUAUUUAGAGGGGAAAGUACCUGGCGAACCACAACAUAAUCAUCAAUUGAAAGACUUAGCUCUCCAUUUGCUUGAGCAUCAAAUGGAUGUAUAACCUGCAAGAUAAUGGGAUAAAUAGAACUUAAAAAAAGCAUAACAAAAGCGGCAACAGUAGCAGCAACGUUCAUUGUAACCACUAUGAUCAUGGCCAACAAGAUAUAUUAGAAACAAAAUUCCAUUUUUACUACGACAUUAAUAUGUACUAUACGAUAUCAUGACGAUUGGGUUACUAAGAGCUAUCAAAGUCUAAUAAGUUCUGUAUAACUUUAUGUAGUUAUUUAAAUUAUGGAUCAGAUUUUAAAUUUGAAAUUUUGACUGCUCUCCACAAAACAUGGCCUAUGCACAAGAAAGUCAUAGAUAAUGAGGAUUACAAGUGUCCGACAUCUUUUGAGUGAUGGAUUUAACAUGAGAGCUUAUGGUCAGUCAAUUUCCUCUGCCUAGCAAUAUAAGCUUUCUCGGCCAGAUUUAUCAUCAAAUACAUAGAUUGCCCCCAAGUCACAUCCAUAUAAACAUAGUUUUUCUAGGUAAACCAAGUAAGGAGUAUCAUAAUUCAGACAUAAUCAUAAAAAGGCCCAUCUAACUUAAGAGAAAAUCUCAAAAAGAGGGAUGCUGAGCUAUCAGUCUUGUAUCUAUAAGCAAUAUCAAGACUUUACGUCACCUGCUACAUCGUGAGUGGCUACACAACUUUCAGUGGUUUGUCUUUCUUUGGCACGCCUAACUCAGCUUUCAUGUUGCUGAGAUAUUGAUAGUAGAGACACAUGAUACUUCUAGCUCAUGCAUUCUAUCUAACUCAUCCAACAACUAUCUCUUUUUUAAUUCAUUAGUGUUUGCUAAACCUCAUGCUUAAAAGUCCUGUUCUCCUAAACAAAGUUUCCUAAGAAUGACUUCCUUAGCACCACAGUUGGACACUUUAGAGCAAUUUUAUUUGGGGGAAAAGAAUUUUCAAGGUGUUAACUAAUAAAUUUUAAAAAAUAAUUACAAUUUGUCCUACGAUCAUAUGACAAUUUAUCUGGGAUGAAAGGAUACAGAUAGACAUCUUCCACUUUCAAGACUAAUCACUACUUCCGUAGAUGUUGUGCAAUAAUACAAAUACUUGACCAGAUGGUAGUGAUGGUAGAAAAAAAUUUUAUUGCUCCAAAAUUAAAAUAAGAAUGCAAUAUGUUAAGCAAAAGGCUGUGCAACAUCAAAUUAAUUGAUAAGUUUGUAAUUCAGUAAAUUAACAACUUUCAUGGUAAAAUACAACAAAUUUCUUUUGAAAAAAAAUAAAUAAAUCUUAAAAGACAACAUUCAAUUUUGUGCACAUCUUAUUUCUUAAGAUUUUUCAGGAGGAGGGCAAUAGAGGGACUUUCACCUAUGCAAGAGAGCAGAAGCCUUACUUUCCCUAUAAAGUAGACGUCAUUCUGAUUAAUAUGCGUUUGCAAAUCAGCUCCGUUUGAAUCAGUAUUCUGAUAGACACACGAGGAAUUUACAUCCAUUUCCAAAGUCACAUGUUGCGAGGAGGACUCAUUUGAUUGCUCCUAUACGAUCAUCUAAUUCAAGUAGCAAGGGUUGGAAGAGAAUAAAAAGUCACAAUUAUUCUUUUGCAUAAGUGAGACGAAAAUGAUAAAUGCAAUAUUAUCAGCAGUAAACAAGAAGAGAACGCUCCAAGAAAUAGAUAGAUGCAGACAAGCAAGUUAAAAUGCAUAGUCCCAAACCUCCGCAUACAACUUCUCUAAAAUAGCAAUAACGUGUUGAUGCUAUGUUUUCUCAGCAUCUACCUGCAAAGGCCCGAGACCAGGAAAACAACAAUAAAACCACUAGCUGAAGGAGAAAGCAAAGAAAGAAAUACACUUGACAUAAAUCUUGACAAGAAGCACAAAUUAAGACAUAACAAACCCCAAUCAUAUUGUUUAGAACUACCAUUCGUUAUUUCGUUAUUGUAACAUUUCGAACAAGUGUUGACUUAAUUCAACAUUGUUGGAAAGAUAGGCUUUUAGAAGCAGAAGAAAGCCUCUCAAACCAAAGUGCUGGUCCUUGUAUUGAUCAAGGGAUGUAAACAUAUUACAUUUGCAGGAUGAGAUUUAAUCACUCCCCUGAUUUAUUCGGGUUGCAGUAAAACUAAGCGAGCAACUGUUUGACUUUCAAGCAACAGCUAAAUCAGCUAUUAAAAUUCAAAUAAAAUCAUAAUAGAAUAAUAACAGGCCAUCUUGCAUCAAAAAUUAAGUUUAAUUUGUGAAUUGUUUUCUAUAGACAUGUCAGUUUCUGCUAUUGAAAUGUUAAAAGCAUUGAAAAAUUAUUCAAUAAAUUAUGCAAGCAUUAAAAUAGAGGACAUAUUAAAAAGUUUCUAAUUACAAUGUUAAUAUUUCCUAUAUUUUAGCAUUUGCAUAUUUUAAUUUAUUUAAAAGCUACGUUGAUCAACUUUGGGCAUGAAGAUUUUAGCUUAUACGAGACUUGAUUGGAAUAUGCAUAAGAGUGUUAAAAUAUGAUGCAUCCAAUGAAAGACAAACCACGUGUAGUCUUUUAAUUAAGCCAAAGUAGCAGCUCAAACAAAUGACACUUGGACCAACAUGCAAUCAUGAAGUGGCCGGAAAAAGGACAAAUGCAACUUUGGCUUAAAUAAAAAAUAACAUGUGACUCGACUUUUGCUGGACAUGCAUCAUGUUAUCACAAGACAACAGAAAUCAGUAUGAUAGUACUAAAAGUUGACAAUAACAUGAAGAUAAGAGGCAGAAUGUCAACACAUGCAUAGGCACACACAAGAAAGUAUUAACUUAUAUACCAUAGCAAAAAGUCUUUGAUAUGUCAUCUGUUGCUGCUGUGAUUCAACUGACAGCAUGGCAGCUGUUGCUUCUCUACCAAGAGCCAUUAUUGUAGAUUUAAGCUCGGUCAAUCUUGCUUCUGCAUUUCGAAGCUUCACAGCACUCUCUGCUGAUAUAUCAGAUUCCUAAUCUUUGAUCGGCGCCUAAAUACUUCAGCUGCCUGGUGAAAAUAUUCAAUAUAAAUCUAACAUAAUUCUNNNNNNNNNNNNNNNNNNNNNNNNNNNNNNNNNNNNNNNNNNNNNNNNNNNNNNNNNNNNNNNNNNNNNNNNNNNNNNNNNNNNNNNNNNNNNNNNNNNNNNNNNNNNNNNNNNNNNNNNNNNNNNNNNNNNNNNNNNNNNNNNNNNNNNNNNNNNNNNNNNNNNNNNNNNNNNNNNNNNNNNNNNNNNNNNNNNNNNNNNNNNNNNNNNNNNNNNNNNNNNNNNNNNNNNNNNNNNNNNNNNNNNNNNNNNNNNNNNNNNNNNNNNNNNNNNNNNNNNNNNNNNNNNNNNNNNNNNNNNNNNNNNNNNNNNNNNNNNNNNNNNNNNNNNNNNNNNNNNNNNNNNNNNNNNNNNNNNNNNNNNNNNNNNNNNNNNNNNNNNNNNNNNNNNNNNNNNNNNNNNNNNNNNNNNNNNNNNNNNNNNNNNNNNNNNNNNNNNNNNNNNNNNNNNNNNNNNNNNNNNNNNNNNNNNNNNNNNNNNNNNNNNNNNNNNNNNNNNNNNNNNNNNNNNNNNNNNNNNNNNNNNNNNNNNNNNNNNNNNNNNNNNNNNNNNNNNNNNNNNNNNNNNNNNNNNNNNNNNNNNNNNNNNNNNNNNNNNNNNNNNNNNNNNNNNNNNNNNNNNNNNNNNNNNNNNNNNNNNNNNNNNNNNNNNNNNNNNNNNNNNNNNNNNNNNNNNNNNNNNNNNNNNNNNNNNNNNNNNNNNNNNNNNNNNNNNNNNNNNUAACCCUCUCUCCCUCUUCAAUCUCUCUCUAUUUUGUUCCCAUUGAUGACCCCAAUCUGCUUAGUUAUCCAGCUUUAUAGCUGCAUCAGUAACAAACCAGCAAACCCAGAUUGAGCAGAUUGACGACACGUGGAUAACGGCUUUAACGAACCUGGUUAAGAACUGCUCACAUGUUCGUCACGCGUGCUGCUUAAAUGAUGGCCAAAACGACUUCAAACAAAUGUCGUUUUGAGGCUUAUGAAUUACAAGUGAUAACACGAGCUUGUCUCAUGACUUUUAAAUGCAACAACGUGCCCACAACGCCGUCGUUUUACUCUGUUGAGUUUGAUUCAUUACUAAGCUUUUACGACUGGCAAUGGAGAAGAUGAUAAUUUAAUUGACACGGACAGUUUUUAUAUCACUUUUACAACAUCCUAUGCAAUUGUAAUAUUGGGAAUUAUUGAUGUUUUAUUCUGUGAAUCCUCAUUGGCAAAAACUAGUGUUUUAUCUUUGUUGAAAUAUAGAUGACCUCUCGUUACUGUUUUAUUAUAAACAUAUAGUUUCGUAAGUGAAUAUUUUAUUAUAAAAUUAACAUAUAGUUUUGUUACAUUUCUGCCUCAUUAAGAUUCUCAAAUACCAGUCAGGUUUGCUUAAGAAAUAAAUUUUUUCCAUUAAAAUUGCAGUAGUAUUUCCAAGCAUAUCGCAUUUUCUAUGAGUUUUCAUAAAUUAAUUAAUCUGCGGUGCCAAUAUCAGAUUUAGUUUUUCAAACUAAAUAAUCAAGAAAGCAAACAUACAAAUAUACAGUUUAGAGGGUAAACUAGGUAGGUGGUUUAGAUUUUAGAACUAAGCCAGCUACCUCGCUAAAUUCCGAUUCGUACAGUGAACUGCAAGAAACUGAGAAAACAAUGUAUUUAUAAUUUAAUAGAAUCAUAAGAAAACAAUGCAGUCAUUGCUCAAUAUAAGAUGAUGAUUUCGGAGAGGCACAUUGUUUUCAAGUUAAUUUGAUCCGUUUAUAAGAGAUGAAGUGGAAUGAAGUUGAAAGUUUAAAUAACAAAUCCUUGUUCUUGAGUUUUACGACGUCGUUACUCCUUCAAGUGGCAGAUUAUGCAAGUGAAUGCAGAAACACAAUGCAUCAUCCGCGGGGAUGAUACAUCAAAAGGCGGGAUUUGUUUAUGCCUGCAGAUUAGCAAUUUCACUCAUAUAGAAAAUUAAUUUUUUAUAUAUACUAAUCAACACUAAAUUGAUUAUGUGUUGUAUGUUUAUAUAUGCUAAUCAACACGAAAUUAUAUUGAAUUAUUAACAUUCAUAUUCCUAAUAAAAAUUAUUUUCCAUCAGUAUUCAAAAUUUUCACUUAUAGAAAAUGCGUUUUACGUGAAUACUAGUUAUUGUGUAAAUUUGAAUGAUAGCGAAAAAUAAACCUAUUUGAAAACUGUAAGGGUGUGUUGGGAUAUUUUACAACUGUCGGAAUCUGGUAGGAUAUUUGCACCAUUUGCCCAAUAUUUUUAGACGUACUCCAACCGGUAUUCAAGAUAAGUAAAAUUUACAAGCGUGGCAAAAAAAAAAAAUUAAAUUCGUAACUUGUAAACGAAUUUUCCUGACAUGUAUAGUAAAUGAAGUUGUUGAUCCUUUCUUUGGAUUAUUUCAGCUCUGGUUGUUGGUCACCGAUGAGCCGAAGUCUUAUUUUAAUUUUAUUUAAACUCAUCAUAAGAUUCGUGGAGCACCUAACUAACUUAACUGACUGCGCAGAUCAUCUCAACAUGGCAUAUUUAACCAUCAUUCAAGUGAUGGGUUUAAUAAGACUGCUUUUGUUCUAUCAACUAUCAAGUUCCUCUGCCUCUAAGCAGAAUUACUAUUGAAGGGCCAAAAGGAAAAUGAAAACGUGUGAGCUCCAACAACCACCCCACAAUGAAUGACGAUGCUCGGAGAGGGUUAGGUUGGGCCUCUGAGAAAAAAAAAUUAUUUUGUUAAAAAGUUACCCUUAUUGAAACCUGUAUAAAAAUUUUAUAUUAAUUAGUUAUGUCGCCUCUUCAACGAUGAUCAAAUUCUUAUCUGAGCUCAUCAUUUAAUGAGUAAACAUGUAUUUUAAUGAUCUCAAUUAAUAUUUAGAACAAAUAUUUUAAGAAGUAAAGCUCAUUAUAUCUUCCAUUAUUAUGUAUUUCUUUAAUUUCUUAUUUACAUAAUUAUAUUGUACAUUAAAAAUGUAUUGAAUUUGAAGAAAAAAAAAUUCAACUCAAAAAAAAAAAAAUGCUGGUAGCUUCGUAAUAAUUACUGUAUUGACUGCACCAGAUAAAGUUUUGUAAAAUAAUAAGUUCUCAUAAGUGGUUUUUCAUUUUUAAUUUUCUUUUCCGGCACACCUGAUCAAGAAUUCUAUUUUGUUAACUAAUCAAUUGCAAAGCAUAAGUGUUUGAACGGUACAAAAAUUUAAAAAAAAUACACUUAAAAACGUGGGGUGGGUAACGGCUCACUCAAAUCGUUAGGUAGAAUUGUGGAAAACUAAAGCGAAAUGAGAAAUAUAGAAAGAAAGGAAGAGGUGAUGUUUUUCUAUGAAUUUCUAUGGGUAACGGCUCACUCAUCCUUCUAUGAAUUUCUAGCUGUAUUGACCCCAACUGCUAAAGUUUUGUAAAAUAAAAAUAAAAUAAAAACUGGAAUUUCAACAAAAAUUCAAAAACGUUUGAAAUUUAAUUUUUGGCCAUGUGGAACAAAAUGUAAAUUAAGUAAAAAAUAUAAAUCUCAAUUGCUUAGUAUGGUUAGGAUUUUGUGAGCAUCACUAAAAAGUGAAAACUAUGAAUGAUAGAGGUGAUGUUUGCAACAUGAAUAAAUGAUGAACUGAAUCAAUUGAUGAUCGUAAUUACAUAAUGAACAAAAUUUACAAAAUCAACAAAAGUUAAUAAAAAAUUAUUUUAAUAAUAAAAAAUCAAUAAAACUUAUUAUUUAAGGGCGCUCUAACCAUGGAAUACCAUAAUCAUAAUCUUCUUUUAAGAAAAUUAUAAACUUAUUAUUUUACAGGAUUGAUCCAUUUGGAAUGAAGUGGUCUCAAGUUGAAAGUAAUUAAUUUAUUGAAUAACUUUCGACUUAUUAAUAGUUAUAUCAAAGGGUGUUUUACCUCAUCAUGUCUUCAAGUGGAAGAUGAAGACUAUGCAAGUGAAUUCAGGAAUAUUGCAUGCCUGUUGUCUAAAGCAUUACCUCACAAGGUUUCAUGAGAAACGAAAGAUGUGUUUGCUUUGAACAAUUAAAGUUACUGCUACGAACCUCCCCAAAGGUCAAGAAGACAGAACAGGAAGCUAAUGCCAUCAAUGUCUUGUUCAUUAUAGCUGCUGGGUAGUUAGGUGUAGUUUCCUCAUUUGAAGCUGUCUAUACAUAGGCAUUUCCCCUGCUUAUGUACAAAUAAAUGAACAACCUUGAAGCUUUAUUAUUCGCAACAAAAAGGGAUUACUAAUUGGAGAAGACAAUACAGAGUUUUCUCUCACACUUUCUCUCUGUCAAUUUCAUCCAGAAGUCCCUCUGAAAGCUUCUCCCAAAACAGUUAGUCAUCUUUUAUGCUCUGUUUUCUGAAAACAGAGUCCUAACUAAAUUAAUUGACUGUACAGUGCAUUUCAACAUAGCAUAUUUAACCGUUUUAACAGUUAUUUGGACCGUCUUCAGAGGUAACAUCAACAAACUCAUUCAUAUGCUUAAUAAUGAACGAAUAGUCUUGGAUCGAUGUUUUGCAGCAAGAGCAACACGACACAAUCUGGAUUCAACCUCCUCCUUUCUAACAGGGGAUUUCGAUUUGAGUUACUUUGUGCUCAAGCAAAUUCACAUCAUAGUUUUGAUUCUUUAGAUAUGAAUUCAUCUCAUUACAUAUAUCAGAUUAAGUGUAACAAAAUUUGUAAUUUACUGCGAAAAGAAUAUGCACUAAAAAAUGAUUUCAAGACUAUUUGACUACAAAAAGCAGCUGUCAGAGUGCACUAAAAAUUUCUGUAGGAUAUUUUGUAGCUGUUUAAUAUGUUAUGAUGGGCAUAUAAUUCUCAAAUUUUGAUGCCUCUCAGCGAAAAAUAUAUCAAAGUUACGGAUGAUAUCACGUAAAACAUGCAUGGCUCAGGCUCAGGCUCAGGUAAGAAAGCCACAGAAAAGGAAAAUCUCACUGUCACGACUCACGUCACGCAUCAUUCAAGUGAUGGAUUUAACAAGACUGCUUAUGUUCUAUCAAAUUCCUCUGCCUCUCAGAAGAUAACUUUUCUGGGCCAAAUUUCUCAUCUAAAGCAUAUUAUGCCCCAAAGUCACAGAUAACAAAAUGGGGCACUACCGAUUAUGAAAGAGAACUAGUAGUUGUCAGAAGCCUAAGCCAAAUUCCGGUAGUAAGAAGAGGCCUUUCUUGAGUUUAGAUUAUGUGUUCGAGUUUUAAUAAAUGCCUAAGUUAAUAAUAAUAACAACAGUAAUAAUAAACUAAAAAGCAUAAUUACUAUUGAAUGGUAAAAAAAAAAAAUGAAAAUGUGUGAACUCCAAUAACCACCCCAGUGGCGAAUUUUGGAGAGGGCUAGGCCGGGCUUCUUAGAAAUUAUUUUUAUUUAAUUACAAAAUCACCUUUACUGAAACCUAUAUAAAAUUUUUUAUAUUAAUUAAUUAUGUUGCCUCUUCAAUUAUCAUUAAAUUCUUGUCCGUUCAUAAUUUGAUGGACAAAUGUGUAUUUCAAUAAUUUCAAAUAAUGUCUAGAACAAAUAUUUUGAAUUAUAAAACUCAUUAUGUCCUGCAUUACUAGAUGUAUCUAUAAUUUAUUAUUUACAAAUUAUAUUGUAUGAUAAAAAUGUAUUGAAUUUUUUUUAAAAAAAAAGUUCGGCUCACUCAGAAAAAAAUGUUAUUAGCUUCGCCACUGCACAAAUCUAGAAUAAUAAUUAUUCCUUAUUAUAUUGACUGCACCAAGCAAUAAACUAAUAAGUUCUCAUCAGUGGUUUUUAAUCUUUUUAAUUCUUUUUACCGCACACCUGAUCAAGAAUUUUAUUUUGUUAACUAAUCAAUUGCAAAGCAUAUAUAAGUGUUGAACGGUACACAAGAUUGGAAAAAAAAAUCUUAAAAAACGUGCGGAUUCGGGUGGCCACACCAGAAAUCUAUUACAAUAAUUAGCUUUGAUGCUGGGAAUCUUUUAAUUUCUGGCCGUAUUGAAGUUUUUAAAAUAACAAGUUCCCCUUCUCGUUUUUUUUUUUUUUUAAAAUAUAUAUGCUUAUAACAAUUUUAGAAUAAUGAUUCAUUUGUAGAAGAACUUAUGAUUUCCCAUUAAUAUUAAUAUUGAAGUGGGGUGGGUCAAAUCUCAAUUGCUUGAAGAAUUUAUGUAUUAUUAAAUAUUACCAUCCAAGGUAGAAUUGUGGAAAAUUAAAGCAAAAUGACAAGUAUGGAAAGGAAGGCUGAAAGUAAGGCAUGACGAAAGGCUUUGAGAAGGCUGAAGACUACCAAAGAAGUCAACUGAAAACUAGCUGGGGCCUGAGUGUAUAAAUUGUUAGAUGCGUUUGUUAUAAAUAACAUAGAGCCCUUUUGUUAUUUAUAGUUAUAGAGAAAGAGAGAAUGUGUGUUUUUUAAUAGUUAGAGAUAUAGCUAGAAUGGGUUGCUCAAAAUCCAAAAUAGUGACAAUGUUAGUUCUCGUAUUGAUAAUAUUGGGGGGGGGGGGGGGGGGGGGGGGGGGGGGGGGGGGGGGGGGGGGGGGGGGGGUGUUGGGAGGUCGAGUGAGGGAUGUUUGGAGCAUGAGCAAUUUGAUCUUUUGCGGCUUAAACAUUUCUUCAAUUAAUAUCGAUCUGGAGAGUGGUAUCUGAAUGCUUCUCUAUUUACUUCCUUUCAACAACUUGGUAACAAAAUAGCCGGCUGCAUGCGUUGAGAAUGAAGGUGCUUCAUUUAAUUUAAUUUACUUAAUUUCUCCCUCCUAAUUAAUGUCUAUAAUCAUUAGGAGGAACAAGGGAUUUUAUUAACUCAAAUAUAUCUAAUGGAGCUCAUUCUUUGGUUUUACUUGCAGGGCUAGAAGCAGGUGUCAUCUAACAGCUGCUUUGAUAAUUUCCCUCCCCUUCAUCUUUGAUGGAAAGAUGAAAUAAAAACAAAUUGGUGAAAAUGGUAUUGGUACCUGAGGCUAUGUAAUCUAAUUCAAAAACUGCACCAUCAAAACGAUUACAUAAGUCUCAGAAGAAUCAAAUAUCAGUUUGCAAAAUAUCAAUUGCUGGAGGUUUGAUUCUAACUUCCGCUCUUCAUUUUUAUGGGCAUAUUGUGUUGUACUUGCAUCCGAAAAUCAUAUUUUAGUUUACUUGCACUCAAUGCUUGGAUUAAAGUUUUUUUUUGGGGGGGGGGGAUUGAAGAAGACUAAAAUUACACCAAAAAAGAGUUGAGCGAGAGCGGGUUUUGUCUUCAUUUAAGGAGCUCUUUAUAAAUUUUGGGAUUUUUUUCCUGAGAAAAUUUAUGCCAACUCAUUCUUUGCUUCUUUUCUGAAGGGACACAUGCAACCGAAAGUAUAUUCUUGAAUUCUCCAGGAUAAGAGACAUACGUUUAGAUUCUGGAGCAUUUAAAAACAAUGUCAAAUUUUAGAUUGCUGAAAUUUUAUAUAUCCGAGUAUGAUGGUGUUCCAAUUAUAAGCUCCAGGGUGCAACUUCACUGAGGUUUAGAAUGCCUUCCUAUAGAAUUGAGAAAUCUCCAUUGGCAUAAAUAUCUUUUGAAAAUACUGACAUCAGAUUUUGAAUUGGAGAACCUGAUUGGACUCAGCUUGCCCUGUAGUAAGGUUAAGCAAAUUUGGAAAAGAGAAAAGGUAUAAUGUAUUACUAUUACCAAAGUAUCUAUUUUUCUUUCUUUAAGUAUUUAUAAUGAAUAACUUUGAAAUUCAAUGAUGCUCAUUUAGUAUAGUUAUGUAUCUUUGGUUAUAGGAAGCUGUCAAGUUAAAAUCUAUAGACCUUCACCACCCCUUUAUCUCAAUAGGAUCCCAGAAAUACUAAAUCUUAAAAAAAUAAAUCUUUCAAAUUGUGAAAGCAUGCUUACGUUACCCCCGUAUAUCCACAAUUUCAACUAGCUGAGUAUGUUGUGUUUCAGGGAUGCAAAAUUCAUUUUGUUUCUCAUGAAAGGAUUGACUUGUCCGGAUGUAUUAGGGUUAGUAAACCAACUAAUCCCAUAAUUUGUUGAUGUAGGGUCCUAACAAAUUAUUGCAGUAGAUUGUAGAUCAGUACACUAUUCGAAAACGUAUUUGAUCCACACAGUGAAGUGGAUAUUGGACCAAUUUGAUGAUAAUGAAUUUCUUUCAAUCUCAAUCUUUUUUCUUUUUAGCAACAUGACUAGUCAUUGUGCAAAUUCAAACUCUGACAAUAAUUUCUCAAUCGGUUUCUAAGAUGAUGACCAUGCAUGUAUAUGUAUAUGCGUGUGUAUAUGUGUGUGUGUGUAGAGAGAGAGAGAGAGAUCACACGUGUGUGAUUUCCUUUUGCCAAUAGGAUAUGCAGAGAGCUUGAUCUUACCCAAUAGCGAAACAAACUUCCUAAUAAGUGAAGGUAUAGUAUAAAUACUUAUACUUUCAUGUUAUUUUGUUCAUCAGUAGCUUGAUUAUUUUAUAUGCGUCUUCGAUUUUAAUUUUCUUUCCCUAUAAUCGCUAUUAUCUUUGAACUGGUCAUAAUUUGCCCAUAAGAUUUCUCAUGUUGUUUUGAGGUGCAACGGAUUUUGAAUUUAGUGACAAGCAGUGGAAGCCAGAAGGCAAAUUAUGAAAAUGGAUAAAGAUCUAUAAUUAGCUGUUAUGGGAUGUCACAUAUCAUAUUGAUGGUAACGUUAUAUAUAUGUACAUAUAAUUAAUGGGGUUGGCUCACGAGCCCAUUAAUAAUGGUAUAUUAGCUUAUAUACUUCAAACAAUGUACUAUGAAGCAAUUUCACAAAUACUUGUUAGCUUAUGUUGAGCUUUAUUGAAUCAGUAGUUCACAGUUCAAUAAAAUGCAGGUUUGCUAUUUGAAGUACAUGGUUAUGGUGCGUACAUUCUUCAUAAGGCUAACUACUAAUUUAUCAUUGAAACUUGAAAAAUGUGAUAGAGAGAUGUAGAUAACAGCCGCAAAACACUGAGAUUGAAAAUCAGGGCUACUAAAUUCUAUUAAAAGUCCUUAAAAUAGACAGCGAUCACCCUGAAAUGUAUAUACUGAAACUAAGAAAUAUUAAUCGCAAAGUUAUGCAUUAAUAGAACUAUUGACUACUUAUCUUUAGCAUAAAGUAUAUUUUUAACUACAGCUUUCUGCUUUGUUCUAAGAACUAGGCAAAAGUGGUGUAUCUUCAAUCCAAUCAACAUAUAUACCACUUAUCUUCCUCUUCACUUCUGUCUAUUUUGAUUUGCACUUCAUAUCCUGCACUUGCUGCUUAGAAAUAGUCUUUAUUCUGGACAUUGAAAGUAGAAAAAGUACUUGAAACAAUCAUUGGCACAGCCCGAGAUUCCAUUGAAUCGUGGACUCCAAGCUUUCAUAGUUCUAUAAAGAAGAUGACAAAACUUCAUACAACUGGCAUUCUGCUUUUAACAUUUGCACAACCUGAGCGAGUUAGCAAGCCCCUUGUUGCGUUCCCAUUGAAUAGACCUACUUCUGUUAUCCGCAGAAGAUCCACCACUCAAAAUGUUUAUCACCAGGCUAUUCUUAAACUGAGCCUAAACUGAGUAGAAACUUCCGCACAUCUCUCAGCAUUUACAUGAAGAAAUCGACAACUAUCCUCAUCUCUCAGCACAUCUCUCAGCAUUCUACAAAGUUGCAUUUCACUAAGCAAUCUAUCCUCUCCAUUCCUAGCAAAGUGACAUUGAUUCCCGUAUUUGUAAUCGCCUAACUUGGGUUUUGGGCAUAGCGUGGUCUUAAAAUUACCACCCAAUACUUUGUUCAGUGCCACUGGCAUCCACAAGCUCUAGCCCUGUUAGUUGAAUCAUAUUCAAUGGGACAGUGAGGCAGCAUUUCACUAACAUAUUCAAUUUGACUACUUAUAUUGACGCAAAUAUUAGAAUUUGAAAUCACUUCUUUUAUUGGAAUAUUAUAUUAAUAUGACCCCAAAUGAAAGUUCUUGAAUGGAAAUGAUUUUUAUUUACUUUUCGAACAGAUUCAAGAAAACCCAGAGAACACAAAAUUUACACAGUAAUAUGAUUAAGAGCUGAGAACGUAUAUGUAGUAAAUGUCUAUCAAAAAACACCCAAGGGUUUCUUUAAAAUUAGUAACUAGUAAACAAAAAGAAAGAAUCAUUUUACAUUUUUAGCAACUUUGGGGUGAGUGAGUGAGUGAGAAAUUGAAACCCUCAAGUGAUGACAACAGUAAGAUUCAGUAUGAAGUGAAACCCCAAUUUGAAAUGUAGGCAUGAGUUGCUGAGUCAGUAGAUGAAGCUAUAAAUAGGCAUUCGGUUUCCUUCUUUUCGGUUUGGAGGGCCAUGGAAUAGUGUAUUGGAGUGGGCUCCAAGUAAUAGCCUCUAUCACUGGAACGACACAUCUAUAAAAUGUGAUACAUGGGGAAGGAUUGGGCAUUUUAUUCUUAGAUUAGCCCCUUAUUUAGGGUGUAUAUUAAGCAGAUUAUAUAUUACAUGGAGAUGGAGUUUAUGAAAUAGAUUAAAAAGAAAAGGAAAUUUUGGUGCCUAAAGUUUGCCACUUGGAAUAUUUCGGUGUCUAAAAAUUCACUCACCACUUAUUUCAUGUUUGAUUAUAUGUUGAAAAGAUAUUAAAAUAGUAUAAUGCUAUUAAGGCUUAACGUAUAUUUUUUAUUAGUAGAGUGUAGAAUUUUUAAGAAAUAAAUUAUUAAAUUAUUAUAACUAACAUAUUAUUUUAAAGUUGUGUUAUGAAAAAAAUGAAAUAAAAAUGUACAGUAAAUAAGAAUAUUUUAAAACUUUUAUCUUUUUAAAAUUAGUUUUUAACAUAAGGUGAACUAUUUUUUUUUUUAAAAUCACAUAUUCUAGUUAAAAUCAAAUAUGUAUUUAUACGAAGCUUGUAAAUUUUUUUUUUAGUACUGAUAUUUGAAUAUUAUCAAUAAAAAAAAGGGUAAUGUUCAUGCUGCAUUAUUUUUGUAGCACACAAAAGGACAACACCGUUUAUGUUAUAAUACUAUCGCUUCUGUUAUGAUAAUUUUUUUUGUGGCCAAAUAUCUUUUUUUUUUUUAAGUAAAAAAAAGUGGACAAAAUGCAAAUCAGUUUUUAAUCCUCAAUCUCUCCCAAAAUAUAUAUUUCGGUGUCUAAAAAUUCACUCACAAAACUAUAGCUGACAAAAAGUUACUAACAAAAAGUUAGGUCCAUGGGUUGUUAAAACUAUAGCUGACAAAAAGUUACUAACAAAAACAGAAUGUCCAUUUUAUAACUUUCUUAAAAAACUUUCCUUAACUUUUUUAAACAAAAAGUUAUUUCCAAUUUUUAUUUUGUUAUAAUGUUUAUAACAAAAUUCGUAGUUAACUAAACUCUUCUUAUACCCUUUCUCAACUGCCAUACCCUAACCCACUAAACCACGCUCAAUUAAGGCCAUCAGAUUCUCCCGGGCCCACAUUAAUCCAACUGCUCACAGAGACCGACAGCCUCUCUAUCUCCAUUUCAAGCUCCCUCUUCAACUGGCUUCUGCUACCGUCCUACUCUUUCUCGGCUUCGGAGUCCGUAUUUGCUCGGCCUGUCCCACGAAGCUCCCUCUCACUCCAAUUGUCGCCCCACAAGACCAAUUGCUUAAUCAAGACACCGAACAAGAAAAGGAUGAGAAGUUGAAACAAGAAUUUGAGAAUUGGAAAUAAAAAACGUACGCAUUGACCGUGCCUUUGAGAGUCGUUUCUCUUCAGAACUCAGUGCCUCAAUCUUGGGUUAAGGAUUUUAUGCGAAGUCAGGGAAAGAGAUUGAAGUUUCAGAUGAAUUUGUGUGCUAGCAUUGAUGGGAUCUUUAACAAUUUAUCUGUGCCCUUUAACAAAGUUAAGGCUAAGUCAGCUUCUUAUAUGGCUGCUGAUUUGGUUAGUGUUGGUGAUUCAUGGCUUAGUUUUGCCAUUAAAAAGAGAUUGAUUGAGCCAAUGGCUGGAGCUGAAGACCAAGAUUGGUUCAAAUGCUUAAGUCACAAAUGGAAGGUAACAUCUUUGUCUUUGAUCCUCGAGGUAAAAUAUGGGCGGCACCGUACAGGUGGGGCACAACGGUGAUAGCCUACAAGAAAAGUAAAUUUCGAAAGCAUAAUUUGGCUCCGAUUGAGGUAAUAAUUUUCUUUAAACUCAUUUAGUUUUAUAUCAAACAAAAUCAAGACUGCCUUUCUCUUCAAUAUUUUUUAUGAUAAUAUCUUUAGAAGCAUCUCAUUGACGGGUAACAAUGGCAUCCCUGAAAGAGUCUAUAAACUCAAUGAUAUUAUCUUCUACAAAUGGUUCAUUAAACUUUGUCGUUGUACUCAAAUGUACACUCAGAUCAAUGAGAAGCUAUGCUACGUUAGCAUGUAGUGAUGGCACUUAAUAAGUGAGUUGCUAGGAUGUGAACUAGAAAAAUUAAAUAUUGUCUCCUUGGGUAUGCUAGCUGGUAAGUCAGGGUUAAUAUCAGAGCUUAAGAUAGUAUAACCGUGAGAACCUAUUGACUGCCAAUUAAAAUAUCCAUUGAAAUGUCUAGGGAGUUAUGAAGGUGGAGGUAACUUCCAAUUUCUAAGGCCACAGAGUAGACAUCAUCCAGGAUCCUAGGAAAGUCCAGUUAACCUCCUGCUCGAUGCAAUUAAUAAAUUUGGUCAAUGCCACUGAAACCUGCUAACUGACGUCACAAUGCGACAUGAGCACUUCAAAAUGGGACAGACGGUCAGUAGCACUAAAUUUUUCUUGCCCAAGAUUGAGCAAUUGGUCUAACUACUAAUCCCUAUUGUAGGUUGAUCAUUAUUUUUUCAAUUAUGUUCAGUUUGACCCAAAAAGUUGCAGAAUCUUGAGCUAAAUAUUGUCACUGAACACUGUCAAUGUCAUUUAGCAUAGCCAACUAACUUGAUGUUAAAACAAACACACAGUGUGUCUCAUGUCUCACAAUUCAAAUUAUCAUCUGUAAUGUUGGAGAAUUUUUCCAAUGUAUGAAGUAUGCUUUGAUACGUGGGUUACCUUGGAGAAGAUAUCUCAAAAUAAAGAAUAUGGGGAGAAAACAGUUCAGUAGUUUAUUAUUCUGUAGUCAAGUUUUGUCUCGAAAAUGGUCAAAAUUUAAAUGAAUAAGGACAGGGGAUCUUCAUUCUUUUUUCCCUUUUUUAUACCAAGAUAUCUCUCAACCUUUAUAUAAUCCCCACUGGAUAUCUGCUUCUAAUAAUUAAAAUAAAAAUUUCACCGCUCUAACAAUAAAAAGUAACAUCUUUCCUCAAAUAAUUUACAGUUCCUCAUCAUCUUAGUGUGAGAAUAUCAGUACAUUCCAAAAACAUAAUAAAACUGGUUUGAUCCUGUUUAUUGAUGUUUAAAUGUUGUUCAUUGUGACAGGUAGAAAUGAUGAGGCGAAGUUUAUUUGGACAUCAAUUAGUAAGAUCUUGUUUGAAGUUGUUUUCUGAAAUGAACUGCCAAAUGGUAGUUUUUUGGGGGCAUUUGAUGGCUCUUUUUUUUUCCUCAUUUUCAACAUGUGCCUGCUUGGAACAUGAAGGAUUAGGCUGCAGAGUUGUUAUAUAUUUUGAGAUGCUCUGGUCAUUGCACAAUUUGUUCACACUGGAAAUUAGAAUGAGAAAUUUGUUGAUGCUGUUUUGAGAGAUCUGCAUUCUAUGCACAAUAACAUGAUUAAUGAAAAUGCAUUGUAGGACUGGAAAGAUCUGUGGCAGCCUGAGCUCGCAGGAAGAAUUUCAAUGGUUAAUUCUCCCCGAGAGGUUAUUGGUUCAGUUUUGAAGUAUAGGGGAACAUCAUACAAUUCAAACUAUAUUGAUUCGCAAGUUGCUGGUGGGAAGAUUGCUGUUCAGCAGAAUCUGGCAUUACUGGCAAACCAGGUACUCUUACAGAAAUCAUAUCUGGUCAUUGCAUGUUAUUGCCUGACAACUGAUUUUGUUUGUAAAAGUCUGCUUCUUCAUACAUAUGAAUGCAUAUGUUAGUGUUUUCUUCUCCUUUUCAUACAUAUAAAUGCAUAUGUUAGUGUUGUCUUUUCCUUUUCACACAUAUUAAUACAUAUGUUGGUGUUCUCUCCUGAGAUGGAUGCAAUAAAGGCUUUUGCUCCUAAAUUUAGCUGAAGAAAUGGCAAGGGAUGUGAGAUUCUGUCUCAUUAAAUUAACAAAAACCCAAAACAAUGAAAAUCCAUAAUAAUGUGGUGUGGGUAAAUUGGCUCCAUUUGGUUCGUUUCCUUAAUGUGAAUGCGCGAGCAAUAGAGACUAACAAAAUGAAGUGACAACAAGAAGUCAGUGUCCUUUGAUGGAUGCAUUUUUAGGCAGAAAUAUGUUUGUAAUUGACCAAAUUUGUCUGGCAUGCCAAUUUCAAAAAAAUUAAAUUAUGUGGUUAUUAGCUGUAAUGAAGGGGGAUAGUAGGUGCAAUCAGGUGUAUCCAGGAAAGUUCAACAAAGUUUUGGUAUGGCGUAGUGAAAUUGGUUUGUGCAACUCAGGAGUCUUUCAGGUGAACGAUGAUAGGUUUUGAUUUAUGAAUAUUAUAAAUCUACUGUGCAUAGUAUUCUAGUAGAAUCAUCUAUAAGUUCUAGUUAUUGUAUACUUUGCCUGGUUUGAGUUAAGGGCACAUGUAAUAUGAAAGAUAGUUGUCGCAUCUUUUAGGUUACCUAACAUUUGAUCAAUCCUAUUAUGGGGGCUUCAAGAUGUCUAACAAUAUGUAGAAUGCCCAUGCUCCUCCCCAUUGUUUAUCUUCUACAAUAAUUUGUUUUAGAUGCUAAUAUCUUUGUCGAUACCGGUAACAAUAUUACAAUAUCUGCGUUUAUUGGGUUUUACAUAGGUUCGACUGUUUGACAGUACACACUAUCUGAAGGCAUUUGCAAUUGGAGAUGUAUGGGUUGCUGUUGGGUGGAUUAGUGAUGUUCUUCCUGCUGUCAAACAUAUGUCUAAUGUUGCUGUUGUUGUUCCCAAGUCUGGUGCUAGCUUAUGGGCUGAUCUUUGGGUAUACCCAUGCCUGCCAUUCUACUUCAAUAUUCACAUUGUUAUCUCCUUCAUAUUAGUGAUCAGUAAACACGAUAAUGUGACUAAUAAGUUCGUAUUCUCUUUAUAGGCAAUCCCUGCUGCCUCAAGACUUGAAACAAAACAAAUUGGAGGGCGAGUCAGAGGUGCAUUUCCAUUAAUCCAUCAAUGGAUAGAAUUCUGCUUGCAAACAGCGAGAGCAUUGCCUUUCAAGCAAGAGGUUAUCCCGAGCGCAUCUCCCUCUGCCCUUGAGAGUACUCUGGUUAAGUUGCCUGAAGAACUUUUCAAGGGUAAACCAAGUCUGGAUACUAACUUAAUUGCUGGAGUACCCCCGACUGAAAUUCUGGCCAGAUGUGAGUUUUUGGAGCCUUUAUUUGAAGCUACAUUGUCGGAUUAUGAGUGGCUGGUUACUAAUCUGCAAAAAUCCACUCCUGUACUGAUCAACAAGAUGCAACAUUACAUGUCAUCAUUGAUCUUUAGCUAAAGGUACAUUGAAAAGUUAAUGGCACUGCAUACCAGUCAUUAUAAUUGGGUCAGGGCAAUUAGGUCAGAGCAUAACUUCAUUAGGAAAAGAUGCUUCAGCUACGUUAAAUAUUACAGGAUGUACUGAGAUGGCUGAAGCUGUUGAGGUUUUACGAGAAUCGAAAGAUAGUGUUUGUUUGAACAAAGUUGUUGCCAAUCUUGCAGAGUUCGAGAAGAAAGAUCACGAAGUGAAUGCCACCGAUUUCUUCAUCAUUGUAGCCUCCAUAGUUGAAGUUUCCUCAUUUGAAGCUGUUUAUGCAUACGAUUUUCCCCUGCUCAAGUACAGGAAAUUGAAGAAUUAACCAGAUGUGAUAUGCUGAAAGAGGGAAGUUUUCUUCCUUGAAUGUGGUCUUUGUGAUUUGUCUUGAAGGAAUAGGGUGAUCACUGGCAAGAACCCUAUCAAGGUAGAUUUUAUGAUGUUAACAUAUCAUUAAGCAUUUUGUUACAUCAGCAAUGAUGCUUUCAUAGCAGCAUGAAAGUGUUUAAAUUUAACUGAAUGAUCUUGAUUGAUCAAUUAUGAGUUUUAAUCGAGUAAAAACUAAAUACAAUAAUCGUUAACAAAUAUUGAAAUUGGGUAAAUAUGAUCUUGAUAUUGAAGAAUUUGAAAUCACAACCCACACAGGAAAUCACCCUUCGCGUGGGGAUGGAGAUGUUUACUGCAGCGAUAUUGAAUAUGUCCACCGCUCUUUGGGUUAUGGUGCGACUUGCCCUGAAACAAUGGAAAAGAAUAAUUAAUAAUUUAACGCCAAGACAUAAAAUUAAAACGUGUGGACUCCGGUAGCUGCCCUACAAGUCUACAACUCUACAAACAUUAACUCUACAAACAUUAAAACGUGUGGACUCCGGUAGCUGCCCUACAAGUCUACAACUCUACAAGAAUAAUUUCUAGCCCUGUUGACUCCACUAACUAAAGAAAUUUCAAAACGUACAUAGAAUUCCACAACAAGCAAAACGUAUGGAAUUUAAUUUUUUGCCGUGUGGAACAAAAUACAAUUUAACAAAAAAGGAUAAGAAAAAUGGUAAGAUUUCUAAAAUGAGUGGAAGGUGAUUCAUAUUUUACUGAAAUGACUUGUCCUGAACAUUAAGACGAUUGAUUUUUUUUUUUUUUUAAUAACAUCAACUUCCAUAUCUUUCUAACCCCUAGAAUAUGCUCACGUUCAAGUCUAUCUUGGUAAUUUGAAAAAGAAAAUCAAAUCAAAUCAACACCAAAACAAUGAAAAGUAAAACUUUUGAAUUUCAACUUUAAACUUUUGUUAACCCCUAGAAUAUUCAGCGUUUUCAAAUUCUUCCGAUUGCAUAUCUUCUUCCUCCAUCAAUGCAAUAUUUGAACGAUUAUGAAAGAGUUUAAGAACAUAAAAAAUCUCCAAGGUUUAUACGGUAUAACAAAUUUAAAUUCUCAAUUACAAUAGAUAAUAAUUAAACUAAUAAUUUUUUAUGUACUUAUUUUAGUAAUUUCACCUAAGAAUAAUAUUGUAAUUAGAAAAAAAAAUCUAAUAAGUAGGGUGGUCUUAUACAAAAUCAACUGUACUGUGAUGAGUUUCCUUUUGUUAAUAAUUUUAGUCUAAUUUCAAUUGUACUGUGAUCGCUUCUCAAGGUAAGUGAAAGUUACAGAUGUGGCAAAAUAAAUAAUUAAGUUAACAAAAUGCUAACUAAUUUUCCUCAAUACCUAGGGUUGUACAAUUUCACCAACCUGGAAGAAUUGACAUUAAUGGACUGGUCUCCUCCCCAUAUAAUUAUAAUCCUUCUAGAAAGCUAUUUUUUAUUAAAUAUUUGCUUUUAAGUUAAUUUCAAUUAAAAAAUGUUUUAAGUUAUAUAUACUCUAAUGAGAUUCUGAAUUCCUUUAUUCCAAUAAUAAUGAAAACGUAUUAAAUUAGAAAUGAAAAAAUUGGUGUUGAUGAUUCAACCUAUUUGGAUAGAUUACGUGAAUAAAAUUAAAAUUUUGAUUUAAUUUUUGUUUAUUGUUAAUUCUCAGGCUAUCUUAAUUUCAAGAAUUUAGAAUGUUAAUUUGGUCAUGGAUUUCAACCCGUGAGUGUCAUAUUCUAGACUUAAUGGUACCAUUCUUUGAUUGAGGGCAAUGACUCUCACUCCUCUUGUAAAAAAAUAUUUUCAACUAUUUUGAUGACUUAAAAAUUGAUAGAUUUAUUGUUGUCAUGACCAAAUUAUUCAUUUUAAUGAAAUAUAAUUAAUGCAUCAAAGUUACCAGGUUUAUGUUCUAUCUUAAUGCGCUUUUUUUUUUUUCAGUUAUAGCUUCUGCUUACGUCUGUUUCAUUUUUUUUAAUAAAAAAACAAGGGAAGGUUUUUCCGAGUCAUCCAUUAUUUGAUUUCCGUCAAUCAAGAAAACGACCAAAUUAAUUUCUCUCCAAAAUUUCCAAAAGCUAGAAAAUUUUGUUAUUUGAAAAUAACAUGAUUAAUUAUAGAGUGGAUCAAACCGCGUUAUUGUCUUUCAUAAAAUUGAUGUCUUUUUAAGAGUCAAUACUUUUUAUUUACGCAAACCAGUCGACAUCAAUUUAAACUUCCAUAUUUUUAUUAUUAUUAUGUUAUUUAUUUUAAUCGCCGAUUAUUUGAUUAGCCACUAUAUAUAUCAAGAAAGCGACAAAAUUUAUUUCUCAUGACUUCCAAAAACUAGAAAAACAACAUCAUUUAUUAUUUUUUUGCAACCCUAAUUGACAUCAACUUUAACUUUAUUAUGUUAUUAUUUCAAUCCCCAUUAUGACCUUUCUAAUCCUCCAUUAUGCAUCUUUUAUAGUGCAAAUUUAAUUGCACAUCUAAAUAAAUUGAUUAUUGUUACUCCACCACCAAUAUUUCAAAUAGUCACUAGACCAUUUCUGCCUUUAAUUUUCCCUUAACUAUUGACUGUUUUUAGCAUCUUAAAAUAUACAUUUAUUCCUUGAUUAUGUGAUAAAAUUAUGAAAAUAUCCAUUUUAGCUUAAAUUAAUUGGAAUAACCAUAAGCGUAACAUAAAUUAAUAGAACAAAAUUAUCAAGUGUAUGUUCUAUCUUACUUUUUGAAGAAUUUAACAUAUAUAAUGCUAUACUAUUAAUAAAUUUUUCAUUUACUAUAUAUGUUCACAUAUUUUAUAUAUUUAUUAAUUGUUAUAUAGUCACAGGAUGAAUGAUUUUUCAGGUCUACAUGAGUUGGUGCACAUGCAAGACUCAAUUUUGACAACAAUGAUCUAAGGGGUAAUUUACCUUGGUGUUUGACAAACAUAACCUCUCUUCAUGAUUUACUUCCAAUCUACUUACUGUAAAUAUCUCCUCAUCUCCUCUCAUUUAUAUGAUAAGUGAUAACCCUUGAAGAUCUCACAUUUUCAAACGAUCAUAUUAGGGUUUUUAUUAUUAGCAUCAUUGUGUCAACAAAAUAUAUGUUGCAGUAAGAUUUUUUCAGACCAAUUCCCUUCUUCAAAUAAUAAUGGAAAAGUAUUAAUUUAAAAAUAAAAUGAAUAUGCAUUGAUUAUAUCCUGAUUUCCAUCGAUUAUAGCGAGAGUUUCUCCGAAUCAACUCCCUUAUUCAAAUAAUACAGAAAAAAUAGUAAUUUAAUAGUAAAAUUAGCAAGUGUUGAUUAUAUAUCCUAAGUUUCAUCGAUUAUGUGAUCAAAGUGGCAUUGUUGAUUUAUUUCUUGUUCAAUGUUAAUUUUUAGGUUAUCUAAAUUUCAAGGAUUUAAAAUCUUUGUUCAUGGAUUACACGCUUAUUAAUUUUUCUGCCAUUGACUGUCAUAUUCUAGACUUAAUGGUACCUUCCUUGAUCAAGGAUAAUUACUCUAUGUUCUCCUCUUAUAAAUUCCUCUUCCAUUAACAUCACUAGGAGUAUGUUGAUCUCUCAGACGUUAACUUUAGUGGAGAGUUUCCAAAUUGAUUGUUACAAAACAACACAAAAACUAGACACACUUGAUCUGUCUAAUAAUUCUCUUUCGAUAAAAUUAAUUAAUUUUAGGGGAAUAUUCGACCAACCUCUAUAAUUUCAUAUUGAUCAUUAAUUAAUUAGACGAAAAAAGUACUUGUGCUUUUGUGGCGACAAUUGAACUAGAGAAGUGAAGCUGUAAAGAUUUGGCAGUAGUAAAUUGUUAGAAAGACAUAAAGACAAUUUCCCAUUUUAUAAUUUUUUCAAAAAACUUUUUUACAACACAUGCACCUGGCCAAAAAUUUUAUUUUGCUAACUAACAAUAAUUGAGUAGCUGACCGUAUUGACUCCGCCUACUUGCUAAAGUAAAAAAAUAGAAAUAGAAUUUCCACAAAAUGUCAAACAUGUAAAAUCUAAUAUUUGCAUGUGGAACAAAAUACAAAUGAAAAAAAAAAUAGAAAAAAGGCCUAAGACUUUUAAAAUGUGUGGAAAUCUUUCGGCCCUUUUAUAAUGGUGUGUUUUUCAAAGGAACAACUAAUAAUAAUGACACUUCUACGGUUUGUUUUGAUAAUUACACAUAUACUCUUUAAUUUGAUAAAUGGUUACACAAAUUUUGUUUACAAAAAUAUAUUAUUCAUGUUCUGUAUAUUUUUUAACAUCAUAUUUUUAUUUAUUAUAAUUGUUUAAAGUUAAUUGUUAGGUUGAUAUAUAAUAAAAACGUAUAAUCGUUCUCUUACUAAACACACAUACUCGUAGUUUCUAUCCAUUUGUCAUCUCAAUCUCUCUCAUUUAUCCUUUCUUGAUAGCUCAAAACGCGUCACUGUGGAAAAUAAUAGCAAAACGACAAUAUGGAAAGAAUGGGAAGAAAAUUAAUGCAUGAAAGAGUUGCAGAAGACAACCAAAUAAGUCAACUAUACGCUAGUUGGGUGUAUAAAUUGUUAGAUGUGUUAUAAACAAAUAGCAUAGAGCCUUGGUUGGUUACAGAGAUAGAAAAACUGUGUGUGUUUUUUAGAACUUAAAGAUACAGUUAGAAUGGGUGGUUCAAAAUCAAAAAUGGUGAUAAUGUUUGUUCUGUUAUUAAUAAUAUUAGAAGGUGGGUGGAGUGAAGGAUGUUUGGAUCAUGAGAGAUUUGCUCUUUUGCGACUCAAACAUUUCUUCGAUGAUACUGGUAGUUAUUUUUACUACUGGGCAGAUGGUGAGGGAGCUACUGAUUGUUGUCAGUGGGAAAGGGUUGAGUGCAGCAACACCACAGGCCAAGUGAUAGUGCUAGACCUUUUUGAAACGUAUUUGGGAGAGUACAGCUGGUAUCUGAAUGCUUCUUUGUUUACUCCCUUUCAACAACUUGAGUCACUUGAUUUAUAUGGCAACAAAAUAGUCGGUUUUGUUGAGAAUGAAGGUACUUCGUCUAAUUCAAUUAAUUUACAUUUCGCUCUCCUAAUUUAAGUCGAAUAUCAAGACUGAGCAGCUAUAUGCAUAUUCAUUCAAUUGACAAUUUUUACAUAUUUUUUAAAAUGUUUAAUUUUGAAAUUACACCAAACAUCAUAUGUGGUUUUGAUUUUACUUGCAGGUCUAGAAAGAUUGAACAACUUGAAGAGGCUUGAUUUAAGUUAUAACUUGUUCAACAAUAGCAUCUUAUCAUCUGUGGCUCAUCUUUCUUCACUAACAUCAUUAGAUUUAUCUGGAAAUAGAUUGGAAGGAAGUAUUAAUGUUAAAGGUACGUAAUUAAAACGUCAUCGCUUCUCUCAACUCUUUCAUUAACAUGCUAAAAUAAGAUUCAAGGCUUUGAAUUCAUUUUUUUUUAUGAGUAAAUAUUAGAAAAAUAGUUUUAAGCAAUUCAUAAAUACAAUUUUCAAUGUUUCUCAUAAUUUCAUCUUGUACUUUCGUAUGUCUUGACUUUAAGAUUAAAAAAAAAAAUUACUCUAACUGUGAAGCAAAUACCCCAUGACUAAUUUAUCAUUUCGUCCAGUUAAAAAUGAUAAAAUUUAUCAUUUGUUUAUAUUGAUUAAUUAACUCUAUUUUAAGUCUUAAGUCUUGGCGUCUUGGCAUAUUUGCAGAAUUUGAUUCCUUGAGCAACUUAGAGGAGUUGGACAUGAGCGACAAUGAAAUAGACAAUUUAGAGGUUCCUCAAGGUAAACAAUUAAAAUAUUAUUCAAUUACAUUAAUUUAAUUCGUUUGAUUAGGGAAGACCCAAAAGGUACAAAAUAUAAUAAUAAUAAUAAAGAAACAGAGAAUCUAUAUUAUUUCAAAAAAUAAAACGUAAUACUAUUAUUUCAAAAAUAGAUUGUAAUAAAGAUUUGAUUCCGGUUCUUUAAUCUUUACAGCAAUUGAAAAACGAUGUUGCUCUUUUCCUGAAGCAUAAAAUAUGAAAUGACUCCCAAUACAAUUAAUCAUUUAUUUCGUUUACUCUAAAAUUAGACAAUGAAUCUUUAUUUUCUUCAGUCUUAUCCUAAUUAUUAUUAAUAACAGGUUACAAAGGUUUGAGGAAGUUGAAUUAUCUUGAUCUAUCGAAUGUUGGAGUUAGAGAUGGAAGCAAGUUGUUACAGUCAAUGGGAUCAUUCCCAUCCCUCAACACUCUUUACCUGAAGGAUAAUAAUUUUACCGAUAUAGCGACAACUACUACUCAAGGUAAGUAAAAGAUACAGAUGUGGCCAAAUUUACAAAUAAAUUGUUAAUUAAUUAAUUUUUCCGUAUUAUUAAUAAAGCUAAAUUCGUCGCUCCUUCCUUCUAAUUCUAAACAGAGUUGGCAAUUUCACCAACUUGGAGUAUUUGACAUUGGACUUGUCCUCGCUCCAUUUAAGCCUUCUACAAUUACUUGAAGAAUGAAUUUAUUUAUUAUUAUUAUUGUUGUUGUUGUUGUUGUUGAAGUGAGGUGGGCAAGCGUUCACUCAAUUAAUAUGUGAGGAAUUAAUAAUUACAAUCCAAGGUAGAAUUGUGGAAAAUUAAAGCAAAAUGAGAAAUAUGGAAAGAAAGGAAGAAAGUUAAGGGCAUGAAAGACUAGGAGAAGACUAAAGACCACCAAAUAAGUCAACUGAAAACUAGCUGGGGCCUGGGUGUACAAAUUGUUAGAUGUGUUUGUUAUAAAUAACAUAGAGCCAUCUUGUUGGUUGCAGAGGCAGAGAGACACAGAGUGUGCAUUUUGUUAAUUAAAAAUAUAUAUAAAAUGGGUGGUUCAAAAUCCAAAAUGGUGAUAAUGUUAGUUUUGUUAGUAUUAAUAAUAUUAGAAGGGAGGUGGCGUGAGGGAUGUUUGGUGCAUGAGAGAUUUGGUCUUUCGAGACUUAAAACAUUUCUUCAAUUCUCCUUAUAAUUUUUGUCACGACUGACCGUUGUCAAUGGGAUGGGGCUGGGUGCAGGGUUGAUUUACGUUAGAACAAUAUAGCCGGUAGUGUUGAGAAUGAAGGUGUUUCAUUUAAUUUAAUUAAUUUACUUUCUCCCUCCUAAUUUAAGUGGAAUAUCAAGACUGAACAAUUAUAUGCAUCUUCGUUCAGUUGACAAUUUUGACAUUUUUUUUAAGUGAUUAAUUUUGAAAUUACACCAAACAUUAUUUGUGAUCUCUGUUUUGACUUUACUUGCAGCGCUAGAGACGUUAUCAAGAUUGAGCAACUUGACGAUACUUGAUUUAAGUUAUAACUUGUUCAAUAAUAGCAUCUUGUCAUUUGUUGCCCGUCUUUCAUCAUUAACAUCAUUAGAUUUAUCUUACAAUGGAUUGGAAGGAAGUAUUAAUGUUAAAGGUACGUAAUUAAAACGUCAUCGCUUCUCCCAACUCUUCCAUUAACAUGCUAAAAUAAGAUUCAAGGCUUUGAAUUCAAUUUUUUUUUAUGAGUAAUAUUAGAAAAAUAGUUUUAAGCAAUUCAUAAAUACAAUUUUCAAUGUUUCUCAUAAUUUCAUCUUGUACUUUUGUAUGUCUUGACUUUAAGAUUAAAAAAAAAUUACUCUAACUGUGAAGCAAAUACCCCAUGACUAAUUUACAAUUUUGUCCAGUUAAAAUGAUAAAAUUUAGGGAAAUUAUCAUUUGUAUACCCUUAGUUUACUCUAUUAUCAAAAAUACUACAACACUUUGAGGGUGUAUCAAUCGUCCACCCUAAGUUGACAAAAUGUAUUAGCCAACCACCAAACCGUUAGUUGCCGUUUAAAUAUGAUAACAUCAUAAGGGUAAUCUGGUCUUUUCAUAUGAUACAAGUGAUAAUUUAAGGGUAUACAAGUGAUAAAAAGAGAGUUUAAGGGGAUACAAGUGAUAAUUUUCAAGGGUAAAAUCGUCAAUUUACUGUAAUUCCGUUAACUUUCAAACGGCAAUUAACAGUUUGGUGGUCGGUUGAUACAUUUCAUCAACUUAGGGUGGACGAUUGAUACACCCUUAAAGUGUUGUAGUAUUUUUGAUAAUAAAGCAAAUAUAGGGUAUACGAAUGAUAAUUUCCCUAAAAUUUAUCAUUUGUUUAUAUUGAUUUAUUAACUCUAUUUUAAGUCUUAAGUCUUAAGUCUUGGCAUGUUUGCAGAAUUUGAUUCCUUGAGCAACUUAGAGGAGUUGGACAUGAGCGGCAAUGAAAUAGACAAUUUCAAGGUUCCUCAAGGUACACAAUUAAAAUAUUAUUUAAUUACAUUAAUUUAAUUCGUUUGAUUAGGGAAGACCCAAAAUGUACAAAAACAUAAUUAAAAAAAAUAAAGAAACAGAGAAUUCAUAUUAUUUCAAAAAACAAAAGGUAAUACUAUUAUUUCAAAAAAGAAUGUAAUAAAGAUUUGAUUCCGGUUCUUUAAUCUUUAUAGCAAUUGAAAAACAAUGUUGCUCUUUUCCUAAAGCAUAAAAUAUGAAAUGAGUCAUAAUUGAAUUAGUCAUUUAUUUUGUUUAGAUCUAAAUUUAGACAAUAAAUUUUGAUUUUUUUUUCAAUUCUAUCCUUAUUAUUAUUGUUAAACAGGUUACAGAGGUUUGAGGAAGUUGAAAAGCCUCUAUCUAUCGAAUGUUGGAGUUAGAGAUGGAAGCAAGUUGUUACAGUCUAUGGGAUCAUUCCCAUCCCUCAACACUCUUUACCUGAAGGAUAAUAAUUUACCGAUAUAGCGACAACUACUACUCAAGGUAAGUAAAAGGUACAGAUGUGGCCAAAUUUAUAAAUAAACUGUUAAUUAAUUAAUUUUCUGUAUUAUUAAUAAAGCUAAAUUUUUGCUCAUUCCCUCUAAUUCUAAACAGAGUUGCACAAUUUCACCAACUUGGAAUAUUUGACAUUGCACGGUUCCUCUCUCCAUAUAAGCCUUCUGCAAAGCAUUGCAUCAAUAUUCCCUUCGUUAAAAAAUCUGUCGAUAUCUUUGUGAAGUCAAUGGUGUCGUACAUGGUCAAGGUAAAAGAAAAGUGUUGGUUGUGCACUCACUGAGUGUUGUCCUACGUAUUCAAUAUUUUUAUUUAUUUAUUUUAUUGUUUAAUGUUUCUGCUAGGUUUUCCUCAUUUCAAGAGUUUGGAACAUUUGGGCAUGAUGUCCACGCGCAUUGCACUCAACACCAACUUUCUUCAAGUCAUCAGAAUCGAUGCCUUCUCUUAAGUACUUAUCACUGUCAUAUUCUACUCUUGCACUAACAGCAGCAGGAUUCUUGAUCGAGGUUAAUCAGAUGCUCCCACCCUCCAUUCUUAAUCUAUAAUAUUAAUUUUCAGUUAAAUAUUUAAUUACACAAACCAAUCACUUAUUAUAAAAGAACAAUACGCAUUCAUUAAUUUUUAUAUUAUAUUAAUUGAUGAAUUUAAUAAAUUCCAGGCCUCUGUUCGCCGGUGCAUCUGCAAGAGUUAUACAUUGGUUCUAACGAUUUAAGAGGUAGCUUGCCUUGGUGCAUGACAAAUUUGACAUCCCUCCGAAUAUUAGAUGUUUCUUCCAAUCAACUUACUGGAAGCAUCUCCUCGUCUCCCCUCAUUCAUUUGACAUCCAUUGAAAAGCUGUAUCUUUCAAACAAUCACUUCCAGAUCCCAAUUUCACUUGAACCACUUUUCAAUCAUUCAAGACUCAAGACUUUUUAUGCUGACAACAACGAACUAAAUGCAGAAAUAACUCAGUCACAUUCUUUGACCGCCCCAAACUUCCAAUUAUCACGUCUCUCAUUGUGCAUCCAACGAAAGACAAACCACGUGUAGUCUUUUAAUUAAGCCAAAGUAGCAGCUCAAACAAAUGACACUUGGACCAACAUGCAAUCAUGAAGUGGCCGGAAAAAGGACAAAUGCAACUUUGGCUUAAAUAAAAAAUAACAUGUGACUCGACUUUUGCUGGACAUGCAUCAUGUUAUUACAGACAACAAAAAUCAGUAUGAUAGUACUAAAAGUUGACAAUAACAUGAAGAUAAGAGGCAGAAUGUCAACACAUGCAUAGGCACACAAAGAAAGUAUUAACGUAUAUACCAUAGCAAAAAAGUAUUUGAUAUGUCAUCUGUUGCUGCUGUGAUUCAACUGACAGCAUGGCAGCUGUUGCUUCUCUACCAAGAGCCAUUAUUGUAGAUUAAGCUCGGUCAAUCUUGCUUCUGCAUUUCGAAGCUUCACAGCACUCUCUGCUGAUAUAUCAGAUUCCCUAAUCUUUGAUCGGUGCCUAAAUACUUCAGCUGCCUGGUGAAAAUAUUCAAUAUAAAUCUAAUAUAAAUUCUCAUCUUGCCUUAUGCAUGCAUAUGUUACCUCAAAGCUUACCUGGGCUUCAACUUCAUGUCGAAGUUUGUCAUAACGAUGAGUCAGGUGUCGAGCAUCUUCCAAAGGUGCUCCGUUGAUUAACGCCCGUAGUGGCUCAGAUACCUACAUGUCCAAAAACCUGUAACAUAGUUAGAAAAAUGAAAAGAAAGAGCGAAACCUCAAUUAAAAAGUCCUCCAACAUAAUCAUGGAAUUUGGCCUACUUCAAGGAUAUAUAUAUAGGAUAAUUUAUGCAAUUUUGGGUCUUAGGAUGAUUCAUAUUAGGUUAGUGUUCUUCUCUUCUGUAUUUAAGGUUAAAAUAGAAAUAAACCUAUGCAAAUAUAUAAAUUAGGGCUGUAAGAACACAUGCAACAUGGAUUUGAUUUUACUAUAGAUGCAAGUGUCUUUAUCGAAAAUGCUUGGAGUCAAUUGAGAGAACUCACGGCCAAUAACUUGUCACACGCUAGUCUUUGCUAGUGAUGUAAGAAGUCACAAGGUCUCUUCAGCAUUUGAACCAAUAAAAUUAUUAAGUCAUGGAUGUCACUAGCAAUGAUUUUAAUAUAAAAUAUUAAAUAUUUCAAGUUGUAACUUUAAAAUGGAUUCUUUUAUUCAAUAUCUUAGAACUAAGUUUCCUUAUGAGAAGAUAAUAGUUUCAGUAGUAAUGUACAUAUAAUUUUCUAUAUUGAAUUAUUUUCUAGUAGGGAUGAACUAACCUGAUCACGAAGAAUCCCAAGCAAAGUUUCCCUCUCAUUUUCCAUCAAAUCAUGUGAAGUGCCAAAUUGAAGAGCAGCUCUUGCAACGCAAGAAUUGUCACUUUGAUUCUCCACUCCAUACUUGCAACAAUCUUCGGCCAACUUUCUCGCUACAAUAUUUGAAUACAAAAAUAUUGUACACAAGAACUAGUCAAGAAAAUUAAAAAAAAAAUCAAAUAUUUAACGAGAGCAAGAGCAAACGAACAACCUAUUUCCAUUUGUUUCAAGCUUACUGCAACAAACACUUCAACGCCACGGACAACAUUCCUCUGACAAUAUUCCAAAUUAUUGUUCAGAUAAAACCAUAGAAACCAUCAUAAUUGUUCAACAUACAUUAAGCUAAAGGAGGAUGGUGCCUUAGCUGCCCUGGUGGAAUUGUAUAGAUUUUGAAGUUGUUGGUGACACUCAAUUUCAGAUUCAUCAACCGCAACAUUUUCAAUACCAAGAUGGAGCAGAUGCUUCAAUACUGCCUGUACAAAUCAUAAAAAAAUGAAAAAUAAAAUAAAAUCGAGAAAUUUCACUAACUAAAAGUCUAAAUUAAUUUUUUAAAAAGAAAAGAAACGGACUUGCUGCUGCUUGGCGACUUGUUCUCGGGCUUGAUUGCUGUUCUUGAUAGCUUCCAUACUGUUUCUUUCAAAAGCGACGACGGCUCGCUCAUGGGAGUGGAAAAAAAAGUGUGAUCGGGAAAAUAAAAAGGCAUGAAUAAUUUUUGAAAAAAAGCGAAAAUCAAGGAAGCCAGCUCUUUCCAGAAAUAAAAAAGAAAAAAAAAAGAAAUUAUAGUUUGAAGGAGAAGAUGAUGUGGAAGUGCGGUGUGGCUGACAGCUACUUGGAUUGUAUUGUCGGGUAGGUAAUAGUAGAGAAUUUUUUUUUAAGAAAAUAGUAGAGAAUUUUUUAGAAGCUAGAACAGAGCAUGACAUUAGACUUUUGUUGACCAAGGAUGUUGUUUUAUUCUUCUAUACUUUACGUUUGGUUUGGUUUUUCAAACUAAAUAAUCAGUAGCAAAAUACAAUUUAGAGAUUAGGGGGUGAACUAGCUAGGUGGUUUACAAAUAUUCUAUUUGUAAGGUGAAUUAAUUGAAUCAUGAGAAAACAAUGUGACCAUAGCUCAAUAUGAGAUGAUUUCGGAGAGGCAUAUUGUUUUCAAGUGAAUUUGAUCCAUUAAGAGAUGAAGUGGAUUGAAGUGGAAAGUUUAAAUAACAAAUCCUUGUUCUUGAGUUUUACGACGUUGUUACUCCUUCAGGUGGCAGAUUAUGCAAGUGAAUUCAAAAACACAAUGCAUCAAUCACGGGGAUGCUACAUCAAAGACGGGAUCAUAGUCUAUGCAUUGAACAGUUACAGUUGCUGCUACCAAUUGCCUCGGCAAAGAUCAAGAAGACUGAACGGGAAGUUAAUGCCAUCAAGGAGUUGUCUAGUGUUCUUUUCCUUAUGCUAUGAUCGGUGCUCUUGAGGCUGCCCUGAAACACAGGAAAAUACUUCGAUAUCCUCCAUUCGAUGAUGCAAAGAACGGUUAAUGUAUGAUUACCUAAUUGACUCAGGAUCAGGUAACAACAACAACAAUUUUUAAUAGUAAUAUCACAAACGAAGAAGAUUUCGGAGAGGAGAUGUAAGCGUAUACUGUUUACAGGUUUGAUCCACUGGGGAUGAAGUGGUCUCAAGUGGAAAGUGAUUUAUUAAACAACAAAUCAUUGUUCUUGGUUAUACCUCAUGAUGUCAUCAAGUGGAAGAUGAAGAUCGUUUGAUAUUGAAGAAUUUGAACAGAAAGCCCAUAGAAAGUACUUAAAUAAGCAUAUUUUGUUGGGGUAGAAUAUUAAGAAAGGAGUUGUCUACUGUGUGUUGCGUAAUUAUGCUAUGAUCGGUGCUUUCAACAUUGCCCUGAAAACAGUGGGAAAUACUUCAUACCCUCGACAUGAUGAUGAAAAAUUGGUUACCGAUUACCUAAUUGACUCAGGUGACAACAAUCCAUUAAUAGCACAAUUUGACGUGAUGCCGUUUAGGUAUAUGGUUUUCAAGUUUGAUUCAUCAGUGAUGAAGCGGACUAAAAUUAAAAGUUUAAAUGAUAAGUCAUUGUUCUUGGGCAUAUCGUCAUUACUACUUCCAGUGAUCAACGAUGAAGAUGAAGAUGAAAAUUGUGCGAGUUCAAGAUUACCAUUUAUCAUUACUUGGGAUAUUACUUCAACAUAGAUGGGGUUAUAAUUUACUCCCACGAACAUCAACUCAACUUUAUGAUUGGAGUGUCUCACCGUGACUCAGACAAAUUCUGAUUCAACCUCCUUCACCAAUGGAUUUUGAUUAGUUAUUUUGUGAUCAAGCAACUUAAUUAAACUCACAGUUUGUUAGUCUAAUUUUAGUUUUACUGUGACCACUAUUCAAGGUAAGCGAAAGUUACAGAUGUGGCAAAAUCAAUAAUUAAAUUCAUAAAAUGUUAAAAAUAAAACUUAUAAAUGUUGCAUGACUACUUACUAAUAAAUAAAUAAGUUAGAAUGUAGUUAGUUAAUUUUACACCAUAUUAUAUAUUAUUCGAUAAUAAUAUAAAAUAAAAAUAAUUAAAAAAUAAAUAAUUGAAUAAAUAAAUAUGGCUUUCUAAACAGUAAAAAUUCUAGAGUUAAAAUUUAUAUUAUUAUUUUAUUUUUUAAAAUUGACAUUUUUCUAUUGUCUUACAUGUACAAAGAUUUUGAGAGUUGAGAAGAAUAUAUUUAAUGAAGCUUGAUAACAUUUGAUGGGAUAGCAAGUAAGGGUAAAUAAGAUAUUUUUAUUUGUUAUUUAUUUGAAUUAUAUCUAUUUGUUCAAGUUAAAAUACUAAAUAUAAAUUGGAGGUAGACAUUUUAACAGAUCAUCUAAGCUCUCAAAUCUGAAAUUUUGUGUAGAUUUAAAUUCAUAAUCCCCAAUUAUUUGAUCAGCAACUAUCAAGAACUAACCAAAUUUAUUUCUUCAUGACUUCCAAACACUAGAAAAUUUUGUUAUUUGAUAAUAAUAUCAUUAAUUAGAGUUUAUCAAACCGCAUUAUUUUCUUUCAUAAAAUUGAUGCCUAUUAGUGUCACACUUUAUUUGUAUUACCUAGCGGACAUCAACUUUUUUUUUAAUUUUUUAAAUUAAAAAGACCAUUUGAUUUUAACCCAUGUUCUUGGCCUUAGGGAAGCUGACUUCUUUUAUAGUCAGGCGAUGAGUUAAGAAGUGACAUAGCAUUCAGGCGAUGAGUUUAUUUUUGUUAUCUUGCUAACAGUUUUAGUCUAAUUUUAGUUUUACUGUGACCACUAUUCAAGGUAAGCGAAAGUUACAGAUGUGGCAAAAUCAAUAAUUAAAUUCACAAAAUGUUAACUAAUUAAAUUCAUAGAGUUGCACAAUUUCAUCAACUUGGAAGAAUUGACUUUAAUGGACUGGCCUUCUCCCCUAUAAUUCUAAUGCUUCUAGGAAGCAAAUUUUUAUAAAUUAUUUAUUUUUGAGUUAAUUUCAAUUUCAAAAAACAAAUUUUUUAAGUUAUUGAUACUCUAAUGAGAGUAUCUUCAUAACAAUUCCCUUGCUCCAAUAAUAACAAAAAGGUGGUUACUUAGAAAUAAUUAAAAUAAAUAAGUGUUGAUUAUAUAUCCUAAUUUGCAUCGAUUUUUUUUUACCUUAAUUUCAGGAAUUUGGAAUAUAAGUUUGUGAAUGGAGGAUGAUCACGCGUGUGUUAAUUUUUCAGUCAUUGACUGUCGUAUUCUCGACUUAACGAUAGUGUUCUUGAUCAAGGGCAAUGACUCCCACCCCUCUUUUAAAAAUAUUGUCAAGUAUAUUGAUGACAAAAUCUCUUAUAGUUAAUAGUCUUUAAAAAUUUAUAGAUUUACUAUUGUCAUGACCAAAUUAUUCAUGUUUAAUGAAAUAUUAAUGCAUCAAAAUAGAUAUCUUCGGAAUCUAAUCCGAUCGGCUCAAUCCGUUUCAUUCGCAAAAGUGCAAUCCGCAAAAAUUUGAUCUGUGGAUUAGUGGAUUGGAUUGGAUUGAAAGUUUAAAAAUCCAUAGUCGAUAAAUUGGAUAUCGAUUUACUUCUCUAAAUAUGCAAAAAUUCAUGAAUUCGCAAAAAAAAAAUGUAUUUACUAAUAAAUAAAUAAGUUAAAAUGUAGUUAGUUAAUUUAACACCAUAUUAUAUCUUAUUCGAUAAUAAUAUAAAAUAAAAAUAAUUAAAAAAUGAAUAAUUGGAUAAAUAAAUAUGACUUUCUAAACAGUAAAACUUCUAGAGUUAAAAUUUAUAUUGUUAUUCUAUUUUUUUAAAUUGACAUUUUUCUAUUGUCUUACAUGUACAGAGAUUUUGAGAGUUGAAAAGAAUAUAUUUAAAUAAAAUAUUUUUAUUUGUUAUUUAUUUCAAUUAUAUCUAUUUUGUUCAAGUUAAAAUACUAAAUAUAAAUUGGAGGUAGGCAUUUUAACAGAUCAUCUAAGCUCUCAAAUCUGAAAUUUGUGUAGAUUUAAAUUCAUAAUUUUAGUUAAUUUUCAUAUAUUCAUAUAAACAAAUUUAUGAGAUUUUUUUCUUUUCAACAUGUUAUAUUUUUAAACUUUCAAUGUAUUAUUUUAGCUAUAUUUAAACAAUUAAUUUAUUUAAUUUUAAAUUUGAUCAGUAUAAAAUGUUUUUAUAUCAAAUUUUUUUAUUUAAAUAGUUCGUGGAUUGGACAAAAUUAAACAUUUUUAAUUCUUAAAUGAUGGAUUGGAUAUGAAUUGGAUCAAAUCCACAUUCGAUCCGCAGUUAUAUGGAUUGAAUUUGAAUUGAAUUUCAUCAAUCUAUGGAUUAUAUUGGAUUAAAAAUUUAUAAUCCACAAAAUCGUUGAUUAGAUAUGGAUUGAUGUCCAAUUCGCAAAAUCUAAUUGCCGAACACUCCACUAUCAAAAUUUUCAAAAUAUGUUUUAUCCUAUAAUUUUUUUUUAAAGUCAUAGUCUAAUGGCAGCUCAAUUUCUACUGCAUUCAUAUAAGCGGAGUUCAAAUCUCAUACCUCUUAUCUCCACACGAGAUUUAACCAGUUGAAAUAGCUAGCACCCACAAAUAUACUAGUACAGCAUCUCUUAACGUUUAACAUACGUAUAAUUAACGCCAUAGCUAUUGAUAAACACAUUGUUCAAUAUAUAUGAUCAAGAAUCUGAUCCUGCGAGCAACAGCAGUAAGAAGAACCAUUAUAAUGCCUAGCUCUUAUCCCGGUUAAUCCUCUGGCCCGAUGCUUCAUCAUAGUGAUUUAAAAAACAAACAACAGCUCUCUAAAAGAGAUGAAGAUAUCAUCUACGUAAAGAACAUGAAACGGAGAUUCACAACCCAUAAGAACUGAGAUAAAUUGGACCAGACCGGUAAUCUUGAGAUAAGUUAAACUGUGACCUAAGUUGAAAUCAGAGGACCAGAAUUUUAAAAUCUUUCGGCUAAGCCCCUGAGCAAUUUUCUAGAGUACGGCUUCUGCUUACCUCUGUUUAAUUUCUCUUUAUAUUUUUCUUUCAUUUCAUUAAUAAAGUCAAAUAAUAAAUCAAAGAACGAGGGAAGAUUUUUCCAAGUCAUGCAUUAUUUGAUUACCAUCAAUCAAGAAACCGACCAAAUUAAUUUCUCUCCGUGAUUUUUAAAAAUUAAAAAAAAAAUUAUUUGAACAUAACAUCAUUAAUUAUAGAGUGGAUCAAACUGCGUUAAUCAUGAAACUGAUACCUAUUAAGAGUCAAACUUUUUACUUAUGCAUACUAAAAGACAUCAAAUUGUUCCGAUCCCCAAUUAUUUGAUCAGCAACUAUCAAGAACUGACCAAAUUUAUUUCUUCAUGACUUCCAAACACUAGAAAAUUUUGUUAUUUGAUAAUAAUAUCAUUAAUUAGAGUUUAUCAAACCGCAUUAUUUUCUUUCAUAAAAUUGAUGCCUAUUAGUGUCACACUUUAUUUGUAUUACCUAGCGGACAUCAACUUUUUUUUUAAUUUUUUUAAAUUAAAAAGACCAUUUGAUUUUAACCCAUGUUCUUGGCCUUAGGGAAGCUGACUUCUUUUAUAGGUGAUAUCUGCUUGAACUUUGGUGUGUUAAUUAUUUCAAUCCCCAAUUAUGUAAUUUUUAAAUUAUAGCCUAACGGCGGUCUCAUCACCACGUGUGUGAUUUUCUUUUGCCAAUAGGAUCUGCAGAGAGCUUGAUCUCAUCCAAUAGCAAAAUAAACUUCCUAAUAAGUGAAGGUAUAGUAUAAAUAUUUCACCCCCAUAUUAUUUAUUAGCAGCUUGAUUAUUUUAUAUGCAUCUUUGAUUUUAAUUUUUUUUCCCAUAAUUGCUACUAUGUUCGAACUGGUCAUGAAUUAUCUAUAAGAUUUUUCAUGUUGCUUUUAGGUGCAUUGGAUUUUUUGAGUUUAGUGCAAGAGUAGAGGAAGGCAAAUUAAGAAAAAGGAUAAAGAUCUAUGAUUAGCUAUUUUGGGAUGUCUCAUAACAUAUUGAUGCUAACAUUAUACAUAUGUAUAUCUAAAUAAUGGGCUUGGAUCAAGAGCCCAUUAAUAAUCAUAGAUUAGCUUAUAUAGUUCAAAAAAUGUACCAUAAAGCAAUUUUACAAGCACUUGUUAGCCUAUGUUGAGCUUUAUUAUCAAUAGUUCAUAGUUCAUCAGUGCACUGCAAGUUUACUAUUUGAAGUAAAUGUUGUGGUGCGUGCAUUCUUCAUAAGGCCAACUAUUGAAUUUAGCAUUGAAACUUACAAAAUGUAAUAGAAAGAGGUAGAUAACAGCCAUAAAACACUAAGAUUGGAAAUCAGGGCAACUAAAUACUAUUACAAGCCCUUAGAAAAGACAGCGAUCAUCCUGAAAUAUAUAUACUGAAAGUAAGAAAUGUUAAUCGCAAAGUUAUGUGCCAACAGAACUAUUGACUACUUGUCUCUAGUAGAAAGUAAAUAUUUUUAACUUCAGCCCUCUACUUUGUUCUAAGAACAAGGCAAUAUAAGGAAACAUCGGUGUCUAAAAUUUGCCGCUUGGAAUAUUUCACUGUCUAAACAUUCACUCACCACUUAUUUCAUUAAUGAAUUUUGUCUAAUUAUAUGUUGAUAAAGAUAUUAGAGUAAUAUAAUACAUUUAAGGCUUAACUUAUAUUUUUUAUUAGUAGAGUGUAGAACUUUUAAGAAAUAAAUUAUUAAAUUACUAUAACUAACAUAUUAUUUUAAAGUUAUGUUAAGGAAAAGAAUGAAACAAAAAUAAAUAAAUAAAUAAGGGUAUUCUAAAACUUUGAUCUUUUUAAAAGUAGAUUUUGACAUAGAUAAAAUAAUUUUUAUAUUUUUUAAAUCACAUACUCUAGUUAAAAUCAAAUUUGUAUUUAUAAAGUUUGUAAAUUUUUUUUUUUUUUUAGCACUGAUAUUUGAACACUAUCAAGAUAAGAAAUAGGGCACUGGUCAUGCUACAACAUUAUUAUAGCACAUAAAAAGACAAUACCAUUUAUUUUAUUGUACUAUCAUUGUUGUUAUAAUAGUAUUUUGUUAGUGGUCAAAUAUUAUUUUUUUAAGUAAAAAAAGUGAACAAUGUAAAUUAACUUUUAAUCUCUCCUAAAAUUCUAAUUCCUAGUUACGAAACAAAAUUGUUUAAAACCAUAGGUGAUAGGUGAUAGAAGUUACUAACACAAGCAAAUUUGACGGUCCAUUUUAUAAAAUUUGUUAUUUACCAUUUUACCACCUAUAUAAGGAGUGCCGCAUCGACAUAUCAACUCAUUUGCAGAUUAUUUUAAUUUUGUAAAAUUCAUUUAACCUGCACUUGGUCGCCCCUAUUCUCUGAAUGGUUAUGGCGAUAUCAUCAUUAUCGUUACUUGUACCAACGCUAAACCCUUCUUAUUCCCUUUCUCGCCUGUCAUACCCUAACAUUAUAUCCCGUGUCCACACUAAAGACAAGUAGUCAAUUCAAGCCAUCAGAUUAUAGUGGACCCACAUCAAUCCAACUACUUACAAUGACCGACAGCCUCUCCAUCUCCAUUUCAGGUUUCCUCUUCAACUGGCUUCUGCUUCCGCUGUAUUUGCUCCAUUUCUUGGAUUCGGAGUCCGUAUUUGGUCGGUCGGUCCCGCACAGCUCCCUCUCACUCCAAUUGUCACCCAACAAGACCAAUUGCUUAAUCAAGGCACAGAACAAGAAGAGGAUGAGAAAUUGAAACAAGAAUUUGAGAAUUGGAAAUCGAAAACGUACGCAUUGACCGUGCCUUUGAGGGCAAUUACUUUUCUUGAGAAUUGAAGUUUGGUAAUGUAAUUUGUUCUCCAUCUGUGUUCCCUUUGUAGUCAUUUCAUUUAUUUGUUUGUUUGCUUUUAUUUGCACUUACGAAGUCUCAGGUAUACCUACGCAGGAAUGAUGCAGGAGAAAUUGAUCCUCGAGGUAACAUAUGGGCGGCGCCAUAUCGGUGGGGCACAGUGGUGAUAGCUUACAAGAAAAGUAAAUUUCGAAAGCAUAAUUUGGUUCCGAUUGAGGUAAUAAUUGUCUUUAAGCUCAUUUAGUUUUAUAUCAAACAAAAUCAAGACUGCCUUUCUCUUCAAUAGUUUUGAUGAUAAUAUCUUUAGAAGCAUCUCAUUGACAGGUAAUCGUGGUACCCCUUAAAGAGUCUAUAAACUCAAGGAUAUUAUCUUCUGCAAAUGGUUCAUUAAACUUCUUAGAUGUAGUUAAAUGUACACUGAGAACAACGAGAAGCUAUGCCACUGUAGCAUGUAGUGAUGGCACUUAAUGAGUGAGUUGCUAGGAUAUGAACUAGAAAAAUUAAAUAUUGUCUCCCUCUCCCUGGGUAUGCUAGCUCAUAAGUCAGGGUUAAUAUUAGAGCUUGAGAUACUAUAACCAUGAGAAGCUAUUGACCACCAGUUAAAAUAUCCAUUAAAAUGUCUAGGGAGUUAUGAAGGUGGAGGUAUCUCCCAAUUUCUAAGGCCAUAUAAUAGACAUCAUCCAGGAUCCUAUAGAGUGCAGUUAGCCUCCUGCUUGAUGCUAAUGUCAAACAAUUAAUAAAUUUGGUCAAUGUAACUGAAACUUGCUAAUUGACGUCAGAUUGCGACUUGAGCACCUUAAAAUGGGAUAGACGAUUAGUGGCACUGAAUUCUUCUUGCCUAAGAUUGAGCAAUUGUUUUAACUACUAUCUCCUAUUGUAGGUUGAUUAUUAUGUUUUAAUUAUGUCCAUUUUGACCCAAAAAAUUACACAAUCUUGAUCUGCAUUUUGUCACUGAGCAGUGUCAAUAUCGUCUAACAACUAACUUGAUUUUGAUAUGACAAACACACGGUGUGUCUCUCAUGUCUCACCCAUGUCUCACCAUGAUGGAGAAUUUUUCUAAUGCAUGAAGUAAGCUUUGAUAUGUGGGUUAGCUUGGAGAACAUAUCUCAAAAUGAAGAAGAUGGGGAGUUAAUGGGAAGAAACAGUCCAGUAGUUUAUAAUUCUGUCGACGAGCUGUAUCUCUAACAUGGUCAAAAUUUAUGUGAAUAAGGACAGGGAAUCGUCAUUCCUCUUUUCCUUUUUAUACCGGGAUAUCUCUCAACCUUUAUAUGUUGCCCGCUGGAGAUCUCCUUCUAAUAACUAAAAUAAAAAUUUCAUCCACUCAAAUAAAUGUUGACCAAGCUUUCACAAGAAAAAGUAACGUCUUUAGUGAAGUAAUUUACAGUUCCUUAUCAUCUUCGUGUGAGUCUAUCAGUAUGAUCCAAAAACAUAAUAAAUCUUGUUAGAUCCUGUUUAUUGAUGUUUAAAUGUUGUUCAUUGUGCAAUGUAGAAAUGAUGACGUGAAGUUUCUUUGGUCAUCAAUUAGUGAGAUCUUGUUUGAAGUUGUUUUCUGAAAUGAACUGCAAAAUGGUAGUUUUUUUUUUUUUCUUGGGUGCAUUUGAUGGCUCUUUUCUCCUCAUUUUAAGCAUGUGUCUGCUUGAAAUGGGAAGGAAUAGGCUUCAGAGUUGUUAUAUAUGUUGAUAUGCUCUGGUCAUUACACAAUAUGUUCAAAUUGGAAAUUAGAAUGAGAUAUUUGUUGAUGCUUUUUGAGAGAUCUGCAUUCUAUGCACCAUAACAUGAUUAAUGAAAACGGGUUUAAGGACUGGAAAGAUCUGUGGCAGCCCAAGCUUGCAGGAAGGAUUUCAAUGGUUAAUUCUCCUAGAGAGGUUAUUGGUACAGUUUUGAAGUAUAUGGGAGUAUCAUACAAUUCAAACGACAUUGGGAGGAUUGCUGUUCAGCAGAAUCUGGCAUUACUGGGAAACCAGGUACUCUUAAAGAAACGAUAUCUGGUCAAUGCAUAUUAUUGGGUGACGGCUGAUUUUGUUUGUAAAGUGUGCCUUUUCAUACCUAUGAAUGCAUAUGUUAGUGUUGUGUUCUCCUUUCCAUAAAUAUGAAUGCAUAUGUUGGUGUUCUUUUCUGAGAUGGAUGCAAUAAAGGCUUUUUCUUCUAAAUUUAGUUGAAGAAAUGGCAAGGAAUGUGAGAUUCUAUCUCAUUAAAUUAACAAAAACCCAAAACAGUGAAAACCCAUAUUAUGUGGAUGAAUUGGCGACAUUUGGCUUGUUUCCUGAACGUGAAUUAGCAAGCAAUAGAGACUAAAAAAAUGGAGUGAUAAUAACAAGUCAUUGUCAUUUGAUGAAUGCAUUUUUAAGCAAAAAUAGGUUUGUAACUGAAUAAAUUUGUCUGGCAUGCCAAUAUCAAAAAAUUAAAUUAUGUGGUUAUGAGCUGUAAUGAAGGGGGAUUGUAGGUGCAAUCAGAUCGAUCCAAGAAAGUUCAACAAAGUUCUGGUUUGGUGUAGUGAAAUUGGUUUGUGCAACUUGAGUCUUUCAGAUGAACAAUGACGAGUUUUCAUUUAAAAAUGUUAUAAAUCUGCCAUGCAUAGUAUUCUAGUAGAAUCAUCUAUAAAUUCAAGUUAUUGAAAUUGUCUAUUUGUCCAGUUUGAGUUAAGGACGCAUGUAAUAUGAAAAAUUGUUGUCGAAUAUUGUAGGUUAGCUAAUAUUUGAUCAAUCCUAUAGGGAGGGCUUUAAGAUGUCUAACAACAUGUAGAAUGCCCCUGCUUCCCCCACAAUUUUUAUCUUAUACAAUUUUUAUCUAUAAACAGUAUUUGCCAGACCUUAACCGUUCAGAUUCCCCUUCUCGACUAUCAUACCCUACGCCCCAUCUCCGUGUCUCCGAUAAACAGUGCUCAAUUAAGGCCAUCAGAUUAUCCCGGUCCCGCAUUGAUCAACGGCUCACAAUGGCCGACAACCUCUCUGUCUCCAUUACAAGCUCCCUCUUCAACUCGCUUCUGCUUCCACCUACUCUUUCUCGGAUUCGGAGCCCGUAUAUGCUCAGCUGGUCCCACAAAGCUCCCUCUCACUCCAGCUGUCAACCGACAAGACCAAUUGCCUUAUCAAGACACAGAACAAAAAGAGGAUGAGAAAUUGAAACAAGAAUUUGAGAAUUGGAAAUCGAAAACGUACGCAUUGACUGUACCUUUGAGAGUUGUUUCUCUUCAGAAUUCAGUGCCUCAAUCUUGGGUUAAGGAUUUUAUGCGAAGUCAAGGAAAGUGAUUGAAGUUUCAGAUGAAUUUGUGUGCUAGCAUUGGUGGGAUCUUUAACAAUUUAUCUCUGCCCUUUAACAAAGUCAAGGCUAAUUCAGCUACUUAUAUGGCUGCUGAUUUGGUUAGUGUUGGUGAUUCAUGGCUUAGUUUUGCCAUUAAAGAGAGAUUGAUUGAGCCAACGGCUGGAGCUGAAGACCAAGAUUGGUUCAAAUGCUUAAGUCACAAAUGGAAGGUAACAUCUUUAUCUUUGACCCGAUAAUUUUUAUUGUCUUACAUUGAAAUUUGGUAAUGUAAUUUGUUCUCUAUCUGUAUUACCCUUUUUAGUCGUUUUAUUUAUUUGUUUAUUUGCUUUUAUUUGCACUAACGAAGUCUCAGGUAUAUCUACGCAGGAAUGAUGCAGGAGAAAUUGAUCCUCGAUGUGAAAUAUGGGCGGCACCAUACAGGUGGGGCACAAUGGUGAUAGCCUACCAGAAAAGUAAAUUUCGAAAGCAUAAUUUGGCUCUGAUUGAGGUAAUAAUUGUCUUUAAAAUCAUUUAGUUUUAGAUCAAACAAAAUCAAGACUGCCUUUCUCUUCAAUAUUUUUAUGAUAAUAUCUUUAGAAGCAUCUUAUUGAUGGGUAAUAAUUGUAUCCCUGAGACAGUCUAUAAACUCAAUGAUAUUAUCUUCUACAAAUGGCUCAUUAAACUUUGUCGUUGUAGUCAAAUGUACACUCAGAGCAAUGACAAGCUAUGCCACUGUAGCAUGUAGUGAUGGCACUUAAUAAGUGAGUUGCUAGGAUGUGAACUAGAAAAAUUAAAUAUUGUCUCCCUGGGUAUGCUAGCUCAUAAGUCAGGGUUAAUAUUAGAACUCAAGAUACUAUAACCAUGAGAAGCUACUGACUGCCAAUUAAAAUAUUCUUUAAAAUGUCUAGGAAGUUAUGAAGGUGGAAGUAUCUUCCGAUUUCUAAGGCCACAUGGUAGAUAUCAUCCAGGAUCCUAGUACAGUGCAGUUAACCUCCUGCUUGAUGCAAUUAAUAAGUUUGGUCAAUGCCACUGAAACAUGCUAACUGACGUCACAAUGCGACAUGAGCACUUCAAAAUGGGACAGACGGUCGGUAGCACUAAAUUUUUCUUGCCUAAGAUUGAGCAAUUGGUCUAACUACUAACCCCUUUUGUAGGUUGAUCAUUAUUUUUUCAUAUUUUCAGUUUGACGGAAAACGUUACAGAAUCUUGAUCUGAAUAUUGUCACUGAACAUUGUCAAUGUCGUUUAGCGUAGCCAAUUAACUUGAGUUUGGUAAAACAAAUACACAGUGUGUCUCAUGUCUCACAAUUCAAAUUAUCAUUUGUAAUGAUGGAGAAUUUUUCCAAUGUAUGAAGUAUGCUUUGAUACGUGGGUUACCUUGGAGAAGGUAUCUCAAAAUAAAGAAUAUGGGGAGAAAACAGUUCAGUAGUUUAUUAUUAUGUAGUCAAGUUUUGUCUCAAAAAUGGUCCAAAUUUAAAUGAAUAAGGACAGGGGAUCUUCAUUCUUUUUUCCCUUUUUUAUACCGAGAUAUCUCUCAACCUUUAUUUAAUCCCCACUGGAUAUCUGCUUCUAAUAAUUAAAAUAAAAAUUUCACCCACACAAAUAAAUACUGACCAAGCUCUAACAAUAAAAAGUAACAUCUUUAGUCAAGUGAUUUACAGUUCCUCAUCAUCUUAGUGAGACUAUCAGUAUGUUCCAAAAACAUAAUAAAACUGGUUUGUUCCUGUUUAUUGAUGUUUAAAUGUUGUUCAUUGUGACAUGUAGAAAUGAUGAGGCGAAGUUUAUUUGGUCAUCAAUUUGUAAGAUCUUGUUUGAAGUUGUUUUCUGAAAUGAACUGCCAAAUGGUGGUUUUUUUGGGGCAUUUGAUGGCUCUUUUUUCCUCAUUUUAAACAUGUGCCUGCUUGGAACAGGAAGGAUUAGGCUGCAGAGUUGUUAUAUAUUUUGACAUGCUCUGGUCAUUGCACAAUUUGUUCACACUGGAAAAUAUAAUGAGAAAUUUGUUUCAUUCUAUGCACAAUAACAUGAUUAAUGAAAAUGGAUUGUAGGACUGGAAAGAUCUGUGGCAGCCUGAGCUCGCAGGACGAAUUUCAAUGGUUAAUUCUCCCUGAGAGGUUAUUGGUUUAGUUUUGAAGUAUAUGGGAGCAUCAUUCAAUUCAAACGAUAUUGAUUCGCAAGUUGCUGGUGGGAAGAUAGCUGUUCAGCAGAAUCUGGCAUUACUGGCAAACCAGGUACUCUCAAAGAAAUGAUAUCUGGUCAUCGCAUGUUAUUGCCUGACAACUGAUUUUGUUUGUAAAAGUCUGCUACUUCAUACAUAUGAAUGCAUAUGUUAUUGUUUUCUUCUCCUUUUCAUACAUAUGAAUGCAUAUGUUGCUUCUUUUCCUUUCCAUACAUAUUAAUACAUAUGUUGGUGUUCUCUCCUGAGAUGGAUGCAAUAAAGGCUUUUCUGAAGAAAUGGCAAGGGAUGUGAGAUUCUGUCUCAUAAAAUUAACAAAAACCCAAAAACAAUGAAAACCCAUAAUAAUGUGGUGUGGGUAAAUUGACGCCAUUUGGUUCGUUUCCUUGAUGUGAAUACGCGGGCAAUAGAGACUAACAAAAUGAAGUGACAACAAGAAGUCAGUGUCCUUUGAUGGAUGCAUUUUUAGGCAGAAAUAGGUUUGUAAUUGACCAAAUUUGUCUAGCAUGCCAAUUUCAAAAAAAUUAAAUUAUGUGGUUAUUAGCUGUAAUGAAGGGGGAUAGUAGGUCCAAUCAGGUGGAUCCAGGAAAGUUCAACAAAGUUCUGGUAUGGCGUAGAAAUUGGUUUGUGCAACUCAAGAGUCUUUCUGGUGAACGAUGAUGGGUUUUGAUUUAUAAAUGUUAUAAAUCUACUGUGCAUAGUAUUCUAGUAGAAUCAUCUAUAAGUUCUAGUUAUUGAAAUUGUCUACCUUGUUCAGUUUUAGUUAAGGGCACAUGUAAUAUGAAAAAUAGUUGUUGCAUCUUUUAGGUUUACCUAACAUUUGAUCAAUCCUAUUAUGAGGGCUUCAAGAUGUCUAACAAUAUGUGGAAUGCCCAUGCUCCUCCCCAUUGUUUAUCUUUAUAUAAUAAUUUGUUUUAGAUGCUAAUAUCUUUGUCGAUACCGGUAACAAUAUUAGAAUAUCUGCGUUUAUUGGGUUUUACAUAGGUUCGACUGUUUGACAGUACACACUAUCUGAAGGCAUUUGGAAUUGGAGAUGUAUGGAUUGCUGUUGGGUGGAGUAGUGAUGUUCUUCCUGCUGUCAAACGUAUGUCUAAUGUUGCAGUUGUUGUUCCCAAGUCUGGUGCUAGCUUAUGGGCUGAUCUUUGGGUAUACCCAUGCCUGCCAUUCUACUUCAAUAUUCACAUUGUUAUCUCCUUCAUAUUAGUGAUCAGUAAACAUGAUAAUGUGACUAAUAAGUUCGUAUUCUCUUUAUAGGCAAUCCCUGCUGCCUCAAGACUUGAAACAAAACAAAUUGGACGGUGAGUCAGAGGUGCAUUUCCAUUAAUCCAUCAAUGGAUAGAAUUCUGCUUGCAAACAGCGAGAGCAUUGCCUUUCAAGCAAGAGGUUAUCCCGAGCGCAUCUCCCUCUGCCCUUGAGAGUACUCUGGUUAAGUUGCCUGAAGAACUUUUUAAGGGUAAACCAAGUCUGGAUACUAACUUAAUUGCUGGAGUACCCGACUGAAAUUAUGGCCAGAUGUGAGUUUUUGGAGCCAUUAUCUGAAGCUACAUUGUCGGAUUAUGAGUGGCUGGUUGCUAAUCUGCAAAAAUCCACUCCUGUACUGAUCAACAAGAUGCAACAUUACAUGUCAUCAUUGAUCUUUAGCUAAAGGUACAUUGAAUAUUGAAGUAGGUCAGAGCAUAACUUCAUUAGGAAAAGAGGCUUCAGCUACGUUAAAUAUUACAGGAUGUACUGAGAUGGCUGAAGUUGUUGAGGUUUUACGAGAAACGAAAGAUAGUGUUUGUUUGAACAAAGUUGUUGCCAAUCUUGCAGAGUUCGAGAAGAAAGAUCACGAAGCGAAUGCCACCGAUUUAUUCAUCAUUGUAGCCUCCAUAGUUGAAGUUUCCUCAUUUGAAGCUGUUUAUGCAUAUGCUUUUUCCCUUCUCAAGUACAGGAAAUUGAAGAAUUAACCAGAUGUGAUGUGCUGAAAGAGGGAAGUUUUCUUCCUUGAAUGUGGCGAAGAACCCUAUCAAGGUAGAUGGCGAAGAACCCUAUCAAGGUAGAUUUUAUGAUGUUAACAUAUUAUUAAGCAUUUUGUUACAUCAGCAAUGAUGCUUUCAUAGCAGCAUGAAAGUGUUUAAAUUUAACUGAAUGAUCUUGACUGAUCAAUUAUGAGUUUUAAUCGAGUAAAAACUAAAUACAAUAAUCGUUAACAAAUAUUGAAAUUGGGUAAAUAAGAUCUUGAUAGUGAAGAAUUUGAAAUCACAACCCACACAGGAAAUCACCCUUCGCGUGGGGAUGGAGAUGUUUACUGCAGCGAUAUUGAAUAUGUCCACUGCUCUUUGGGUUAUGAUGCGACUUGCCCUGAAACAAUGGAAAAGAUUAACAUACCCUCCAAUGAAUGAAAACGGGUGGACUAAUUCUGAUUACCUAAUUGACUCAGGAUCGGCUGGUAAUAAUAACAGUUUAUUAACAAUGCACAGUCCGAGUACUUUUCCAGGAUCAGAUACGACGUGGUCUAAUGUUGAUAAUAAUAGAUUAUCAAAUGACAAAUCGUUGUUCUACUAUUGCAAGCCCCCAAAUUUAAGAAUCUUUUUCAGAAAUUAAAUACGUUCUGAGAGAUGCUGGUCUACUAUUGCAACUUGCCAGCCCCCAGAUUUAAGAAUCUUUUGAUGGUAAUUUAUCACCUGUAACUGUGCCGGAAGAUUCAACUAGCACUGAAAAAGAUGAUAAAUUAAUUGAUAUGGAGAGUUUCCAUAUCACUUUUAAAUCAUCUUAUGUAAUUGUGAUGUUAGGAAGCAUUAUUGAUCUGUAUGUGAAUUAUUAUUGGCGCCAUUGGUGGUUUUAUCUUGUUAAAAUAUGGAUGAAUUCCAGUUACUAUUUUGUUGCAGACAAUCUUCUUCAAUUAACAUAUAGUUUAAAAUCAUUAUGUAAAUCAAUCUAUUAAUUUUUAUGAUAUUUAACUGAGUUAAAACUAAGUGCACUCAAUAAAUCUCUUUUCCUUUAAAAAACGGUUACGCUUUGAUUUUAGUGCUUAAUAUUUAUUGAACUCCAAUACAGGGAAUUUGAAAUCAAACUCGUAACUACAUAUUAUCUAAUUGCAAGUUUCUGUCCAUAGCUGCUGAUUUGUAGUGAUUAUCUAAUUGACUGAGGUGACGACAAUUUUUUUUUUUAAUUUUCAAUAGCACAUUGUGGAAUUCAAUAAUUAAAUUCUCCUUUUUAAUUUGUUUCCAGUUAAAUUAUUAAUUACUUAAACUCUGUUUUAAGUCUUUAUGUUUAUGUGUUUAUGCAGAAUUGGAUUCUUGAGCGUGUUGGACACGACCAACAAUGAAAUUGACAGUAAAGAAACAUUACAACGUGUGGACUCCGGUAGAUGCCAUACAAGUCUACAACUUUACAAAUAAUAAUUGAGUAAGCAACUUUGAUUCUCGGGGCCCUUCAAUGAAUUUCUAGCCCCGUUGACUCCGCCAACUAAAGUUUUGUAAAAUAAAAAAAUACAUAGAAUUCCACCAAAUGCAAAACGCGUGGAAUUUAAUUUUCGGCCAUGUGGACCAAAACAUAAUUUAAUGAAAAAGGAAAAAAAUGAUAAGAUUUCUAAAAUAUGUGAAAGAUGAUCCAUAUGUUACUGAAACGACUUAUUAAAUUUUUCAAAAAUUUAGAAUAUUUAGUCAUAAAUUACGUGCAUGUUAAUUUUUCCGCCAUUGACUAUCAUAUUCUAAACUUAAUAGUACCUUUCUUGUUGAAGGGUACUUAGUCUCUCUUCUCCUCUUAUAAAAAUUAUAUUGAUGAAUUUCUUAUUAUAGUUAAUAGUCUUUAAGAACGGAUAACUUUAUUGUUUUCGUGACCAAAUUAUGUCUGCCUAAGGUUGUGACUAUUAAUAAAAUUAAUAUUUAAUGUUUAUGUUAAAAGAUAUAAGAUUUUAUGCGUUCAUUAAUUGUUAUUAGCUAAAGGAUGAAUUAUUUUUUCAACCCAAUCAGUUGAUGCAUCUGCAAGAAUUUUUUCUUUUAUUGACCCUAAUUAUGUUCCGGGUACAAUAAAUUGUCUUUGGUGCUUGGAAAAUAUGACUUCUUACUUCAAGUUUGAUAUGUCUCUCUCCAUAAACUUACUGGAAAUAUAUCCUCAUCUAUUAUCAUUUAUCUAAUAUCAAUUGAAGAUCGCACUUUUUCAAACUAUCACUUCCAAGUCUCAUUGUCACUUGGCCAUUCUUGGACCAUUCAGAACCAAUCAAGUGUUGAAAUAAUCAAAUAUAUGCAAAAUUAGAGUCACAAUUUUUGGUCCCCCAAAUUCUAAUUAUAUAACUUCUAUAUAUUUCAUUGCCAGGUCACGAACUUGUUGGCACAUUUUCCAAAUUCCUCUUCCAUCAGCUCUCACACGUUAACUUAAGUGGAAAGUUUCCAAGUUGAUUGCUAGAAAGCAACGCAAAAUCAGACACACUUGAUCUGUCCCCUAAUUCUCUUUUCUACGUUGAAAAAGAAAAAAAAAAAAUAUAUAUAUAUAUAUAUAUGUAAAAAUAAAUAAUAAACUGAGUAAAAAUACAUUUAUUUAAUUAACAUCUGAUCGGGGCAUUUUUGGUGUAAGCCACAACUAAAAUCAAACAGCCCCUUAGCAUACUUCUUCCAUUUUAUCUGCUACUUUUGUGGAUCUUAUAGGGUGGGCAUGUGGACAGAAUUUAAAAGUUUUAAUAGUCUCAAAGAAUAAGAUGUGUUAAAUCUAAAGUUGUUGCACCUUCUGAUUACCUUCUGAUUAAAUAAAGUUGCACAAUUUUACCAACUUGAAAGAAUUGACAUUAAUGAACUGGUCGCCUCUCCAUAUAUGAAGCCUUCUUAAAAGUUCAUUUUUAUUUCAGAAAAAAAAAGUUUAAGUUACAUAUAUUAUAGUAAGAUUUUUUUUCUUGAAAUAAUAAUGGAAAAGUAUUAAUUUAAAAAUAAAUUGAAUAUGUAUUGAUUAUAUCUUGAUUUUCAUCGAUUAUAGUGAGAGUUUCUCCAAAUCAAUUCCCUUAUUCAAAUAAUACCGAAAAAAUAGUAUUUUAAUAGUAAAAUAAACAGGUGUUGAUUAUAUAUUCUAAGGUUCAUCGAUUAUGUGAUCAAAGUGGCAUUGUUGAUUUAUUUCUUGUUCAAUGUUAAUUUUUAGGUUAUCUAAAUUUCAAGAAUUUAAAAUCUUUGAUCAUGGAUUACACGCUUAUUAAUUUUUCUGCCAUUGACUAUCAUAUUCUAGACUUAAUGAUACUUUUCUUGAUCAAGGGUAAUUACUCUCUCUUCUCCUCUUAUAAAUUCCUCUUCCAUUAACAUCACUAAGAGUAUGUUGAUCUCUCAUACGUUAACUUGAGUGGAGAGUUUCCAAAUUGAUUGUUACAAAACAACAAAAGAACUAGCCACACUUGAUCUGUCUAAUAAUUCUCUUUCGGUAAAAUUAAUUAAUUUUAGGAAAAUAUUCUGCCAACCUCUGUAAAUUCAGAGUGAUCAUUAAUUAAUUAAACGAUACAAAUAUCUAAAGUGAUUAGAUGUUUGCCGACAAUACAACCUUUGUGGCGAUAAUCGAACAAGUUCCCAUGAUUAUUAUUUUUCCAAAAACUUUUUUACAACAAAUUCAUCUCGCCAAAAAUUCUAUGUUGCUAACUAACAAUAAUUGAGCACUUGGCCGCAUUGACUCCACGUCUCCACCUCUUUCUAAAAACAUGGAAAUGUAAUUUCCACAAAAUGUCAAACGUGUGGAAUUUAAUUUUUUGCCUUGUGGAUCAAAAUACAAAUGAAAGAAACAGGAGAAAAAAAAGGCCCAAAGACUUCUAAAAGAUGAAGAAGUCUUUGGGCCUUCUUAUAAUGGUGAAUUUUUUAAAAGAAAAAAAUAACAACAUUUUUAUGGUUUGUUUUGAUAAUCAUAUUUACAAAUACUCUAAUUCUCAAAAUGGACACAUAAAUCUUUUUUUUUUUACAAAUAUAUAUUAUUCAUAUUUUUAUUUUUUAUUAUCAUAUUUUUAUUUAUUAUAAAUGUUUAGAGUAAAUUUUUAGGUUGAAAUAUAAUAAAAAGGUAUAAUCGUUCUCUUAUUAAACACACAUACUUUUAUUAGUUUCUAUCCAUUUGUCAUCUCAAUCUCUCUCAAUUAUUCUUUAUUGCGAGCUCAAAACGCGUUGUUGUUGCAAAUUAUAGCAAAAUGACAAAUAUGGAAAAAAAUGGAAGAAAAUUAAUGCAUGAAAGACUUGGAGAAAACAACAAAAUAAGCCAACUAUGAGCUAGUUGGGUGUAUAAAUUGUUAGAUGUGUUAUAUACAAAUAGCGUAGAGCCCUCUAGUUGGUUCCAGAGACAGAAAGAGCGUGUGUGUUUUUUCACAGUUAGAGAUAUAGUUAGAAUGGGUGGUUCAAAAUCAAAAAUGAUGAUAAUGUUUAUUAUGUUAUUAAUAAUAUUUAAAAGUAGGUGGAGUGAGGGAUGUUUGGAUCACGAGAGAUUUGCUCUUUUGCGAUUCAAACAUUUCUUCAAUGAUCGUCUUAAUUAUCUUUACGACUGGGUAGAUGGUGAGGGAGCUACUGAUUGUUGUCAGUGGGAAAGGGUUGAGUGCAGCAACACCACAGGCCGAGUGAUAGCGCUAGACCUUAUUGAUACGUAUGGGGGAGAGCACAGCUGGUAUCUGAAUGCUUCUUUGUUUACUCCUUUCCAACAACUUGAGUCACUUGAUUUACAUGGCAACAACAUAGCCGGUUUUGUUGAGAAUGAAGGUGCUUCAUUUAAUUUAAUUAAUUUACUUUCUCCCCCCUAAUUUAAGUUGAAUAUCAAGACCGAGCAAUGAUACGCAUAUUCAUUUAGUCGACAAUUUUGACUUUUUUUAAAUGAUUAAUUUUGAAAUUACACCAGUAUCUAUGAUUAUUUUUUUUAUUUUAUUUGCAGGCAUAGAGAGGCUAUCAAGAUUAAACAACUUGAAGGUGCUUGAUUUAAGUGAAAACUCGUUCAACAAUAGCAUCUUAUCAUCUCUAACUCGUCUUUCAUCAUUAAGAUCAUUAAAUUUAUAUGGGAAUAGAUUGGAAGGAAGUAUUGACGUUAAAGGUACAUAAUUAAAACUUCAUCCCUUCUCCAAGCUCUUUCAUUAACUUGCUAAAAUAAGAUUCAAGGCUUUGAAUUCAAUUUUUUUUAUGAUUAGUAUUAAAAAAAAAAACAGUUUUAAGCAAUUUAUAAAUACAAGUUUUAAUGUUUCUCAUAAUUUCAUCUUGUACUUUCAUGUGUCUUGAAUUUAAGAUUAAAAAAAAAUCUAAUAGCAAACCAAACACCUCCACAACUUAUUGUUAUUAUUAUUAUUAUUUGUGGUGAGGUUUGAAACAUUCAACUCAAUUUGUACUUAUUACAGAAUUUGAUUCUUUGAGAGAUUUAGAGGAGCUAGACAUUGGCAGGAACAAGAUUGACAAAUUUGUGGUCUCAAAAGGUACUACAAAUACCAUAAAAAAAAUGCUAACUUUUACAAAUUAGCUGGAUUCUUUGCCAUUUGGUUUAUUAUUUUACAGAUUUGAGUAAGUUGAAGUCUCUUGGUUUAAGUGGUGUCAAACUCAACCGUAGCAUCUUAUCUUCUCUGACUGUCUUUUAUUCGUUAAGAGAAUUAGAUAUAAGUGAAACCGGAUUCAAAGGAACAUUCGAUGUUCGAGGUAAGCCUAAACCCUGCUUUCUCAUUUUAUAUAUGCCAACUAGAUUUGUGUAUCAUCGACAUAAUUUAAUAUUUAAUUUGAUUAGUCUGAAGGAAUUACAUGCUAAUUUAAACAUACUUUUAUUUACUCUGUCAAUCAAUUAAUUAAUUAAUUACUAUUUGGCUUGGUUUGGACGAAAUUCUCAUGAUGUUUUAAUUUCUUUAAAUUGAUUAAUUAAUUAACUCUGUUUUUAAGUCUUAAGUCUGGGCAUGUUUACAGAUUUUGAUUCCUUCAAUAACUUAGAAGUGUUGGACAUGAGUGGCAAUGAAAUCGACAAUCUUGUGGUUCCUCAAGGUAAACAAUUAAAAUAUUAUUCAAUUACAUUAUUUUAAUUCAUUUGAUUAGGGAAGGCCAAACAGGUCCCAAAAAAUAAUAAUAAUAAAGAAACAGAUAAUUUGUAUUAAUUAAAAAACAAAAUGUAAUAAAGAUUUGAUUCCAGUUCUUUAAUCUUUAAAGCGAUUGAAAAACAAUGUUGCUCUUUUCCCAAAGCAUAAAAUACAAAUUGAAUGGCAAUUAACUUAAUCAUUCAUUUCGUUUAGCUCUAAAUUUAGACAAUGAAUUUUUAUAUUAUUUCAAAAACAGGACGUAAUAGAAUUUUUUAAAAAACAGAAUGUAAUAAAGAUUUGAUUCCAAUUCUUUAAUCUUUACAGUGAUUGAAAAACGAUACCAAUUAAAUUAAUCAUUUAUUUCGUUUAGGUCUAAAUUUAGAAAAAUGAAUUUUGAUUAUCUUCAAUCUUUUCUUAAUUAUUAUUAAUAAACAGGUUACAGAGGUUUGAGGGCUGAAAAGCCUUGAUCAUUCCCAUCCCUCAACACUCUUUACCUUUGGGAUAAUAAUUUUACAGAAACAGUGACUAGGCUAGCUAAGUGAAAAGGUACAGAUGUGGCCAAAUUUAUAAAUAAAUUGUUAAUUAAUUAAUUUUUCCGUAUUAUUAAUAAAGCGAAAUUCGUUGCUCCUUCCUUCUAAAUCUAAACAGAGUUGCACAAUUUCACCAACUUGGAAUAUUUGUCAUUGGACGAUUCCUCUCUCAAUUUAAGCCUUCUGCGAAGCAUUGCAUCAUUAUUCCCUUCAUCAUUAUUCCCUUCAUUAAAAAAUCUUUUUCUUCAUUAAAAAGAAAAGCGUUGAUUGUGAACUCACUCAAUGGUUUCCUACGUGUUCAACAUGUUUGUUUAUUUAUUUUAUUGUUUAAUGUUUCUGCUAGGUUUUCCUCAUUUCAAGAGUUUGGAACAUUUGGACAUGAUGUCCACGCGCAUUGCACUCAACACCAGCUUUCUUCAAAUCAUCGGUGAAUCGAUGCCUUCUCUUAAGUACUUAUCGCUGUCAGAUUCUAACAGCAGCAGGAUUCUUGAUCGAGGUUAAUCAGAUGCUCCCACCCUCCCUUCUUAAUCUAUAAUAUUAAUUUUCAAUUCAAUAUUCAAUUACACAAACCAAUCACUUAUUAUAAAUGAAUAAUACGCAUUCAUUAAUUUUUAUAUUGUAUUAAUAAUUGAUGAAUUUAAUAAAUUUUCAGGCCUCUGUUCGUUGGUGCAUCUACAAGAGUUGUACAUUGAUAAUAAUGAUUUAAGAGGUAGCUUGCCUUGGUGCUUGGCAAAUAUGACAUCCCUCCGAAUAUUAGAUGUUUCUUCCAAUCAACUUACGGGAAGCAUCUCCUCAUCUCCCCUCGUUCAUUUGACAUCCAUUGAAGAGUUGAUGCUUUCAAACAAUCACUUCCAGAUCCCAAUUUCACUUGAACCAUUUUUCAAUCACUCAAGACUUAAGUUUUUCUAUGCUGAAAAUAACCAAAUAAAUGCAGAAAUAACUCAGUCACAUUCUUUGAUCCCCCCAAAAUUCCAAUUAUCACGUCUCUCAUUGUCUUCCGGUUAUGAAGAUGGCGUCACAUUCCCCAAAUUCCUUUACCAUCAACAUGACCUGGAGUAUGUUGAUCUCUCACACAUAAAGAUGAAUGGAGAAUUUCCAACUUGGUUGUUGGAAAACAACACAAAGUUGAUACAACUUUCUGUCGUCAAUGAUUCUCUUGCAGGACCUUUUCGGUUGCCAAUUCAUUCACACAAGCAGUUAAGACUGUUGGAUAUAUCCACCAACAACUUCCGAGGCCACAUUCCAGUAGAAAUUGGAGAUGUUUUACCAAGUUUAUACGUUUUCAACAAUUCCAUGAAUGCUUUAGAUGGUAGCAUUCCCUCUUCAUUUGGUAAUAUGAAAUUCCUCCAAAUUCUAGACUUAUCCAACAAUCACUUGACUGGUGAAAUCCCCGAGCACUUGGCCGUCGGUUGCGUCAACUUGGAGUCUCUUGCAUUAUCAAACAACAACUUAGAAGGUCAUAUGUUCUCCAGAAACUUCAACCUGGCAAACUUGAAAUUGUUACAAUUGGAAGGCAAUCGCUUCGUAGGAGAGAUCCCACAAAGUUUGUCUAAAUGCUCUUCACUAGAAGGAUUGCAUCUUAAUAAUAAUAGUCUCUCGGGUAAGAUUCCACGAUGGUUGGGUAAUCUCACAUGGUUACAAUAUAUUAUAAUGCCCAAUAAUCAUCUUGAAGGCCUUAUUCCAGUGGAGUUUUGUCAGCUUGAUUCGCUUCAGAUUUUGGACAUUUCAGACAACAACAUAUCUGGAAGUUUACCAGCUUGUUUCCAUCCUCUCUCUAUCAAACAAGUUCAUCUUUCAAAAAAUAUGUUACAUGGACAGCUAAAAAGAGGUACAUUCUUUAAUUGCUCUUCCCUUGUGACAUUAGAUCUUAGCUAUAACCGCUUGAAUGGCAGCAUUCCGGAUUGGGUUGAUGGACUUUCUCAGUUAAGCCACCUUAUCUUAGGUCACAAUAAUCUUGAAGGUGAAGUGCCAGUUCAAUUGUGCGAAUUGAACCAACUACAAUUGUUAGAUCUUUCUAAUAAUAAUCUUCACGGUCCUAUUCCUCCUUGCUUUGAUAACACCACACUUCAUGAAAGUUACAGCAAUAGUUCUAGUCCUGAUGAGCAAUUUGAAAUAUUUUUUUUCAUCGAAGGCCCUCUGGGAGAUUUAAAAGAGCAAAUCCAUGAAAUUUUUGAGUUCACAACAAAGAACAUUGCGUACAUUUACCAAGGAAAAGUGCUUAGCCUCCUAUCAGGACUUGAUCUUUCUUGCAACAAGCUAAUCGGUGAUAUUCCUCCUCAAAUUGGAAAUUUGACAAGGAUUCAAACAUUGAAUCUAUCACACAACAACUUGACAGGAUUGAUCCCAUCAACAUUUUCAAACUUGAAGCAUAUCGAAAGUUUGGAUCUUUCCUACAAUAAAUUGAAUGGGAAAAUCCCUCAUCAACUUGUGGAGUUAAAGGCAUUGGAGGUUUUCAGUGUGGCAUACAAUAACUUAUCAGGCGAAAUUCCAGAAUGGGAAGCACAAUUUGCAACCUUCAACGAGAAUAGCUAUGAGGGAAAUACUUUUCUUUGUGGACUGCCAUUGCCCAUUUGCAGAUCACCAGCAACUACGCCGGAGGGUUCAAUCGGCAAUGAACGAGAUGAUAAUUUAAUUGACAUGGACAGUUUCUUUAUCACAUUUACAACAUCGUACGUAAUUGUGAUAUUCGGAAUUGUUAUUGUUUUAUAUGUAAAUUCUUAUUGGCGACGUAAAUGGUUUUACUUUGUUGAAAUGUGGAUAACUUCAUGUUAUUAUUUUAUUGUAGACAAUCUUAUUACAACAAGAUAUUGUCAUUGAAAUUAAUUAGCAGUUUAAUUACGAUUCUUUAAGUUCUAAUCAAGUUUGCACUUGAUCGCCUAUUUUACUUUAAAAAAUAAUGAUUAUGGUGCUAUCAUCAUCUUCUUCACUAGCAACAUUAACACCAAAUCCAGCGAUGGACCCAGACAUUUUAUCAAGAUAUAUAUAAUAAAGUUGAAGCUUGACAAAAAAUUUAGGAAGAUUAAUGCCUCGCCACAACAAGGGGCACAACAACAUCAAAGCAGAGAUGAAGCAAUAUUCUCAAAGCUAAAACUCUCCAAUCCACCCACCAGAAUUUCAUAUCUCCUCAACAAUUUUAAGAACUAAAGAUAAUUAGGAUAUAACAUUAGUUUUUUAUAUAUUAGUUUCAUAAUUUACAAAUCAAUGAAGAUGAAGAUUAUGUUAAUGAAUUCAAAUUAUACCAUACAUUCUCGAGAUGCUACCAAAAAUUUCUAAGUCAAUCCCACAUAUUUCAUAAUUUUAAGACUAGAAAAUUUCAUUAGGUAGAAGUUUCAUUACCUUCAAGUGGAAGAUGAAGAACAUUAUACAAUUGAUUCAGAUUAUAUCAUACAUACUCCAAAUGCAACUAGAAAUUAACAAGUUCAUGCGCACAGAUUUCAUAACAUUAUGAAUGGAAAGUUUCACAAAGAGAAAUUAUAAAUUCAAUCUCUUGCAUCAAGGUAGUUUGAUUGAUUUGAGUUACUUUCUGAUCAAGCUAUUAAUAUAACAUUCAAGUCAGGGAGAAAGUAAAUUAAAACUGGGAAGAAAUAACAGUAAAAAUUUGUUGCUAAACAUGAUGUGUAUUUUUUUUUUAAGGCAAUUUGGAAACACAGUUGUUACUACAGAUAUUCUCCUCAACUUAGAGAUAAUACAAAUAUUAAAAUGCAUAUGAUCGCACAUAUUACUUGGAGCUUAGUAAGAUUUCAUUAAGAGAAGCAAUCAAACCACUUAUCGUUGCAAUCGUUCUAUAAGCUAAAAUAGCAAUAUAAUACAAGAAAAAGAACAUAUAGAUACUUGGCAAGAGUUCAUUAAGAAGUCGCAUCACAUUCGGGUGAGGAGUUUGCUUCUGAUAUCUUGCUAGCUGCGGCUUUUUCUUGUCUUUCUACGUAUGCCGAGGGAAACCAACCAGCUUGGCCCUUGCAUUCACCUUCCGACCAUCCAGUAGGAGCCACCUUGAGAAGUUAUAACUAAAACAGUGAAUUAAACAACAGUUGACUGUUCAAAGACCUAAGGGGAAAUUCUUUUACGUAGGAGGAGUGAAUUAGUUGUGAUCACUGAAAUAACAGCAUAACUAUGGAAGCAUAACAAGAUAUAAAUUCACACGUCUAUAAGGGUAAACUGGGUGGUUUAGAACUGAGCUAGCAACCCUACUAUAUUCUGAUUUGCACUUCAAUGUAAAAGGGAAUAUAUGGUAGGAAGAAAGAAAACCAACCAUCAUUUGUUAACUCAUUGCUUUUCAAUCAAAAUUUUAAGAACAAAAUGCCAUGUGCUUUGAACAUCAAAUAAGUAUAAGCAUUAGUUCUAAAUUCCACAUAUCAUAAUUUAGAAGGAUAAGUUAAUAGCAUAGUAGAAAAAUCUAUGUGUUGUUAUUUAGAGGGGAAAGUACCCGGCGAACCACAACAUAAUCAUCAAUUGAAAGACUUAGCUCUCCAUUUGCUUGAGCAUCAAAUGGAUGUAUAACCUGCAAGAUAAUGGGAUAAAUAGAACUUAAUCUUAAAAAAAGCAUAACAAAAGCAGCAACAGUAGCAGCAGCGUUCAUUGUAACCACUAUGAUCAUGGCCAACAAAGAUAUAUUAGAAACAAAAUUCCAUUUUUACUACGACAUUAAUAUGUACUAUAUGAUAUCAUGACGAUUGGGUUACCAAGAGCUAUCAAAGUCCAAUAAGUUCUGUAGAACUUUAUGUAGUUAUUCAAAUUAUGGAUCAGAUUUUAAAUCUGAAAUUUUGACUGCUCUCCACAAAACAUGGCCUACGCACAAGAAAGUCAUAGAUAAUGAGGAUUACAAGUGGCUGACAUCUUUUGAGGGAUGGAUUUAACAUGAGAGCUUAUGGUCAGUCAAUUUCCUCCGCCUAGCAAUAUAAGCUUUCUCGGCCAGAUUUAUCAUCAAAUACAUAGAUUGCCCCAAGUCACAUCCAUAUAAACAUAGUUUUUCUAGGUAAACCAAGCAAGGAGAAUCAUAAUUCAGACAUAAUCAUAAAAAGGCCCAUCUAACUUAAGAGAAAAUCUCAAAAAGAGGGAUGUUGAGCUAUCAGUCUUGUAUCCAUAAGGAAUGUCAAGACUUUACAUCACCUGCUACAUCGUGAGUGGCUACACAACUUUCAGUGGUUUGUCUUUCUUUGGCAUGCCUAACUCAGCUUUGAUGUUGCUGAGAUAUUGAUAGUAGAGACACAUGAUACUUCUAGCUCAUGCAUUCUAUCUAGCUCAUCCGACAACUAUCUCUUUUUUAAUUCAUUAGUGUUUGCUAAACCUCAUGCUUAAAAGUCCUGUUGUUCUAAACAAAGUUUCCUAAGAAUGACUUCCUCAGCACCACAUUUGGACACUUUUAGAGCAAUUUUAUUUGGGGGAAAAGAAUUUUCAAGGUGUUAACUAAUAAAUUUUAAAAAAUAAUUACAAUUUGUCCUACAAUUAUAUGACAAUUUAUUUGGGAUGAAAGGAUACAGACAGACAUCUUCCACUUUCAAGACUAAUCACUACUUCCGUAGAUGUUUUGCAAUAAUAAAAAUACUUGACCAGAUGGUAGAAAAAAAUUUUAUUGCUCCAAAAUUAAAAUAGGAAUGCAAUAUGUUAAGCAAAAGACUGUGCAACAUCAAAUUAAUUGAUAAGUUUGUAAUUCAGUAAAUUAACAACUUUCAUGGUCAAAUAUAACAAAUUUCUUUUAAAAAAAAAUUAAAAAUAAAUAAAUCUUAAAAGACAACAUUCAAUUUUGUGCGCAUCUUAUUUCUUAAGAUUUUCCAGGAGGGCAAUAGAGGGACUUUCACCUAUGCAAUAGAGAGCAGAAGCCUUACUUUCGCUAUAAAGUAGACGUCAUUCUGAUUAAUAUGCGUUUGCAAAUCAGCUCCAUUUGAAUCAGUAUUCUGAUAGACACACGAGGCAUUUACAUCCAUUUCCAAAGUCACAUGUUGCGAGGAGGACUCAUUUGAUUGCUCCUCUAGGAUCAUCUAAUUCAAGUAGCAAGGGUUGGAAGAGAAUAAAAAGUCACAAUUAUUCUUUUGCAUAAGUGAGACGAAGAUGAUAAAUGCAAUAUUAUCAGCAGUAAUAACGUGUUGAUGAUAUGCUUUCUCAGCAUCUACCUGCAAAGGCCCGAGACCAGGAAAACAACAAUAAAACCACUAGCUAAAGGAGAAAGUAAAGAAAGAAAUACACUUGACAUAAAUCUUGACAAGAAGCACAAUUUAAGACAUAACAAACCCCAAUCAUAUUGUUUAGAACUACCAUUCGUUAUUUCGUUAUUGUUGCAUUUCGAACAAGUGUUGACUUAAUUCAACAUUGUUGGAAAGAUAGGCUUUUAGAAGCGGAAGAAAGCCACUCAAACCAAAGUGAUUGUCCUUGUAUUGAUCAAGGGAUGUAAACAUAUUACAUUUGCAGGAUGAGUUUUAAUCACUCCCCUGAUUUAUUUGGGUUGCAGUAAAACUAAGCGAGCAACUGUUUGACCUUCAAGCAACAUCUGAAUCAGCUAUUAAAAUUCAAAUAAAAUCAUAAUAGAAUAAUAACAGGCCAUCUUGCAUCAAAAAUUAAGUUUAAUUUGUGAAUUUUUUUCCAUAGACAUGUUAGCUCCUGCUAUUGAAAUGUUAAAAGCAUUGAAAAAUUAUUCAAUAAAUUAUGCAAACAUUAAAAUAGAGGACACAUUAAAAUGUUUCUAAUUACAAUGUUAAUAUUUCCUAUAUUUUAGCAUUUGAAUAUUUUAAUUUAUUUAAAAGCUACGUCGAUCAACUUUGGGCGUGAAGAUUUUAGCUUCUACGAGACUUGAUUGGAAUAUGCAUAAGGAAGAGUGUUAAAAUAUGAUGCAUCCAACGAAAGACAAACCACGUGUAGUCUUUUAAUUAAGCCAAAGUAGCAGCUCAAACAAAUGACACUUGGACCAACAUGCAAUCAUGAAGUGGCCGGAAAAAGGACAAAUGCAACUUUGGCUUAAAUAAAAAAUAACAUGUGACUUGACUUUUGCUGGACAUGCAUCAUGUUAUUACAAGACAACAGAAAUCAGUAUGAUAGUACUAAAAGUUGACAAUAACAUGAAGAUAAGAGGCAGAAUGUCAACACAUGCAUAGGCACACACAAGAAAGUAUUAACUUAUAUACCAUAGCAAAAAGUCUUUGAUAUGUCAUCUGUUGCUGCUGUGAUUCAACUGACAGCAUGGCAGCUGUUGCUUCUCUACCAAGAGCCAUUAUUGUAGAUUUAAGCUCGGUCAAUCUUGCUUCUGCAUUUCGAAGCUUCACAGCACUCUCUGCUGAUAUAUCAGAUUCCCUAAUCUUUGAUCGGCGCCUAAAUACUUCAGCUGCCUGGUGAAAAUAUUCAAUAUAAAUCUAACAUAAUUCUAAUCUUACCUGGGCUUCAACUUCAUGUCGAAGUUUGUCAUAACGAUGAGUCAGGUGUCGAGCAUCUUCCAAAGGUGCUCCGUUGAUUAACGCCCGUAGUGGCUCAGAUACCUACAUGUCCAAAAACCUGUAACAUAGUUAGAAAAAUGAAAAGAAAGAGCGAAACCUCAAUUAAAAAGUUCCUCCAACAUAAUCAUGGAAUUUGGGCCUACUUCAAGGAUAUAUAUAAGGAUAAUUUAUGCAAUUUUGGGUCUUAGGAUGAUUCAUAUUAGGUUAGUGUUCUUCUCUUCUGUAUUUAAGGUUAAAAUAGAAAUAAACCUAUGCAAAUAUAUAAAUUAGGGCUGUAAGACUUCCACAUGCAUCCUUCAGUCUCAUGGAUUUGAUUUUACUAUAGAUGCAAGUGUCGUUAUCGAAAAUGCUUGGAGUCAAUUGAGAGAACUCACGGCCAAAAACUUGUCACACGCUAGUCUUUGCUAGUGAUGUAAGAAGUCACAAGGUCUCUUCAACAUUUGAACCAAUAAAAUUAUUAAGUCAUGGAUGUCACUAGCAAUGAUUUUAAUAUAAAACAUUAAAUAUUUCAGAGUUGUAACUUUAAAAUGGAUUCUUUUAUUCAAUAUCUUAGAACUAAGUUUCCUUAUGAGAAGAUAAUAGUUUCAGUAGUAAUUUACAUAUAAUUUUCUAUAUUUGAAUUAUUUUCUAGUUAGGGAUGAACUAACCUGAUCACGAAGAAUCCCAAGCAAAGUUUCCCUCUCAUUUUCCAUCAAAUCAUGUGAAGUGCCAAAUUGAACAGCAGCUCUUGCAACGCAAGAAUUGUCACUCUGAUUCUCCGCUCCAUACUUGCAACAAUCUUCGGCCAACUUUCUCGCUACAAUAUUUGAAUACAAAAAUAUUGUACACAAGAACUAGUCAAGAAAAAAAAAAAAAUCAAAUAUUAUAACGAGAGCAAGAGCAAACGAACAACCUAUUUCCAUUUGUUUCAAGCUUACUGCAACAAACACUUCAACGCCACGGACAACAUUCCUCUGAAAAUGCUGCGCUACAGAGCAUAUAUUCCAAAUUAUUGUUCAGAUAAAACCAUAGAAACCAUCAUAAUUAUUCAACAUACAUUAAGCUCCGUUUGGUAAAUACUUGCAACUUCAGUCUAGAAAAUACAGUUAAUUUUUAUUUAAAAAAACAUCAUAAUUAUCAACAUACAUAUUUGACAAAAUUAUUAUUUAAAAAUCAUAACUAAUUACCAAAAGCCACAAUAAAUCAAUAUCAAACAGAGUCUUAUUAUUAGCUAAAGGAGGAUGGUGCCUUAGCUGCCCUGGUGGAAUUGUAUAGAUUUUGAAGUUGUUGGUGACACUCAAUUUCAGCUUCAUCAACCGCAACAUUUUCAAUGCCAAGAUGGAGCAGAUGCUUCAAUACUGCCUGUACAAACCAUAAAAAACUAAUGAAAAAUAAAUAAAAUCGAGAAAUUUCACUAAUUAAAAGUCUAAAUAAUUCAAAAACAAAAAAAGAAAAGAAACGGACUUGCUGCUGCUUGGCGACUUGUUCUCGGAGCUUGAUUGCCUGUUUCUUGAUAGCUUCCAUACUGUUUCUUUCAAAAAGCGACGACGGCUCAGCUCAUGGAAGUGGAAAAAAAAAAGUGUGAUCGAGAAAAAUGAAAAGGCGUGAAUAAUUUUUGACAAAAAGCGAAAAUCAAGGAAAGCCGGCUCUUUCCAGAAAAUAAAAAAGAAAAAAGAAAAUUAUAAGUUUGAAAGGAGAAGAUGAUAGUGGAAGUGUGCGGUGUGGCUGCCAGCUACUUGAAUUAUAAGAAAUUUUUUUUUUUUUUGGAGAAAAAUAGUAGAGAAUUUUUUAAGAAUCUAGAAUAACUGCAUCACUUCUUAAUCGCUUGCUUUAACUGCAUCGCUCUCUUUGUGCUCUUCUAUAUAUGUAACGGUUAUGCGGUUGUAGUUCACCACUGAGGCUACAUGUUGGUUUGACGUGGCAGUUACGUUACAAGGGGAUAAAUAAGAUUGGUUUCAACAAACCCACUAAUUUUAUAAAAUUCGAGUAAUAUAGAAUAAAAUAAAAAAAUAAAUACAAAAUGGGCUUUUACUUUUUAUGGUUGACUGUAUUUUGUGUUCUCUUCUGGCACUACUACAAUUGUUCCCUAUAUAUCAGUCACAGCCAUAUAUCAUUAACACAAGAAAUGAAAUCUAAUGUCACCUAUUUAGUUAAAGAAUCACUCAUGAAAAAAAUUUACCAUUUUGAUUUGAGGAUCCAUAUUUUGAACUGCAAGCUAAUGUUCAUUAAGAAUCCCUAAUGUUCAUAAAAAUCAGAGUAUGGCCAUUGAGUAGAAAAACUAUUUUUGGACAAAUUAUUUUUGUUGAUAGAAGAAUUUCUUAAGGGACUACUAAAAUUAUUAAUAAAAAUGUAGAACACACCCACAUAUCAUCGACACAAUUGACUUUGAGGAUCCAUGCUUUGAAUUGCUGCCUAAUGUUCAUCAAGAACAGAGUAUGACUUGUGAGUAGAAAAUUUUAUGAUUUUGGCCCGAAAUAAAAGGAAAUUAAAUUAGAUGAGAAUCUGCCACUUUCUCAUGAAGAAAGGCAUACGGAGCAUACCAUGGUACCAUACAAUACAAAGAGUCUCUGUUCUCUGGUUUUUCAAACUCUGAAGGGGCCAAUAUUCCCGAAUUCCCCCUUGAAAAUUCUGAUUACGACAUUAUCCAUCGCUUGACGCAAUCAAAGUAGCGACAAAGUUAUGAAAAAUAUGAGUCCUAAGUAAUUGCUAGGUAGGGUUCCUGAGAGUAAAAUUGUCCUAAGCAUUAUAUGCAUACAUGGUGUGGUACAUAGAGCACGUUGAAUUCCCCACUAUAACACAAACCCAGAAAGACAAGUAAUAACUCAACUGAUAUAAAGACAAAAAGAAGAUAAAAUGAUAUAGAAAAAAGAAUUUCAAAGAGACAGCAACAUACGAUAGACUGAAGCCACUUGAUCUGCUCAUUGAUUGCAGCCUUAAACUCGCAAAUAGUUACUGUACGCUAGUGCUCUAAGAAGUGAAAAUGAUGCGAGCCCUGAUUCCCUUUUGACUUCCAUUUAUUGUCAAACAUUCUAGUAAUACAAAAAAUUGUUUAGAUAUCUCGCUAUAAAUAUAGCCGUUUGACUGUCAUAAUAAAGUCACAAAUAACCAUUCAUAUUGAUCCACUGUCACACAACAUGCUUUAUGCAUACAACAACUGUAUGUAUACCAACUCCUAACCUUAUCAAUACAUUUGGCAAAAACUUAAGAAGAAAACUAUUUCUCCAUCUCUUUUUUGAAAUUUCACAAUAAACCAGCACAUUGUAAACGUUAUGUUGUAACCUUAUGAUAAAUGCUCUAGACUCCAAAUGAAUUUUAUAUAUGAGGGUUUGUUGCAGCAGAUAUAUUGACUUAUCAAGUAUGAAUCAUUGUCUAGAAGAACUAUCUUUAGAUAAAAGAACAUUAGAACCACUAUAGAAUAUCUUUAGGCUGCUGGUUCUAACAGGAAUCUGCGUGUGGCAACAAUUGCUAGAUCCACAAUUCCCCAACUUGAAAUACAUAGUUGCACACCGUGAGAUAGUGCUGCAAUCUACUGAGAUCUAACUUAUAUGAUAUUUUAAGCUACUAAUGUUUGCAUAUUUCUACAUGUUAAAUUAAGCAGCUUUUGGCCACUUAUUACUAGCAUCCACAAUUAAUUUUUGUUCAGUAAUCAGCUUAUUUUAAAGAAAUUGAUUUAGUCAACAAGAAACACUAUAAUCCUUGAAAUUAGUUCUUGUUCUUUGUAAUUAUGUAUGAUCUUUCAUACAUCAAUUAAUCUGCAGUACCAAGAUGAGGUUUUCAGAGAAUUGGGGGUGAACUAGCUAGGUGGUUUACUGUUAAAGAUAUAGUUGCAGCUGAGCUAAACAGAGUAGCUGGAGGUUGCUGAACAGUUACAUCAAAAGACGGGAUCAUAGUCUAUGCAUUGAACAGUUACAGUUGCUGCUACCAAUUGCUUCGGCAAAGAUCAAGAAGACUGAACGGGAAGUUAAUGCCAUCAAUGUCGUCUUCACUAUAGCUGCUGGGAAUGUAGGUGAACUUUCCUCAUUUGCAGCUGUCUAUACAUAGGCUUUUCCCCAGCUUAAGUACAAAUAAAUGAACCUGCCUUGAAGGCUUUAUUAUUGACCCCAAUAAGGAUUACUAAUUGAAGAAGACUAUACGGAGUUAAUCCCACACUCUCGUUCUCUCAAUUUCUUUCAGAAGUGCCUCUGAAAAUAGCUGCCAAACCGUUAGUCAGCUUGUAUACUCUGUUUUCUGGAAACAGAGCCCUCACUAACUGACUGUACAGAGUAAGUCAACAUAGCAUAUUUAAUCGUUUUAAUUGAAUUAUCUUCGCAGCGAUCAUCAACAAACUCAUCAUAAGAUAUUUGAAGCACCCAAGGACUAUCACUGGGUUUCUCUUCUGGUUGAUUUAUUAAUUAAUCAUAGAACGGUUGGAUACCCAGCGACAAUUAAAAUUAUUCGACUUCUGGAACUAGGAAUGAAGUGCAAUGAUGGAGCAAAAUUUACAAUGUCUCCGGUUUCUCCUGACCAUCGGACUUUUGCAGUGAGAACAUAUAACAAAAAGGCCUUCAUCAAAAUUUGUAGACUCCGGGUAUGGAUUGGAUUGAGUUUUUUGUUUGAUAUUGAAGAACCUCUUUACUAUCGCGAUAUAGAUUAUGUGCAAGGAGUUGUCUACUGUUCUUUGCCUUGUGCUAUGAUCGGUGCUCUUGAGACUGCCCUGAAACACAGGAAAAUACUUCGAUAUCCUCCGUUCGAUGAUGCAAAGAACCGGUUAAUGUAUGAUUAUCUAAUUGACUCAGGAUCAGGUAACAACAACAACAAUUUAUUAAUAGUAAUAUCACAAACGAAGAAGAUUUCGGAGAGGGAGAUGUAUGCGUAUACUGUUUACAGGUUUGAUCCACUGGGGAUGAAGUGGUCUCAAGUGGAAAGUGAUUUAUUAAACAACAAAUCGUUGUUCUUGGGUUAUACCUCAUGAUGUCAUCAAGUGGAAGAUGAAGAUUAUGCAAGACGAAGAUCGUUUGAUAUUGAAGAAUUUGAACAGAAAGCCCAUAGAAAGUACUUAAAUAAGCAUAUUCUUGUUGGGGUAGAAUAUUGAGAAAGGAGUUGUCUACUGUGUGUUGCGUAAUUAUGCUAUGAUCGGUGCUUUCAACAUUGCCCUGAAAACAGUGGGAAAUACUUCAUAUCCUCGACAUGAUGAUGAAAAAUUGGUUACCGAUUACCUAAUUGACUCAGGUGACAACAAUCCAUUAAUAGCACAAUUUGACGUGAUGCCGUUUAGGUAUAUGGUUUUCAAGUUUGAUUCAUCAGUGAUGAAGCGGACUAAAAUUAAAAGUUUAAAUGAUAAGUCAUUGUUCUUGGGCAUAUCGUCAUUACUACUUCCAGUGAUCAACGAUGAAGAUGAAGAUGAAAAUUGUGCGAGUUCAAGAUUACCAUUUAUCAUUACUUGGGAUAUUACUUCAACAUAGAUGGGGUUAUAAUUUACUCCCACGAACAUCAACUCAACUUUAUGAUUGGAGUGUCUCACCGUGACUCAGACAAAUUCUGAUUCAACCUCCUUCACCAAUGGAUUUUGAUUAGUUAUUUUGUGAUCAAGCAACUUAAUUAAACUCAGUUUGUUAGUCUAAUUUUAGUUUUACUGUGACCACUAUUCAAGGUAAGCGAAAGUUACAGAUGUGGCAAAAUCAAUAAUUAAAUUCAUAAAAUGUUAAAAAAUAAAACUUAUAAAUGUUGCAUGACUACUUACUAAUAAAUAAAUAAGUUAGAAUGUAGUUAUUUAAUUUUACACCAUAUUAUAUAUUAUUCGAUAAUAAUAUAAAAUAAAAAUAAUUAAAAAAUAAAUAAUUGAAUAAACAAAUAUGGCUUUCUAAACAGUAAAAAUUCUAGAGUUAAAAUUUAUAUUAUUAUUUUAUUUUUUAAAAUUGACAUUUUUCUAUUGUCUUACAUGUAUAAAGAUUUUGAGAGUUGAGAAGAAUAUAUUUAAUGAAGCUUGAUAACAUUUGAUGGGAUAGCAAGUAAGGGUAAAUAAGAUAUUUUUAUUUGUUAUUUAUUUGAAUUAUAUCUAUUUUGUUCAAGUUAAAAUACUAAAUAUAAAUUGGAGGUAGACAUUUUAACAGAUCAUCUAAGCUCUCAAAUCUGAAAUUUUGUGUAGAUUUAAAUUCAUAAUUUUAGUUAAUUUUCAUACAUUCAUAUAAACAAAUUUAUGAGAUUUUUCUUUUCAGCAUGUUAUAUUUUGAAACUUUCAAUGUAUUAUUCUAGCUUUAUUUAAACAAUUAAUUUAUUUAAAAUUUAUUUAAUUUUGAAUUUGAUCAGUAGUAAAAUUAUUUUUAUAUCAAAUUUUUUUAUUUAAAUAGUUCGUGGAUUGGACAAAAUUAAAAAUUUUUAAUCCACAAAAUGGUGGAUUAGAUAUGAAUUAGGUUAAAUCCACAUUCGAUCUGCAGUGGUAUGAAUUUGAUUUGGAUUGAAUUUCAUCAAUUCAUGGAUUAGAUUGGAUUGAAAAUUUAUUAUCCGUAAAAUCAUGGAUCGAAUAUGGACUAAUGUCCAAUCAGCAAAAUCCGAUCCCCGAACACGCCUCUAUCAAAAUUUUCAAGAAUAUGUUUUAUCUUACAAAUUUUUUUUAAAGUCAUAGUCUAAUGGCAGCCCAAUUUUAUAAAGUCACACACAACCAUUCUUAUUAAAUUAGCAAGAUCAAACACUGCACUGGAUCUUGAACAGAUCAACACAAGUUGCACAACUUGCGAUUGAAUUCGGCCAGAAACAAUCAACUCUUUAGCAAGAACAAUUAAUCAGAGUCAAGAAACAAGUUUAAUGAAUAUAAACCUAUAAUUGAAACAAACAUAGCCAAGAAAAAAAUACAGAUUUUACACGGUUCAGUUGUACCCAGGAUGGCACAACCUACACCACGAGAGAAGCUUUCUGGUGAGAUUUUAUUGAUGAUCAAAGAAGAAUCUUUUGACAAAGCUAAUAAUAGAGAUUUCAGAGAAUAAGCUAUGACCCUCUCUCCCUCUUCAAUCUCUCUUUAUUUUGUUCCCAUUGAUGACCCCAAUCUGCUUAGUUAGCCAGCUUUAUAGCUGCAUCAGUAACAAACCAGCAAACCCAGAUUGAGCAGAUUGACGACACGUGGAUAACGGCUUUAACGAACCUGGUUAAGAACUGCUCACAUGUUCGUCACGCGUAGGGAUGGCAAAUAUCCAAUUAUGGAUGGAUAAUAUCCAUCCAAACACAAAUCCAUAAUUAUCCAUAAUAGAUAUAUCCAUAUCCAUAUCUAGUAUUUAAUAUUGGACAUGGAUAUGGAUUUUAUCCAUAUAACUAUGGAGAUCCAUGGAUAUCCAUGGAUAUUUUAUUUUUAUUAUAUAAAAAUAAUAAUAUAAAAUAGUUAAAAUAUCCAUAUCCAUAUAACUAAUAAUAUAUAUAUAUAUAUAAUAAAAUGGCGGUCCGGUAGUCGGUGGCGGCGGUCCGGCAACUUUCCGGCAAAUUCCGGCGAAAUUCCGGCGACGGUCCGCGCGAUGUCCGACGGUGGUCCGGCAACUUUCCAGUGAAUUUCGGCGGAGGUCCGGCGACAUUCCGGCGUGGUCCGGUGGUGGUCCGGCGACUUUCCGGUGGAUGUCCAUUUAUAAUAUUAAAUUAAUAAAAUAAAAUAAUAAUUAUUAAUAGUAUUAAAUAAGUUAAAAAAUUAAAGGAUAAUUUUGAAAACUUUAGUUUUUAAUAUAAGAGGAAUUUAAAAUUUUCACUAGUUAAUAUAAUAUUUUUAUAAUUGUUUGUUUAUUAUAUUUUUUAUUUUUUAUUUUAUAAAAUUAAAAAUUUUUUAAACUUGUGUUGGGUUAAACGGAUAUUCAUUGGGUAAAAAUAAUUAUCUAUAUCCAUCCAUAUCCAUCUGGAUAUAAUUUUAAAAUAUCCAUUUCAAAAUCCAAAAAUUUUUGGAUGGAUAUUAUCCGAUCUAAUUGGAUAGAUAUUGUGGAUAUCCAUUAUGGAGCGAUCCAAUUGCCAUCCCUAGUCACGCGUGCUGCUUAAAUGAUGGCCAAAACGACUUCAAACAAAUGUCGUUUUGAGGCUUAUGAAUUACAAGUGAUAACACGAGCUUGUCUCAUGACUUUUAAAUGCAACAGCGUGCCCAAAACGCCGUCGUUUUACUCUGUUGAGUUUGAUUCAUUACUAAGCUUUACGACUGGCACUGGAGAAGAUGAUAAUUUAAUUUACAUGGACAGUUUUUAUAUCACUUUUACAACAUCCUAUGCAAUUGUAAUAUUGGGAAUUAUUGAUGUUUUAUUCUGUGAAUCCUCAUUGGCAAAAACUAGUGGUUUUAUCUUUGUUGAAAUGUAAAUGACCUCUCGUUACUAUUUUAUUAUAAACAUAUAGUUUCGUAAGUGAAACUACAUGUUUAUAAUAAAAUUAACAUAUAGUUUCGUUACAUUUCUGCCUCAUUAAGAUUCUCAAAUACCAGUCAGGUUUGCUUAAGAAAUAAAAUUUUUCCAUUAAAAUUGCAGUAGUAUUUCCAAGCAUAUCGCAUUUUCUAUGAUUUUUCAUAAAUUAAUUAAUCUGCGGUGCCAAUAUCAGAUUUAGUUUUUCAAACUAAAUAAUCAAGAAAGCAAACAUACAAAUAUACAGUUUAGAGGGGUAAACUAGGUAGGUGGUUUAGAUUUUAGAACUAAGCCAGCUACCUCACUAAAUUCCGAUUCGUACAGUGAACUGCAAGAAAUUGAGAAAACAAUGAAUUUAUAAUUUAAUAGAAUCAUAAGAAAACAAUGUAGUCAUUGCUCCAUAUAAGAUGAUGAUUUCGGAGAGGCACAUUGUUUUCAAGUUAAUUUGAUCCGUUUAUAAGAGAUGAAGUGGAAUCAAGUUGAAAGUUUAAAUAACAAAUCCUUGUUCUUGAGUUUUACGACGUCGUUACUCCUUCAAGUGGCAGAUUAUGCAAGUGAAUGCAGAAACACAAUGCAUCAUCCGCGGGGAUGAUACAUCAAAAGGCGGGAUUUGUUUAUGCCUGCAGAUUAGCAAUUUCACUCAUAUAGAAAAUUAAUUUUUUAUAUAUACUAAUCAACACUAAAUUGAUUAUGUGUUGUAUGUUUAUAUGCUAAUCAACACGAAAUUAUAUUGAAUUAUUAACAUUCAUAUUCCUAAUAAAAAUUAUUUUCCAUCAGUAUUCAAAAUUUUCACUUAUGGAAAAUGCGUUUUAUGUGAAUACUAGUUAUUGUGUAAAUUUGAAUGAUAGCGAAAAAUAAACCUAUUUGAAAACUGUAAGGGUGUGUUGGGAUAUUUUACAACUGUCGGAAUCUGGUAGGAUAUUGCACCAUUUGCCCAAUAUUUUUAGACGUACUCUAACCGGUAUUCAAGAUAAGUAAAAGUUACAAGCGUGGCAAAAUAAAAAAAUAAAAUUUGUAAUUUGUAAACGAAUUUUCCUGACAUGUAUAGUAGAUGAAGUUGUUGAUCCUUUCUUUGGAUUAUUUCAGCUCUGGUUGUUGGUCACCGAUGAGCCGAAGUCUUAUUUUAAUUUUAUUUAAACUCAUCAUAAGAUUCGUGGAGCACCUAACUAACUUAACUGACUGUGCAGAGCAUCUCAACAUGGCAUAUUUAACCAUCAUUCAAGUGAUGGGUUUAAUAAGACUGCUUUUGUUCUAUCAACUAUCAAGUUCCUCUGCCUCUAAGCAGAAUUACUAUUGAAGGGCCAAAAGGAAAAUGAAAACGUGUGAGCUCCAACAACCACCCCACAAAUUCAAUGACGAUGCUCGGAGAGGGUUAGGUUGGGCCUCUGAGAAAAAAAAAUUAUUUAGUUAAAAAGUUACCCUUAUUGAAACCUGUAUAAAAAUUUUAUAUUAAUUAGUUAUGUUGCCUCUUCAACUAUGAUCAAAUUUUUAUCCGAGCUCAUCAUUUAAUGAGUAAACAUGUAUUUUAAUGAUCUCAAUUAAUAUUUAGAACAAAUAUUUUAAGAAGUAAAGCUCAUUAUAUCUUCCAUUAUUAUGUAUUUCUUUAAUUUCUUAUUUACAUAAUUAUAUUGUACAUUAAAAAUGUAUUGAAUUUGAAGAAAAAAAAAUUCAACUCACUCAAAAAAAAAAAAAAAUGCUGGUAGCUUCGUAAUAAUUACUGUAUUGACUGCACCAGAUAAAGUUUUGUAAAAUAAUAAGUUCUCAUUAGUGGUUUUUAAUUUUUUUAAUUUUUUUUUCCGGCACACCUGAUCAAGAAUUCUAUUUUGUUAACUAAUCAAUUGCAAAGCAUAAGUGUUGAACGGCAAAAAAAUUUAAAAAAACACUUAAAACGUGGGGAAAUGAGAAAUAUAGAAAGAAAGGAAGAAAGUUGAGACAUGAAACUGAUCUGCAGUGAAAUUGAUAAUCAUGUUUCUAUUUCGUUAACUAAUCAAACGGAAAACUGAAACUGUAAACAAACAUUAACACGUGUGGACUCUGCUAGCUGCCCUACAAGUCUACAAUAGUAAUUGAGUACCUUUGAUUCAUCCUUCUAUGAAUUUCUAGCUGUAUUGACCCCAACUGCUAAAGUUUUGUAAAAAAUAAAAAUAAAAAUAAAAAAACUGGAAUUUCAACAAAAUUCAAAACGUGUGAAAUUCAAAAAUGGACUUUGGCCAUGUGGAACAAAAUGUAAAUUAAGGAAAAAGUAUAAAUCUCAAUUGCUUAGUAUGGUUAGGAUUUUGUGAGCAUCACUAAAAAGUGAAAACUAUGAAUGAUAGAGGUGAUGUUUGCAACAUGAAUAAAUGAUGAACUGAAUCAAUUGAUGAUCGUAAUUACAUAAUGAACAAAAUUUACAAAAUCAACAAAAGUUAAUAAAAAUUUAUUUAAAUAAUAAAAAAUCAAUAAAAACUUAUUAUUUAACGACGCUCUAACCAAGGAGUAUCAUAAUCAUAAUCUUCUUUUAAGAAUUAUAACCUAUUUCAAAUAGCACCGCAAUAUAAUUCUAGAUAUUUAAAAGAAAAACAUUAUCCACCUGGAAUGACUUGAAGUCUAAAGAAAAAGAGAGAAUGGCUCCCCGCAAUUUUCUUGUCUUCGGUAUAUUUUCUUUUUUAAAAUCUUUUGCCGCAUACAUAAUCUACCCUUGUUUAUUAUCUCCACUUUGAUCUGUUCAAGUCCAUUUUUUUCAAAUCUUAUUUUAAAUAAUAAAUUGAAUAAAAGUAUAUUUUUGUAAUUAAUUAGUAUUUGAGAGAGGGGAGGGGGGGGGGGGGCAUAUUUUUUGCACUCAGCUAUUAUCAAACAGUUCCUUAACCUAUUUCUCAGUUUAUUUGCUAUCUUUGUGGAUCUCAUGGGCGUGGCAGAAUUUAAUAAUUUUAUUCGUCUGAAGAAUAAGAUAUUGGCUUCAAUAAAUUUAAACCAACUUUUAUUUACUCUAUCAAUUAAUUAAUGCCAUUUUGUUUUAGAUUAGAUUCUUUUAAUGGCUUAGGUACAUACACAGUACCAGAUCCGGAUCCCGGAAAUGGUGCUCUGAAGGAAUGGAGGGAGAAGAAAAGAUUUACAACUGAGGAUUGAGAUCUGGUCUCGUUGCCUCAGAGGAAUGUACAGAUUUUAUGGCAGAUCUGAUAAAAACCAGUCUGCAAACAUGCUUUGAAGAAAGAAUUAGGCGGUUUCUGUAAACAAUUCAAUUAUGACCCCUUUAAAACUUCUACUUCCAAAGAUUGUAAUGGUGAGUGUUCUAAACCUCGCAAAAACAUUACAAAUCUAGAAAUUUUAGGAAACCCUUUCGUAAUUUUAGAGAACUUCCUUAUAAGAAACCUUCGAGGCCUUAUAAGAAACCCAAGUUCCCUAAAAAAGAGUUCAAAGCCAAACCAAAAAACUCCUUUCACUCCUUUCAAUUACAAAGAAGCUAUAUGUCACAGAUGUGGCAUGAAAGGUCAUACUGCAAAGUACUGCAGAAUGAACAAAAAGCUUCAUGAGCAGUUCGUCAUAAGGGAUUCGGUUAUCAUACAGGGUUUUAAUGGAAUUUCUAACCUUCUCUCCAAGGAGAGUUGGUAAUCCUGCAAGGAAUUUUUCUUUCCAAGUUGUAUGAUUAGCAUCAUCCCUAAGGAAAAGACGAGUGAAGAAAGUGGUUUUAUAGCUUUGGAAUUCACUAAGUUUCCUACAUCUUAAAUUAUGUAGUAACUCAGCGUUUUUAUCACGAAGAUGAGAAGGAUCACCAAUUAAAUGGAGGGAAAUUGUCAAAAUUAGAGUAGCAACGGCAUCCUGGAUUGGAUUGUUGAACUCAUCAAGAAUAGGGGCUCCAUUUUCAUCGACUUGUAUAGAAUUUAGAAUGUCUAGUUGUUGCCGAUUAGUGAGAAGAUGAUCCCACCAACCUUUCAAUUGACCAGUAAAACCGGCAAUGAGGAUUUCUGAUAUGGCACGAUCAGAAGUUCCUGCUUGGGUUUUAUAGGCAUUGGCUGCCAUUGUCAUUUGUUGCAACAAUCCUAGAAUAUUAUACUCGGACAUACCAUCAAUAUUCCACUCAUAGACUGAGGAUGCAUUAUAUCGAGAUUGAUUUAAUGCACUUGGUCUAUUAUCUAUUGCUAGAUCUGGUGGAGUCUUGACAGUGGGAAGGGCUAUUUACAAAAGGAUUUAAAUUUUCAAAGAAUUGAAAGUCAAUUACAAAGUGAUUUUGUUCAAAGAAAAAUCUCUGAUUUCAAAAACCUUAUUGAAAACGAAAUCUGUGCUGAUUUACCAUCUGCUUUUUGGAAUCGAAAACAGCAUUUAGUGGAUUUGCCAUAUGAAAGUUCUUUUGAUGAAAAACAGUAAGAUUCCACUCAGGGAUUUUCUUUCUAACAGUAAUAGGGUUUGACUCUUUGAAUGGAUAAGAGAUGUUGUUCUCCGAAGAAUAUAUUUCGAACCAAUCAAAAAACAAUAUAUGAAUUUUAUGAAAAUUCACAAAUUCAUAAUAAGUUUGUUGGAUUUCUUUUCUUUGAUUUAAAAAAUGUUUGAAGAACCAAAUUCUUUUUUCUUUGUUCAAAUCUGAAUAAAAAUCAUUAUGAAGAAAUGCUUUAUCCAAUUCAAAAUCUUUUUCGAUGACAUUAAUGACAUUUUCUGUAACAGCAGAAAAUGUAGGAGAUGUUGGAGGAGAAGGUUCCUUCUCUUCCUGACUUUGUACCUGUUGACUACUAGUGUAGAUCGGAUGAGGAACACUAGUGGUGUAAUCAACUGAAUGAAUGGAGGUGCUAGGUAAAUCUGAAGUAGAAAACCUAGGCUGACACUUUGUAUUUUGGAAUGGAUGAUUUAUAACAGAAGGUACUUUUGUAAAUUUCCUUUCUAGUGAAGGAAUGCUUGAGCACGACUCUUUAUCAGAAAAUCUGUGAGAGGUAGACCUUCUGAAUGAUAGUUUGACUUUACCAUCGGAAUACUGAGUCACAUUUUGCAACUCUGUAUUGGGCUCAAGUUGUUUCGGAGUCACCUGUGGGGCAGCUCCUUUAAGGAUCCAUUCUUCUGGAAGAUUAACAUCUUUCCAUUGGAUCGGUUUUGGAAUGACAGUGUUUGCUUUGGACAAGUCAGUCUGCAAGAGAAGAGUUUCAUCUCUUUUUGACUGGAAUUUAUGUUGCGUACAAAACGCAGAGACCAUAGCUUUAUAUGAAAUCUUGAAAAUCAAAGCAACUGGGAUGGACCCUUUAACCAUUUGGUAAUUAUGGGUUUUGAUUUGUAAAAUCAUGCUUUUUAAAAUGUUUUUGUCUUUAAGAGAAGAAAUUCUUUUCUUUUAAUUUCUUUAAAGAUUUUUCUGAAAAUAAAUAAAUUGUUUCAAAAGGCUCUGAAAGAGUGGUAUCACGUUCUUCAGUUUUUAUAAUAUAAUCACUUUUUAAAAGAUCAAGCAUUUUUGUUUUGUAAAUCUUUUCUUUGGAAAUUUUUGGAAGUUCCCAACAAUCAAUUGCUUUAUCAAAGUUCUCAAUAAUGAAUUCUUCUGAACUCACAACAUGCUUUGAAUCACUAGUCUUCCCGGAAGAAGAGCUAGAAAAGGACGAUGUUCUACCGAGUAGAGGAUCCAUGUCCAAGACCUUAUGGUCUAUUUUUGGUUUGGUCAGAAUGGCUACAGGUAUGGAUUUACAGCCCUCAGCGGAUAGCUAGAUUGUGGGGUAUCAGGGGCUAUUUGAACUUUGCUAGAUGAGGAAGAAGCAGCUUCUAUCCGAUCUAGUUGUUCUCUAAUGGCUUUAGCAAAAUCUGAUUUUGACUCUUGGACAAGCUUUUGGCUAGUUUUCGAAACCUGAAAAGGUUUGAAAAUAGGUUCCUUAAGCUUUUUAUCAGAAUCCGAUUUUGUUUGAACAGUAGUUGAUGAAACAGUAAUGGUUGACUUUUGGAAUUGGUUUUCUAUCCUAGUCAACUGCUUUCCGAUUGUAUUUAAGUUAGUAUUACAGAAAUUGUUCUGUUGGAUAAUACUACUUAAAUUUGCCUCGGAAUCAUUUGGUUUUGGAAUUUUGUAAGGUGAUGCUCUAAUUUCGACAGGAGGUUCACCAUGAUCUAUGGUUAUACUCCUAAGAGGUGGAUGCUCAGACUCGAUGGAUCAUUCAUUUUUAAAGAAAAUCAAUGUUUUGACUAAAGACUAAGAGACUUUUCUUGAACUUGUAAAACAUAUUUCUGAUCCAAAUCUUCAAAAAGAAUAUCUUGAUAAACUUUUGAAAACUUUGGAUUUUAAUAAAGCCGAGACUUCUAAAGUCCCAAUUGUUAAAAAGAAUUCUUAUGAUCUUACCCAGAUUUUAGAUAAAAAGAAAACAAAGAAGUCAAUGCCCACGAUUCAAGAUCUUCAAAAAGAAAUCAAAGAGAUUAAACUUGAGAUUAAGGAUUUGAAAGAAAAACAGAAAACUGAUUCUGAAACUAUCCAACUCCUUUUACAAAAGCAUUUGGAUAAUGAUUCUGAUAAAGAUGCCGAUUCUGAUGGUGAUCAUAAUGACCAAAAUGUUGAUAAUAUUGAAUCUAUACCAAAUGAUUUUUUGUUUGUUUUAAAACAAAUCACCACCAGGAAGUAUUUAAUUAAAAUCUCUUUAAUUUUUUCCAAAGAUUUUGCUAUCGACGCCAUUGCCCUUUUUGACACUGGUGCUGAUUUAAAUUGUAUAAGAGAGGACAUUGUCCCCAAAAGAUUUCAUGAAAAGACAAAAGAAAGCCUUCUGUUCAAACACCAGUCACUAUCAAUAAAAUGAGCUGUGAUCACCAUGUAGCUCAUGUUUUGAACAGAAGUCCAUAAAUCAGUGGUAAGAGACACUCGCUGUUUGUUGUUGCAAAUCAAACUCUUCAACAUUAUCUUUUCUUCCAAAAAUAAAUCCAUAACAUCCCUACCAACAGUUCUCCGAGAUGGCAUAACAAACUGUGGAAUGGCUACACUACAGAAAUGCCUGAACCCUUUGUUAUCCACAAAACUAAGUGGCAACUCACCCAUAAUGAUCAUUUUGGUGACUGCCCUUCUACAAGCGUCUUGACUCCACCCUUUAGCCAAAACCAUAUUACUUGCAUUUCCUUCCCCACCCUCAGUUGUCAAGUUUUGUUGACUUCCCUCUUGUUGUUCCCGGAAUGUCUUGUAUGCAAGGCAAGCCAGUAUAUGAUUUCUCAUAUUUGUAAUCCCAUCACGCCUUGAAUGACAUUGAUAUUGUCUACCACAAUAGUUGCACUUGCAUUUGUUUGGAUUGUCCUCGAGCAAAGUAAAAUGAUUCCACGUCGCAGAUCUUUUCUUCAUCGCUGGUCUUUUCCGCUUUGCCUUUUGAGUUCCUUCCAUUUGAACACUUUGAUUGUCAUCAUCACUUAUUGAAUUCGAUCUUGAGUGUCCAGACAUCUAAACAUACAAAUAAAUAAUUAUUAAUCAUUAAUUCAUAAAUUAAAACACAAAAAGACUAUUAAAAAAAUCUACUUAAUAGUUAGUAUUACAAAUUGAUUCAAAUAAUUGUUAAUUUAAUUUUAUGAAACUUUUUGAAAUCGAUAUUUCCAAUUUUCCACCAUAAUGUUUAUAUAUGAUCAAGAAUUCAAGAUGCAUAUGCCCACAUUAUAUGUAGUUAACCACUUAAUAUUUACUUAUUGGUUAAUGGUUAUCAUGCAAUUAAUUAAAUUGAUUAAUUAUUUAUUGAAGUUGAAACUUAAAACUACUGCAAUUAAAUUGGUUAAUGGUUAAUUUUUUGUUGAAGUUGAAACUAUUCUACAAAUACACAUAUCAUAUGACAUAUACAAUUAUAAUUUAUAUUGUAACAUAAUAUUUAAUUUUAAUUUUUAAUCUAACAUUAUACUAUUCAUACAAAAAAUCAAUUAUUAAUUAAUAACAGAAAAUUAAUGCCAGAUUAUUUUCAUUUUAUUGAUAAAAUUUAACAAUAUAUAAUUAAAAAUUUAACAUACAAAAUUACAAUUAACAUUUCUCAUAUAACAUAUAACAAAUAAAAAUUAUAAUUAAUCAUUAAUGCAUAUAUAAUUAUAUAAUAUAUACCAUCUCUUAAAUAACUUUAAAAGCCGGAUUUGCUGUCUUGCACUCUUGCUUUGCUUCUUAUUCGGGCUUCAGCCUUCAAGCCUUCAAGUUCCAAUUCCAAACUUCCAAAUUUCCAAUUCCAAAACAGAGAGUGAAGAGAGUCAGAGAGACAGAGACCUUUUGAGACUGGAGGCUGGAUCCGUGACCCGUGAGGCGUGACCGUGAAUGGGUGUGGUGGCCGGAUGUCAACACUCAACAGCCGUGACCCGUGGAUGCCAAUGGUGGAGACUCGAGUAGAUCGGAGGUAGCUUGCUGGGUGGAUCUUCAAUCGGACUGAGUUAUGGUGGAGUGGAGGAUUCAAGGCGUGGAUCCGGCGCUUGGUUGCAGCAGAUCUGUAGAUCGGGUCACGAUCUUCGCGAAUCAGCUUCGGCUUCGGUUGGGGUCGUUCUCGGAAGUGGUUGCUGGCUGCGUGUGGUGGCCGGUUGAAGCUAGCUCCGUGAACUGUGCGUGUGUGUUUGCUGCGCGUGGUGAGUGACGAAGGCCGUGACUCCGUGAGGCGUGAAUGAGCGUGGGACAGUGGGUUGGCUGCUGCCUGCUUGUGCUUGACGGCUGCUGGUUUCAGUGAUUUUUGUGUGACACUGUGACAGUGAGGGUUUGUGAAUUGUGAUAGUGAUACCGUGAGUGAGGGUUUGUGACUGUGAGUUGUUACUUGUUACUUUGCUUAAUUGCUUUGCUUGUGUUGUUUUCUUGGUGAAUUAUUGAAUUGUUUUGUAACUUUUGUUGCGGUGAAUACUGAAUAGUUUGGAGUGAAUUGACUGAAUUCCUGAAUUGUUUUGUUGCGGUGAAUACUUUGUGAAAUGUGAAUUAUUGAAUUGAAUUGUGAAUUACUGUAAAUCCGUGAGUCUGUACUCUGUACUGUGAUCUGUAUUUUGUUUCUGUGAGAGUGUGAGUUACUGAUUCAAUGCAUGUACUCGUGUGAGAUGUGAAUGUGCCAUGUGUGUGUCUGUGUGAUAUUGUAAGUGUAAAUCUGUAAUUUUUGCCCACUUUUUUUUUUUGUCUCAACCCGAUCGGGUUUUCGGAUCGGAUCGGGUGAAACCCGAUCCGAUCAUGAUCCGAUCGGGUUGAGACAAUUUCACCCGAUCGGGUUUUGUUGACCACCCGAUCCGAUCCGAAUCCGAAAUUUUUCGGAUCGGGUCGGGUCGGAUAAUUUGCCCACCCCUACUUCUAGUUCUAGAUGAAAUUGAGAGAGAGAGAGAGAGAGUGUGAGAGAAACUCUGAAAAGCUUCAAGAAUAAUAAAGCCUAUGUACAGGCUGCUGUUCAUUUAUUUGUACAUAAGCAGGGGAAAAGCCUAUGUAUAGACUGCUUCAAGUGAGGAAACUACACCUAACUACCCAGCAGGUAUAAUGAAGAAGACAUUGACGGAGGUUGGUAGCAGCAACUUUAAUUGUUCAAAGCAAACACGUACCUUUCGUUUCUCAUAAAACCUUGUGAGGUAAUGCUUUAGAUGACUGGCAUGCAAUAUUGUCAAUGACAAAAUUUAAUGUUGCAUCCUGCUGAUAUUAGGUUUAUUAAUAGUUGCAGCCUUAGGCAGGCAUAAUUUGGUCACGGAAACAAUAUAUCCAUCCAUUUUCAAAGGAUAGUAACUGUAACAAUAAAUCAAUUAAUAUAAUUUUUAUAAUUGGGAUAGCAUUGAGAAAGUCAAAAUUCAUUGUCCAGAUUUAGAUUUAAACUCGCCAUAGAAAGUUUUUACUUUCAUUCAAUAUCACAACUACAUUUGGGGACCACAAGACAGUCAAUUUUGAACAGAGUUAUAGUUAAUGAGUAAUUUAAAUUCAAACGCAUGAAACGUGAGGAUUUAAUUAUUGAUUUUUUAGUUUUAGUGUCAUUGAAGAUCAUAGAGGGAAAACGAUCGGUAAAAAGAUUGUAGCUUGUUUACAAGAUUGGGGGAUAGAGAGAUUGUUUGCAAUAACUGUUGAUAAUGCCAGUACAAAUGAUGUUGCUGUUAAUUAUGUGACUAUGCAAUUACUUGCUUGGAGGAAUGAUGAUGCAAUUGUAUUGGCGGGUCAGUAUAUGCAUGUGCGUUGUUGUGCACAUAUUUUGAACUUGAUUGUUGUUUCGGGGUUGAAUGAAUUGCAUGCUAGUGUUGCCGCCAUCCGGAAUGCUGUGAAGUAUGUGAGAUCCUAGCGGCAGCUAUGGUGGUACAAGUUAUUCUCCUUAUUUUACAACUGAUGUUGGUUUGCCGGAGGGUCCUAGUGGUGAUGGUGAUGACAUUUUCCGAGUUUCUCGCCCUUUCUUUGGGUAUGCUCAGAAAGUGUUUGUUCAGAAUGAGGGCAAGAGAGUAGUAUCUGAGGUGGAACGAUAUUUGAGUGACCCAGUUGAAGAUCCGAGCAAUCUUAAGCUCAAUGUUUUGCUUUGGUAGAAGGUUAAUGGAUCGAAGUAUCCGAUAUUAGAGAAAAUUGCAAGGGAUGUCCUCGUUGUUCCUGUUUCCACAAUGGCAUCUGAAUCUGCCUUUAGCACAGGGCGUCGCGUCAUUGACGAAUAUCGGAGUUCUUUGACCCCUUGUAUGGUUGAGGCAUUGAUAUGUACCGAAAAUUGGUUACAAGCUAAACUUUUUGCUAAUCUUGUCUACAACCUUCAGGAAGAUAUUAAAGAGCAGAUAUUCCAUAUGGAGCUACAAGAAGGUAAUAUUUUUCUCAUACUUUAUAAAGUUAAGAUGUAUUAUAACUUUAUAAAUAGCAUCUACAUGUACUUAAGUUACUUACUAAUUUCAUUUUUUUUUUGACAUUUUAAAGAGUUUGUAAGAUCACAAGCUUCAACGGUGGAAACAGUGAGCGUUGAUAUGGGUGUUAUGGAUAUUUGAAAGGUAAUUCUUAAUAUAUAUUAUUAUUUAUAAUUUCAUAUUAUAUGUUUAGGUUGUAAUUUACACUAUAAUAAUAGACAAUAGUUGUUAUAGUUUUAAUUUUUAAGUUUUAAUUCAAAUUGUAAUAUUAUAAUUGUUUUAUUUAUUUUAGACACAUUGAAAUUGAUGGAAUGGUAUUACUUGGGCAUAUUUUUUCAAUUUUUCCCUAGGGGAUAUAUGCUUCAAUUCUUCAACUUGGAGUAGAAGAAAUUGAAGUUAAAAGUUGUCAAAGUGCUUGCGAGGAAUGGUGGAGCCGUGGAGGAAGUUGAUCUAGAUUUACAUUUAAACUUUGUUGUGUUUUGGAUUUUGGAACUUUGUCAUUUGUGUUUUGGAAAAUGGAAACUAUUUAAUUAUGUUUAAUUUUGUGUUCUAAAGAUUAAUGUUUAGAUUUUAGAAUUGGAUAUUGCGCUUUGGAUGGAGACUAUUAAAUUUAAACUUUGUGUUAAUUUUAAUUUUAUGCUUUGUGUUAAUUUUUAAUUUUGAAUCAUUUGAAUUUAAUUCUAGAGUAGUUUUCUUUUUUUGUUGGUUGAAAUGAAUGGAUGGAUAAAUGAGGGAGGACAAGGAAGGUGGGAGAGAAAUGUCUUAGUUAGCAAGGUGACAAUAGUGGAAAAGAAACCAAUUGAAAAAUUUUGAGAAAAAAAGAAGAUUAGAAUCCAGCUUAGAUUAUUUGGAAUUUUGGUUAGAAUCCGUGCAUAUAUUAUUUGGAAUUUUGGAUACCAUGCAUAUAUUAUUUGGAAUUUUGGUUAUAGGAUGCACAUGAUAGUUCAACUUUUUUCAUUAUUAAAUGGCAGAGGUAUGAGUAUUUGUUAUAGCUUAAAGCAUUGAUGACAUACUCCAUUGAAGAUUUUUCUUUGUAUUGACAAGUUGGGUUGGUUUUAAUAGUCUGCAAGUGCACAAAUUCUGUUAUUGCCAGAAUGUGAGUAUUUCUUUGUAUUGACAAAUUCUGCAAGUGCACAAGCCACAAAUGCUUGUUUUACAAAUGACAUGCACGUUCAUGUUGUUAUUGCCACUUUGCCAGAAUGAAAAUGAAUCAAUCCCUUACGUUUGCUGUGUUUGUCUUUUGGAUUAGAUAAAUGUUGUCAAAGUUUGGUUAAUUAUUAUAACUAAGUAAUGAAUCAAUCCCUUGUUUUAUAAAUGUUGGGCAAUAAUGCAAAUCUUAUGUCCGUCUCUAUAAAUUUUUUUAUACAUGUUGUCAAAUUUUGGUUUCUUUUAAACGGUUGUACUAUGCCUGUAUCUCCCGAGGUCCCCAUGGCAAAAAGAAUAAAAAAAAGAAGAAAAAAUACAAUAAAAUUAUAAUAAAUUAAUUUCCUUAGUUAGAAUGUGACUUUCCAGCAUCAAAACCCCUUAGGAAAAAAUACAAUAAAAUUAUAAUAAAUUAAUUUCCUAAUUUCACCUCCCCAAUUGCCAAAUUAAUUAUAACCCGAAUUGACCCGAAUUGAUCCGAAUAACCCGAAUUUAAUCCGAACCCGAACUAAUCCGAAUCCGAUCCGAUUACACCCGACCCGAAUUAACCCGAAUUCAUCCGAAUAACCCGAAUUUAAUCCGAACCCGAAUUAACCCGAAUCUGAUCCGAUCCGAACUCCACCCGACUUUUUAACCCGAUCCGAUCCGAUCCGAAUUUAAUUCGGAUCGGAUCGGAUCGGGUUUUAAGUUCGGGUGGAGUUCGGAUCGAUUUUUAUCCAACCCGACUAACCCGAAACCCGAUCGGGUUGAUCCGAACCCGACCCGAACCCGAUUUUGCCCACCCCUAUCUAGAAGUCCCUCCGAAAGCAUCACCCAAGACAGUUUGUCAUCUUUUAUACUCUGUUUUAACAGUAAUUUGAACCGUCUUCAGAGUUAUCGUCAACAAACUCAUUCAUAAUUUGUCCAAUCUUACGGACGAUAUCAUAUGCUUAACUCGACACAAUCUAGAUUCAACCUCCUCCUAUCCAACAACGGAUUUCGAUUUGAGUUACUUUGUGCUCAAGCAAAUUCACAUCAUAGUUUUAAUUCUUUUGAUAUGAAUUCAUCACAUUACAUAUAUCAGAUUAAGUGUAACAAAAUUUUUAAUUUACUACGAAAAGAAUAUGCGCUAAAAAUUAUUUCAAGACUAUUUGAUUACCAAAAGCUGCUGUCAGAGUGCACUGAAAGUUUCUGUAGGAUACUUUGCGGUUGUUUAUUAUGUUAUGAUGGGCAUAUAAUUCUCAAAUUUUGACUCCUCUUAGCGAAAAAUAUAUCAAAGUUUAGAUUGAGUGCAGCAACUCCACAGGCCGAGUGGUACAACUACACCUUGGUCUUACUAGGAAUAUCGAUCUGGGAGAGUGGUAUCUGAAUGCUUCUCUAUUUACUUCCUUUCAACAACUUGGUAACAAAAUAGCCGGCUGCAUGCGUUGAGAAUGAAAGUCCUUCAUUUAAUUUAAUUUACUUAAUUUCUCCCUCCUAAUUAAUGUCUGUAACCAUUAGGAGGAACAAGGGAUUUUAUUAACUCAAAUAUAUGUAAUGGAGGAGCUCAUUCUUUGGUUUUACUAGCAGGUCUAGAAGCAGGUGUCAUCUAACAGCUGCUUUGAUAAUUUCCCACCCCUUCAUCUUUGAUGGAAAGAUGAAAUAAAAACAAAAUGGUGAAAAUGGUAUUGGUACCUGAGGCUAUGUAAUCUAAUUCAACAACUGCACCAUCAAAACGAUUACAUAAGUCCCAGAAGAAUCAAACAUUAGUUUGCAAAAUAUCAAUUGCUGGAGGUUAGAUUCUAACUUCCGCUCUUGGUUUUUAUGGGCAUGUUGUAUUGUACUUGCAUACGAAAAUCAUAUUUUAGUUUACUUACACCCAACGCUUGGAUUAAAGUUUCAGAUGGGGAAAAUUGAAGGAGACUAAAAUGACUCAAAAAAUAGUUGAAUGAGUGAGGGUUUUGUCUUCAUUUAAGGAGCUCUUUAUAAAUUUUAGGAUUUUUUUUCCCGAGAAAAUAUAUUUCAACUUAUUCUUUGCUUCUUUUCUGAAGGGACAAAUGCAACUGAAAGUGUAUUCUUGAAUUCUCCAGGAUAAGAGACAUACGUUUAAUUAGAUUCUCGAGCCUUCAAAACAAUAUAAAAUUUUAGAUUGAUAAAAUUUUAUAUAUCUGAGCAUGAUGGUGUUUGACAUGACUUAAAACUAUUUAAUUUACUCUCACGUACAAGAAUAUCUAGUUAUAUUGUAGCUCAGAGUUCGAGGUUAAUCCAUAGACAAAUGAUUUAAUUUCUUUAUUUAAGAUUAUCCCAUAAAUAAAAAUAAAAUUUAAAUAUAUGUAAUUUAAUUUGAAAAAAGUUAUGAAAUUAAAUUAUUUAGGGUCAUGGAUCCACUCUUAGUAAGUACAAUUUAAUAAAUUCUUUUUAUUUUUAUUUUAUUUCCCAAAAGAUUAAUUAUAUAAAUUAUAAUUAUUUUCCCAUUAAUUUUAUUAUGGAUUAAGUACUUAAUGUGCCAAAACUUAACUUGUUUACAAUAAGUCAAAAUACCAUUUUACCAUACUUUAUGCUAAGAUAUUAAGAAUUCAUGUGCCAAACUCCCAUGUUUGUCUACAAUAAAUCAAAAUUUCAAAACAUAAAAUAUGGAUCAAAUUAAAUAAAAAAUAAUUUAAUUUAUAUAAUUAAAAAUAGAAUUUGAUUAAAUCAUAUUUUUCUACUCAGAGUUUUACCUCACCCUAACUAUUAGUAUUUAGCUAAACAUAUUUGAAAUAAAUGAAAUUAUUAAAAUUGAAAAAUACAUAAUUAAAAAAUGGUAUUUGAAAAUUAGAAAUAAAACUAAUUUUAUUUAUUGAAAAUGUAUUACAAAGAAAGAUGAGAAUAAGAAUUUGAGGGGAAAGAAGAGAAGAAAAUUUGUGGAGAGGUGUGUGAAAUUAUAUUGUAAAGAUGUUACACAAACAAAUGAAUAAAAAAAAAACUAAAUGAAAAUUACACAAAUUAAAAAGAAAAUGAAAAUUAAAUAAAUAAGAUAAAUGUGCAAGAAAAAAAUGCGCAAUAAAAAUAAAUAAACUGAAAAGUAAUUAACUAAAAUUAAAAUAACUAAAUAGGCGGUAAACAAAGUAAAUGCCAAAAAUAAAAUAAGUGCGAAAAUUAAAUUACAUAAAUUAAAAGAAGAAAGAAAGAAAAAAAAUUAUCUCAAAGUGUAAACUCUUUUUCUUUUUCUUUUUCUUUUCAAAUUUUAAAUAUUACUAGUCAAUUAAGUGAUUAAUUCAAAUUAUUAGGCUUUAAUAGUAAUUUUUAAAAUCAAUAUUCAGUUUAUUGAGUCCAAAUAAGGUCCAAAGAAGUUCAAGUUGUUGGUCUAAAAUUGAGAAUUUUGGGAAAUAUUGGCAACGGACCUAUUCAAAAAGUUCUAUAAUUUUGUGGUCAAACUACAAUUAUGAGAAGAAUGAUCCAAAAAUUAGAAUUUUUGGGGUGAGUGAGAUUUAGAAAGAUUUUGUGGAUAUAACAUAAUUUAAGAAAGAAAAAGGAGGUAAAUGAAAAUUUACACAAAAAGUAAAAAAAGAAAAAAAAAAGAAAACAAAAUAAAUACCUCUCCCAGCAACGGCGGUAAAAACUUAACACGAAUUAAAAGUAUUUAAUUUACUCUAAAGUAUAAGAGUACCUAGUUAUAUUAUAUCGCGAGAAGUCUGAGAUCGAUCUACAGAAAAAUUAUUUAAUUAAUUUAUUUAAGUUUAUCUAAAAAAUAAAAAUAAAAUUAAAUACAUGCAAUUUAAUUUGAGAAAAAUUAUGAAAUUGAAGUAGUUAGGAUUAUGGAGCUCUUUAUAAAUUUUAGGAUUUUUUUCCUGAGAAAAUUUAUGCCACCUCAUUCUUUGCUUCUUUUUUGAAGGGACACAUGCAACCGAAAGUAUAUUCUUGAAUUCUCCAGGAUAAGAGACAUACGUUUACAUGCUGGAGCAUUUAAAACAAUGUCAAAUUUUAGAUUGCUGAAAUUUUAUAUCUCCGAGUAUGAUGGUGUUCCAAUUAUAAGCUCCAGGGUGCAACUUCACUGAGGUUUAGAAUGCCAUCCUUUAGAAUUGAGAAAUCUCCGUUUGCAUAAAUAUCUUUUGAAAAUACUGACAUCAGAUUUUGAAUUGGAGAACCUGAUUGGACUCAGCUUGCCUUGUAGUAAGGUUAAGCAAAUUUGGAAAAGAGAAAAGGUAUAAUGUAUUACUAUUACCAAAGUAUAUAUUUUUCUUUCUUUAAGUAUUUAUAAUGAAUAACUUUGAAAUUCAAUGAUGCUCAUUUAGUAUAGUUAUGUAUCUUUGGUUAUAGGAAGCUGUCAAGUUAAAAUCUAUAGACCUUCACCACCCCUCUAUCUCAAUAGGAUCCCAGAAAUACUAAAUCUUAAAAAAAUAAAUCUUUCAAAUUGUGAAAGCAUGCUUACGUUACCCCCGUAUAUCCACAAUUUCAACUAGCUGAGUAUGUUGUGUUUCAGGGAUGCAAAAUUCAUUUUGUUUCUCAUGAAAGGAUUGACUUGUCCGGAUGUAUUAGGGUUAAUAAACCAACUAAUCCCAUAAUUUGUUGAUGUAGGGUCCUAAAAAAUUAUUGCAGUAGAUUGUAGAUCAGUACACUAUUCGAAAAUGUAUUUGAUCCACACAGUGAAGUGGAUAUUGGACCAAUUUGAUGAUAAUGAAUUUCUUUCAAUCUCAAUCGUUUUUCCUUUUAGCAACAUGACUAGUCAUUGCGCAAAUUCAAACUCUGACAAUGAUUUCUCAAUCGGUUUCUAAGAUGAUGACCAUGCAUGUAUAUGUAUAUGCGUGUGUAUAUGUGUGUGUGUGUGUGUAGAGAGAGAGAGAGAGAUCACACGUGUGUGAUUUCCUUUUGCCAAUAGGAUAUGCAGAGAGCUUGAUCUUACCCAAUAGCGAAACAAACUUCCUAAUAAGUGAAGGUAUAGUAUAAAUACUUAUACUUUCAUGUUAUUUUUUUCAUCAGUAGCUUGAUUAUUUUAUAUGCGUCUUCGAUUUUAAUUUUCUUUCCCUAUAAUCGCUAUUAUCUUUGAACUGGUCAUGAUUUGCCUAUAAGAUUUCUCAUGUUGUUUUGAGGUGCAAUGGAUUUUGAAUUUAGUGACGAGCAGUGGAAGCCAGAAGGCAAAUUAUGAAUAUGGAUAAAGAUCUAUAAUUAGCUGUUAUGGGAUGUCACAUAUCAUAUUGAUGGUAACAUUAUACAUAUGUACAUAUAAUUAAUGGGGUUGGCUCACGAGCCCAUUAAUAAUCAUAUAUUAGCUUAAAUACUUCAAACAAUGUACCAUGAAGCAAUUUCACAAAUACUUGUUAGCUUAUGUUGAGCUUUAUUGAAUCAGUAGUUCACAGUUCAAUAAAAUGCAGGUUUGCUAUUUAACGUACAUGGUUAUGGUGUGUGCAUUCUUCAUAAGGCUAACUACAAAUUUAUCAAUGAAACUUGAAAAAUGUAACAGAGAGAUGUCGAUAACAACCGCAAAACACUGAGAUUGAAAAUCAGGGCUAGUAAAUUCUAUUAAAAGCUCUUAAAAUAGACAGCGAUCAUCCUUAACCGCAAAGUUAUGCACUAAUAGAACUAUUGACUACUUAUCUUUAGCAGAAGGUAUAUUUUUAACUACAGCUUUCUGCUUUGUUCUAAGAACUAGGCAAAAGUGGUAUAUCUUCAAUCCAAUCAACAUAUAUACCACUUAUCUUCCUCUUCACUUCUGUCUAUUUUGAUUUGCACUUUACAUCCUGCACUUGCUGCUUAGAAAUAGUCUUAGUCUGGACAUUGAAAGUAGAAAAAGUACUUGAAACUAUCAUUGGCACAGCUCGAGAUUCCAUUGAAUCGUGGACUCCAAGCUUUCAUAGUUCUAUAAAGAAAAUUACAUAACUUCAUACAACUGGCAUUCUGCUUUUAACAUUUGCACAACCUGAGCAAGUUAGCAAGCCCCUUGUCGCGUUCCCAUUGAAUAGACCUACUUCUGUUAUCCACAGAAGAUCCACCACUCAAAAUGUUUAUCACCAGGCUAUUCUUAAACUGAGCCUAAACUGAGUAGAAACUUCCGCACAUCUCUCAGCAUUUACAUGAAGAAAUCGACAACUAUCCUCAUCUCUCAGCACAUCUCUCAGCAUUCUACAAAGUUGCAUUUCACUAGGCAAUCUAUCCUCUCCAUUCCUAGCAAAGUGACAUUGAUUCUCGUAUUUGUAAUCUCCUAACUUGGGUUUUGGGCAUAGCGUGGUCUUAUAAUUACCACCCAAUACUUUGUUCAGUGCCACUGGCAUCCACAAGCUCUAGCCCUGUUAGCUGAAUCAUAUUCAAUGGGACAGUGAGGCAGCAUUUCACUAACAUAUUCAAUUUGACUACUUAUAUUGACGCAAAUAUUAGAAUUUGAAAUCACUUCUUUUCUUGGAAUAUUAUAUUAAAAUAACCCCAAAUGAAAGUUCUUGAAUGGAAAUGAUUUUUAUUUAAUCUUCCAACAGAUUCAAGAAAACCCAGAGAACACAAAAUUUACACAGUAAUAUGAUUAAGAGCUAAGAACGUACAUGUAGUAAAUGUCUAUCAAAAACACCAAAGGGUUUCUUUAAAAUUAGAAACUAGGUAAACUGUUAAGAUUUCGUUGGCUUCACUUGACUAAUUGAGAGAGAUUGUUUCCUUAUAUGUGGCUGAUUUGUAAUCCCUUUGAAUAUGGGAUCGUUAUUUACGUUCCUUUGUUUUGUGAAUAUUAGCUCUUUUAAACUUAUAUAUAAAUCCUCUAUAAUUCUACUGCAGAAAAAACAGAGAAGAAUAAAAUCAGUAUUCUUUUCAAAUAUCAUUUUUUCAUGGUAUCAGAGCAAUGGUUUUGAUUCAGUAAAACACUUUCGCUUCUCUUUUUUUUUUUAUGGAUGAUAUUGAUAGUGAUAGCAGUCACAAUCAUUCACCAAAUCAUAUAUCCUCUCAAACCUCUCAUCACAUUAUGUCUAUGUCUAUGGUUGAUUCCUCAUACCCUCUUUUUCUUCAUGCUUCUGAUCAUCUUGGCAUGAUUCUUGUUCCAAAAGUCUUAGAUGGAACAAAUUAUGCUAUGUGGAAGAGAUCUAUGCUAGUGAGUCUUAGUGCAAAAAAACAAACUGGGAUUCAUUAAAGGAACCAUUCACACACCAGAUGAAGAUGAUCCAAAACAUUCUUUAUGGCAGCGCUGCAACGAUAUGGUGCUUUCUUGGAUCCUUAACUCUCUAAAUCAGGAGCUUGCAAUAGUGUACUCUAUUUAGAGACACCCUCAGAGAUUUGGACUGACCUUCAAGAACGUUUCUCUCGAGGUGAUUUUUCCCACCAUUAUCAAACUCAGCAAUUUAUUGUUGAAUUGAAACAAAAUCAAGAUUCAAUUUUUUCUUAUUACACAAAGAUAAAAAUGUUGUGGGAUGAGCUAACUACUUGCAGUCCUUCAAUCACAUGCACAUGUGGAGGACAAAAAGACUUGAAAGAAAAAGAAGAAAAGAUUAGGCUGGGACAAUUCCUCAUGGGAUUGAAUGAAACAUACUCAGCUUUGCGAGGACAAAUAAUGUUAAUGUAUCCUCUACCAACUGUCAAAAGGCAUAUUCUCUUCUCUGUGAGGAAGAAAAGCAGCGAGGACUUACUGAAGCCAAAGGCAUUGAUCUCAUUCAUGCCAUGAGUAUCAAAGCUCGUGAUAAAUCUAGAGAAACACAAUUUGAUGCACAACAACAAACCAAACAAGGAUCAUCCUCUCAUCCCAAGCCACAAGGAAUGAAGAAAUCUUUCUUUCAUACUUACUGUGAGGGCACAACUCAUUCAGUAGAUUGUUGUUACUACUUGAAUGGAUUCCCAGUUGGUCAUAAGCUUCAUGGCAAAGACGUUCAGCCUCCAAAUCGAAGCAGAAAACCUGUUGUGCAUUAAACUAGUGCUGAAAUGAAUCAGAACUUAGCAAAGACACCAACUAAACAAACUCCCCAAUUUAUCUCUGAAGAGCUUGCCCAAAUAAAAGCUUUCUUUAGAAAUGGUAACAAUCCUGCUCGAUCAAACUACAUAGGUAUCCCUAUACCUUUCUGUUCAUCUUUCAAUACGCAAAAGACAGACUUGAAUCACUGGAUUAUUGAUAGUGGUUCAACAAAUCACAUAGCAACUUCAAUACCUAUUAAAACUCCUCUGUCAUCUCAAGUAACCUUGCCUAAUGGUGCCUAUUCUUAGAUAACUGGAAUUGGUUCAACACAACUCUCAAACCACCUACAUGUUAAUAAUGUAUUAUGUGCACCAUCAUUUCAUGUUAAUUUACUUUCAGUGAGUCAACUUACUGUUGCCAUGAAUUGUUCAAUCCAUUUUUUUUCCCACUUUCUGUAUAUUGCAGGACCUAGCUUCGAAGAAGAUGAUUGGCUUGGGGAAGCAGCUUAAUGGCUUGUACUACUUUGUUCCUCAAGUGAAGUCUACACCAACUUCUUUUUCAAUCACCCAUCAUGCUGAUUUUACUACACAUAUUACUUGGCACAAGUGGUUAGGACAUCCCUUAAAAGCACCUUCACAAUUUUUAAGCAAUAAUAUUCCUGCAUUUGUAUUUGAUUCUCAAUAUUCCUGUGAAACUUGCCCUUUGGCAAAGCAAACUCGUUUACCAUUUUCUUUAAGUUCUAUUCAAACUUUGCAUUCAUUUGAUCUUAUUCAUUGUGAUAUUUGGGGACCUUUUCGUACUGCAACUCAUACAGGGGCACAUUAUUUCAUGACUAUAGUUGAUGAUUACACUCGUUUCACUUGGAUUUUUUUAAUGAAAUUUAAAUUCGAAACCCAAGGAUUAAUAAAAACAUUUAUUUCUUUUGUGAACACUCAAUUUAAUUGUCAAGUUAAAUGUCUUAGAAGUGAUAAUGGCUCAGAAUUUCUUUCCAUGAAACCUUAUUUAUCCACCCUUGGUAUUUUAUUUUAAAACUCAUGUCCAUCUACAACUCAACAAAAUGGUGUCGUGGAACGAAAACACCGUCAUCUCUUAAACGUUAGUCGGGCUUUGAGAAUGGAUGCCAAUCUUCCUUUAAAAUUUUGGGGGGAGAGUUUACUUACUGUAGCCUAUCUUAUAAAUCGUCUUCAUACUCCCUUGUUGCAAUAUAAAUCUCCAUAUGAGUUGUUGUAUAAUAAGCCACCUAACUACACUCACUUACAAGUUUUUGGAUGUCUCUGUUAUGCAACAAAUCUACAGCCGUCCAAUAAGUUUGAUUCUCGGGCUCGACAAUGCAUCUUUGUUGGUUACCCUAUAGGCCAAAAAGCCUAUCGAUUAUAUGAUCUCCAUACUCACCAAUUCUUUUCCAGUCGUGAUGUCAUUUUUCAUGAGUCUAUUUUUCCUUCUCUUCGUAUUGAAAAAUCAUUAGAUAGCACUUUUCCUCAACUUGAGAUAUUAGAUUACAUCGAUAAUCUAUCUCCUCCUGCAACUCAUCCUGUCCCUCCAACAUUAGAGACCAUUAUUCCCUCUCCUAAUCUUUUAUUGUCAUCAACUCCUUCCCCUUCUUCCUCUAUAUCUUCUCCUGCCCCUCAUAUUCGUAAAAGUGAUCGUGUCAGGCAACCAUCUGUUCUUCUUCGUGACUUUCAUUGUGGACAGAUUAGUACAACACCAUCAACUGCAACUUCAAGUCAGUCAUUUUCAACUAAGUCAGGUACUCAAUAUCCUUUAAGCAAAUACAUUUCCUAUGAUUCUUUGUCUUCUACUCAUAAACACUUUGUUAACACCAUUUCAAGUGUCCUAGAACCAACCUCUUAUGCUCAUGCUAUAUUGGAUCCGAAAUGGCAAGAGGCUAUGCAAUGUGAACUUGAUGCUCUCAAAUCACAGAAGACAUGGUCCUUGGUCCCUUUACCCGCUGGCCAUCGCCCCAUUGGCAGCAAAUGGGUUUAUCAUAUCAAAUACAAUUCUAAUGGUACGAUUGAAUGUUACAAAGCUCGAUUAGUUGCCAAAGGAUUUUCUCAACAAGAAGGCCUGGAAUACACUGAGACAUUUGCUCCUGUGGCUAAAUUGACCGUUGUUCGUUGUUUACUUGUUGUGGCAACUGCAAGACAUUGGCCAUUGUAUCAAAUGGAUGUGACCAAUGCUUUUUUGCAUGGUGAUUUAGAAGAAGAAGUAUAUAUGACUCCACCGCCGGGACUUUGUCGACAGGGGGAGAAGCUUGUUUGUUGACUUCAUAAGUCCCUUUAUGGGCUUAAAUAAGCUCCUCGCAAUUGGUUUGCGAAAUUUUCUCAUGCUGUCAAGAAAGCUGGCUUUAUUCAAUCACAUUCGGAUUACUCGUUGUUUGUGAAGACAAAAGGCACAUCUAUAACCAUGGUUCUUAUUUAUGUAGAUGAUAUGGUGAUAACUGGAAAUGAUGCAGUCGCUAUACAUAAUCUCAAACAAUUUCUUCACUAGCAAUUUCAUAUCAAAGAUCUCGGUCAUCUUAAAUAUUUUCUUGGGCUGGAAGUUGCAAGGUCCAAAGCAGGUCUUGUUAUCUCUUAACGAAAAUAUACCUUAGAAAUCAUAGAUGAUGUUGUAUACUUGGGUGCUCAACCGGUAAAUUUUCCCAUGGAGAUGAAUUUGAAACUCACAAACCAUUAAGGUGAUUUGCUACAUAAUCCAACUCGCUACAGGAGAUUAGUUGGCCGACUAAUAUAUCUCACAAUUACGAGACCAGACAUUACAUACUCAGUUAACAUCUUAAGCUAAUUUAUGCAUGCUCCAAGAAAGCCUCACUGGGAUGCUGCUCUUCGUAUUAUGAAAUAUUUAAAGGGCAGCCCUGGUUUAGGUUUGUUAUUCUCCUCAAGCAAUUCCUUUACUUUAAAGGCUUACUGUGAUGCUAAUUGGGCAAAUUGUCGUAUAACAAGAAGAUCAACAACAGGUUAUUGUGUGUUCUUAGGGGAUUCUUUGAUUUCUUGGAAAGUAAAGAAGCAGAAAACAGUCUCAAGAUCAUCAUUAGAAGCUGAGUACAGGUCCAUGGCAGCAGCAACUUGUGAGCUCACUUGGUUUAGAUUUUUAUUCAAUGAUAUGCAAAUUUCCAUAGGACCAGCAAGGCUAUUAUGUGAUAACCAAGCUGCUCUUCACAUAGCAGCAAAUUCGGUAUAUCAUGAACGCACCAAACACAUAGAUCUUGACUGUCAUGUGGUAAGGGAGAAAAUGUACGAUGGUCAGAUAAUCACCAAAUUUGUUCCAUCUCAUUUACAGUUGGCAGACAUUUUUACAAAAGCUCUUGGAGGAAAGGUGUUUAAGAGACUAACAACCAAGUUGAACAUGCUAGAUAUACAUGCUCCAACUUGAAGGGGGAGUGUUAAGAUUUCGUUGGCUUCACUUGACUAAUUGAGAGAGAUUGUUUCCUUAUAUGUGGCUGAUUUGUAAUCCCUUUGAAUAUGGGAUCGUUAUUUACUUUCCUUUGUUUUGUGAAUAUUAGCUCUUGUAAACUUAUAUAUAAAUCCUCUAUAAUUCUACUGUAGAAAAAACAGAGAAGAAUAAAAUCAGUAUUCUUUUCAAAUAUCAUUUUUUCAUAAACAAAAAGAAAGAAUCAUUUUACAUUUUUAGCAAGUUUGAAUGAGUGAGAAAUUGAAACCCUAAAGUGAUGACAACAAUAAGAUUCAGUAUGAAGUGAAACCCCAAUUUGAAAUGUAGGCAUGAGUUGCUGAGUCAGUAGAUGAAGCUAUAAAUAGGCAUUCGGUUUCUUUCUUUUCGGUUUGGAGGGCCAUGGAAUAGUGUAUUGGAGUGGGCUCGAAGUAAUAGCCUUUAUCACUGAAUGACACGUUUGCAAAACGUGAUACAUAGGGAAGGAUUGAGCAUUAUACUCUUAGAUUAGCGCCUUAUUUAGGGUGUAUAUUAAGCAGAUUAUCUAUAUAUUACAUGGAGAUGGAGUUUAUGAAAUAGAUUAAAAAGAAAAGGAAAAUUAGUGUCUGGAGUUUGCCACUUGGAAUAUUUCGGUGUCUAAACAUUCACUCACCACUUAUUUCAUGUCUGAUCAUAUGUUGAAAAAAUAUUAAAGUAAUAUAACGCUAUUAAGGCUUAACGUAUAUUUUUUAUUAGUAGAGUGUAGAACUUUUAAGAAAUAAAUUAUUAAAUUACUAUAACUAGCAUAUUAUUUUAAAGUUGUGUUGUGAAAAAAAAAAUGAAAUAAAAACGUGAAGUAAAUUAGAGUAUUCUAAAACUUUUAUCUUUUUAAAAUUAGUUUUUAACAUAAGGUGAACUAUUUUUUUUUUAAAUCACAUACUCUAGUUAAAAUCAAAUAUGUAUUUAUAUGAAGCUUGUAAUUUUUUUUUCAGUACUGAUAUUUGAAUAUUAUCAAUAUUAUUUUUAUGGCCCACAAAAGGACAACACCGUUUAUGUUAUAAUACUAUCACCUCUGUUAUGAUAAUAUUUUUUUUGUGGCCAAAUAUCAUUUUUUUAAGUAAAAAGGUGGACAAAAUGCAAAUCAAUUUUUAAUCCUCAAACUCUCCCAAAAUUUAAAUUCGUAGUUAACAAAACACAAUUGUUGGAAAACCAUUAAGCUAGGUCCAUCGGUUGUUAAAACUAGGGAAAUUUAUAAAAAUAACUUAAAAACUUUUAUAAUUUCACAUUUUACCCUCCGAAAUUUUUCCUAUCAACAUUAGCAAAAAAUCCUUUCAAGUGCCGAAAAUACCCCUCCCAUUCUCAUCAAACUUCCUCUCUCUCUCUCUAACCAACGAUUUCUUUCUCAAGGUGGUCACUCAUCGCCGCCGGCUUUCCAGAGUCCAUCCUUGAUAGUCAACAUCACCAAAAUUUCAGUCAAGAUCUGAAAUCAAAGAUUAAUUUAAAAACCCUAGAUUUUGAAGCAUGUUCUAUUUCUAUUCUUCUUUUAUGUUGUGGUUUUGUUGUUGUGCUGGUGAUGGUGAGUGAAGAUUGAAGUGUUUGUGAUGUUGAUGGCAUGGGCGAAGUUGUUGGUGUAGUGCAUGGGUGAAGAUUGAAGUUGGCGUGGGCUUGGGGCCGGGAGAUAUCGUGCCUGAUCAGGCGCAACAACGCCCCUGUCGCACAAGAUCUGGGAGACAGGCACGCGCACCUGUCACUCACGCCUGUCGCGCGUGCUUGGUGCGACAGGCAGCAUGUUACAAUUUUUUUUUUUAACGUGAAGUUGGUGCGACAGGCGCAAUUUCGGUGCAACUCACACCUGUCGCACAAAUUUAGUACGACAGGCGCCUGUCGCACUAACAUACAAUCACACUGAAACUCUCUUGUCGCACGAAAUCAAGUUGACAAAACAUCUCUUAACACUCGGUGAUGCAAAAACAAAGUAUAAACAAUCAAAGAAACAUUUCAUCAAACACUUAAUACGCAAUAUUUUUACAAAACUAAUUUCCUUUUAAUUAGCUUACCUAGAUUUUGGGCUCUAUUUCACUUUGUUAGAAUUGUGUCCGAUUGGUGUUGGAUCCGAAUGGAUUUGGCUAUCUUUGAUCUUAGUUCACUUUUACCGUUCGCAGUCAUCGUUUGCCGUUGCCAUUUGCCUGUGAUGAUUUAAGAGUUCAAGGCUGCGUUUGGUUUGAUAAAGAGGGAGAAGAAAAGUUGCGUUUGGUUUGAUAGACAAGAGUAAUUUAGGGAAGAAACCUUAUGUUUGGCUGAUUAUGAUAGUAAAAACUUUAGAGGGCCAAUUGUAAAAAUUAUAAAAGUUUUUAGGUUAUUUUUAUAAAUUUCUCUUAAACUAUAGCUGACAAAAAGUUACUAACAAAAAGAGAAUGUCUAUUUUAUAACUUUCUUAAAAAACUUUCCUUAACUUUUUCAAAAAAGUAAUGAUAUAGUCACAAAUUCUUGUAUAAAUUUAUUUUGUACAAAUUAAUGUGAUAUGAUAAAAUUAGUUGAAUUAAAUAUCUUUUGGUCCACAUAAUUUAUUUUUAUUAUUUAUAUUUUCAUUCAACUAAUAAAUUAAUAACACGUAAGAGUUAUGACUGUAUCAUCAUUCUUUUUAAAAAGUUACUAACAAAAAGUUAUUUCCAAUUUUUAUUUUGUUAUAAUUUUUAAAACAAAAUUCGUAGUUAACUAAACUCUUCUUAAUUCCUAUGCCCUUUCUCAACUGCCAUACCCUACCCUGCUCCCCAUGUCCCCACUAAACCACGCUCAAUUCAGGCCAUCAGAUUCUCCCGGACCCACAUUAAUCCAACUGCUCACAGUGACCGACAGCCUCUCUAUCGCCAUUUCAAGCUCCCUCUUAAACUGGCUUCUGCUACCGUCGUACUCUUUCUCGGAUUCGGAGUCCGUAUUUGCUCGGCCGGUCCCACGCAGCUCCCUCUCACUCCAAUUGUCACCCAACAAGGCCAAUUGCUUACUCAAGGCACAGAACAAGAAGAGGAUGAGAAAUUGAAACAAGAAUUUGAGAAUUGGAAAUCGAAAACGUACGCAUUGACCGUGCCUUUGAGGGUUGUUUCUCUUCAGAAUUCAGUGCCUUAAUCUUGGGUUAAGGAUUUUAUGCGAAGUCAAGGAAAGACAUUGAUAAGUUUCAGAUGAAUUUGUUUGCUAGCAUUGAUGGGAUCUUUCACAAUUUAUCUAUGCCCUUUAACAAAGUUAAGGCUAAGUCAGCUUCAUAUAUGGCUGCUGAUUUGGUUAGUGUUGGUGAUUCAUGGCUCAGUUAUGCGAUUAUAAAGAGAUUGAUUGAGCCAAUAGCUGUAGCUGAAGAUCAAUAUUGGUUCAAAUGCUUAAGUCACAAAUGGAAGGUAACAUCUUUAUCUUUGCCCCGAUAAUUUUUAUUGUCUUACAUUGAAAUUUGGUAAUGUAAUUUGUUCUCUAUCUGUGUCACCCUUUGUAGUCAUUUUAUUUAUUUAUUGUUUUGCUUUUAUUUGCACUAACGAAUUCUCAGGCAUAUCUACCCAGGAAUGAUGCUGGAGAAAUUGAUCCUCGAGGUAAAAUAUGGGCGGCAGCAUACCGGUGGGGCACAAUGGGAUAGCUUACAAGAAAAGUAAAUUGCGAAAGCAUAUUUGGCUCCGAUUUAGGUAAUUGCCUUUAAGCUCAUUUAGUUUUAUAUGAAACAAAAUCAAGACUGCCUUUCUCUUCAAUAUUUUUGAUGAUAAUAUCUUUAGAAGCAUCUCAUUCACGGGUAAUCAUGGUAUCCCUUAAAGAGUCUAUAAACUCAAUGAUAUUAUCUUCUACAAAUGGUUCAUUAAACUUCUUAGUUGCAGUCAAAUGUACACUAAGAACAACGAGAAGCUAUGCCACUGUAGCAUGUAGUGAUGGCACUUAAUAAGUGACUUGCUAGGAUGUGAACUAGAUAAAUUAAAUAUUGUCUCCCUGGGCAUGCUAGCUCAUAAGUUGGGGUUAAUAUUAGCUAUUGACUGCCAAUUAAAAUAUCCAUUAAAAUGUCUAAGGAGUUACGAAGGUGGAGGUAUCUUCCAAUUUCUAAGGCCAAAUAGCAGACAUCAUCCAGGAUCCUGGGAAAGUGCAGUUAACUUCCUGCUUGAUCCUAAUGUGAAAACAAUUAAUAAAUUUGGUCAAUGCAACUGAAACCUGCUAACCGAUGUCACAAUGCGACAUCAGCACCUCAAAAUGGGAUAGAUGGUUAGUAGCACUAAAUUUUUCUGGCCUCAGAUUGAGCAAUUGGCCCAACGACUAACCCCGAUUGUGGGUUGAUGAUAAUUUUUUAAUUAUUUUCAUUUUGACCGAAAAAGUUACAGAAUCUUGAUCUGAAUAUUGUCACUGAACAGUGUCAAUAUCGUUUAGCAUAUCCAACUAACUUGAGUUUGGUGAAACAAACACAGAGUGUGUCUCUCAUGUCUCACCCUUCAAAAUUAUCAUCUGUAAUGAUGGAGAAUUUUUCUAAUGUAUGAACUAUGCUUCGAUAUAUGGGUUAGCUUGGAGAAGAUAUCUCAAGAUAAAGAAUAUGGGAAGCUAAUGGGAAGAAACAGGGGAUCUUCAUUCUUUUUCCUUUUUAUACCCAGAUAUCUCUCGACCUUUAUAUGAUCCCUACUGGAUAUUUGCUUCUAAUAACUAAAAUAAAAAUUUCACCCACCAAAAUGAAUACUGACCAAGCUUUAACAAUAAAAAGUAGCAUCUUUAGUCAAGUAAUUUGCAGUUCCUCAUCAUCUUAGUGUGAGUCUAUCAGUAUGAUCAAAAAACAUAAUAAAACUGGUUAGAUCCUGUUCAUUGAUGUUUAAAUGUUGUUCAGUGUGAAAUGUAGCAAUGAUGAGGUGAAGUUUCUUUGGUCAUCAAUUAGUAAGAUCUUGUAAUCUGGCAUUACUGGGAAACCAGGUACUCUUAAAGAAAUGAUAUCUGGUCAUUGCAUGUUAUUGCCUGACAACUGAUUUUGUUUGUAAAAGUCUGCUUCUUCAUACAUAUGAAUGCAUAUGUUAGUGUUGUCUUUUCCUUUUCCUACAUAUUAAUGCAUAUGUUGGUGUUCUCUUAUGAAAUGGAUGCAAUAAAGGCUUUUUCUCCUAAAUUUAGCUGAGGAAAUGGCAGGGGAUGUGAGAUUCUGUCUCAUUAAAUUAACAAAAACCCAAAACAAUAAAAACCCAUAAUAAUGUGGUGUGGGUAAAUUGGCGACAUUUGGCUCGUUACCCUGAUGUGAAUAUGCGAGCAAUGGAGACUAACAAAAUGAAGUGACGAUUCAGUGUCCUUUGAUGGAUGCAUUUUUAAGCAAAAAUAGGUUUGUAACUGACCAAAUUUGUCUGGCAUGCCAAUUUAAAAAAAUUAAAUUAUGUGGUUGUUAGCUGUAGUGAAGGGGGGGUAGUAGGUCCAAUCCGGUCGAUCCAGGAAAGUUCAACAAAGUUCUGGUAUGGUGCAGUGAAACUGGUUUGUGCAACUCAAGAGUCGUUCAGGUAAAAGAUGAUGUGUUUUGAUUUAAAAAUGUUAUAAAUUUACUGUGUAUAGUAUUCUAGUAGAAUCAUCUAUAAAUUUAAGUUUUUGAAAUUAUCUGCUUUUCCCAGUUUGAGUUAAGGGCACAUGUAAUAUGAAAAAUAGUUGUCGAAUGUUGUAGGUUACCUAACAUUUGAUCAAUCCUAUUAUGAUGGCUUCAAGAUGUCUAACAAUAUGUAGAAUGCCCCUGCUCCUCCCCAUUGUUUAUCUUAUACAAUAAUAUGUUGUGGAUGCUAAUAUCUUUGUCGAUACCUGUAACAGUAUUACAAAAUCUGCGUUCAUUGGGUUUUAUAUAGGUUCAACUGUCUGACAGUUCACACUGUCUGAAGGCAUUUGGAAUUGGAGAUGUAUGGGUUGCCGUUGAGGGGAGUAGUGAUGUUCUUCCUGCUGUCAAACGUAUGUCUAAUGUUGCAGUUUUUGUUCCCAAGUCUGGUGCUAGCUUAUGGGCCGAUCUUUGGGUUAUAACCAUGCCUGUCAUUCUACUUCGAUAUUCACUUUGUUAUCACCUUCAUAUUAGUGAUCAGUAAACAUGACAAUGUGACUAAUAAAUUUGUAUUCUCUUUAUAGGCAAUCCGAGCUGCCUCAAGACUUGAAACAAAACAAAUUGAAGGCAAGUCAGAGGUCCAUCUCCAUUAAUCCAUUAAUAGAUAGAGUUCCACUUGCAAACAGCAAGAGCAUUGCCUUUCAAGCAAAAGGUUAUCCCGGGUGCAACUCCCUCUGCCCUUGAAAGUACUCUGGUUAAGUUGCCUGAACAACUUCUGAAGGGUAAACCAAGUCUGGAUACUAACUUAACUGCUGGAGUACCUCCGGCUGAAAUUCUGGCCAGAUGUGGGUUUUUGGAGCCAUUAUCUGAAGCUACAUUGUCAAAUUAUGAGUGGCUGGUUGCUAAUCUACAAAAACCUGCUCCUGUCUUGAUGAAAAGGGUGCAACAUUACAUGUCAUCAUUAAUCCGAAGCUUUCUAGCAAAAGCUACAUUGAAAAGUUAAUGGCACCGCAUGCCAGUCAUUAUAAUGCUGUCAGGGCAAUUGGGUCAGAGCAUAACUUCAUUGGGAAAAGAGGAUUCAGCUAGGUUACCUAUUACAGGACGUACUGAGAUGGCUGAAGUUCUUGAGGUUUUAUGAGAAAUGAAAGAUGAGUGCUUGUUUGAACAAAGUUGUCACCAAUCUCGUAAAGUUCAAGAAGAAAGAUCACAGAGCUAAUGCCACCAAUUUCUUCAUUAUUGCAGCCUCCAUUGUUGAAGUUUCCUCAUUUGAAGCUGUUUAUGCAUAUGCUUCUUCCCUGCUCAAGUACAGGAAAUUGAAGAAUUAGCCAGAUAUGAUAUGAUGAAAGAGGGAAGUUUUCUUCCUUGAAUAUGGCCUUGUAAUUUGUAGUGAAGGAGUAGGAUGAUCACUAGCAAGAACCCUAUCAAGGUAGAUUUUAUGAUGUUAACAUAUUACUAAGCAUUUGUUUCUUUAGCAAUGAUACUUUCAUAGCAUGAAUUUAAUUAUAUGAUCCUGAUUAAUCAAUUAAUUUUCAUGAGUUUUAACCUAGUUAAAACGAAGUACAAUCAUCGUUAACAAAUACUGAAAUUGGGUAAAUAUGAUCUUGACAUUGAAGAAGAAUUUGAAAACACAACCCGCAGAGGAAAUUACCUAUUGCAUGGGGAUGGAGAUGUAUAUUGCAGCGAUAUAGAAUAUGUGCCAGGCGUUGUCUACUGCUCUUUGGGUUAUGGUGUGAUUUGCGAAUUCAAUGUUGCCCUGAAACAAUGGAAAAGAUUAACAUAUCCUCCAAUGAAUGAAAACGGCUUGACUAAUUUUGACUACCUACUUGACUCAGGAUCAGGUGACAAUAAUGGCGGUUUAUUAACAUUGCACGGCCCCAGUACUCUUCCAGGAUCAGAUACGAAGUAGUCUAAAGUUGAUAAUAAGAGUUUUAUUAAAUGACAAAUCAUUGUUGUUGGGUGUUGGUUAUAUACGUCAUUACAACUACAAGUUGAAGAUGAAGGUUAUGCAAGUGAUUUCAGAAAUACAAUACAUUCCAAGAGAUGCUGGUCUACAAUUGCAUGCCCCCAGAUAUAAGAAUCUUUUGAUUGGGGCAUUGAAAAUGAAGAAUUGAAAAUGAAGUUGCAAGUUGCCGCCUAUAGCUGCUGAGUAAUAAUAAAACGAGAUAAAUUAAUUAAUCUCAGACCUCUAUGUAUAUGUUAUCCUAACUUUACUUACCCUUAUUUGUUAUAUUCACUUAAAACUUGAUGCCUAAACCAUUAAAAUCAAAUGACCAUAGGGGUAUUUACAGUAUGUAAAAACAAACAAAAACACGUAAAAAAUUUCAAAAAAUUAAUAAUCACACUCUAAACUUACCACUCAACUCCUAAGAAUAGUCAUAAUCUAAAACAAUUUACAACUUUUGAAGGGAGUAGCUAUGAAGAUGGGGGAAAAUCCUUUUCUCAGUGGAGUGCCAUUGCCCAAGAGUUGCAAUGAAAACGGACCACAUACAGCUGUGCCGGAAGAUUCAACGAGGUAUGAAAAAGAUGAUAAUUUAAGUGAUAUGGGCAGUAAUUGUGAUGUCAGAAAGCAUUAGUAUUCUAUAUGUGAACCAUUAUUGACGACAUCAUUGGUUUUAUCUUAUUAAAAUGUGGAUGACUUCCAGUUACUAUUUUAUUAGAAACAAUCUUAUUCAAUUAACAUAUAGUUUAAAACUAUUAUGUAAAUCAAUCUAUUAAUUUUCAUGGUAUUUAACUGAGUUAAAACUAAGUGCAAUCAAUAAAUCUUUUUUUCUUUAAAAAACUGCUACGCUUUGAUUUUAUUACUUAAUAUUUAUUGAACUCUGGUACAGGAAAUUUGAAAUCAAACUCGUAACUACAGAUUAUCUAAUUGCGAGUUACUGUCCAUGGCUGCUGAUUUGUAGUGAUUGUCUAAUUGACUGAGGUGACAAUAUUUUUUUUUUAAUUUUCAAUAGCACAAUGUGAAAUUCAAUAAUUAAAUUCUCCUGUUUAAUUUGUUUCAAGUUAAAUUAUUAAUUACUUAAACUCUUUUUUAAGUCUUUAAUUUUACGUCAAGUGACUUGGACAUGACGUACAAUGAGAGUGACAGUAAACAAACAUUAAAACGUGUGGACUCCGGUAGCUGACCUACAAGUCUACAAUAAUAAAUUGGGCCGGGGUUAAGUUACAUGAUCACGUAACAAACAUUACAUGAAUGAGGGCCGUUAGAUGUGAACAGUAAAAUCGAAUGGAUGGGAAUGAAAUGAACAGAAAAAAAGAAGUGAUGGGAAACUGGGAAAACUGGUGAACGAAAACCGCUUGGGCCACCGGGUCAAAACAAGGGUUAUUGUUUGAAUUCGAUUCAGGAGGCAAGAAACCUGAUUUUUUGUAAUUCGAUUCAGCGCCAUUAAAGCUGGUUUUCACAGCAACUAUGAUUUUUUUUUUUUAUAAUAGCACCAACUCCUACCCUUAAUUUAUAAUCAAACAUUACAUCUUCAAGAUUUAAUUUAUACCAAUAUUCAGGGGCAGACGACCAUGAAAAGUUCCUUGGAGCUUCCAUUAAUGGAGUUAAAAAUUAAUAUCUCGUUGAUGACUACUCUCAGCACAAGCGGUGAAGUGGCUUUGGCUUUAGCAAAAACCUUCUAUGCAUCUUCAUCUUUUAAAAAGCACACCCUUUCUUGCUCCCCAGUUAGUCCACAUCAAAAUUACAAGCGAACAAGCGAUUCUUUUUUGAGUUAUUUGAUGAAGAGGCAGCAUAAUUCAUAAAAUCCAUAAGUUAUGUCCAGUCCUUUUAAUCAACUCAGGAAAAAAUUAGAAUGAAUCUAAUUAAACUUUUGAUUUUUUGCAUCCAAUACGAGCAGGACAUAAAACUGCAUCUUUCACCGGCUUCAGAUGGUCAGCAAAAACUUUCUUUUUUUAAGCGUUUGGGAGCAAAUCGGAUAAAGCUCUUCAUAAAAAUCAAAAAGUAACCCCAAGGAUCAUCCAGGUCAAUCUGCAUGAGUUUUGCUGUUCAUACAUGAGCCAUAGAAGCAAGUUGAACCGCCAAACCGGGCACUAUGGUAAGACGUGGAAACACCGGAUCCCAUUCGUACCUCGAUCUGUUCGUUUUCUCGUUCAGAACGGGCCGAUAUGCGCAAGUAAGAAGUUUCCUCAGCCUGAGAGUUCAAAGAAAUCAUGUCACUUUGGGUUGCACAGGCUAUAGGAGAAAUUAUUCUUUUCGACUUACUUUUUUCAACCGGCUACAAACCGCUUCAAUCGGUAAAAUUAGAAUUAUAAUAGUUACACGUGUUGUAAUGUUGUUGAUUUAUUUGUCAAUUUCUUUAAUGUUUGUUACAUGUUAUGUAAGGUAACGAGACCCAUAAUUGAGUGCAUAGAAUUUCAAUGAAUUUCUGCCCCGUUGAGUUCACCGACUAAACUUUUGUAAAAUUAAAAAAAAAAAAAGUACAUAAAAUUUCAGAAAGGCUAAUACUAAGUUAUAUGCAUGUAACUUACAACCCUCUUACAUAAAUAAUGAAUAAUAUGAGCCCACUCAUUAUUUAUGUAAGAGCAUUAUAAGUUACAUGCAUGUAACUUAAGGUGAUCCUUUCAGAAAAUACAAAACGCGCGGAAUUAACCAAAAUAUAAUUUAACAAAAAAGGAAAAAAAAAGUAAGAUUUUUAAAAUGUGUGGAAGGUAAUCCAUAUUUUAUUGAAAUGACUUGUCUCGAAUAUUAAAAUGAUUGAUUUUUUUUUUUAAUAAUAUCAACUUCCAUAUUUUCUACCCCAGAACAUGCUCACAUUCAAGUCAAUCUCGCUAAUUUGAAAUACAAAAUCAAAUCAACACCAAAGCAAUGAAAAGUAAAGCUUUUAAAUUUUAACUCCAGCUAGCAAACGUAUUCAGCGUUUUCAAAUUCUUCCCAUUGCAUCUUCCUCCAUCAAUGCAAUAUUUGAACGAUUAAGAAAGAGUUUGAGAACAUAAAAAAUCCCCAAGGCUUAUACGGUAUUAACAAAUUUAAAUUCUCAAUUAUAAUAGAUAAUAAUUAAACUAAUAAUUAUUUAUUUUUUUAUUUUAGUAAUUUCACCUAAGAAUAAUAUUGUAAUUAGAAAAAAAAUCUAAUAAGUAGGGUGGUCUUAUACAAAAUCAACUGCAUAUACAUAUAUAUAUAUAUAUAUAUAUAUGCAGAUGCAAAUGAUAAUUUUUAAUUCUUUUUUUUUAAUAAGAAAAUUGUGUAUUGAGAUGAAUGAGAUGUUUAAUUUAAUUAAUUUCCUUACUUUCAUAUACAUUGUCUUUCUAUCUAAAGAAAGCUUGGUGUUGAGAUCGACAUGAAGUUGCAAGUUGCUGCCCAUGCCUGGCUGCUGAUUAAUAAUAAAACGAGACAAACUAAUUAAACUCUGGCCUCCAUGCGUAUGUCAUCCUAACUUUACUUGCUCUUGUUUGUUAAUAUUCAUUCUUAGAGAGGUGAAAAAAUUACAAGUCUUGAAUAACAAGGAGUUUAAUUGCCUCUAACUUCACUUGGUCUAUCAAUUCCCCUGCAAUUUCGGAAGCCAAGCGCAAAAUCAUACAGAGAAUUAAUUAUCUUUUUAUUAUCAACCCAUCUUCAAGAAGAUUUUCCUCAAUUUGCCCCAGAGGAGUUGGAGCUGUGUUUCUGAUAAGCCAAAGAGAUAGUAGCAAUUAAUAUUGAUAUUGCCUACCCAAGAAAUAUGAGUGAAUUAAGUAUUAGCAAGACUUCAUUCAGAGGAGCAAUUAAACCACUUCCUUAUCAAUUGCGGCAGCCGUCUAUUAACUAAAAUGCCAAUCUAAUACAGGAAGAAACAACAUUUACAGAUUCGGCAAUUGAGUUCAUUAAGAAGUAGCAUCAUAUUCGGGUGAUGAGUUUCAUUUUUUUAAUAAUUUUAGUCUAAUUUCAAUUGUACUGUGACCGCUACUCAAGGGAAGUGAAAGUUACAGAUGUGGCAAAAUAAAUAAUUAAAUUAACAAAAAUGCUAACUAAUUUUCCUGAAUACCUAGGGUUGCACAAUUUCACCAACCUGGAAGAAUUGACAUUAGUGGACUGGUCUCCUCCCCAUAUAAUUAUAAUCCUUCUAGAAAGCUAAUUUUUAUUAAAUAUUUGCUUUUAAGUUAAUUUCAAUUAAAAAAUGUUUUAAGUUAUAUAUACUCUAAUGAGAUUCUGAAUUCCUUUCUUCCAAUAAUAAUGAAAACUUAUUAAAUUAGAAAUGAAAAAAUGGGCGUUGAUGAUUCAUCCUGAUUUGGAUAGAUUACUUGUAUAAAAUUGACAAUUUUGAUUUAAUUUUUGUUUAUUGUUAACUUUCAGGCUAUCUUAAUUUCAAGAAUUUAGAAUAUUAAUUUGGUCAUGGAUUUCAACCCGUGACUGUUAUAUUCUAUACUUAAUGGUACCAUUCUUGAUUGAGGGCAAUGACUCUCACUCCUCUUGUAAAAAAAUAUUUUCAACUAUUUUGAUGACUUAAAAAUUGAUAGAUUUAUUGUUGUCAUGACCAAAUUAUUCAUUCGGCAAAGCUUAUCUUACAUCACCUGUAACAAACAGCCAAUACAUAUGGGUGGUUAGAUUUUGAUAUUUCUUAAUCUAAUGGAUGAAAAUAAUUUUAACGCAAAACAAGGUAUGGGUGUAAUAGCUAUUUACAAAAAAAUUUAUUUUGAAUCACAUAUUACUUAUUUUUUCAAAUAAGUCCUCAUUAAUUUUUUAUAACUAAAUGAUUUUAUCGUCCAUCUCUUUUACAUCUAUUUUUAAAAAUUGUUAAAGUUUUUACUAAAUUUUUAUAAAGAUCUAAAUGAUUAUCAUGUUUAUAAAAAUCUACAAAUUCUAAAUAUAUAUUUGCAUUUACAUUUAUAAUUUUUUGUCUCUCUUAAAAUAUAAACUAGAUUUUUUUUUCUUUUAUAUAAUUCAAGAUGCUAAAUUUAGAUAAGAGAUAUUAUAUGUGAUAAAUAUAUUAUGACUCUAAUAAAUUACUAGAAAGAUGGUAAAAUGAAUAAAUUAUUGGAACCUCUAAUAAUUUCACAAAAUAUAAAAAUUAAUAAAUUAUCACAUUCUAGCUAUACACAAAGAGGAUUUUCGUAUGAAAGAUUAAAAUCCUUUGACCUAAUCAAUGAUUCAGACAUGCGGAGAAAUAAUCAAUUAAAUUAAAUUUCACUAUAUUUAUCAAAUAAAUUAGGAAAACCCAAAUUUAUCUAUAAAUGAUAUAAAAAAAAUGAAAUAUUAAAAAUUAAAAAUUUCAAUGAAGAAAACAUACAACAAAUUAAAAAGUUAGGAGUUCAAAUGAGUAAAAAGUCUGCGCUCUUACCAUUUGAGUUAGCCUUCGCCUCAACUUGAACUUUAUUAUUUUUUUGUAACCCUAAUUGACAUCAACUUUAACUUUAUUAUGUUAUUAUUUCAAUCCCCCAUUAUGCCUUUUUAAUACUCCAUUAUACCAUUUUUAUAGUGCAAAUUUAAUUGCACAUCUAAAUAAAUUGAUUAUUGUUACUCCACCACCAAUAUUUCGAAAAGUCACUAGACCAUUCCUGCCUUUAGUUUCCCUUAAGUUUAACCAUUGACUGUUUUUAGCAUCUUAAAAUAUACAUUUAUUCCUUGAUUAUGUGAUAAAUUUAUGAAAAUAUCCAUUUAACUUAAAUUAAUUGGAAUAACCAUGCGUAACAUAAAUUAAUAGAACAAAAUUAUCAAGUGUAUGUUCUAUCUUACUUUUUGAAGAAUUUAACAUAUAUAAUGCUAUACUAUUAAUUAUAUCCUGAUUUUCAUCGAUUAUAGCGAGAGUUUCUCCAAAUCAACUCCCUUAUUCAAAUAAUACAGAAAAAAUAGUAAUUUAAUUGUAAAAAAAACAGGUGUUGAUUAUAUAUCCUAAGUUUCGUCGAUUAUGUGAUCAAAGCGGCAUUGUUGAUUUAUUUCUUUUUCAAUGUUGAUUUUUAGGUUAUAUAAAUUUCGAGGAUUUAAAAUCUUUGGUCAUGGAUUACAUGCUUAUUAAUUUUUCUGCCAUUGACUGUCAUAUUCUAUACUUAAUGGUACCUUUCUUGAUCAAGGGUAAUUACUCUCUCUUCUCCUCUUAUAAAUUCCUCUUCCAUUAACAUCACUAGGAGUAUGUUGAUCUCUCAGACGUUAACUUGAGUGGAGAGUUUCCAAAUUGAUUGUUAUAAAACAACACAAAAACUAGACAUACUUGAUCUGUCUAAUAAUUCUCAUUCGGUAAAAUUAAUUAAUUUUAGGAGAAUAUUGGGCCAAACUAAUUGCACUCAAUAAAUCUCUUUUCCUUUAAAAAACUGCUACGCUUUGAUUUUAGUGCUUAAUAUUUGCUGAACACCGAUACACGGAAUUUGAAAUCAAACUCGUAACUACAGAUUAUCUAAUUGCAAGUUUCUGUCCAUAGCUGCUGAUUUGUAGUGAUUAUCUAAUUGACUGAGGCGACAACAAUUUUUUUUUUUUAAUUUUCAAUAGCACAAUGUGGAAUUCAAUAAUUAAAUUCUCCUUCAUAAUUUGUUUCCAGUUAAAUUAUUAAUUACUUAAACUCUGUUUUAAGUCUUUAAUUUUAUGUGUUUAUGCAGAAUUGGAUUCUUGAGCGUGUUGGACACGACCAACAAUGAAAUUGACAGUAAACAAACAUUACAACGUGUGGACUCCGGUAGCUGCCCUACAAGUCUACAACUUUACAAAUAAUACUUGAGUAAGCACCUUUGAUUCUCCGGACCCUUCAAUGAAUUUCUAGCCCCGUUAACUCCACCGACUAAAGUUUUGUAAAAUAAAAAAAAAAUACAUGGAAUUCCACCAAAUGCAAAACGCGUGGAAUUUAAUUUUCGGCCGUGUGGACCAAAACAUAAUUUAAUGAAAAAGGAAAAAAAUGAUAAGAUUUCUAAAAUGUGUGGAAGGUGAUCCAUAUUUUACUGAAACGACUUGUUAAAUUUUUUAAGAAUUUAGAAUAUUUGAUCAUAAAUUACAUGCAUGUUAAUUUUUCCGUCAUUGACCAUCAUAUUCUAGACUUACCUUUCUUGAUGAAGGGUACUUAGUCUCUCUUCUCCUCUUAUAAAAAUUAUAUUAAUUGAUUUCUUGUUAUAGUUAAUAGUCUUUAAGAACGUAUAGAUUUAUUGUUUUCAUGACCAAAUUAUGCCCGGCUAAGGUUGCGACUAUUAAUAAAAUUAAUAUUUAAUGUUUAUGUUAAAAGAUAUAAGAUUUUGUGCAUUCAUUUUGUGCAUUCAUUAAUUGUUAUUAGCUAAAGGAUGAAUUUUUUUUUCAACCCAAUCAGUUGAUACAUCUGCAAGAGUUUUUUCUUUCAUUGACCAUAAUUAUAUUCCGGGUACAACAAAUUGUCUUUGGUGCUUGGAAAAUAUGACUUCUUACUUCAAGUUUGAUACGUCUCUCACCAUAAGCGUACUGGAAAUAUAUCCUCAUCUUCUGUCAUUUAUCUAGGACCUUGCUACGUUACAGACUCUGUAUGUAACGCAGCAAAUGAGGAGCAUCCACGCGUUGCAGGAGAGAGGAAAAGUUGUUGGAAUUUAGCUGAUACAAGACUAAUUUCCAUUGAGCUGUUACAUACAGAGUCUGUAAGGUAGUUUUGUCCCAUUUAUCUAAUAUCAAUUGAAGAUCUCACUUUUUCAAACUAUCACUUCCAAGUAUCAUUGUCACUUGGCCAUUCUUGGACCAUUCAAAACCAAUCAAGUGUUGAAAUAAUCAAAUAUAUGCAAAAUUAGAGUCAUGAUUUUCGGUCCCCCAAAUUCUAAUUAUAUAACUUCUAUAUAUCUCAUUGUCAGGUCACGAACUUGUUGGCACAUUUUCCAAAUUCCUCUUCCAUCAGCUCUCACAUGUUAACUUGAGUGGAAAGUUUCCAACUUAAUUGCUAGAAAGCAACGCAAAAUCGGACACACUUGCUCUGUCCCAUAAUUCUCUUUUCUACGUUGAAAAAGAAAAAAAAAAGAAAAAAGAAAAUAUAUCUAUGUAAAAUUAAAUAAUAAACUGAGCAAAAGUACAUUUGUUUAAUUAACAUCUGAUCGGGGCAUUUUUGGUGUGAUUUCGUGCUGUGUAAGCCACAACUAAAAUCAAACAGCCCCUUAGCAUACUUCUUCCAUUUUAUCUGCUACUUUUGUGGAUCUUAUAGGGUGGGCAUGUGGACAGAAUUUAAAAGUUUUAAUAGUCUCAAAGAAUAAAAUAUGUUAAAGCUGAAGUUGAAAAAAUGGGUGUUGAUGAUUCAUCCUGAUUUGGAUAGAUUACGUGAAUAAAAUUGACAAUUUUGAUUUAAUUUUUGUUUAUUGUUAAUUUUCAGGCUAUCUUAAUUUCAAGAAUUUAGAAUAUUAAUUUGGUCAUGGAUUUCAAUCCGUGAGUAUCAUAUUCUAGACUUAAUGGUACCAUUCUUGAUUGAGGGCAACGACUCUCACUCCUCUUGUAAAAAAAUAUUUUCAACUAUUUUGAUGACUUAAAAAUUGAUAGAUUUAUUGUUGUCAUGACCAAAUUAUUCAUUUUAAUGAAAUAUAAUUAAUGCAUCAAAAUUAGCAGGUGUAUGUUCUAUCUUACUUUUUCAAUACUGCACCUUUUCAAUACUGUUUCUCUUGUAAUUUUCUUUUUCCUUUUUUCAAUGAAAAAAAAGGGAAGGUUUUUCCGAGUAAUCCAUUAUUUGAUUACCGUCAAUCAAGAAAACGACCAAAUUAAUUUCUCUCCAUGAGCUAGAAAAUUUUGUUAUUUGAAAAUAACAUCAUUAAUUAUAGAGUGGAUCAAACCGUGUUAUUGUCUUUCAUAAAAUUGAUGUCUUUUUAAGAGUCAAUACUUUUUAUUUACGCAAACCAGUCGACAUCAAUUUAAACUUCCAUAUUUUUAUUAUUAUUAUGUUAUUUAUUUUAUCAGCGGCUAUAUAUCAAGAAAGCGACAAAAUUUAUUUCUCAUGACUUCCAAAAACUAGAAAACAACAUCAUUAAUUGGGGUUGAUCAAACCGCAUUAUUAGUGUCACACUAUAUUUGUACAACCAAGUCAACAUCAAUUUUUUUAAAUUUUAUAAAUUAAGAAGAUCAUUUUGGCCUUACAGAGUCUGCGCUCUCACCAUUUGAUUUAGCCUUCGCCUCAACUUGAACUUCAUUAUUUUUUUGUAACCCUAAUUGACAUCAACUUUAACUUUAUUAUGUUAUUAUUUCAAUCCCCCAUUAUGCCUUUUUAAUCCUCCAUUAUACCUUUCUUAAAGUGCAAAUUUAAUUGCACAUCUAAAUAAAUUGAUUAUUGUUACUCCACCACCAAUAUUUUGAAAAGUCACUAGACCAUUCCUGCCUUUAGUUUCCCGUAAGUUUAACUAUUGAUUGUUUUUAGCAUCUUAAAAUAUACAUUUAUUCCUUGAUUAUGUGAUAAAAUUAUGAAAAUAUCCAUUUUAGCUUAAAUUAAUUGGAAUAACCAUGCGUAACAUAAAUUAAUAGAACAAAAUUAUCAAGUGUAUGUUCUAUCUUACUUUUUGAAGAAUUUAACAUAUAUAAUGCUAUACUAUUAAUAAAUUUAUCAUUUAAUAUAUAUGUUCAAAUAUUUUAUAUAUUUAUUAAUUGUUAUAUAGUCAAAGGAUGAAUGAUUUUUCAGGUCUACAUGAGUUGGUGCAUCUGCAAGACUCAAUUUUGACAACAAUGAUCUAAGGGGUAAUUUACCUUGCUGUUUGAAAAAUAUAACCUCUCUUCAUGAUUUACUUCCAAUCUACUUACUGUAAAUAUCUCCUCAUCUCCUCUAACUUAUAUGAUAACCCUUGAAGAUCUCACAUUUUCAAACGAUCAUAUUAGGGUUUUUAUUCUUAGCAUCAUCGUGUCAAUAAUAUAUGUUGCAGUAAGAUUUUUUCAGACCAAUUCCCUUCUUCAAAUAAUAAUGGAAAAGUAUUAAUUUAAAAAUAAAAUGAAUAUGCAUUGAUUAUAUCCUGAUUUUCAUCGAUUAUAGCGAGAGUUUCUCCAAAUCAACUCCCUUAUUCAAAUAAUACAGAAAAAAUAGUAAUUUAAUUGUAAAAAAAACAGGUGUUGAUUAUAUAUCCUAAGUUUCGUCGAUUAUGUGAUCAAAGCGGCAUUGCUGAUUUAUUUCUUUUUCAAUGUUGAUUUUUAGGUUAUAUAAAUUUCGAGGAUUUAAAAUCUUUGGUCAUGGAUUACACGCUUUUUAAUUUUUCUGCCAUUGACUGUCAUAUUCUAUACUUAAUGGUACCUUUCUUGAUCAAGGGUAAUUACUCUCUCUUCUCAUCUUAUAAAUUCCUCUUCCAUUAACGUCACUAGGAGUAUGUUGAUCUCUCAGACGUUAACUUGAGUGGAGAGUUUCCAAAUUGAUUGUUACAAAACAAAACAAAAACUAGACACACUUGAUCUGUCUAAUAAUUCUCAUUCGGUAAAAUUAAUUAAUUUUAGGGGAAUAUUCGGCCAACCUCUAUAAUUUCAUAGUGAUCAUUAAUUAAUUAAACGAUACAAAUAUCUAAAGUGAUUAGAUGUUUGCUGACAAUACAAGUUCAUGGCUUGAAAUUUGAUCUCUAUCGAUUGAUUUACAAAUGGAAGUACUUGUGCCUUUGUGGCGAUAAUUGAACCAGAGAUGUGAAGCUGUAAAGAUUUGGCAGUAGUAAAUUGUUAAUUAUAAAGACAUAAAGAAAAGUUCCCAUGAUUAUUAUUUUUCCAAAAACUUUUUUACAACAAAUUCAUCUCGCCAAAAAUUAUAUUUUGCUAACAAACAAUAAUUGAGUACUUGGCCGUAUUGACUUCACGUCUCCACCUGCUUUCUAAGUGAAAACAUGGAAAUGUGUAAUUUCCACAAAAUGCCAAACGUGUGGAAUUUAAUUUUUAGCCUUGUGGACUAAAAUGCAAAUGAAAGAAAAAGGGGAAAAAACAAAAAAGAGCCCAAAGACUUUUAAAACGUGUAGAAGUCUUUGGGCCCCAAAGACUUCUAAAACGUGUGGAAGUCUUUGGGCCUUUUUAUAAUGGUGGAUUUUUUUUUUUUUUUUUAAAUUGGAAACUUCAUUAAGAGGCAAAGAUUACAGAGAAGUCCCCAGUUCGAGUCGCAGGAAAGUCGCCUUUGUUGGGAGAACCUGUGCCUCUCGGUUCGAGUGGGGACUUCUAGUCUAGGUUGUGGUACGGACUUAAAGGUGUCUCCCACAGUUGGGGCCCUCCCCAGAAUACCUCGUGGUCAAAACAAAAAAAAAAAAAAAAAAAGAUUACAGAGAAGUAAAUAACCAAGGAGGUGGGACAUGACUCCACUCCUCAAAGCCUGACAAAGAACCCCCCACCCGAGCGGUAACAUGGGCGGCAGUGUUCAAAGACCUUCGAAUAAAAGAGAACUCAAUAUCUCCUAUAGACUUAGCUAAAGCUAGACAAUCAUCAAGAAUAAGACCAUACCCAUUCGGACAAGAAUAGCUUGCUGUGAGAGCUUUAAAAACCUGGAAGCAGUCCAUUUCUACUACAACACAAGACAAAUGCCGCUUCUUAAUCCAGCUGAGGAUCUCACGCACACCAAGCGCUUCAGCAUCCCUUGCACCAAAACUACCCAGGACAGAUGCACAGCAAGCUGCCACAAACAGCCCAUCAGAGUUGCGAAUGACCCCUCCAUAACUUACUUUUCCCUAAGCUGAAAAUGUUGCGGCAUCAACGUUACACUUAAGCCAACCUAACUGAGGAGGUGUCCAGCAAAUUGCCCCAUGACGGCCUUGGAAACAAGUAGCAUUAUUGACAUCAGAUUUCUGCCUCGCAAUUUGACAUUGAAACAAAUAAUUUCCAGCAGAGUUGAGGACAUGACGCACACUACAGACUUUGUUAUUCCAAACUUUGGAUUUUUUAAAAGAAAAAAAUAACAACACUUCUAUGGUUUGUUUUGAUAAUCAUAUUUACAUAUACUCUCUAAUUUUCAAAAUGGACAUAUAAUUUUUUUUUACAAAUAUAUAUUAUUCGUAUUUUUUAUUAUUUUUAUUAUCAUAUUUUUAUUUAUUAUAAAUGUUUAAAGUAAAUUUUUAGGUUGAAAUAUAAUAAAAGGGUAUAAUCGUUCUCUUAUUAAAGACACAUACUUUUAUUUUCUAUCCAUUUGUCAUCUCAAUCACUCUCAAUUAUUCUUUAUUGCUAGCUCAAAACGUGUUGCUGUUGCAAAUUAUAGCAAAAUGAAAAAUAUGGAAAAAAAAAAGGGAAGAAAAUUAAUGCAUGAAAGACUUGGAGAAAACAACCAAAUAAGUCAACUAUAAUCAAGCUGGGUGUAUAAAUUGUUUGAUGUGUCAUAAGCAAAUAGAGAGACGGACAGUGUGUGCGUUUUUUAAUAGUUAAAGAUAUAGAUAGAAUGGGUGGUUCAAAAUCAAAAUUGGUGAUAAUGUUUGUUCUGUUAUUAAUAAUAUUAGAAGGUGGGGGGAGUGAGAGAUGUUUGGAUCAAGAGAGAUUUGCUCUUUUGCGACUUAAACUUUUCUUUGAUGAUCCUUUUAAUUCGCUUCACCACUGGGUAGAUGAUGAGGGAGCUACUGAUUGUUGUCAAUGGGAAAGGGUUGAGUGCAGCAACACCACAGGUCGAGUGAUACAACUAGACCUUUCUUUCAUUGGGAAUUGGGAUUUGAAAGAGCGGUAUCUGAAUGCUUCUUUGUUUACUCCCUUUCAACAACUUGAGUCACUUUAUUUAAAAUACAACAAUAUAGCCGGUUGUGUUGAGAAUGAAGGUGCUUCGUUUAAUUUAAUUAAUUUACUUUCUCUCCCCUAAUUUAUGUUGAAUAUCAAGACCAAGCAAUUAUAUGCAUAUUCAUUCAGUUGACAAUUUUGACUAAUUUUUUUUAAAUGAUUAAUUUUGAAAUUACACGAGUACAAUUUUUAAAUGAUCUUUUUUUUUAUUUUACUUGCAGGUAUAGAGAGGCUAUCAAGAUUGAGCAACUUGAAGAUGCUUGAUUUAAGUGAAAACUUGUUCAACAAUAGCAUCUUAUCAUCUGUAGCUCAUCUUUCAUCAUUAACAUCAUUAUAUUUAUAUUCGAAUAGAUUGGAAGGAAGUAUUGAUGUUAAAGGUACAUAAUUAAAAUUUCAUCUCUUCUCCAAGCUCUUUCAUUAACUUGCUAAAAUAAGAUUCAAGGUUUUGAAUUCAAUUUUUUUUUAUGAUUAAUAUUGAAGAAAAAAAUAAUUUUAAGCAAUUCAUAAAUACAAGUUCUAAUGUUUCUCAUAAUUUUAUCUUGUACUUUUUCGUAUGUCUUGAAUUUAAGAUUAAAAAAAAACUCUAAUGGGGAACCAAACACAUCCACAACUUAUUAUUAUUAUUUUCUAAUUUUUCUGUGUGUUUUGAAACAUUCAACUCAAUUUGUACUUUUUACAGAAUUAGAUUCUUUGAGAGAUUUGGAGGAGCUAUACAUUGGUUGGAACAUGAUUGACAAAUUUGUGGUCCCAAAAGGUACUACAAAUACCAUUAAAAAAUUUAAAUUUUUACAAAUUAGGUAGAUUCUUUGCCAUUUGGUUCAUUAUUUUACAAAUUAGCUAGAUUCUCUGAAUUUAGACAAUGAAUUUUGAUUUUCUUAAAUCCUAUUAUAAUUACUAUUAAAAAACAGGUUACAGAGGUUUGAGGAAGUUGAAAAGCCUAGGUCUAUCGGGAGUUGGAAUUACAAAUGGAAGCAAGUUGUUACAGUCAAUGGGAUCAUUCCCAUCCCUCAACACUCUUCACCUUUCGUUUAAUGAAUUUACGGAAACAGUAACAACUACUACUCAAGGUAAGUAAAUGGUACAUAUGUCGCCAAAUUUAUAAAUAAACUGUUAAUUAAUUAAUUAAUUUUUUCGUAUUAUUAAGAAAGCUAAAUUCGUUGCUCCUUCCUUUUAAAUCUAAACAGAGUUGCACAAUUUCACCAACUUGGAAUAUUUGACAUUGGACUAUUCCUCUCUCCAUAUAAGCCUUCUGCAAAGCAUUGCAUCAUUCACUUCGUUAAAAAAUCUGUCGAUGUCUUAUUGUGAAGUCAAUGGCGUCCUAAGCGGUCAAGGUAAAAGAAAAGUGUUGAUUGUGAAUAAGCUGUUAAUUAAUUAAUGUUGUUGCUCCUUGCUUCUAAACAGAGUUGCGCAAUUUCACCAACUUGGAAUAUUUGAAUUGGACUCUUCUUCCUCGCUUGUCAAAUAUUGGACUCUUCCUCGCUUGCGCAAUUUCAUCAUUCACUUCUGCAAUUUCUUGAAGAAUGAAUUUAUUUAUUUAUUUAUUAUUGUUGUAGUUGUUGUUGUUGUUGAAGUGGGGUGGGCAAGCGUUCACUCAAUUAAUAUGUGGGGAAUUAAAUAUUAACAUCAACGUAGAAUUGUGGAAAAUUAAAGUAAAAUGAGAAAUAUGGAAUGAAAGGAAGAAAGUUAAGAGCAUGAAAGACUGGGAGAAGAAUAAAGACCACCAAAUAAGUCAACUGAAAACAAGCUGAGGCCUGGGUGUACAAAUUGUUAGAUGUGUUUAUUAUAAAUAACAUAGAGCCCUCUUGUUGGUUGCAGAGGCAGAGAGACAGAGAGUGUGCAUUUUAUUAAUUAAAAAUAUUUAUAGAAUGGGUGGUUGCAAAAUCCAAAAUGGUGAUAAUGUUAGUUUUGUUAGUAUUAAUAAUAUUAGAAGGGGGGUAGUGUGAGGGAUGUUUGGUGCAUGAGAGAUUUGCUCUUUCGAGACUUAAAACAUUUCUGCAAACCUCCUUAUAAUUUUCGUCACGAAUGACCGCUGUCAACACCACAGGCUGAGUGGUAUCUGAAUGCUUCUUGGUUUACUCCCUUUCAACAAUAUAGUCGGUAGUGUUGAGAAUGAAGGUGUUUCGUUUAAUUUAAUUAAUUUACUUUCUCCCUCCUAAUUUAAGUUGAAUAUCAAGACCGAGCAACUAUAUGCAUAUUCAUUUAGUUGACAAUUUUGACAUAUUUUUUUAAAUGAUUAAUUUUGAAAUUACACCAAACAGAUGCGAUCUCUGUUUUGAUUUUACUUGCAGGUCUAGAAAGAUUGGCCAACUUGAAGAUGCUUGAUUUAAGAGGAAACUUGUUCAAUAAUAGCAUCUUAUCAUCUCUAGCUCGUCUUUCAUCAUUAACAUCAUUAGAUUUAUCUUACAAUCGAUUGGAAGGAAGUAUUAAUGUUAAAGGUACGUAAUUAAAACGUCAUCUCUUCUCCCAACUCUUUCAUUAACAUGCUAAAAUAAGAUUCAAGGCUUUGAAUUCAAUUUUUUUAUGAGUAAUAUUAGAAAAAUAGUUUUAAGCAAUUCAUAAAUACAAUUUUCAAUGUUUCUCAUAAUUUCAUCUUGUACUUUUGUAUGUCUUGACUUUAAGAUAAAAAAAAAAAUUACUCUAACUAUGAAGCAAAUACCCCAUGACUAAUUUAUCAUUUUGUCCAGUUAAAAAUGAUAAAAUUUAUCAUUUUGUUUUUAUUGAUUAAUUAACUCUGUUUUAAGUCUUAAGUCUUGGCUUCUUGGCAUGUUUGCAGAAUUUGAUUCCUUGAGCAACUUAGAGGAGUUGGACAUGAGCGGCAAUGAAAUAGACAAUUUUGAGGUUCCUCAAGGUAAACUAUUAAAAUAUUAUUCAAUUACAUUAAUUUAAUUCGUUUGAUUAGGGAAGGCCCAAAAGGUACAGAAACAUAAUUGAAAAAAAAAAUAAAGAAACAGAGAAUUCAUAUUAUUUCAAAAAACAAAAGGUAAUACUAUUAUUUCAAAAAUAGAAUGUAAUAAAGAUUUGAUUUCGGUUCUUUAAUCUUUACAGCAAUUGAAAAACAAUGUUGCUCUAAAUAUGAAAUGACUCCAAAUUGAAUUAGUCAUUUAUUUCGUUUAGCUCUAAAUUUAGAAAAAAUGAAUUUUGAUUCUCUUCAAUUCUUUCAAAAUUAUUAUUAAUAAACAGGUUACAAAGGUUUGAGGAAGUUGAAAACUUUGUAUCUAUUGGGAGUUGGAAUUAGAGAUGGAAGCAAGUUGUUACAGUCAAUGGGAUCAUUCCCAUCCCUCAACAAUCUUGACCUCUCUUAUAAUAAUUUUACCGAUACAGUGACCACUACUCAAGGUAAGUAAAAGGUAUAGAUGUGGUCAAAUUCAUAAACAAACUCUUAAUUAAUUAAUUAAUUUUCCAUAUUAUUAAUAAAAGUGAAAUUUGUUGCUUCUUCCUUCUAAUUCUAAACAGAGUUGCACAAUUUCGCCAACUUGGAAUAUUUGACAUUGCACGGUUCCUCUCUCCACAUAAGCUUUCUGCAAAGCAUUGCAUUAAUGUUUCCUUCGUUAAAAAAUCUGUCGAUGCUUGAUUGUAAAGUAAAUGGUGUCGUACGUGGUCAAGGUAAAAGAAAAGUGUUGAUUGUGAACUCAUUGUUGUCCUACGUGUUCAACAUUUUAUUUAUUUAUUUUAUUGUUUAAUGUUUCUGCUAGGUUUUCCUCAUUUCAAGAGUUUGGAACAUUUGGACAUGGAUGACUUGCGCAUUGUACUCAACACCAGCUUUCUUCAAAUCAUCGGUGAAUCGAUGCCUUCUCUUAAGUACUUAUCACUGUCAUAUUCUAGUGCUAUCACUAACAGCAGUGGGAUUCUUCAAGGUUAAUAAGAUGCUCCCACCGUUCCCUCUUAAUCUAUAAUAUUAAUUUUUGAUUAAAUAUAUAAUUACAAAAACCAAUCACUUAUAAAAGAAUGCUAUGUAUUUGUUAAUUUUUUUAUUGUACUGAUGGAUAAAUUAAUAAAUUUUCAGGCCUCUGUUCGCUGGUGCAUCUGCAAGAGUUGCACAUGGCUGAUAAUGAAUUAAGAGGUAGCUUGCCUUGGUGCUUGGCAAAUAUGACAUCCCUCCGAAUAUUAGAUGUUUCUUCCAAUCAACUUACUGGAAGCAUCUCCUCAUCUCCCCUCUUUUACUUGACAUCCAUUGAAGAGCUGAGCCUUUCAAACAAUCACUUCCACAUCCCAAUUUCACUUGAACCACUUUUUAAUCACUCAAGACUCAAAAUUUUCUAUGCUGACAACAACCCAAUAAAUGCAAAAAUAACUAAGUCACAUACUUUGACCACCCCAAAAUUCCAACUAGCAUCUCUUUCAUUGUCUUCCAGUUAUGGAGAUGGUGUCACAUUCCCCAAAUUCCUUUACUAUCAACAUGACCUGGAGGAUGUUCAUUUCUCACGCAUACAAAUGAAUGGAGAAUUUCCAAAUUGGUUGUUGGAAAACAACACAAAAUUAAGACAACUUUCUCUCGUCAAUGAUUCUCUUGCAGGACCUUUUCGAUUGCCAAUUCAUUCACACAGGCAUUUAAGACUGUUGGAUGUCUCCAACAACAACUUCCAAGGCCACAUUCCAGUAGAAAUUGGAGAUAUUUUACCACGUUUAAUAUCCUUCAACAUUUCAAUGAAUGCUUUGGACGGUAGCAUUCCCUCUUCAUUUGGUAAUAUGAACCUUCUCCAAAUUCUGGACUUAUCCAACAACCAAUUGACUGGUGAAAUCCCCGAGCACUUGGCCAUGGGUUGCGUCAACUUGGAGUUUCUUGCAUUAUCAAACAACAGCUUAAAAGGUCAUAUGUUCUCCAGAAACUUUAACCUGAUAAACUUGAGAUGGUUACAAUUGGAAGGCAAUCACUUCGUAGGAGAGAUCCCACAAAGUUUGUCUAAAUGCUCCUCACUAGAAGGAUUGUAUCUUAAUAAUAACAGUCUCUCGGGUAAGAUUCCACGAUGGUUGGGUAAUCUCACAUGGUUAAUACAUAUUAUAAUGCCCAAGAAUCACCUUGAAGGUCCUAUUCCAGUGGAGUUUUGUCAUCUUUAUUCGCUUCAGAUUUUGGACAUUUCAGACAACAAUAUAUCUGGAAGUUUACCAUCUUGUUUCCAUCCUCUCUCUAUCACACAAGUUCACCUAUCGAAAAAUAUGUUACAUGGACAGCUAAAAGGAGGUACUUUCUUUAAUUGCUCUUCCCUUGUGACAUUAGAUCUUAGCUAUAACCUCUUGAAUGGCAGCAUUCCAGAUUGGAUUGAUGGGCUUUCUCAGUUAAGCCACCUUAUCUUAGGUAACAAUAAUCUUGAAGGUGAAGUGCCAGUUCAAUUGUGUGGAUUGAACCAACUACAAUUGUUAGAUCUUUCUAAUAAUAAUCUUCACGGUCUUAUUCCUCCUUGUUUUGAUAACACCAAACUUCAUGAAAGUUACAACAAUAGUUCUAGUCCUGAUGAGCAAUUUAAAAUAUUGUUUUCCAUCAAAGGCCAUCAGGGACAUGUAGAAAAGAAAAUCCAAGAAUUUUUUGAGUUCACAACAAAGAACAUUGCGUACAUUUUCCAAGGAAAAGUGCUUAGCCUCCUAUCAGGACUUGAUCUUUCUUGUAACAAGCUAAUCGGUCAUAUUCCUCCUCAAGUUGGAAAUUUGACAAGGAUUCAAACAUUGAAUCUAUCACACAACAACUUGACAGGAUUGAUCCCAUCAACAUUUUCAAACUUGAAGCAAAUCGAAAGUUUGGAUCUUUCCUACAACAAAUUGAAUGGGAAAAUCCCUCAUCAACUUGUGGAGUUAAAGGAAUUGGCUGUUUUCAGUGUGGCAUACAAUAACUUAUCAGGCGAAAUUCCAGAAUGGAAAGCACAAUUUGCAACCUUCAACGAGAAUAGCUAUGAGGGAAAUACUUUUCUUUGUGGACUGCCAUUACCCAUUUGUAGAUCACCAACAACUAUGUCGGAGGCUUCAAUCGAAAAUGAACGAGAUGAUAAUUUAAUUGACACGGACAGUUUUUUUAUCACAUUUACAACAUCGUACGUAAUUGUGAUAUUCGGAAUUGUUACUGUUUUAUAUGUAAAUUCUUAUUGGCGACAUAGAUGGUUUUACUUUGUUGAAAUGUGGAUAACUUCAUGUUACUAUUUUGUUGUAGACAAUCUUAUUCCAACAAGAUUUUGUCAUUGAAAUUAAUUAGUAGUUUAAUUACAAUUCUUUAAGUACUAAUCAAGUUUGCUUAGGAAAUAAAUUUAUUUUUAUUUUUAUUAAAAUUGUAGUAGUAUUUAGCAUUAUAUAGCUUCCAACUUCCAAGCACUUCACAUUUGUCUCUACACUUAAAAAGCUGAGUGAUCAUGUUUUACAGAUAUGGAUCUGGAGUAGGAUAGAUCCAAACACCAAACUCAUAUCUGUCCAUCAUAGCUUAUAGCUUCCCUAUACUGUGCAGCAUACUUAAAUAAGAGAAUCAUCUCCAAUGUUAAAAGCAGCCACUCUAUAACAUUCAUUUAGAAACUAUAUUCAGAAUAGUUUUAUAAUCAUACACAAGAAAUGAAACACCUAGAUGCACUUGAUCGCCUAUUUUACUCUGAAAAAGAACAAUUAUGGUGCUAUCAUCAUCUUCUCAAUUAGCAACAUUAACACUAAAUCCAGCGAUGGACCCAGACAUUUCAUCAAGAAAGGUAUAUAUCUAAUAAAGUUGAAGCUUGACAAAAAAUUCAGGAAGAUUAAUGCCUCGCCACAACAAGGGGCACAACAACAUCAAAGUAGAGAUAAAACAGUAUUCUCAAAGCUAAAACUCUCAAAUCCACCCACCAGAAUUUCAUAUCUCCUCAACAAUUUUAAAAACUAAAGGUAAUUAGGAUUUAACAUUAAUUUUUUAUAUAUUAGUUUCAUAAUUUACAAAUCAAUGAAGAUGAAGAUUAUGCUAAUGAAUUCAAAUUAUACCAUACAUUCUCUAGAUUUUACCAAAAAUUUCCAAGUCAAUCCCACAUAUUUCAUAAUUUUAAGACUGGAAAGUGUUAUGCCAAAACUCAGUAAAGAACUGACAAUGGCUCCCCAAGAUCCACUCAAGAAGGGUUCUUGUAUCUAAAACUAUUGUGAGCCCAAGCAAUCAAAGCAAGUCAAUGAAAGAAUUAAAAGAGGCAGAAAGAACAAUACACAGGAAAGCUUAUAGUGGUUCGGCUAUGGAAGCCUACAUCCACUGUGAAAGGGUGAAUCCAAGUUUGUAUUCAAUGAGUGUCUUACAGAGUACAAGCUUAUUAGAGAAGCUUAACCAUUCAUGAACAACAUGACAUAUUCCAGAAUACCCAGCUAUAUAUAUAAGCAAUGCUCGAUCAUCACCUGCAAGCUUCCCCUGUUAUCCGUGAAGAAGAACAGCAGCUUCCCGCGCUAAUUAACGGCUUAACAGACUCCUGAUAAGCCUCCCUCACACGUGUCUUCAUCUCUAUUAUCUUAAGUACUAAAACGACACUUCAAGCAGCCGUUUUGGUUAAGUGAAUCACGUGCAAACCACAAGCCUUCUUUGCGCACACAGACGACACAAUUUUCUUGUCAUAUAGCUAUCUCAGGACUGUCAACCAACGUGUAAUGGUGUUAACAAAUCUUCAACCGACUUGUCGCACUUGACUAUAAACUGAUUUGCAGUUCAUAUUCAACAUUCUCCACCUUGAGCUCAAAUCAUCCAUCCCUCAGGUUCACCCUUCCACUUCUUUCCUGCAGUCUAUAUCCUGCAGAUGCCAGCUGAGUUCAAACAGAACUCAAACUUGGCUCCUGGUACAGCUUUGGUAAGCAUGUCAGCAAUGUUGCUAUCAGUGUGUAUUUUAGCCAGCUUAAUCACACCCUUUGAUAUUUCCAAUCUGACAAAGUGAAGCUUGAUGUCAAUAUGCUUGGUUUUCUCGUGAUGUAUCUGGUUCUUACUCAGACAUAUAGCACUUUGGCUGUCACAGUGAAUUGUAAUUUGGUUUUGUUCAAAUCCCAGUUCUGUCACUAUCCCUCUGAGCCAGAUAGCUUCUUUGAUUGCCUCUGCAGCUGCUGUGUAUUUUGCCUCAGUUGUUGACAGAGCAACAACACUCUGCAGUGAAGCCUUCCAGUUUAUGGUGCAGCCAUUAAGCAUAAACAGAAAACCUGUUAAAGACCUUCUUUUAUCCAGAUCUCCAGCAUAAUCUGCAUCCACAUAACCCUCCACACUAACCUCUUCAUAUUUCUCAGCUCCAUAGAUCAGACCAUAACCAGUUGUACCAGCCAGGUAUCUUAAGAUCCAUACAACAGCCCUCCAAUGAUCUUUCCCUGGGUUUGCCAUGUACCUGCUUACCACACUCACUGCAUGAGAGAGAUCAGGCCUAGUCAGGACCAUUGCAUACAUUAAACAUCCAACAGCACUUGAGUAUGGAUAUUUAUUCAUUUCAGCCUUUUCAGUAUCAGAGUUUAGACACUGUUGGCAGGACAGUCUGAAAUGAGAGGGCAGUGGUGUCUGUACUGGUUUACAUUUAUCCAUAUUGAAUUUCUCAAGUACUUUCCUGAUGUAUUUGUGCUGUGUUAGGCUUAGGAUACCAUUCUUUCUGUCUCUCUUUAGCUGAACUCCAAGGAUCUUCUUUGCAGCACCCAGAUCCUUCAUCUCAAAUGUAUUGCUCAGCUGCUGUUUCAGUUCAUUGAUGAACUCCAUCUCCUUACAAGCUAUUAACAUAUCAUCUACAUAGAGUAGCAGGUAGAUCUUGUCACCACCUUCUAUGGUUUUAAAAUAGAUACAGCAGUCAAAACUGCUCCUUUGAAAACCAUGAUCUGACAUGAACCUGUCAAACCUUAGAUACCACAGUCUUGGAGACUGUUUUAAUCCAUAUAGUGACUUCCUUAGAUGACAUACAUGAUCAGUCUUUUCUGGAUCCUCAUACCUUUCAGGUUGUGACAUCACUAUCAUCUCAUCUAUUUCACCAUGCAAGAAGGGAGUCUUCACAUCCAUCUGUUCAAGAUGCAUGUCUUGUACAGCCACUAGAGAUAACAAGAUCCUCAGGGAGGCAUGUCUCACCACUGGGGAGAAAACUUUUGUAAAGUCCACCCCCUCUUUCUGAGUGAAGCCUUUUGCAACCAAUCUGGCUUUAUAUCUUUGUGGCUCAACAUCUGGUAUUCCCUCCUUAAUCCUGUAGAUCCAUUUGCACCCUACUACCUUCUUGUUUGCUGGUCUUUCAAUGAGAUUCCAGGUGUGAUUCUUUUUCAAAGACAUCAUUUCCUCAUCCAUGGCCUUGAUCCAUUCUUCUGCUUUAUCACUGUUAAUAGCUUCUGAGUAUGUUCUUGGUUCAUCUGUUGCUACUUCAUGUGCUGCUGUUAAUGCAAAUGCUAUUAGGUCUGCAUAUGCAUAUCUUCUAGGAGGUCUUAUUACUCUCUUUUCUCUGUCCCUUACUAACUGAUAAUCUCCACUUCUUCCCUGAUCACUUGCUGCUUCAAUCUCAGUGUCAUGCAUUUCCAUGUCUGCUAUGUCUCCAGCCUCUGAUCUUGGUUUCAGUUUCUAGUUUGAGUUUGACAGCUCCACCUCAAGAUAAGAUUUCUCAUCUUUUUCUUUCAUUUCUGCAUUUGUAGUUUUUAAGGAUGCUGAGUGUUGGAGCAUUUCAGCUUCAUUAAAAACUACAUCUCUGCUUAUGAUUGCUUUUGGUGGCUUCAUGUCUGUGCACCACAGUUUAUACCCUUUUACCCCUUCAGGGUAACCAAGAAAUACACACUUCAAUGCCCUAGGCUCUAAUUUGCCUUGUCUAAUGUGAGCAUAUGCUGGACAACCAAAUAUCUUCAAACUGGAGUAAUCUGCUGGUUCACCAUACCAAAGUUCAUAUGGUGUCUUGAAGUUAAUUCCAGUUGAAGGGCUUCUGUUCACAAUGUGACAAGCUGUUGACAGAGCCUCAGCCCACAAGGACAUAGGUAGCUUGGAGUGAAUGAGCAUACACCUCACUUUGUCAACUAAGGUUCUAUUCAUCCUCUCAGCUAAUCCAUUUUGCUGAGGUGUAUAUCUUACUGUUCUGUGCCUCAUGAUCCCAUGCUUGCUGCAAAACUCUUCAAACCUCUUGUUGCAGAAUUCUAAUCCAUUAUCAGUUCUGAGCUUCUUAACCUUCCUAUUGGUCUGAGUUUCAAUCAGUGUUUUCCAGUUCUUGAAAUGUUCAAACACUUCAUCUUUGUUCUUCAGCACAUACACCCAAACCAUUCUGGAAUGGUCAUCAAUUAGAGAUAGAAAAUACCUUGCCCCUCCUAAAGAUGUUGUUUGUGCAGGUCCCCACAGAUCAGCAUGUAUGUAUUCUAGAGUUCCUCUUGAAACAUGUGCACCUGUGCUGAAUUUGACUCUUGAUGAUUUGCCUAGGACACACUCCUCACAAAAUUUCAAGUACUCUAUUUUACCUUCACCCAAGACUCCCUGUUUUGAUAGUUCUCUCAAGCCUCUCUCACUCAUAUGGCCUAAUCUAAAGUGCCACAAUAAGGUUUUGUUUAGGUUCUGGUUUGAAACUCCAACAUCUCCUGUGACUUCAGACCCCUGGAGCACAUACAGGCCAUUGUCUAAGUUUCCUUUCAUCAACACCAUAGACCCUUUUAUCACCUUUAAAGUGCCUGACUCAAGCUUGAUUACACACCCCAUUCUGUCAAGCAUGCCAAGAGAAAUUAGGUUCCUCUUUAAAUCAGGGAUGUGUCAAGCAUUUGUUAAUUCUCUUAUUGUGCCAUCAAGCAUUUCCAGAAUACCCAGCUAUAUAUAUAAGCAAUGCUCGAUCAUCACCUGCAAGCUUCCCCUGUUAUUCGUGAAGAAGAACAGCAGCUUUCCGCGCUAAUUAACGGCCUAACAGACUCCUGAUAAGCCUCCCUCACACGUGUCUUCAUCUCUAUUAUCUUAAGUACUAAAACGACACUUCAAGCAGCCGUUUUGGUUAAGUGAAUCACGUGCAAACCACAAGCCUUCUUUGCGCACACAGACGACACAAUUUUCUUGUCAUAUAGCUAUCUCAGGACUGUCAACCGACGUGUAAUGGUGUUAACAAAUCUUCAACCGACUUGUCGCACUUGACUAUAAACUGAUUUGCAGUUCAUAUUCAACAGAAAGUUUCAUUAGUUAGAAGUUUCAUUACCUUCAAGUGGAAGAUGAAGAAGAACAUUAUGCAAGUGAUUCAGACUACAUCAUACAUACUCCAAAUGCAACUAGAAAUUAAGAAGUUCAUGCCCACAGAUUUCAAAACAUUAUGAUUGGAAAGUUUCACAAAUACAGACAAAUUUUAAAUUCAAUCUCUUACAUCAAGGUAGUUUGAUUGAUAUGAGUUACUUUCUGAUCAAACUACUAAUAUAACAUUCAAUUCAGGGAGAAAGUAAAUUAAAAUUGGGAAGAAAUGAUAGUAAAAAUUUGUUGCUAAACAUGAUGUGUAUUUGUUUUUUUUAGGCAAUUUGGAAACACAGUUGUUACUACAGAUAUUCUCCUCAACUUGGAGGUAAAUACAAAUAUUAAAAUGCAUAUGAUCACACAUAUUACUUGGAGCUUAGUAAGAUUUGAUUAAGAGAAGCAAUCAAACCGCAAUCAAAGCACUUAUCAAUUGCCGCAGUCGUUAUAUAAACUAAAAUGGCAAUAUAAUACAAGAAAAAGAACAUAUAGAUACUUGGCAAGAGUUCAUUAAGAAGUCGCAUCACAUUCGGGUGAGGAGUUUGCUUUUGAUAUCUUGCUAGCUGGGGCUUUUUCUUGUCUUUCUAUGUUUGCCGAGGGAAACCAACCAGCUUGGCCCUGGCAUUCACCUUCCGACCGUCCAGUAAGAGCCACCUUGAGAAGUUAUAACUAAAAAGGUGAAUUAAACAAAAGUUGACCGUUCAAAGACCUAAGGGGAAAACUAAUUCUUUUACGUAGGAGUGAAUUAGUUGUGAUUACUGAAAUUACAGCAUUAACCAUGAAAGCAUAACAAGAUAUAAAUUCAUAUAUCUAUAAAGGUAAACUGGGUGGUUUAGAAUUGAGCUAGCAACCCUACUAUAUUCUGAUUUGCACUUCAAUGUAAAAGGGAAUAUAUAGUAGGAAGAAAGAAAACCAACCAUUAUUUUUUAACUCAUUGUUUUUCAAUCAAAAUUUUAAGAACAAAAUGUCAUGUGCUUUGAACAUCAAAUAAGUAUAAGCAUUAGUUCUAAAUUCCACAUAUUAUAAGUUGUUAGAAGAAUAAGUUAAUAGCAUACUAGAAAAAUCUAUGUGUUGUUAUUUAGAGGGGAAAGUACCUGGCGAACCACAACAUAAUCAUCAAUUGAAAGACUUAGCUCCCCAUUUGCUUGAGCGUCAAAUGGAUUUAUAACUUGCAAGAUAAUGGGAUAAAUAGAACUUAAUCUUAAAAAAAACAUAACAAAAGCAGCAACAGUAGCAGCAGCGUUCAUUGUAACCACUAUGAUUAUGGCCAACAAAGAUAUAUUAGAAAAAAUUUCCAUUUUUACUACGACAUUAAUAUGUACUAUACGAUAUCAUGACGAUUGGGUUACCAAGAGCUAUCAAAGUUCAAUAAGUUCUGUAUAACUUUAUGUAGUUAUUUAAAUUAUGGAUCGGAUUUUAAAUUUGAAAUUUUGACUGCUCUCCACAAAACAUGGCCUAUGCAUAAGAAAGUCAUAGAUAAUGACGAUUACAAGUGUCCGACAUCUUUUGAGGGAUGGAUUUAACAUGACAGCUUAUGGUCAGUCAAUUUCCUCUGCCUAACAAUAUAAGCUUUCUCGGCCAGAUAUAUCAUCAAAUACAUAGAUUGCCCCCAAGUCACAUCCAUAUAAACAUAGUUUUUAUAGGUAAACCAAGUAAGGAGAAUCAUAAUUCAGACAUAAUCACAAAAAGGCCCAUCUAAAUUAAGAGAAAAUCUCAAAAAGAGGGAUGUUGAGCUAUCAGUCAUGUAUCUAUAAGCAAUAUCAAGACCUUACAUCACCUACUACAUCGUGAGUAUCUACACAACUUUCAGUGGUUUGUCUUUCUUUGGCAUGCCUAACUCAGCUUUGAUGUUGCUGAGAUAUUGAUGGUAGAGACACAUGAUACUUCUAGCUCAUGCAUUCUAUCUAGCUCAUCCGACAGCUUUCUCUUUUUUAAUUCAUUAGUGUUUGUUAAACCUCAUGCUUCAAAGUCUUGUUCUCUAAAACAAAGUUUCCUAAGAAUAACUUCCUCAGCACCACAUUUGGACACUUUUAGAGCAAUUUUAUUUUGUGGAAAAGAAUUUUCAAGGUGUUAACUAAUAAAUUUUAAAAAAUAAUUACAAUUUGUCCUACGAUCAUAUGAUAAUUUAUUUGGGAUGAAAGGAUACAGGCAGACAUCUUCCACUUUCAAGACUAAUCACUACUUCCGUAGAUGUUGUACAAUAAUACAAAUACUUGACCAGAUGGUAGUGAUAGAAGAAAAAAAUUUUAUUGCUCCAAAAUUAAAAUAAGGGUCAAUCUAUAAUGCCGUAACUAAAUUUACGACAUUGAUACCGUAAUGUACGUGGACCGUUAGAUUUGAAAAAAAAAUCUCUACCAUUAAUUCUAAAUAAAUAGGUAACCUGUUACCUAAGUAGCAGGUAAUUACUAUUUUUUGUUCAAGUUCCAUGUUACAUUUACCAAUUUUAUGUGUGAUUUACAAGUUUUAUGAAACUUUUACAAGUUUUAAGCAACAUUUACAAGUUUUAUGCAACAUUUACAAGUUUUUGUUUUAUUUACAAGUUCUUCUCACAAUUACAACUGUAACAUUAAUUUACCUAUUUUUCCAUUAAUUUAUUAGUUUUAUGUGUGGUUUACAUAUUUUAUGUUUUAUUUCACACUUAAUGUGAAUUUACUAGUUCUAUGUCAUUUUUCUAAGUUUUUGUUUUGUUUACAAAUUCUUCGUACAAAUUACAACUCCGGCAUUAAUUUACUCAUUUUUUCAUCAAUUUACUAGUUUUAUGUGUGAUUUACACAUUUUUUGUUUUAUUUCACAAUUAAUGUCAAUUUACUAGUUCUAUGUCAUUUUUAUAAGUUUUUGUUUUGUUUACAAGUUCUUCGUGCAAAUUACAAUUCCAACAUUAAUUUAUCAUUUUUUUCAUUAAUUUACUAGUUUUAUGUGUGAUUUACAUAUUUUUUGUUUUAUUUCACACUUAAUGUGAAUUUACAAGUUCUAUGUCAUUUUUCUAAGUUUUUGUCUUGUUUACAAGUUCUUCUUACAAUUUACAACUCGAAUAUUAAUUUACCAUUUUUUCCAUACAUUUACUAGUUUUAUGUGUGGUUUACAUAUUUUUUGUUUUAUUUCACACUUAAUGUGAAUUUACAAGUUCUAUGUCAUUUUUCUAAGUUUUUGUCUUGUUUACAAGUUCUUCUUACAAUUUACAACUCGAACAUUAAUUUACCAUUUUUUCCAAACAUUUACUAGUUUUAUGUGUGGUUUACAUAUUUUUUGUUUUAUUUCACACUUAAUGUGAAUUUACUAGUUCUAUGUCAUUUUUCUAAGUUUUUGUUUUGUUUACCAGGUUUUCGUACAAAUUACAACUCCAACAUUAAUUUACUCAUUUUUCCAUUAAUUUACUAGUUUUAUGUGUGAUUUACACAUUUUUUGUUUUAUUUCACAAUUAAUGUCAAUUUACUAGUUCUAUGUCAUUUUUAUAAGUUUUUGUUUUGUUUACAAGUUCUUCGUGCAAAUUACAAUUCAAACAUUAAUUUACCAUUUUUUUCAUUAAUUUACUAGUUUUAUGUGUGAUUUACACUUUUGUUUGUUUUAUUUCACACUUAAUGUGAAUUAACAAGUUCUAUGUCAUUUUUCUAAGUUUUUGUUUUGUUUACAAGUUCUUCGUACAAGUUACAACUCCAACAUUAAUUUACUCAUUUUUCCAUCAAAUUACUAGUUUUAUGUGUGAUUUACACAUUUUUUGUUUUAUUUCACAAUUAAUGUCAAUUUACUAGUUCUAUGUCAUUUUUAUAAGUUUUUGUUUUGUUUACAAGUUCUUCGUGCAAAUUACAAUUCCAACAUUAAUUUACCAUUUUUUAAUUAAUUUACUAGUUUUAUGUGUGAUUUACACUUUUGUUUGUUUUAUUUCACACUUAAUGUGAAUUAACUAGUUCUAUGUCAUUUUUCUAAGUUUUUGCUUUGUUUACAAGUUUUUCGUACAAAUUACAACUCCAACAUUAAUUUACUCAUUUUUCCAUCAAUUUACUAGUUUUAUGUGUGAUUUACACAUUUGUUGUUUUAUUUCACAAUUAAUGUCAAUUUACUAGUUCUAUGUCAUUUUUAUAAGUUUUUGCUUUGUUUACAAGUUCUUCGUGCAAAUUACAAUUCCAACAUUAAUUUACCAUUUUUUUAAGUAAUUUACUAGUUUUAUGUGUGAUUUACACAUUUUUUGUUUUAUUUCACACUUAAUGUCAAUUUACUAGUUCUAUGUCAUUUUUAUAAGUUUUUGUUUUGUUUACAAGUUCUUCGUGCAAAUUACAAUUCCAACAUUAAUUUACCAUUUGUUUAAGUAAUUUACUAGUUUUAUGUGUGAUUUACAUAUUUUUUGUUUUAUUUCACACUUAAUGUCACUUUACUAGUUCUAUGUCAUUUUUAUAAGUUUUUGUUUUGUUUACAAGUUCUUCGUGCAAAUUACAAUUCCAACAUUAAUUUACCAUUUUUUUCAUUAAUUUACUAGUUUUAUGUGUGAUUUACAUAUUUUUUGUUUUAUUUCACACUUAAUGUGAAUUUACAAGUUCUAUGUCAUUUUUCUAAAUUUUUGUCUUGUUUACAAGUUCUUCUUACAAUUUACAACUCGAACAUUAAUUUACCAUUUUUUCCAUACAUUUACUAGUUUUAUGUGUGGUUUACAUAUUUUUUGUUUUAUUUCACACUUAAUGUGAAUUUACAAGUUCUAUGUCAUUUUUCUAAGUUUUUGUCUUGUUUACAAGUUCUUCUUACAAUUUACAACUAGAACAUUAAUUUACCAUUUUUUCCAUACAUUUACUAGUUUUAUGUGUGGUUUACAUAUUUUUUGUUUUAUUUCACACUUAAUGUGAAUUUACAAGUUCUAUGUCAUUGUUCUAAGUUUUUGUCUUGUUUACAAGUUCUUCUUACAAUUUACAACUCGAACAUUACUUUACCAUUUUUUCCAAACAUUUACUAGUUUUAUGUGUGGUUUACAUAUUUUUUGUUUUAUUUCACACUUAAUGUGAAUUUACAAGUUCUAUGUCAUUGUUCUAAGUUUUUGUCUUGUUUACAAGUUCUUCUUACAAUUUACAACUCGAACAUUAAUUUACCAUUUUUUCCAAACAUUUACUAGUUGUAUGUGUGGUUUACAUAUCUUUUGUUUUAUUUGACACUUAAUGUGAAUUUACAAGUUCUAUGUCAUUGUUCUAAGUUUUUGUCUUGUUUACAAGUUCUUCUUACAAUUUACAACUCAAACAUUAAUUUACCAUUUUUUCCAAACAUUUACUAGUUUUAUGUGUGGUUUACAUAUCUUUUGUUUUAUUUCACACUUAAUGUGAAUUUACUAGUUCUAUGUCAUUUUUCUAAGUUUUUGUUUUGUUUACAAGUUUUUCGUACAAAUUACAACUCCAACAUUAAUUUACUCAUUUUUCCAUUAAUUUACUAGUUUUAUGUGUGAUUUACACAUUUUUUGUUUUAUUUCACACUUAAUGUCAAUUUACUAGUUCUAUGUCAUUUUUAUAAGUUUUUGUUUUGUUUACAAGUUCGUCGUGCAAAUUACAAUUCCAACAUUAAUUUACCAUUUUUUUCAUUAAUUUACUAGUUUUAUGUGUGAUUUACAUAUUUUUUGUUUUAUUUCACACUUAAUGUGAAUUUACAAGUUCUAUGUCAUUUUUUUAAGUUUUUGUCUUGUUUACAAGUUCUUCUUACAAUUUACAACUCGAACAUUAAUUUACCAUGUUUUCCAUACAUUUACUAGUUGUAUGUGUGGUUUACAUAUUUUUUGUUUUAUUUCACACUUAAUGUGAAUUUACAAGUUCUAUGUCAUUUUUCUAAGUUUUUGUCUUGUUUACAAGUUCUUCUUACAAUUUACAACUCGAACAUUACUUUACCAUUUUUUCCAAACAUUUACUAGUUGUAUGUGUGGUUUACAUAUCUUUUGUUUUAUUUCACACUUAAUGUGAAUUUACAAGUUCUAUGUCAUUGUUCUAAGUUUUUGUCUUGUUUACAAGUUCUUCUUACAAUUUACAACUCAAACAUUAAUUUACCAUUUUUUCCAAACAUUUACUAGUUUUAUGUGUGGUUUACAUAUCUUUUGUUUUAUUUCACACUUAAUGUGAAUUUACUAGUUCUAUGUCAUUUUUCUAAGUUUUUGUUUUGUUUACAAGUUUUUCGUACAAAUUACAACUCCAACAUUAAUUUACUCAUUUUUCCAUUAAUUUACUAGUUUUAUGUGUGAUUUACACAUUUUUUGUUUUAUUUCACACUUAAUGUCAAUUUACUAGUUCUAUGUCAUUUUUAUAAGUUUUUGUUUUGUUUACAAGUUCGUCGUGCAAAUUACAAUUCCAACAUUAAUUUACCAUUUUUUUCAUUAAUUUACUAGUUUUAUGUGUGAUUUACAUAUUUUUUGUUUUAUUUCACACUUAAUGUGAAUUUACAAGUUCUAUGUCAUUUUUUUAAGUUUUUGUCUUGUUUACAAGUUCUUCUUACAAUUUACAACUCGAACAUUAAUUUACCAUGUUUUCCAUACAUUUACUAGUUGUAUGUGUGGUUUACAUAUUUUUUGUUUUAUUUCACACUUAAUGUGAAUUUACAAGUUCUAUGUCAUUUUUCUAAGUUUUUAUCUUGUUUACAAGUUCUUCUUACAAUUUACAACUCGAACAUUACUUUACCAUUUUUUCCAUACAUUUACUAGUUUUAUGUGUGGUUUACAUAUUUUUUGUUUUCUUUCACACUUAAUGUGAAUUUACAAGUUCUAUGUCAUUGUUCUAAGUUUUUGUCUUGUUUACAAGUUCUUCUUACAAUUUAUAACUCGAACAUUAAUUUACCAUUUUUUCCAAACAUUUACUAGUUUUAUGUGUGGUUUACAUAUUUUUUGUUUUAUUUCACACUUAAUGUGAAUUUACUAGUUCUAUGUCAUUUUUCUAAGUUUUUGUUUUGUUUACAAGUUUUUCGUACAAAUUACAACUCCAACAUUAAUUUACUCAUUUUUCCAUUAAUUUACUAGUUUUAUGUGUGCUUUACACAUUUUUUGUUUUAUUUCACACUUAAUGUCAAUUUACUAGUUCUAUGUCAUUUUUAUAAGUUUUUGUUUUGUUUACAAGUUCGUCGUACAAAUUACAACUCCAACAUUAAUUUACUCAUUUUUCCAUUAAUUUACUAGUUUUAUGUGUGAUUUACACAUUUUUUGUUUUAUUUCACACUUAAUGUCAAUUUACUAGUUCUAUGUCAUUUUUAUAAGUUUUUGUCUUGUUUACAAGUUCGUCGUGCAAAUUACAAUUCCAACAUUAAUUUACCAUUUUUUUCAUUAAUUUACUAGUUUUAUGUGUGAUUUACAUAUUUUUUGUUUUAUUUCACACUUAAUGUGAAUUUACAAGUUCUAUGUCAUUUUCUUAAGUUUUUGUCUUGUUUACAAGUUCUUCUUACAAUUUACAACUCGAACAUUAAUUUACCAUGUUUUCCAUACAUUUACUAGUUGUAUGUGUGGUUUACAUAUUUUUUGUUUUAUUUCACACUUAAUGUGAAUUUACAAGUUCUAUGUCAUUUUUCUAAGUUUUUGUCUUGUUUACAAGUUCUUCUUACAAUUUACAACUCGAACAUUACUUUACCAUUUUUUCCAAACAUUUACUAGUUUUAUGUGUGGUUUACAUAUUUUUUGUUUUAUUUCACACUUAAUGUGAAUUUACAAGUUCUAUGUCAUUUUUCUAAGUUUUUGUCUUGUUUACAAGUUCUUCUUACAAUUUACAACUCGAACAUUACUUUACCAUUUUUUCCAUACAUUUACUAGUUUUAUGUGUGGUUUACAUAUUUUUUGUUUUCUUUCACACUUAAUGUGAAUUUACAAGUUCUAUGUCAUUGUUCUAAGUUUUUGUCUUGUUUACAAGUUCUUCUUACAAUUUAGAACUCGAACAUUAAUUUACCAUUUUUUCCAAACAUUUACUAGUUUUAUGUGUGGUUUACAUAUUUUUUGUUUUAUUUCACACUUAAUGUGAAUUUACUAGUUCUAUGUCAUUUUUCUAAGUUUUUGUUUUGUUUACAAGUUUUUCGUACAAAUUACAACUCCAACAUUAAUUUACUCAUUUUUCCAUUAAUUUACUAGUUUUAUGUGUGAUUUACACAUUUUUUGUUUUAUUUCACACUUAAUGUCAAUUUACUAGUUCUAUGUCAUUUUUAUAAGUUUUUGUUUUGUUUACAAGUUCGUCGUGCAAAUUACAAUUCCAACAUUAAUUUACCAUUUUUUUCAUUAAUUUACUAGUUUUAUGUGUGAUUUACAUAUUUUUUGUUUUAUUUCACACUUAAUGUGAAUUUACAAGUUCUAUGUCAUUUUGUUAAGUUUUUGUCUUGUUUACAAGUUCUUCUUACAAUUUACAACUCGAACAUUAAUUUACCAUGUUUUCCAUACAUUUACUAGUUGUAUGUGUGGUUUACAUAUUUUUUGUUUUAUUUCACACUUAAUGUGAAUUUACAAGUUCUAUGUCAUUUUUCUAAGUUUUUGUCUUGUUUACAAGUUCUUCUUACAAUUUACAACUCGAACAUUACUUUACCAUUUUUUCCAAACAUUUACUAGUUGUAUGUGUGGUUUACAUAUCUUUUGUUUUAUUUCACACUUAAUGUGAAUUUACAAGUUCUAUGUCAUUGUUCUAAGUUUUUGUCUUGUUUACAAGUUCUUCUUACAAUUUACAACUCAAACAUUAAUUUACCAUUUUUUCCAAACAUUUACUAGUUUUAUGUGUGGUUUACAUAUUUUUUGUUUUAUUUCACACUUAAUGUGAAUUUACUAGUUCUAUGUCAUUUUUCUAAGUUUUUGUUUUGUUUACAAGUUUUUCGUACAAAUUACAACUCCAACAUUAAUUUACUCAUUUUUCCAUUAAUUUACUAGUUUUAUGUGUGAUUUACACAUUUUUUGUUUUAUUUCACACUUAAUGUCAAUUUACUAGUUCUAUGUCAUUUUUAUAAGUUUUUGUUUUGUUUACAAGUUCGUCGUGCAAAUUACAAUUCCAACAUUAAUUUACCAUUUUUUUCAUUAAUUUACUAGUUUUAUGUGUGAUUUACAUAUUUUUUGUUUUAUUUCACACUUAAUGUGAAUUUACAAGUUCUAUGUCAUUUUGUUAAGUUUUUGUCUUGUUUACAAGUUCUUCUUACAAUUUACAACUCGAACAUUAAUUUACCAUGUUUUCCAUACAUUUACUAGUUGUAUGUGUGGUUUACAUAUUUUUUGUUUUAUUUCACACUUAAUGUGAAUUUACUAGUUCUUUGUCAUUUUUCUAAGUUUUUGUUUUGUUUACAAGUUCUUCGUGCAAAUUACAAUUCCAACAUUAAUUUACCAUUUUUUUCAUUAAUUUACUAGUUUUAUGUGUGAUUUACAUAUUUUUUAUUUUAUUUCACACUUAAUGUGAAUUUACAAGUUCUAUGUCAUUUUUCUAUGUUUUUGUCUUGUUUACAAGUUCUUCUUACAGUUUACAACUCGAACAUUAAUUUACCAUUUUUUCCAUACAUUUACUAGUUGUAUGUGUUGUUUACAUAUUUUUUGUUUUAUUUCACACUUAAUGUGAAUUUACUAGUUCUAUGUCAUUUUUCUAAGUUUUUGUUUUGUUACAAGUUUUUCAUACAAAUUACAACUCCAACAUUAAUUUACUACAUUUUCUAUCAAUUUACUAGUUUUUUUCUAUUUUUUAUUUUUUUUAAUUUUGUAGACCAAUUUACCACUGUAACGCUAAUUUACCCGUUUUACCUUCAAUGUACGAGUCAUACGUGUGGUUUAGAAAUUUUUUUUCUUAUUUCACAUUUAUUUGGAAUUUAGGUUAUUUAGUUUAAGUCAAUUGCCUCAACUUAAAUCCAACGUGAAAAUGGUUAAAGAGUUGGAUUAUUGACAUUUUAUGAUUUAGAUAGAAUGAUAUAAGGGUGGGCAUGAGUUGGGUUUGAUAGGGUUAGUGAAAUUCUAACAUGGUCUACUUUUUAAUGAGCUGAUAUAAAAUUCAUCCAAUUUAACUAAAUAAACUUGUUUAACUAAAUUCUACCCAAACCUUAUAUCGUCUGGUUAAGUUGAUUAGGUUGAAGCUCAAAUCAAAAUUUUAAAUUGAACAAUGAAAAUGAUAUUAAACUUAUUAAAAUCAAAUAUAAAUCUUUUAUAACAUGAAAUUUUCAUUCACUAUCUAGUGUACGUAAAGAAAGUUAAUAAAUUAACUAUCUUUAAAUUAAGAAAAUUUCCACAAAAAGCAUAUAGACUUUAUUUCUCUUGCAUCUCCUUUUCCAAUUCCAAAUUAAGACUUUUUAGAUAAUUAGCUAGCAUCAUAUACAAAAAUAAAAUGAAAGUGAUAUAUAAUUAUGUGCCGUUAAGUAUUCACUAAAAAAAUAAAAAAAAAUUAAAACCAACUUACUUUUAUAUUAAUCUUAUAAAAUAAUAAAUUUACUUAUAAGAGAGUGUGAUUUUGGUUUUGGAAUUGUAGUCUAAAGCAGCAGAUGCAAGAAUGAAAUAUCCUCUUGUAUUAAAAGAUUAAAAAGAAUAAAAAAUUAGAUAAACCAUUUAAGUCGUUAUAAUCUUGCAAUUGAGAAUUAACACAUUAUCAUUUUCCUUUUUCUUCUUCUUCUUCUUCUUCUUCUUCUUAUUAUUAUUAUUAUUAUAGAUUUGGUUGGGUUAGACUGGUUAAUUAUAAUUUAUCCAACCCAAACUAAUUAUUAAUUAGGUUUGAAAAAAACAGACCCAAUUAAACCACAAUAAUCUGCUCAUGGUGCAUUUACCAAUCAGUAAUCAUAACGGGCUACAAUCAGAAUCAAGAAUGUGAAUAAGAAUAAGUUAUUUAUUUGAGCUGUAGAAAUUGAAGUCGGAAUGAGAUUCAUUUCCAUCAAUGUGUUUAAUUUGUCUUGAAAUCGGAAUGAAUUAUCAUAAUUUCUUAAAUGCCCUUUGUUGAUUAUUGUCAAUUGGUGGUAAUAAUAAUCAUAAUAAUAAUAAUAAUAAUAAUAAUAAUCAUCAUCAUCAUAAUAUUUAUUAAAAUAGUAUUAUAAUUAUGAUUACUAAUUCAUUAUUGAUAUUAUUUAUUAAUUUCAUGAUUUUGUUUUAUGAUUAUUAUUUAUGAAAAUAUUAUUGUAAUCAAACUUUAUAAUAAUUAUUAUAAUAAUAAGUUAUUAUUAUUAUUAAUAUUUUAUUAUAUUAUUAUUUCGUAAAAAUAUUAUUAUAUUUAUAAUUUUAUUGUUAUUAUUAUUAAUAUGAAAUUAUUUCAUUAUUGUUUAUUAUAAUAUUAUAUUAAUUAUAAUUCAUUAUAAUUUAUUAAUCUUUCAUUAUUGUUCAUGUGCGUAGGAGUUAGAUUUGAGAUAAUGUUCUGAAAAUAACUCGGUUAAUGUUUGAAAUCUUGUUUAUAUUAGGUCUUAUUUUUCUAGCUAGGUUACUAUUAUGCUUGCAAUUUUAUUUUUCUAAAUAAUUAGAUUAUCAUCAUGCUAUCGCAGCAAGUUUGGACAGACAUGAUGGUUGCGUAAAACCUCAACUAUUUUUUAUUAUUGACUAGGCCUUGCUUGCUUCUUGUUUUUCAAUUUAGGCAGUGAUGGUAGUAAAAGCUUUUGGAGUUUUGGACAAUGAUGAUGGCAACUCACAGCUCACAAUGUCAGAACACAUUCAAUUUUACACAACAAUGAUAAGUAUUGACCAUGAGGCAGGAUACUGAAAAUUUGUUGUGUCCGUCAAUGGUAAAAUGAUUACAAUUGAGAUGGUGAUUACAAUUGAUUUUUUUUUAAUGAAACCAUAUGUUUUAAUUAUUUAUGCUUGUAUCCGUCAAUGGUAAAAUUAUUAUGGUAUAUUUGUGUUAGAAAUUAUAUUUAUUUCAUUUGUUGCUGUAACAACAUAAAUAUAAACUAUGCUGAUUAACUUGAAUAUUUCGUUUGGAGUCAAACAAUGAUAAAAACAAAAUAAUACAUAAAAAUUGGAGUGUUGUGGUUGAAAGCAAAUAAAGGCAAAGCUCACACACGGUACAACUGCAAUUAAAAGAAAAAGGCAAAGCAAAACGCACUGAUAUCAAACUUUAAUCACAUCUCGAAUUUACACAAUAAUCAAUAGCAGAUCCUAAAAAAUUCCAAAAGAAAAUCUUAAAACAAAUAGUCAACAAGAUAUUAGAAUCAUUAUAAAAAUAAAUAACCAAGAAUAAUACUAAUUUCAAAUAAAAUAUAUAGAAUGGUAGUAAAACAAAGAACUAUCGUUACUACUGCUCCCCAACAAAGAUGAUCCACUUUCCCACAAGAUGUUACUAAAGAGGAAAUUGUGAGCCACCUGGAGAAUAAAGGAAAACUUGCAUUAAACAUUGACUAUUUCCAGUCCACAUUCUGCUUAUACUCGGUACGCAAUUGCAAAUUGGAAAUUGUUUCUAAUUAAUUUUAUGUGAAACAACAAUUAUAAUUGCAAUAACUAAUAAAUAACUACUACAAAUCAUGAAAUGUAAUAGGAGCAAAAAAAAAGCAAGAAAGAAAUAGUUAAAGAGAACCUACUUUUAACAUGCUGCAAGCUUUUGGACUCUACUUUUUCUUCUUCAAAUUCUUUUGACCAUUAACUUUGUUCGUCACUUUGUUCGGUGGAAGAUUAUUCUUGUGCGAAUCAUAAAUUCUUCAGCCUUACAUCUGAUACUAUCUCUCACUUUAUUUGUAUCUCCGUUGACAAGGUGGAGUGCAAUGCGAUAUCUUUCUAUUGUUGAGUUAUACUAAAUAUAGUACGAGAAAAAAUAAAAAAGUGAGAAACAGAGUCAUCAUUCAUUUUAAAACUUUAAAUCAAUAUGAUAUAAAAUUAAUGUCACAUACAUGUUUUAUAGAUAAUAGAUCACAUUGCGUCUCCAUGAACUUGAUCACAAACAAACCGCAGUCAGUUCCAUUUGGUUGUACUGGGACAUUAUCUGGAUAUGAAAUUUUAAAACUAAAAAAAUCCCAACAUGAAUAAAAUUUUCCCAAAAAAUCAUCGAGGAAAACUUCAUUGAGUCCCUGUAACUGUGAUAAUGAUGAUAAUAGUCAGCAUACAUUUGCAUUUAUUGGUAAUAAUACAGGUGAAAUGCAAGCUUCACUUACAAUUGCUCUAACAAUUUCCUCUCGAUGUGAAUUCGAACUAUUACUAGGUAAAGAGUCCCAAAUUUCAACGGUUUGCGUUUUAACAAUCAACACCGCUAGAUACCAAUGUGCAGAGCCAUCAUUUAUAGGAACAUAGAUCUACAUGACAAAUGCAUAAUUUUUAAUAAUUACCAUUAAAUGUCUUAAACAAUGGCAUGAUUUAUUGUAAUUUUGCAUUUAAUUUCUUACCUUUUCACAUACUGCUAGUUCUGACAUGUAUUUAUCUCGAAUAUUAUGAUUUUUGACAAAAUCUUCGAUGCUUGAUUUCUUAUUGCAGGCCAUGUUUGCCACUAUUUUUUGCUGCAAAACUCAUAAAAUAAAUACAAAAUUAGUAUAUUAUCAACAUAUAGGGUCAACUGUCAAUAAAAAAAUUCACAGUAUAACAUUUACAACUUACCGAAAAGAUGGUGGGCAAAUACCAAAUACGCAUCUUUAGGCUCGUUUUUGCACGUUCUUUGUUUGUCAAGUAGUUGACGAAACAAUCUAUGACCUACGAAUAGAGCCAUUAAACAAGAAGACUUAAAUACUUAGAAAGAAAAUAAAUAAAUUGAAUGAUUAAACUAAAUAUAAAGAAGGUAUGCUUACUGUGUCAAUGAUCCAAGUAUUAGGAGCCAAAGAAAACAUCUCUUGGCGAGAGACGAAAAAACUAAUUCCAUCAACAAUAUGCUCACUAUAUUAAGAAUCCAAAAAUAUAAUUAAAACUAUAGCAGUGUUAAUGCAAAAAUAAUAACAUAUGGAAAGUGGGUCAUGAGAAAAUCUAAUUACUCCAUAGGCAAUUCUCCUUGAAAUAUAUAUUGCAGCAACUUCAUAUCUUCCUCUGAAAAUGAAUUUAGUAGAGUGAUUGAAUCAUGAAAAAAUUUUUGUUUGCUUCGUCUUUUGGGAAACUGAUUAUAAGGGGAUUUUUGGUAUGGACUAGGCUUUCGCUUUCGGGAGCGCAUAUCUUUAACCUCAAAUACACUAAGUUGGUUUGAUGAUUCCUCUUCAAUAGAACAAUCAUCAUUCGGGCCAUUAUCCUACAAAAAUUAUGAUUUAUAACUUAAUACUCAUCUAUGCACUAUUAUGUUUUACUUGUGCAAAAAAGAAGAUCACAGUUUAUUGCUAAAUACUUGUAUAGCUGCAUUGUAGAAAAUUUGCUUACGCUUUCCCUCAUUUAGGUCUGACUCACCCGUCAAAAUUCUCUCAUCAUGUUUCUCUUCAACAUUCUCCUCAUCCACUAAUUUCUUCUCAAGAAUAUCAUCUCCAUCUGGCCUUUCUUUGGCUCUCUUCAUUAGUUCCGCAAAAGUUAAAAUUUCAUGGCUUGAUUCAUCGUUCUUUUGUUGCUUUCGGGAAGGAGAAGUAAUUCCAACAGCAGCGCCAUUAUUCUCCUUUUUCUGCUCAACUUGCUUUUGUGUUAAGUUCUCUUUAAGGGUUUCCAUUACUUGUUGCAUUUGCUGCAUCCAGCUACCCAUUGAAUGCUUUAAACCAUCAAGCUCCAAUGCCAUACGGCCAAUAUCUUUUCGAACAAGUGAUAAUUCCUUCUGAUGUUGACAAUUAUGUAUGCAUUCUUCAUUCUUCCGACUUAUUCCAUCAAAUGUUUCAUGGGCCGUGUUUUGUUGAGGAUGGAUUUCUCGCAAAUUAACCUAAUAAAUACCACAUACUAUUAAAUACAUGUCAUUUCAAUAUGAUACGUUAAUAUUUAAUUAAUAAAAAGUAGAUGUCCUACCUUUGAGCUCCCAUAACCGCCAUUUUUCUUAACAAAACUCAAUAAGUUAGUUACAUCUCGAUUUGUCCAUGUUGUUAUUGGACUCAAAGAUUUAUCAAUAAAUUUUCGUGCAAAUGAUAUAGAAUCCAUGUAAAAAAGCUACAAUAUUAACAAAAUGAUCAAAACAAAGCAAAAACAAAAUAACACAAUAAAACUGAUGAAAUCAUUUUUAAAAAAAAUUACCUCCAAAAAUAGUACACAACCAUUAACAACUUUAUGUUGUCCUGCCUUGAACUUUUGUAUGCCCUCAACUAGCCCUUUAAAAGCCCACGUUGCCCAAUUUUUUUUAUUUAUGGCACUGGUGUCUUUCAAAAAAACCAAGUAAUACGGGGCUAAAUUCAACCCCGAUUUAGGAAAAAUAAUUGUAGCUAUAGCAAACAAAACAAAGCUUCUUUUAAAGUCAUCAUUCACCUCCCUUUGAUUCACCAAUUUUGACUCUAAAGUUUUCAGCUUAAUGUAUCCACUGUCAUCACAAUAUUCAUUCCUCAAUUUAUCUAUGUCAUCAAUAGCAAGAUCCACAUCAAUGUCGACUCCACCAUCUUUUAUUCCCAUAAUGUACUCAAAAUCUCGAGGCGACAGAUUGAUACUCUUACCAUGCAAAAAAAUACAUGAAGUAAAUGGAUCAAAAUUUUGAACCAACCAUGAACAUAAAUCUCGUUUCAGUCGACCACAUUUUAUGUGCAGAAGACUUUCAAAUCCUAACUCCACAACAACUUUUUUUUGAUUUUCUGACAAUUUUGCGACCAGUUUUGUAAAACGAUCUGGAGCGCAUCUAGUUUCCAUGGCUUUUUGAGUUCCCUUCACAAAAUCAUCUUCUUUGUCUUUAUUCUGUGCUAUAUCACUAUCAACCAUUCUAAAUUUAGCCUUUUCUUCUUCACUCAAAUUUUUUAAACAUUUCCCUAAUUUAAUUCUGUUCUAAAAAAUUAAAAAAAAAUAUGACAAUAAGUUAUUGCUUGUAACACAUCCCAAAUUUAAUGGAAAUUAAUUAUCGCACCUACACUCACCAUUUUUUUCCUUGUUCCCAUAAUAUUUUUGCUUCUUGCUUGCUGCAGUCAAUUAAAUAUUUUGAAAAAAAUAUAUAUAAUCAGUGCAUGUUAACAUUAUUAUGCUCGGCUUUACUAAAUAUUCAUAAAUUUACCAACAGUCAAACACAUAAUAUUUAAUGUAAGAAGACUUACAAAUACUCAAUGAAAGGCCGAUUUCUUCUUAAAUUUUCAUUUUCCUGGCUCACAUUAUCAUUCUCCUUGAAAUCAUUCUCAUUACCCUCAUCUACAUUUUCAGCCAUUUUCGAGUUUACAAGAACCUGUACAUGAAGAUUUAGCACAAAAAGAAAUGUCAAAUAUCACAAGUUUUGGAUCCUGUAAAACAACAGAAACUUUAACCCAAAAGCAGUAAUAAAUUUAUCCAGAAACAGCAAAAAAUGUAACUAAAAAACAGCAGUAAAUUUUACCCAAAAAUAAUAGAAAAUUUAACCCAAAUACAGCAGCAAAUGAAGCCCAAAACACCAAAAACAUUUACAUGUAAACAGCAAAAAAUUUAGCCAAAAAACAGUCGUAAAUUUAUCCAAACAGCAACAAAUUUACCCAGAAAUAGCAAAAAAUUUAACACAAAAAUAACAAUAAAUUUAUCCAGAAAUAGUGAAAAAUUUAACUGUAAAACAGCAGCAAAUUUACCUAGAAGCAACAGAAAAUUUAACCUAAAAAGAGUAGCAAAUGAAGCCCAAACACCAGAAAAAUUUACCUAAACACAGCAGAAAAUUUAACCCAAAAAUAGCAGUAUAUUUACACAGAAACAGCAAAAUAUUUAACCAAAAAACAGCAGCAAAUGAAGCCCAGAACACCAAAAAAACUUACCUGGAAACAGCAAAAAAUAUAACCCAAAAACAGCAGUAAAUUUAUCCAAAAACAGCAAACAAUUUAACUCAAACAAAAGCAGCCAAUUUACCCAAAAAUAGCAGAAAAUUUAACCUAAAAAUAGCUGCAAAUGAAGCCCAAAAUACCAGAAAAAUUUAACCAAAAACGGCAGCAAAUCAUCACAAAUGCAGCAGAAAAUUUAUUCAAAAACAGCAAAAAAUUUAAGUGAAAAACAGUAGUUUAUUUACCCAGAAACAGCAAAAUAUUUAACCCAAAACCAGCAGCAAAUGAAGCCCAAAACACCAAAAACAUUUACCUUAAAACGGCAGAAAAUAUAACCCAAAAACAGCAGUAAAUUUAUCAAAAAAUAGCAAAAAAAUAAACUAAAAACCAGCAGUCACCUUACCCAGAAACAGCAGAAAAUUAAAUCUAAAAAUAGCAGCAAAUGAAGCCCAAAACACCAAAAAAAUUUACCUUAAAACAGCAGAAAAUAUAACCCAAAAACAGCAGUAAAUUUAUCAAAAAACAACAAAAAAAUAAGCUGAAAAAUAGCAGCCACCUUACCCAGAAACAGCAGAAAAUUAAAUCUAAAAAUAGCAGCAAAUGAAGCUUUAUCAAUAGGAAAGUUUAAAAUAUUUUUUUUCUGAAGCCAAAGCAAGAAAUCUAUAAAGUCCUUGUGAUCUUCAACUUGAGAAUUGUUACUCAUCCUAUUCUCAUGUUCUUGAAUGACUACCUCAAGAAAAUUAUCAACUCCUUGGUCACUAAAUUUUUCUACUCUAACAUCACGAAAAGAAUAAUGAAUCCUUUUGUUACUUAAAAGUUGUACAACAAAUAAGAUUUGAACUUUUCUUAAGUACUCACCAUAAGGUGUCAUAGAGACAUCUACACAACCGUUUAAAAGUUUUACAAAUGGGGUUAAUUUUGGUUGAUUGCAAAGAUUACAUUUCUAACGAUCUCACAGGAUAGCUUGUCAAAGCGGAACUAGAUUAUCGUUACAAUAAAUUAAAAUGCAUUUAUGGUUUUAUGCAUUUUUGUCAUUUAUUGUGAAUAUUAUUUCAAAUUAUUUAUGCAUGGAUGUUUUAUUUUUCAGAAAAUGUCUUCCCUGAGCCCACUUACUAUUAUUCUGAGUCAAAACAAACUCACUGGAGAGAACUAUAUAGAUUGGAAAAGAAAUCUAUUCAUUGUCCUGACUGCUGAAAAUUAUAAAUAUGUCUUAACCCAGCCAUGCCCCCCAGUUCCAGCGGAUGAUGCUCAUAGAAAUCAGAGGAGGCUUUAUGAGAAAUGGCAAAAGGCCAAUGAAAUGGCAAAGUGCUACAUUUUAGCCUCGAUUUCUAAUAUUCUGCAGACCAAACAUCAGAACUUGGAGACUGCCACUGAAAUAAUGGAUAGUCUCCAACAGAUGUUCGGUCAGAGUACUCGCUCUGCGAGACAAGCAGCGCUGAAAGGAAUUAUGAACAGUAAAAUGGGGAAAGGCACAAGAGUUCGUGAUCAUGUCCUCAAAAUGAUGGACUAUUUGAAUGAGGCUGAGAUUCAGGGAGCACAAAUCGAUGAUAACUCAAAGAUUGACAUGGUGCUAGAAUCUCUGCCAGAAACAUUCAAGGAGUUUAAGGUCAAUUAUAACAUGAACAAAAGAAACAUGACCUUAACUGAAUUGAUGAACGAACUCCAUUCUGCUGAAGAGAUCUAUCGUGCUGAGAAAUCUCUGGGAAGCAUAAAUAUUACUGAAAAAAGUUCAUCUUCUGGGCCUAAACCGAAAGGCAAAGGUAAGAAGAAAGCUGGGAAAAAGAGACCGUCUACCAAGCAAGAUGGCAAGCCGAAAGGCAAAUGCUUCAAGUGUGGACAGAAAGGUCACUGGAAAAAGGAUUGCCCUAAGAUUGUGAAAUCAGGUAUGGGAAAUCUUUUUGUAAUUGAGGCCUGUUUAGUUCAAAAUCCUAUUGACACUUGGGUGUUGGAUUCAGGAGCAACUAAUCAUAUUUGUAAUUCACUUUAUUGGUUUCAGGAAACCAGGAAAAUAAGUGAAGGAAGCGUCAACCUGCAGUUAGGGACAGGACAGUUCGUGUCAGCAGUAAAGACUGGAUCUGUUUUAUUAUCUUUUAAUAAUAAGACUUUAGUUUUGAAUAAUUGUCUUUAUGUUCCAGACAUUAAGAGGAAUUUAAUUUCAGUAGCUUGUUUGUCAAAGCAAGGGUACACUGUAAAUUUUGGAUCCUCUGUUUCUAUUUUUCAUAAUAAGAGACUUAUUUGUUCUGGUACAUUGGAAGAUAAUUUAUAUCAUUUAAGUCCAAUGAUCCAUUCUAUGCAUGACACAGUGAUAAAUAAUGAUGAGCAUACACAUUUAUCUAAGAAAAGAAAUAUUUCUUCCAACCAAUGUUACCUCUGGCAUUUACGCUUGGGUCAUAUAAACCAAAAUAGGAUACAGAGAAUGAUCAAAGAUGGGCUCUUGGGUCCAUUAGAAAAUGAAUCAUUGCCACUCUGUGAAUCCUGUUUAGAAGGGAAAAUGACCAAAAGGCCAUUCUCGGCCAAAGGAGUACGUGCAACAGUACCACUUGAAUUGGUACAUACAGAUGUAUGUGGACCAAUCAAUGUACAAGCUCGAGGAGGUUAUGAGUAUUUCAUCACUUUUACUGAUGAUUACUCAAGAUACGGUUAUGUUUAUCUAAUGCGUCAUAAGUCUGAAGCUCUUGAGAAAUUCAAAGAGUAUAAGGCUGAGACAGAAAAGUAAUUAGAUAAGAACAUAAAGAAACUUCGAUCUGAUCGAGGUGGUAAAUUUCUCUCAGGAGAUUUCAAAGAGUAUCUGGUUGAAAAUGGGAUUAUAUCUCAAUUGACUGCCCCGGGAACACCACAACAAAAUGGGGUAGCUGAAAGAAGAAAUAGAACUCUUUUGGAUAUGAUGAGAUCUAUGCUUAGUUAUUCGUCAUUACCAAUCUCUUUUUGGGGACUAGCACUGGAAACUGCAGUUUACCUUUUGAACUUAGUUCCAUCUAAGUCAGUGCCUAAAACCCCAAUAGAAUUAUGGUCAGGUCGCAAACCAAGUUUACGACAUGUCCGUAUUUGGGGAUCACCAGCACAUGUGCUGAAACCAAAGGCAGACAAAAUGGAUUCACGUUCUGAGGUUUGUAUGUUUGUGGGGUAUCCCAAAGGAACAAGGGGAGGUUUAUUUUAUAGUCCUCAAGAUAGGAAAGUGAUCGUGAGCACACAUUUCACUUCCCUUGAGGAAGACUAUAUGAAUAACUUCAAACCUAAGAGUAAGGUAAUACUUGAAGAACUGUCAGGUGAUCAGGUUGAUGCUCAGCUUUCAAUGCCUAUUACAGAACAGGAAGAACAGCAACAACCAGAUGAUCAACACAGGAUUAACCCUGAACAACCAUCACUUUUAGAACCUCGUCGUAGUGGGAGGGUAACUAGGUUACCUGCGAGAUACAUGCUUUUGGGAGAAACCUAUACGGCUAUCUCAGAUGAACAUGUACAAGAUCCCACUAGUUACAACGAAGCUCUAAUAGAUAGAGAUGUUGAAUUUUGGAAAAAGGCCAUGAAUCAAGAAAUGGAAUCUAUGUAUUCCAAUCAAGUCUGGGAACUUGUAGAGGCACCAAAUGGGGUAAAACCUAUAGGAUGCAAGUGGAUCUACAAGAGAAAAAGAGGAGUAGACGGAAGGGUGGAAACAUUUAAAGCAAGAUUAGUAGCCAAAGGGUUUACUCAGAAAGAGGGAAUCGAUUAUGAGGAAACUUUUUCUCCGGUUGCUAUGCUUAAAUCCAUCAGGAUUCUGCUCUCCAUUGCUGCAGUGCUAGAUUAUGAAAUUUGGCAAAUGGAUGUCAAGACUGCCUUUCUCAACGGGCAUCUUGAAGAAAACAUCUACAUGCAGCAACCAGAUGGAUUUAUACAAAAAGGCCAACAACACAUGGUAUGUAAGUUGCAGAGAUCCAUUUAUGGAUUGAAGCAAGCAUCCCGGUCAUGGAACAUCAGAUUUGAUCAAGCGAUAAAAUCGUUUGGAUUCAUUCAGAACAUUGAUGAACCAUGUGUGGACAAGAAAAUUCAAGAAAAAUCUGUAGCCUUCCUAAUUCUUUAUGUAGACGAUAUUCUCCUAAUUGGAAACGAUAUAGGAGUACUGACUACAAUAAAGAGUUGGUUACCAAAACAAUUUGAUAUGAAAGACCUGGGAGAGGCAAGUUAUAUUCUUGGUAUCAAAUUACUACGAGACCGGAAGAAUAAAACUUUAGCCUUGUCUCAAGCGGUCUAUAUCGAUAAGAUAUUGGCUAGAUUUAGCAUGGAAAAUUCCAAGACUGGUUUAUUACCAUUCAGACAUGGAAUUACAUUCUCUAAGGAUCAAUCACCUAAAACAUCUGAAGAGAUAGAGAGAAUGAGACGAGUUCCCUGUGCAGAAGCUGUGGGAAGUCUUAUGUAUGCCAUGCUUUGCACUAGGCCAGACAUCUGUUUUGCGGUAGGGAUGGUUAGUAGAUAUCAAUCUAAUCCUGGACCUGAACACUGGACUGCGGUCAAGCAUAUAAUGAAGUAUCUGAAAAGAAAUAAAAAUUAUAUGCUUGUGUAUUCUGGUGUUGAACUCAUUCCAGUGGGUUAUACUGAUUCUGACUUUAUGUCAGAUAAGGAUUCUAGAAAAUCAACUUCCGGCUAUGUGUUUGCAUUGGGAAGUGGAGCUAUUAGUUAGAGGAGUGUGAAACAAUCUUGUAUCACAGACUCAACAACUGAAGCUGAAUAUGUGGCUGCAUCUGAAGCUGCAAAAGAAGCUGUAUGGCUCUGCAAGUUCCUACGAAAUCUUGAGGUGGUACCUGUUGUAACUGCACCCCUUAAACUAUUUUGUGAUAAUGGUGGUGCGGUAGCUCAAUCUAAGGAACCAAGGAACCACAAGAAACAAAACAUAUUGACAAGAAGUAUCAUCUUAUAAGGAAAUAGUGUAGAAAGGUUAUAUGACAGUACCCCAAAUGGCAUUAGAUGCUAAAUGGCAGAUCUUAUUACAAUGGCCAUUAGUGGGAAACCUUUAUAACUUGCACUUAGAGCCCUAGAGCAUGUGCAAUAUGCCAGAUAUGCUUUGAGAGCUAGUGGGAGAUUGUUGGGAAAAUAUGCUCUUUAAAAGCAUAUGUGUUUAUUUAAUUGUAAUAAACAAUUUUUCUGAUUAAUAAAAUAAAUGAGGUAUUUUAUUCAAAUAUCUUAAUUGCAUUAAUAUUUGUAUUAAAGUCCAUUUAAUCAUAUUAUAUGUAUUUAUGUGAUCACCAUGUGGAUUCACAGAAGACAUAAAUACAAGUUAUCUUAUGAUUAAAUAAAUUUAGUUCGCAGUUGAUAAAUAAAGUUGGGCACUUUAUUUAGGUAUAGACUGUAAUAAAUUCAUUGAAUGAUUUGUCUUAAUCAUGUAUGAAUUUAUUGAUGUAGUACGACUACAUUGAACAGGAUCACAUAUGAGAUUUAAUUAACUUUGUAAUAACUGUCAGACUUAUUAAAUCUCAUAGGCGUUGAUUUUACUGUAAUCUUAAUCUUGAGUUAAUUAUGAUUUCAUGAUUGUGAUUGUUAUUUCAUUUGAGUUACCAAUGGGCACGACACAUCCUUGUGGUCAAGAUUACCCGGUAUCUUGGUGGGAGCAAUUAUGAGUAUUGGAGUUAUGGAUUAACAAUAUAGAAUUUGUACAACACAUCUCUUGAUAGGUUUUCGGUACUUGAUCAUAGAAUUCUCUGGCCAGAGUGUGUCAACAUAUUUAGUAUGUUGAAAAUGAUCAUUAGAGAAAACCAGUAAGGAUCAAGGAAUAAGAUGUUAUUAAAUUGAUUGGACAGUUGAGAUAUCAAUUUAAUUAACGAUGUGGUACAAAGGAUUGUGCAGUAAAGAAAUCAAUGUGGCUUGGGACGAAUUAUUAUUCGAGCAUACAAUUAUGGAAGUCAGUUCUAAUCUUUUAGUGGAGUAGAUUUGGAAUUAAAUAAUUGGGCUAGUUUAAUUACAGGCCUAAUUAUUGUAGCCACUAUUGUAUGUUCCCAAAUGAUCCCCGGGUUAGCUCAUUUAAUUGACUGCACCACUACUGGACUAAUAAGUAAGAUAACUAGCUAUUUGGGUCAAAAGCCUAAAUAUAUCAUUUAGUGGGAGGCUCCAUUUAAUUAGCUUUUGUAUAAGGGGCCUUAUGUUAUUUUACAAGGUGGGUCCCCUAUUGAAAAAGCAAAUAAACGUGAGUUUUGUUUUUUGAUUAUUUGGAGCCCAGGGUUUUCACUAAAGGGUGAUAUAAAAGGCUUAUUUUUCCCUAAAGAAAAAAAGAGAAGCCAUUUUAUACAGAUCAGAGAAAAAGAUUUUUAUCUCCAUUGUUGAGAGAAAAAUUUUCUCGUGCUAGUUGCUUUGGUAGUGAUAAAGGCGCCCACACGUCAAGUGCAUAUCGAACCUGAGUCAUAACCUGGAAGAUCAUUGGAGACAGUUCGUGAUCUAACAAGCGUGGUGGUGACGGAUCGUGAUCUAACAGGAGUGGUGGUGGCGGAUCGUGAUCUAGGAGCCUAAAUCACUUCAACGGAAAAAGUCCAAUCGGAUUUUCAAGGUACGAUUUCUAGAAUACAAAUUCUUAUAUAUUAUAUGAGAGCGAUCUUCAAAAGGUUUUAUAAAAAUUUAAAAACCGAAUUUUUCCCCAACAUAAAUAUCCUUUGAAAAUAUUGCCAUCAGAUUUUGAAUUGGAGAACCUGAUUGAACUCAGCUUGCCUUGUAGUAAGGUUAAGCAAAUUUGGAAAAGAGAAAAGGUAUAAUGUAUUACUAUUACCAAAGUAUCUAUUUUUCUUUCUUUAAGUAUUUAUAAUGAAUAACUUUGAAAUUGAAUGAUGCUCAUUUAGUAUAGUUGUGUAUCUUUGGUUAUGGGAAGCUGUCAAGUUAAAAUCUAUAGAUCUUCACCACCCCCUGUAUCUCAAUAGGAUCCCAAAAAUACUAAAUCUUAAAAAAAUAAAUCUUUCAAAAUGUGAAAGCAUGCUUACGUUACCCGCGUAUAUCCACAAUUUCAACUAGCUCAGUAUGUUGUGUUUCAUGGGAUGCAAAAUUCAUUUUGUUUCUCAUGAAAGGAUUGACUUGUCCGGAUGUAUUAGGGUUAAUGAACCAACUAAUCCCAUAAUUUGUUGAUGUAGGGUCCUAACAAAUUAUUGCAGUAGAUUGUAGAUCAAUACACUAUUCGAAAACGUAUUUGAUCCACACAGUGAAUGUUUGAGGGUGCAUUUCUCGCGAACUAGCCAUACCCUAAACGAGGAGCCAGUCUCCUUGUAAUUGAGCAGACAGGUGAAGUCUGGUAGCAAAUAUCCAAGAGCAGGAAUUCUAUGCUCAAUCACAAGGACAUCCUCUUUUGGACUAUAAUUCGAACAUGGUUCCUACUAGGAGCCGAGAGCCUUUCCUGCUGGAGAUCGGGGUCGGCAGACCUAGUCUAUAACGGUUAACGAGACGUGCACUCCUAUUUGAGAAUCUAGGCACGAAACCAACUCAGCCGCAACUACGACAUUCAGGCAUCCACUUCCGUAAGCUGAGGGAGGUGAUGGACGUGGAUCGUGGGGCGUUGGAUUCGUAGGAAGGCUAUAAAACGGUAAUCAACGAAGGUAAAGGGGUUAGACACUUUUACACUAGAACUUAAGAAAUAAGAGCAUUUACUAAAAAAGGAGAGAAACACUCAUAGGUGUUCCACUGCCUAAGAGAUCAUGAGAGAGCCACGAGAUCAGUGGCCGAGUUUCCCAAAAAGUAAACUUAAAUUUUUGACUUGAGCGUAGGAGGAUUUUUCCUGCGUGCUCUGACCAGUUUUUGUGUGCGCAGGAGUCUGCUAAGUCAUACGAGGCAUAGCUCUGCUCGGUUAGAAGAGUUACGUGAAGUAUCCUAGGUUGGUCGUGAGUUCGGGAGUUGAGGAGAGAUCCUGGUUGCAGACGAGCAGACACCAGAAUCUCGCAUCAACAGUGAAGAUAGGGAUGGCAAAAGUCCGGGUCGGGUCCGGGUUUGGGGGUGCCCGAGACCGACCCGGAUUUCACACAUAACUGCCCGGACCCGGACCAUGCCCGGAUUUUUUCUAUGCGGGCCGGGUAUAUACCCGGCACUAUCCGGGCAUGGGUUUUUUCCAGGUUUUCUCUACCCGCAUUUUCAAAACUGACUAAAAAAAAAAAUUUGAUAAAAAAUGCUAAAUAAGUAAACAGGGCAGUGGAAAUUCACAAGGUUGAAAGCUUGCGCAAUUGGGCCUGAAAAUUCAUAACUUAUCCCCGAAUUAGCACUUAGCAGAAAACUCCCUUUCAAACUGUAAAGAGAUUUGAUGCCCAGGAAUCGAUUUGACGAAAGAAGAAAAAUGCCUUGGUCUUUUUGUUCUCUCUUCUUUUUCCACAGUGAAGAGGAAAGAAAAAUGCCCAGGAUUAUCUUGUGGACAGCAAAGUUGAUUUCAUGUGCUUUGUUGUCUUCUUAUUUUCAAAUCCCUUAGAAACAAAGUCAGAACCUGAAAUCACUAUCCUUAAACCUGCAAUUCCCUAUGUUGCAAGUCAUUUUCAGCUUCAUAGUUUUCGGUAUCAGCCUCCCUUUCCCCUUCUCCGUCAUCAUGGACGCUUCCAUUUUCUUCUUCCUCAUCUUCAUCUACUUCUACUUCAUCUUCCUCGUACUCCCCUUCUUCUAGUUCCUAGAUGUCAUCCAAGAAAAUAAUUAAGCAUGCUGCAUAUAUAUAUAUAACACCUAACAACAAUAAUGCCAAUUACUUAAUUUCUUCAUUUUUUUUUGAAAAAAACAGCCAAAAAAAAUUAAUAAUACCUCGUGGUCGUGGGUCGUGGCUGUGUUGGUGAAGUUGCAGCUGAACAAGAACAGCUGAUGCCGUCGCGUGGUGGCUGCUGCUGAGAAGAUGAACAAACGGUGAAGAGCCCUGUGACAGGACGGCUGUGCUUUGCGAGGAGAAAUAGAGUUGACUGAGGAAGGUAAGAGUUUCGGGGAGGGAGAGGCACGGUCAACACUGCAUCAGUGCCGGUGGGUGGUGGAGAGACGGAGAGAGGUGCCGCCGAUUUGGAGAUUUCUGGGUGGGUGCUGACUGCUGCAGUGCUGCAUUGUUCACUUGCAAAGUUGCAAUCGCGUUUUAGGGUUCAGUUUUGGGGGCAAUUAGGCAAAGCAAAUUUUAUUUUCGGUUUUAUAUUUUCCUUUUUUUUUUUACUUAAUAAAAAACCGGGCACAGGUCCGAGUUCCGGGUUCUUGGUGCUGUGACCGGACCCGUGCCCGGAAGCAUCCGGGCAUUGAAAAUCAAUGCCCGGAUUCGCUUUUUUCAUUCAUGCGGUCCGGGUAAAACCCAGACCGCACACACCGGGUCCGGGCCGGAUCCGGUCCGGACGGGUUUUUCUGCCACCUCUAAGUGAAGAUGAUUCAAUAUUAAGCAUGUCAUAUAAUCUAGAAGUGGAUAUUGGACCAAUUUGAUGAUGAAUUUCUUUCAAUCUCAAUCUUUUUCUUUUUAGCAACAUGACUAGUCAUUGUGCAAAUUUAAACUCUGACAAUGAUUUCUCAAUCGGUUUCUAAAAUGAUGACCAUGCAUGUAUAUGUGUGUGUGUAGAGAGAGAGAGAGAGAGAUCACACGUGUGUGAUUUCCUUUUGCCAAUAGGAUAUGCAGAGAGCUUGAUCUUACCCAAUAGCGAAACAAACUUCCUAAUAAGUGAAGGUAUAGUAUAAAUACUUAUACUUUCAUGUUAUUUUGUUCAUCAGUAGCUUGAUUAUUUUAUAUGCAUCUUCGAUUUUAAUUUUCUUUCCCUAUAAUCGCUAUUAUCUUUGAACUGGUCAUGAUUUGCCUAUAAGAUUUCUCAUGUUGUUUUGAGGUGCAAUGGAUUUUGAAUUUAGUGACGAGCAGUGGAAGCCAGAAGGCAAAUUAUGAAAAUGGAUAAAGAUCUAUAAUUAGCUGUUAUGGGAUGUCACAUAUCAUAUUGAUGGUAACAUUAUAUAUAUAUAUGUACAUAUAAUUAAUGGGGUUGGCUCACGAGCCCAUUAAUAAUCGUAUAUUAGCUUAUAUACUUCAAACAAUGUACUAUGAAGCAAUUUCACAAAUACUUGUUAGCUUAUGUUGAGCUUUAUUGAAUCAGUAGUUCACAGUUCAAUAAAAUGCAGGUUUAAUGUGACAGAGAGAUGUAGAUAACAGCCGCAAAACACUGAGAUUGAAAAUCAGGGCUACUAAAUUCUACUAAAAGCCCUUAAAAUAGACAGCGAUCACCCUGAAAUGUAUAUACUGAAACUAAGAAAUAUUAAUCGCAAAGUUAUGCAUUAAUAGAACUAUUGACUACUUAUCUUUAGCAUAAGGUAUAUUUUUAACUACAGCUUUAUGCUUUGUUUUAAGAACUAGGCAAAAAUGGUGUAUCUUCAAUCCAAUCAACAUGUAUACCACUUAUCUUCCUCUUCACUUCUGUCUAUUUUGAUUUGCACUUCAUAUCCUGCACUUGCUGCUUAGAAAUAGUCUUAUUCUGGACAUUGAAAGUAGAAAAAGUGCUUGAAACAAUCAUUGGCAUAGCCCGAGAUUCCAUUGAAUCGUGGACUCCAAGCUUUCAUAGUUCUAUAAAGAAAAUGACAAAACUUCAUACAAUUGGCAUUCUGCUUUUAACAUUUGCACAACCUGAGCGAGUUAGCAAGCCCCUUGUUGCGUUCCCAUUGAAUAGACCUACUUCUGUUAUCCACAGAAGAUCCACAACUCAAAAUGUUUAUCACCAGGCUAUUCUUAAACUGAGCCUAAACUGAGUAGAAACUUCCGCACAUCUCUCAGCAUUUACAUGAAGAAAUCGACAACUAUCCUCAUCUCUCAGCACAUCUCUCAGCAUUCUACAAAGUUGCAUUUCACUAAGCAAUCUAUCCUCUCCAUUCCUAGCAAAGUGACAUUGAUUCCCGUAUUUGUAAUCGCCUAACUUGGGUUUUGGGCAUAGCUUGGUCUUAAAAUUACCACCCAUUACUUUGUUCAGUGCCACUGGCAUCCACAAGCUCUAGCCCUGUUAGCUGAAUCAUAUUCAAUGGGACAGUGAGGCAGCAUUUCACUAACAUAUUCAAUUUGACUACUUAUAUUGACGCAAAUAUUAGAAUUUGAAAUCACUUCUUUUCUUGGAAUAUUAUAUUAAAAUGAACCCAAAUGAAAGUUCUUGAAUGGAAAUGAUUUUUAUUUAAUUUUCGAACAGAUUCAAGAAAACCCAGAGAACACAAAUUUUACACAGUAAUAUGAUUAAGAGCUGAGAACGUACAUGUAGUAAAUGUCUAUCAAAAAACACCCAAGGGUUUCUUUAAAAUUAGAAACUAGUAAACAAAAAGAAAGAAUCAUUUCACAUUUUUAGCAACUUUGGGGUGAGUGAGUGAGUGAGAAAUUGAAACCCUAAAGUGAUGACAAUAGUAAGAUUCAGUAUGAAGUGAAACCCCAAUUUGAAAUGUAGGCAUGAGUUGCUGAGUCAGUAGAUGAAGCUAUAAAUAGGCAUUCGGUUUCCUUCUUUUCGGUUUGGAGGGCCAUGGAAUAGUGUAUUGGAGUGGGCUCCAAGUAAUAGCCUCUAUCACUGGAACGACACAUCUGUAAAACGUGAUACAUGGGGAAGGAUUGGGCAUUAUAUUCUUAGAGUUAGAUUAGCGCCUUAUUUAGGGUGUAUAUUAAGCAGAUUAUACAUUACAUGGAGAUGGAGUUUAUGAAAUAGAUUAAAAAGAAAAGAAAAUUUCGGUGUCUAAAGUUUGCCACUUGGAAUAUUUCGGUGUCUAAAAAUUCACUCACCACUUAUGUCAUGUUUGAUUAUAUGUUGAAAAGAUAUUAAAAUAGUAUAAUGCUAUUAAGGCUUAACGUAUAUUUUUUAUUAGUAGAGUGUAGAAUUUUUAAGAAAUAAAUUAUUAAAUUAUUAUAACUAACAUAUUAUUUUAAAGUUGUGUUAUGAAAAAAAAAUAAAAUAAAAACAUACAGUAAAUAAGAAUAUUCUAAAACUUUUAUCUUUUUAAAAUUAGUUUUUAACAUAAGGUGAACUAUUUUUUUUUAAAUCACAUAUUCUAGUUAAAAUCAAAUAUGUAUUUAUAUGAAGCUUGUAAAUUUUUUUUUUAGUACUGAUAUUUGAAUAUUAUCAAUAAAAAAAAAAGGGUAAUGUUCAUGCUGCAUUAUUUUUGUAGCACACAAUAGGACAACACCGUUUAUGUUAUAAUACUAUCGCUUCUGUUAUGAUAAUAUUUUUUUGUGGCCAAAUAUCUUUUUUUUUUUUUUUAAGUAAAAGGGUGGACAAAAUACAAAUCAGUUUUUAAUCCUCAAUCUCUCCCAAAAUUUAAAUUCGUAGUUAACAAAACAAAAUUGUUGGAAAACCAUUAAGCUAGGUCCAUGGGUUGUUAAAACUAUAUAGCUGACAAAAAGUUACUAACAAAAACAGAAUGUCCAUUUUAUAACUUUCUUUAAAAACAUUCCUUAACUUUUUUAAAAAGUUACCAACAAAAAGUUAUUUCCAAUUUUUAUUUUGUUAUAAUUUUUAUAACAAAAUUCGUAGUUAACUAAACUCUUCUUAUUCCCUUUCUCAACUGCCAUACCCUAACCCACUAAACCACGCUCAAUUAAGGCCAUCAGAUUCUCCCGGGCCCACAUUAAUCCAACUGCUCACAGAGACCGACAGCCUCUCUAUCUCCGUUUCAAGCUCCCUCUUCAACUGGCUUCUGCUACCGUCCUACUGUUUCUCGGCUUCGGAGGCCGUAUUUGCUCGGCCGGUCCCACGAAGCUCCCUCUCACUCCAAUUGUCGCCCCACAAGACCAAUUGCUUAAUCAAGACACCGAACAAGAAGAGGAUGAGAAGUUGAAACAAGAAUUUGAGAUUGAAGUAAUUUGAGGAUAGACUGCCUAUCCUCUUUCUUUUCGGAAUUCAGUGCCUCAAUCUUGGGUUAAGGAUUUUAUGCGAAGUCAGGGAAAGAGAUUGAAGUUUCAGAUGAAUUUGUGUGCUAGCAUUGAUGGGAUCUUUAACAAUUUAUCUGUGCCCUUUAACAAAGUUAAGGCUAAGUCAGCUUCGUAUAUGGCUGCUGAUUUGGUUAGUGUUGGUGAUUCAUGGCUCAGUUUUGCAAUUAAGAUUGGUUCAAAUGCUUAUGUCACAAAUGGAAGGUAACAUCUUUAUCUUUGACCCGAUAAUUUUUAUUAUCUUUUUAAUUGCAAUGAGAAGAAAUGCCACUGUAGCAUGUAGUGAUGGCACUUAAUAAGUGAGUUGCUCGGAUGUGAACUAGAAAAAUUAAAUAUUGUCUCCUUGGGUAUGCUAGCUUGUAAGUCAGGGUUAAUAUCAGAGCUUAAGAUACUAUAACCGUGAGAAGCUAUUGACUGCCAAUUAAAAUAUCCAUUAAAAUGUCUAGGGAGUUAUGAAGGUGGAGGUAACUUCCAAUUUCUAAGGCCACAGAGUAGACAUCAUCCAGGAUCCUAGGAAAGUCCAGUUAACCUCCUGCUUGAUGCAAUUAAUAAAUUUGGUCAAUGCCACUGAAACCUGCUAACUGACGUCACAAUGUGACAUGAGCACUUCAAAAUGGGACAGACGGUCAGUAGCACUAAAUUUUUCUUGCCUAAGAUUGAGCAAUUGGUCUAACUACUAAUCCCUAUUGUAGGUUGAUCAUUAUUUUUUCAAUUAUGUUCAGUUUGACCCAAAAAGUUGCAGAAUCUUGAGCAGAAUAUUGUCACCGAACACUGUCAAUGUCGUUUAGCAUAGCCAACUAACUUGAUGUUAAAACAAGCACACAAUGUGUCUCAUGUCUCACAAAUCAAAUUAUCAUCUGUAAUGAUGGAGAAUUUUUCCAAUGUAUGAAGUAUGUUUUGAUACGUGGGUUACCUUGGAGAAGAUAUCUCAAAAUAAAGAAUAUGGGGAGAAAACAGUUCAGUAGUUUAUUAUUCUGUAGUCAAGUUUUGUCUUGAAAAUGGUCAAAAUUUAAAUGAAUAAGGACAGGGGAUCUUCAUUCUUUUUUCCCUUUUUUAUACCAAGAUAUCUCUCAACCUUUAUAUAAUCCCCACUGGAUAUCUGCUUCUAAUAAUUAAAAUAAAAAUUUCACCGCUCUAACAAUAAAAAGUAACAUCUUUAGUCAAAUAAUUUACAGUUCCUCAUCAUCUUAGUGUGAGACUAUCAGUACAUUCCAAAAACAUAAUAAAACUGGUUUGAUCCUGUUUAUUGAUGUUUAAAUGUUGUUCAUUGUGACAUGUAGAAAUGAUGAGGCAAAGUUUAUUUGGACAUCAAUUAGUAAGAUCUUGUUUGAAGUUGUUUUCUGAAAUGAACUGCCAAAUGGUAGUUUUUUGGGGACAUUUGAUGGCUCUUUUUUUUUCCUCAUUUUCAACAUGCGCCUGCUUGGAACAGGAAGAAUUAGGCUGCAGAGUUGUUAUAUAUUUUGAGAUGCUCUGGUCAUUGCACAAUUUGUUCACACUGGAAAUUAGAAUGAGAAAUUUGUUGAUGCUGUUUUGAGAGAUCUGCAUUCUAUGCACAAUAACAUGAUUAAUGAAAAUGCAUUGUAGGACUGGAAAGAUCUGUGGCAGCCUGAGCUCGCAAGAAGAAUUUCAAUGGUUAAUUCUCCCCGAGAGGUUAUUGGUUCAGUUUUGAAGUAUAGGGGAGCAUCAUACAAUUCAAAUGAUAUUGAUUCACAAGUUGCUGGUGGGAAGAUUGCUGUUCAGCAGAAUCUGGCAUUACUGGCAAACCAGGUACUCUUACAGAAAUGAUAUCUGGUCAUUGCAUGUUAUUGCCUGACAACUGAUUUUGUUUGUAAAAGUCUGCUUCUUCAUACAUAUGAAUGCAUAUGUUAGUGUUUUCUUCUCCUUUUCAUACAUAUAAAUGCAUAUGUUAGUGUUGUCUUUUCCUUUUCAUACAUAUUAAUACAUAUGUUGGUGUUCUCUCCUGAGAUGGAUGCAAUAAAGGCUUUUGCUCCUAAAUUUAGCUGAAGAAAUGGCAAGGGAUGUGAGAUUCUGUCUCUUUAAAUUAAAAAAAACCCAAAACAAUGAAAAUCCAUAAUAAUGUGGUGUGGAUAAAUUGGCUCCAUUUGGUUCGUUUCCUUAAUGUGAAUGCGCGAGCAAUAGAGACUAACAAAAUGAAGUGACAACAAGAAGUCAGUGUCCUUUGAUGGAUGCAUUUUUAGGCAGAAAUAUGUUUGUAAUUGACCAAAUUUGUCUGGCAUGCCAAUUUCAAAAAAAUUAAAUUAUGUGGUUAUUAGCGGUAAUGAAGGGGGAUAGUAGGUGCAAUCAGGUGGAUCCAGGAAAGUUCAACAAAGUUUUGGUAUGGCGUAGUGAAAUUGGUUUGUGCAACUCAGGAGUCUUUCAGGUGAACGAUGAUAGGUUUUGAUUUAUGAAUAUUAUAAAUAUACUGUGCAUAGUAUUCUAGUAGAAUCAUCUAUAAGUUCUAGUUAUUGAAAUUGUAUACUUUGCCCGGUUUGAGUUAAGGGCACAUGUAAUAUGAAAGAUAGUUGUCGCAUCUUUUAGGUUACCUAACAUUUGAUCAAUCCUAUUAUGGGGGCUUCAAGAUGUCUAACAAUAUGUAGAAUGCCCAUGCUCCUACCCAUUGUUUAUCUUCUACAAUAAUUUGUUUUAGAUGCUAAUAUCUUUGUCGAUACCGGUAACAAUAUUACAAUAUCAGCGUUUAUUGGGUUUUACAUAGGUUCGACUGGUUGACAGUACACACUAUCUGAAGGCAUUUGCAAUUGGAGAUGUAUGGGUUGCUGUUGGGUGGAUCAGUGAUGUUCUUCCUGCUGUCAAACAUAUGUCUAAUGUUGCUGUGUUGUUCCCAAGUCUGGUGCUAGCUGCCUGCCAUUCUACUUCGAUAUUCACAUUGUUAUCUCCUUCAUAUUAGCGAUCAGUAAACACGAUAAUGUGACUAAUAAGUUCGUAUUCUCUUUAUAGGCAAUCCCUGCUGCCUCAAGACUUGAAACAAAACAAAUUGGAGGGCGAGUCAGAGGUCCAUCUCCAUUAAUCCAUCAAUGGAUAGAAUUCUGCUUGCAAACAGCGAGAGCAUUGCCUUUCAAGCAAGAGGUUAUCCUGGGUGCAUCUCCCUCUGCCCUUGAAAGUACUCUGGUUAAGUUGCCUGAAGAACUUCUGGAGGGUAAACCAAGUCUGGAUACUAACUUAAUUGCUGGAGUACUCCCGGCUGAAAUUCUGGCCAGAUGUGAGUUUUUGGAGCCAUUAUCUGAAGCUACUUUGUCAGAUUAUGAGUGGCUGGUUGUUAAUCUGCAAAAACCUGCUCCUGUCUUGAUGAAAAGGGUGCAACAUUACUUGUCAUCAUUAAUCCAAAGCUUUCUAGCAAGAGCUACAUUGAAAAGUUAAUGGCGCUGCAUGCCAGUCAUUAUAAUGCUGUCAGGGCAAUUGGGUCAGGGCAAUUAGGUCUGAGCAUAACUUCAUUAGGAAAAGAGGCUUCAGCUACGUUAAAUAUUACAGGAUGUACUGAGAUGGCUGAAGUUCUUGAGGUUUUAUGAGAAAGAUGAGUGUUUGUUUGAACAAAGUUGUUGCCAAUCUUGCAGAGUUCGAAAACAAAGAUCACGGAGCGAAUGCCACCAAUUUCUUCAUCAUUUUAGCCUCCAUAGUUGAAGUUUCCUCAUUUGAAGCUGUUUAUGCAUAUGCUUUUUCCCUUCUCAAGUACAGGAAAUUGAAGAAUUAACCAGAUGUGAUAUGCUGAAAGAGGGAAGUUUUCUUCCUUGAAUGUGGCCUUUGUGAUUUGUCUUGAUGGAAUAGGGUGAUCACUGGCGAGAACCCAAUCAAGGUAGAUUUUAUGAUGUUAACAUAUUAUUAAGCAUUUUGUUGCAUCAGCAAUGAUGCUUUCAUAGAAUGAAAGUGUUUAAAUUUAACUGAAUGAUCUUGAUUGAUCAAUUAUGAGUUUUAAUCGAGUAAAAACUAAAUACAAUGAUCGUUAACAAAUAUUGAAAUUGGGUAAAUAUGAUCUUGAUAUUGAAGAAUUUGAAAUCACAACCCACACAGGAAAUCACCCUUCGCGUGGGGAUGGUGAUGUUUACUGCAGCGAUAUUGAAUAUGUCCGCUGCUCUUUGGGUUAUGGUGCGAGUGCGACUUGCGAUUUCAAGGUUGCCAUGAAACAAUGGAAAAGAUUAACAUGCCCUCCAAUGAAUGAAACUAUUAUGUUAUUAACAAUGCACAGUCCGAGUACUUUUCCAGGAUCAGAUACGAGGUGGUCUAAUGUUGAUAAUAAUAGAUUAUCAAAUGACAAAUCGUUGUUCUUGGGUGGUGAUUUCAGAAAUAAAAUACAUUCUGAGAGAUGCUGGUUUACUAUUGCAAGCCCCCAGAUUUAAGAAUCUUUUGAUGAUAAUUUAUCACCUGCAGCUGUGCCGGAAGAUUCAAGUAGCACUGAAAAAGAUGAUAAUUUAAUUGAUAUGGACAGUUUUCAUAUCACUUUUAAAUCAUCUUAUGUAAUUGUAAUGUUAGGAAGCAUUAGUGAUCUAAAAGUGAACUAUUAUUGGUGUAAUUGGUGGUUUUAUCUUGUUAAAAUAUGGAUGACUUCCUGUUACUAUUUUAUUAUAGACAAUCUUAUUCAAUUAACAUAUGGUUUAAAACCAUUAUGUUUUAUGUAAAUCAAUCUAUUAAUUUUCAUGAUACUUAACUGAGUUAAAACCAAGUGCACUCAAUAAAUGUCUUUUCCUUUAAAAAACUGCUACGCUUUGAUUUUAGUGCUUAAUAUUUCGUAACUACAGAUUAUCUAAUUGCGAGUUGCUGUCCAUAGCUACUAAUUUGUAGUGAUUAUCUAAUUGACGAAGGUGACAAUAAUUAUUUUAUUUUCAAUAGCACAACGUGGAAUUCAAUAAUUAAAUUCUCCUGUUUAAUUUGUUUUAAGUUAAAUUAUUAAUUACUUAAACUCUGUUUUAAGUCUUUAAUUUUCUGUGUUUAUGCAGAAUUGGAUUCUUGAGCGUGUUGGACAUGACCAACAAUGAAAUUGACGUAAACAAACAUUACAACGUGUGGACUCCGGUAGCUACCCCGCAAGUCUACAACUUUACAAAUAAUAAUUGAGUAAGCACCUUUGAUUUCUAGCCCCGUUGACUCCACCGACUAAAGUUUUGUAAAAUAAAAAAAAAAUGCAUAGAAUUCCACCAAAUGCAAAACGCGUGGAAUUUAAUUUUCGGCCGUGUGGAUCAAAACAUAAUUUAAUGAAAAAGGAAAAAAAAUGAUAAGAUUUUUAAAAUGUGUGGAAGGUGAUUCAUAUUUUACUGAAACAACUUGUUAAAUUUUUCAAGGAUUUAUAAUAUUUGGUCAUAAAUUACGUGCAUGUUAAUUUUUCCGCCAUUGACUAUCAUAUUCUAGACUUAAUGGUACCUUUCUUGAUGAAGGGUACUUAAUCUCUCUUCUCCUCUUAUAAAAAUUAUAUUAAUUGAUUUCUUAUUAUAGUUAAUAGUCUUCAAGAACGGAUAGAUUUAUUGUCUUCAUGACCAAAUUAUGCAUGCCUAACGUUGCAACUAUUAAUAAAAUUAAUAUUUAAUGUUUAUGUUAAAAUAUAUAAGAUUUUAUGCAUUCAUUAAUUGUUAUUAGCUAAAGGAUGAAUUAUUUUUUCCCAAUCAGUUGAUGCAUCUGCAAGAGUUUUUUUUUUCUUUUAUUGACCAUAAUUAUAUUCCGGGUACAAUAAAUUGUCUUUGGUGCUUGGAAGAUAUGACAUCUCUCUGUCAACUUACUGGAAAUAUCUCCUCAUCUACUCUCAUUUAUCUAAUAUCAAUUGAAGAUCUCAUAUUUCCAAACUAGGACCUCCAAAUCUCAUUAUCAUUUGAGCAUUCAAAACUAAUCAAGUGUGGAAAUAAUCAAAUAUAUGCAAAAAUCGAGUCACAAUCUUUGGCCCCUCAAAAUUCUAAUUAUAUAACUUCAUAUCUCAUACAUUUUCCAAAUUCCUCUUCCAUCAACAUCACUAGGAGUAUGUUCAUCUCUCACACAUUAACUUGAGUGGAGAGUUUCCAAAUUGAUUGUCAGAAAACAAUACAAAAGCUAGACACACUUGAUCUGUCUAAUAAUUCUCUUUCGGUAAAAUAAAUUAAUUUUAGGGUAAUAUUCAGCCAACCUCUGUAAUUUCAGAGUGAUCAUUAAUUAAUUAAUUAAACGAUACAAUAUCUAAAGUGAUUAGAUGUUUGCGGACAAUAUAAGUUCAUGGCUUGAAAUUUGAUCUCUAUCGAUUGGUUUACAGAUGGACGUACUUGUGCCUUUGUGGUGAUAAUUGAACCAGAGAUGUGAAGCUGUAAGGAUUUGGCAGUAGUAAAUUGUUAUAAAGGCAUAAAGACAACUAUUUUACAACAAAUUCAUCUCGCCAAAAAUUCUAUUUUGCUAACUAACAAUAAUUGAGCACUUGACCGCAUUGACUCCACGUCUCCAGCUACUUUCUAAGUAAAAACAUGGAAAUGUAAUCUCCACAAAAUGCCAAACGUGUGGAAUUUAAUUUUUGGCCUUGUGGACCAAAAUGCAAAUGAAAGAAAAAGAAGGAAAAAAACAAGGCCCAAAGACUUCUAAAAGAUGUAAAAGUCUUUGGGUUUUUUUAUAAUGGUGGAUUUUUUAAAAGAAAAAAAAUAACAACACUCCUAUGGUUUGUUUUGAUAAUCACAUUUACAUAUACUCUCUAAUUUUCAAAAUGGACACAUAAAUCUUUUUUUUUCCUACAAAUGUAUAUUAUUCGUAUUUUUUAUUAUUUUUAAUAUCAUAUUGUUAUUUAUUAUAAAUGUUUAAAGUAAAUUUUUAGGUUGAAAUAUAAUAAAAGGGUAUAAUCGUUCUCUUAUUAAACACCCAUACUUUUAGUUUCUAUCCAUUUGCCAUCUCAAUCUCUCUCAAUUAUUCAUUAUUGCUAGCUCAAAAUGCGUUGCUGUUGCAAAUUAUAGCAAAAAGACAAAUAUGGAAAAGAAAAAACGGUAGAAAAUUAGUGCAUGAAAGACUUGGAGAAAACAACGAAGUAAGUCAACUAUAAUCUAGCUGGGUGUAUAAAUUGCUUGAUGCUUUAUAAGCAAAUAACAUACAGAGACAGACAGUGUGUGUUCGUUUUUUCAUAGUUAAAGAUAUAGUUAGAAUGGGCGGUUCAAAAUCAAAAAUGGUGAUAAUGUUUGUUAUGUUAUUAAUAAUAUUUAAAAGUGGGUGGAGUGAGGGAUGUUUGGAUCACGAGAGAUUUGCUCUUUUGCGACUCAAACAUCUCUUCGAUGAUACUGGUAGUUAUCCUUACGACUGGGUAGAUGGUGAGGGAGCUAUUGAUUGUUGUCAGUGGGAAAGGGUUGAGUGCAGCAACACCACAGGCCGAGUGAUAGCGCUAGACCUUUUUGAAAUGUAUUCGGGAGAGUACAGCUGGUAUCUGAAUGCUUCUUUGUUUACUCCCUUCCAACAACUUGAGUCACUUGAUUUAACUGACAACAAAAUAGCCGGUUGUGUUGAGAAUGAAGGUGCUUCGUUUAAUUUAAUUAAUUUACUUUCUCCCCCCUAAUUUAAGUUGAAUAUCAAGACCGAGCAACUAUACGCAUAUUCAUUUAGUCGACAAUUUUGACUUUUUUUUAAGUGAUUAAUUAAUUUUAAAAUUACACCAAUAUCUAUGAUCUUUUUUUUUUUUUAAUUUUGCUUGCAGGUCUAGAGAGGCUAUCAAGAUUGAACAACUUGAAGAUGCUUAAUUUAAGUGAAAACUCGUUCAACAAUAGCAUUUUAUCAUCUCUAACUCAUCUUUCAUCAUUAAGAUCAUUAAAUUUAUUUUGGAAUAGAUUGGAAGGAAGUAUUGACUUUAAAGGUACAUAAUUAAAACUUCAUCCCUUCUCCAAGCUCUUUCAUUAACUUGCUAAAAUAAGACUCAAGGCUUUGAAUUCAAUUUUUUUUAUGAUUAGUAUUAAAAAAAACAGUUUUAAGCAAUUUAUAAAUACAAGUUUUAAUGGUUAUCGUAAUUUCAUCUUGUAAUUUCAUAUGUCUUGAAUUUAAGAUUAAAAAAAAACUCUAAUAGCGAACCAAACACCUCCACAACUUAUUAUUAUUAUUAUUAUUAUUAUUAUUUAUGGUGAGGUUGGAAACAUUCAACUUAAUUUGUACUUAUUACAGAAUUUGAUUCUUUGAGAGAUUUAGAGGAGCUAGACAUUGGCGCGAACAAGAUUGACAAAUUUGUGGUCUCAAAAGGUACUACAAAUACCACAAAAAAUGUAAACUUUUACAAAUUAACUGGAUUCUUUGCCAUUUGGUUUAUUAUUUUAUAGGUUUGAGUAAGUUGAAGUCUCUUGAUUUAAGUGGUAUCAAACUCAACCGUAGUAUCUUAUCUUCUCUAACUGUCUUUUCUUCAUUAAGAGAAUUACAUCUACGUGAUAUCGGAUUCAAAGGAACAUUUGAUGUUCGAGGUAAGCCUAAGCCUUGCUUUCUCAUUUUCUAUAUGCCAACUAGAUUUGUGUAUCAUCGACAUAAUUUAAUAUUUAAUUUGAUAAGUCUGAAGGAAUUACAUGCUAAUUUAAACAUACUUUUAUUUACUUUGUCAAUUAAUUAAUUAAUUAAUUACUAUUUGACAUUGGACGGUUCCUCUCUCCAUAUAAGCCUUCUGCAAAGCAUUGCAUCAUUCACUUCGUUAAAAAAUCUGUCGAUGUCUGAUUCUGAAGUCAAUGGUGUCCUACGUGGUCAAGGUAAAAGAAAAGUGUUGACUGUGAAUAAGCUGUUAAUUAAUUAAUGUUGUUGCUCCUUGCUUCUAAACAGAGUUGCGCAAUUUCACCAACUUGGAAUAUUUGAAUUGGAUUCUUCCUCGCUCCAUAUAAGCCUUCUACAAUUGCUUGAACAAUUUAUUUAUUUAUUUAUUUAUUAUUAUUGUUGUUGUUGUUGUUGUUGAAGUGGGGUGGGCAAGCGUUUACUCGGUUAAUAUGUGGGGAAUUAAAUAUUACAAUCCAAGGUAGAAUUGUGGAAAAUUAAAGUAAAAUGAGAAAUAUGGAAAGAAAGGAAGAAAGUUAAGGGCAUGAAAGACUAGGAGAAGACUAAAGACCACCAAAUAAGUCAACUGAAAACUAGCUGGGGCCUGGGUGUAAAAUUGUUAGAUGUGUUUGUUAUAAAUAACAUAGAGCCCUCUUGUUGGUUGCAGAGGCAGAGAGACAGAGAGUGUGCAUUUUGUUAAUUAAAAAUAUAAAUAUAUAAAAUGGGUGGUUCAAAAUCCAAAAUGGUGAUAAUGUUAGUUUUGUUAGUAUUAAUAAUAUUAUAAGGGAGGUGGCGUGAGGGAUGUUUGGUGCAUGAGAGAUUUGGUCUUUCGAGACUUAAAACAUUUCUUCAAUUCUCCUUCUAAUUUUUGUCACGACUGACCGUUGUCAAUGGGAUGGGGCUGGGUGCAGGGUUGAUUUACGUUAGAACAAUAUAGCCGGUAGUGUUGAGAAUGAAGGUGUUUCAUUUAAUUUAAUUAAUUUACUUUCUCCCUCCUAAUUUAAGUGGAAUAUCAAGACUGAACAAUUAUAUGCAUCUUCGUUCAGUUGACAAUUUUGACAUAUUUUUUUAAGUGAUUAAUUUUGAAAUUACACCAAACAUUAUUUGUGAUCUCUGUUUUGACUUUACUUGCAGGUCUAGAAAGAUUGAGCAACUUGACGAUACUUGAUUUAAGUCAUAACUUGUUCAAUAAUAGCAGCUUGUCAUUUGUUGCUCGUCUUUCAUCAUUAACAUCAUUAGAUUUAUCUUACAAUGGAUUGGAAGGAAGUAUUAAUAUUAAAGGUACGUAAUUAAAACGCCAUCGCUUCUCCCAACUCUUUCAUUAACAUGCUAAAAUAAGAUUCAAGGCUUUGAAUUCAAUUUUUUUUAUGAGUAAUAUUAGAAAAAUAGUUUUAAGCAAUUCAUAAAUACAAUUUUCAAUGUUUCUCAUAAUUUCAUCUUGUACUUUUGUAUGUCUUGACUUUAAGAUUAAAAAAAAAAAUUACUCUAAAUGUGAAGCAAAUACCCCAUGACUAAUUUACAAUUUUGUCCAAUUAAAAAUGAUAAAAUUUAUCAUUUGUUUACAUUGAUUUAUUAACUCUAUUUUAAGUCUUAAGUCUUGGCGUCUUGGCAUGUUUGCAGAAUUUGAUUCCUUGAGCAACUUAGAGGAGUUGGACAUGCGCGGUAAUGAAAUAGACAAUUUCGAGGUUCCUCAAGGUACACAAUUAAAAUAUUAUUUAAUUACAAUAAUUUAAUUCGUUUGAUUAGGGAAGGCCCAAAAUGUACAAAAACAUAAUUAAAAAAAAAUAAAGAAACAGAGAAUUCAUAUUAUUUCAAAAAACAAAAGGUAAUACUAUUAUUUCAAAAAAAGAAUGUAAUAAAGAUUUGAUUCCGGUUCUUUAAUCUUUAUAGCAAUUGAAAAACAAUGUUGCUCUUUUCCUAAAGCAUAAAAUAUGAAAUGAGUCAUAAUUGAAUUAGUCAUUUAUUUUGUUUAGAUAUAAAUUUAGACAAUAAAUUUUCAUUUUUUUUUCAAUCCUAUCCUUAUUAUUAUUAUUAAACAGGUUACAGAGGUUUGAGGAAGUUGAAAAGCCUCUAUCUAUCGAACGUUAAAAUUAGAGAUGGAAGCAAGUUGUUACAGUCAAUGGGAUCACUCCCAUCCCUCAACACUCUUUACCUGAAGCAUAAUAAUUUUACCGGUACAGCGACAACUACUACUCAAGGUAAGUAAAAGGUACAGAUGUGGCCAAAAUUAUAAACAAACUGUUAAUUAAUUAAUUUUUCCGUAUUAUUAAUUAAGCUAAAUUUGUUGCUCCUUCCUUCUAAAUCUACACAGAGUUGCACAAUUUCACCAACUUGGAAUAUUCGACAUUGUCCGGUUCCUCUCUCCAUAUAAGCCUUCUGCAAAGCAUUGCAUCAUUAUUCCCUUCAUUAAAAAAUCUGUCGAUGUCUUAUUGUGAAGUCAAUGGUGUCGUACGCGGUCAAGGUAAAAGAAAAGCGUUGAUUGUGAACUCACUCAAUGGUGUCCUGCGUGUUCAACAUUUUUGUUUAUUUAUUUUAUUGUUUAAUGUUUCUGCUAGGUUUUCCCCAUUUCAAGAGUUUGGAACAUUUGAACAUGGAACGCGCGCGCAUUGCACCCAACACCAGCUUUCUUCAAAUCAUCGGUGAAUCGACGCCUUCUCUUAAGUACUUAUCACUGUCAGAUUUUACUCUCAGCACUAACAGCAGCAGGAUUCUUGAUCGAGGUUAAUCAGAUGCUCCCACCCUCCCUUCUUAAUCUAUAAUAUUAAUUUUCAAUUAAAUAUUUAAUUACACAAAUGAAUCACUUAUUAUAAAAGAAUAAUACGCAUUCAUUAAUUUCUAUAUUGAAUUAAUUGAUGAAUUUAAUAAAUUUUCAGGCCUCUGUUCGUUGAUGCAUCUGCAAGAGUUGUACAAGGUUAAUAAUGAUUUAAGAGGUAGCUUGCCUUGGUGCGUGGCAAAUAUGACAUCCCUCAGGAUAUUAGAUGUUUCUUCCAAUCAACUUACUGGAAGCAUCGCUUCAUCUCCCCUCGCUCAUUUGACAUCCAUUGAGGAGUUGCAUCUUUCAGACAAUCACUUCCGGAUCCCAAUUUCACUUGAACCACUUUUCAAUCACUCAAGACUCAAGAUUUUCGAUGCUGAAAACAACGAACUUAAUGCAGAAAUAACUGAGUCAUAUUCUUUGACCACCCCAAACUUCCAAUUACAAUAUCUCUUGUUGUCUUCCGGUUAUGGAGAUGGUGCCACAUUCCCCAAAUUCCUUUACCAUCAACAUGACUUGGAGUAUGUUGAUCUCUCACACACAAAGAUGAAUGGAGAAUUUCCAAAUUGGUUGUUGGAAAACAACACAAAAUUAAAAACUCUUUUUCUGGUUAAUGAUUCUCUUGCAGGACCUUUCCGUUUGCCAAUUCAUUCACACAAGCGGUUAAGACAGUUAGAUGUCUCCAACAACAACUUCCAAGGCCACAUUCCAUUAGAAAUUGGAGAUAUUUUACCAAAUUUAAUAUCCUUCAACAUUUCAAUGAAUGCUUUAGACGGUAGCAUUCCCUCUUCAUUUGGUAAUAUAAACUUACUCAAAAUUCUGGACUUAUCCAACAACCAAUUGACUGGUGAAAUCCCUGAGCACUUGGCCGUCGGUUGCGUCUACUUGGAUUUUCUUGCGUUAUCAAACAACAGCUUAGAAGGUCAUAUGUUCUCUAGAAACUUUAACCUAAAAAACUUGAAAUGGUUACAAUUGGAAGGCAAUCGCUUCGUAGGUGAGAUCCCACAAAGUUUGUCUAAAUGCUCCUCACUAAAAGGAUUGUACCUUAACAAUAAUAGUCUUUCGGGUAAGAUUCCACGAUGGUUGGGUAAUCUCACAUGGUUACAAUAUAUUAUAAUGCCCAAUAAUCAUCUUGAAGGUCCUAUUCCAGUGGAGUUUUGUCAACUUUAUUCGCUUCAGAUUUUGGACAUUUCAAACAACAACAUAUCUGAAAGUUUACCAUCUUCUUUCCAUCCUCGCUUUAUCAAACAAGUUCACCUAUCGAAAAAUAUGUUACAUGGACAACUAAACAGAGGUACAUUCUUUAAUUGCUCUUCCCUUGUGACAUUAGAUCUUAGCUAUAACUGCUUGAAUGGCAGCAUUCCGGAUUGGGUUGAUGGGCUUUCUUAGUUAAGCCACCUUAUCUUAGGUCACAAUAAUCUUGAAGGUGAAGUGCCAGUUCAAUUGUGCGAACUGAACCGAUUGCAAUUGUUAGAUCUUUCUAAUAAUAAUCUUCACGGUCCUAUUCCUCCUUGCUUUGAUAACACCACACUUCAUGAAAGUUACAGCAAUAGUUAUAGUCUUGAUGAGCAAUUUGAAAUAUUUGUUUCCAUCGAAGGCUCUUGGGGAUCGGUAGAAAAGUAAAUCCAUGAAAUUUUUGAGUUCACAAUAAAGAACAUUGCGUACAUUUACCAAGGAAAAGUUCUUAGCCUCCUAUCAGGACUUGAUCUUUCUUGCAACAAGCUAAUCGGUCAUAUUCCUCCUCAAAUUGGAAAUUUGACAAGGAUUCAAACAUUGAAUCUAUCACACAACAACUUGACAGGAUUGAUCCCAUCAACAUUUUCAAACUUGAAGCAUAUCGAAAGUUUGGAUCUUUCCUACAACAAAUUGAAUGGGAAAAUCCCUCAUCAACUUGUGGAGUUAAAGACAUUGGAGGUUUUCAGUUUGGCAUUCAAUAACUUAUCAGGCGAAAUUCCAGAAUGGAAAGCACAAUUUGCAACCUUCAACGAGAGUAGCUAUGAGGGAAAUACUUUUCUUUGUGGAUUGCCAUUGCCCAUUUGCAGAUCACCAGCAACUACGCCGGAGGCUUCAAUUGGCAAUGAAAGAGAUGAUAAUUUAAUUGACAUGGACAAUUUCUUUAUCACAUUUACAACAUCGUACGUAAUUGUGAUAUUUGGAAUCGUUGUUGUUUUAUAUGUAAAUCCUUAUUGGCGAUGUAGAUGGUUUUACUUUGUUGAAAUGUGGAUAACUUCCUGUUACUAUUUUGUUGUAGACAAUCUUAUUCCAACAAGAUUUUGUCAUUGAAAUUAAUAAGUAGUUUAAUUAGGAUUCUUUAAGUACUAAUCAAGUUUGCUUAGGAAAUAAAUUUUUAUUAAAAUUGUAGUAGUAUUUAGCAUUAUAUAGCUUCCAACUUUCAAGCACUUCACAUUUGUCUCUACACUUAAAAAGUUGAGUGAUCAUGUUUUGCAGAUCUGGAUUUGGAGAAGGAUGGAUCCAAACCCAAAUCUGUCCACCAUAACUUAUACCCUACACUGUGUAGCAUACUUAAAUAAGAGAAUCAUCUCCAAUGUUAAAAGCAACCACUCUAUAACAUUCAUUUAGAAACUAUAUUCAGAAUAGUUUUAUAAUCAUACACAAGAAAUGAAACACCUAGAUACACUUGAUCGCCUAUUUUACUCUAAAAAAGAACGAUUAUAGUGUUAUCAUCAUCUUCUUCACUAGCAACAUUAACACCAAAUCCAGCGAUGGACGCAUACAUUUCAUCAAGAAAGGUAUAUAUCUAAUAAAGUUGAAGCCUGACAAAAAAUUCAGGAAGAUUCAUGCCUCGCCACAACAAGGGGCACAACAACAUCAAAGUAGAGAUUAAGCAGUAUUCUCAAAGCUAAAACUCUCAAAUCCACCCACCAAAUUUUCAUAUCUCCUCAACAAUUUUAAGAACUAAAGAUAAUUAGGAUUUAACAUUAGUUUUUUAUAUAGUAGUUUCAUAAUUUACAAAUCAAUGAAGAUGAAGAUUAUGCUAAUGAAUUCAAAUUAUACCAUACAUUCUCUAGAUGUUACCAAAAAUUUCUAAGUCAAUCCCACAUAUUUCAUAAUUUUAAGACUAGAAAAUUUCAAUAGUUAGAAGUUUCAUUACCUUCAAGUGGAAGAUGAAGAACAUUAUGCAAGUGAUUCAGGUUAUAUCAUACAUACUCCAAAUGCAACUAGAAAUUAACAAGUUCAUGCGCACAUAUUUCAUAACAUUAUGAUUGAAAAGUUUCACAAAGAGAAAUUCUAAAUUCAAUCCCUUGCAUCAAGGCAGUUUGAUUGAUUUGAGUUACUUUAUGAUCAAGCUACUAAUAUAACAUUCAAGUCAGGGAGAAAGUAAAUUAAAACUGGGUACAAAUAACAGUAAAAAUUUGUUGCUAAACAUGAUGUGUAUUUUUUUAAGGCAAUUUGGAAACACAUUUGUUACUAGAUAUUCUCCUCAACUUGGAGACAAAUACAAAUAUUAAAAUGCAUAUGAUCGCACAUACUACUUGGAGCUUAGUAAGAUUUCAUUAAAAGAAGCAAUCAAACCACUUAUCAAUUGUCGCAAUCGUUCUAUAAACUAAAAUAGCAAUAUAAUACAAGAAAAAGAACAUAUAGAUACUCGGCAAGAGUUCAUUAAGAAGUCGCAUCACAUUAGGGUGAGGAGUUUGCUUCUGAUAUCUUGCUAGCUGGGGCUUUUUCUUGUCUUUCUACGUAUGCCGAGGGAAACCAACCAGCUAGGCCCUUGCAUUCACCUUCCGACCAUCCAGUAGGAGCCACCUUGAGAAGUUAUAACUAAAACGGUGAAUUAAAAAAAAGUUGACAAUUCAAAGACCUAAGGGGAAAACUAAUUCUUUUACGUAGAGGAAGUGAACUAGUUGUGAUCACUGAAAUAAAAAAAUAACUAUGGAAGCAUAACAAGAUAUAAAUUCACAUGUCUAUAAGGGUAAACAGGGUGGUUUAGAACUGAGCUAGCAACCCUACUAUAUUCUGAUUUGCACUUCAAUGUAAAAGGGAAUAUAUGGUAGGAAGAAAAAAAACCAACCAUCAUUUGUUAACUUAUUGCUUUUCAAUCAAAAUUUUAAGAACAAAAUGCCAUGUGCUUUGAACAUCAAAUAAGUAUAAGCAUUAGUUCUAAAUUCCACAUAUUAUAAGUUGUUAGAAGGAUAAGUUAAUAGCAUAGUAGAAAAAUCUAUGUGUUGGUAUUUAGAGGGGAAAGUACCUGGCGAACCACAACAUAAUCAUCAAUUGAAAGACUUAGCUCUCCAUUUGCUUGAUCAUCAAAUGGAUGUAUAACCUGCAAGAUAAUGGGAUAAAUAGAACUUAAAAAAAGCAUAACAAAAGCAGCAACAGCAGCAGCAGCAUUCAUUGUAACCACUAUGAUCAUGGCCAACAAAGAUAUAUUAGAAACAAAAUUCCAUUUUUACUACGACUUUAAUAUGUACUAUACGAUAUCAUGACGAUUGGGUUAUCAAGUGCUAUCAAAGUCUAAUAAGUUCUGUAUAACUUUAUAUAGUUAUUUUAAUUAUGGAUCAAAUUUUAAAUUUGAAAUUUUGACUGCUCUCCACAAAAUAUGGCCUAUGCACAAGAAAGUCAUAGAUAAUGAGGAUUACAAGUGUCCGACAUCUUUUGAGUGAUGGAUUUAACAUGAGAGCUUAUGGUCAGUCAAUUUCCUCUGCCUAGCAAUAUAAGCUUUCUCGGCCAGAUUUAUCAUCAAAUACAUAGAUUGCCCCCAAGUCACAUCCAUAUAAACAUAGUUUUCUAGGUAAACCAAGGAGAAUCAUAAUUUAGACAUAAUCAUAAAAAGGCCCAUCUAACUUAAGAGAAAAUCUCAAAAAGAGGGAUGUUGAGCUAUCAGUCUUGUAUCUAUAAGCAAUAUCAAGACUUUACAUCACCUGCUACAUCGUGAGUGGCUACACAACUUUCAGUGGUUUGUCUUUCUUUGGCAUGCCUAACUCAGCUUUGAUGUUGCUGAGAUAUUGAUAGUAGAGACACAUGAUACUUCUAGCUCAUGCAUUUUAUCUAGCUCAUCCGACAACUAUUUCUUUUUUAAUUCAUUAGUGUUUGCUAAACCUCAUGCUCAAAAGUCCUGUUCUCCUAAACAAAGUUUCCUAAGAAUGACUUCCUCAGCACAACAUUUGGACACUUUUAGAGCAAUUUUAUUUGGAGGAAAAGAAUUUUCAAGGUGUUAACUAAUAAAUUUUAAAAUAUAAUUACAAUUUGUCCUACGAUCAUAUGACAAUUUAUUUGGGAUGAAAGGAUACAGACAGACAUCUUCCACUUUCAAGACUAAUCACUACUUCCGUAGAUGUUGUGCAAUGAUACAAAUACUUGACCAGAUGGUAGUGAUGGUAGAAAAAAAUUUAUUGCUCCAAAAUUAAAAUAAGAAUGCAAUAUGUUAAGCAAAAGACUGUGCAACAUCAAAUUAAUUGAUGAGUUUGUAAUUCAGUAAAUUAACAACUUUCAUGGUAAAAUACAACAAGUUUCUUUUAAAAAAAAUAAAAAAAAUAAAUCUUAAAAGACAGCAUUCAUUUUUGUGCGCAUGUUAUUUCUUAAGAUUUUUCAGGAGGAGGGCAAUAGAGGGACUUUCACCUAUGCAAGAGAGCAGAAGCCUUACUUUUGCUAUAAAGUAGACGUCAUUCUGAUUAAUAUGCGUUUGAAUCAGCUCCGUUUGCUAUAAAGUAGACGUCACACAUGAGGCAUUUACAUCCAUUUCCAAAGUCACAUGUUGCGAGGAGGACUCAUUUGAUUGCUCCUCUAGGAUCAUCUAAUGCAAGUAGUAAGGGUUGGAAGAAAAUAAAAAGUCACAAUUAUUCUUUUGCGUAAGUGAGACGAAAAUGAUAAAUGCAAUAUUAUCAGCAGUAAACAAGAAGAGAACGCUCCAAGGAAUAGAUAGAUGCAGACAAGCAAGUUAAAAUGCAUAGUCCCAAACCUCCGCAUACAACUUCUCUAAAAUAGCAAUAACGUGUUGAUGAUAUGUUUUCUCAGCAUCUACCUGCAAAGGCCCGAGACCAGGAAAACGGCAAUAAAACCACUAGCUAAAGGAGAAAGUAAAGAAAGAAAUACACUUGACAUAAAUCUUGACAAGAAGCACAGUUUAAACCCCAAUCAUAUUGUUUAGAACUACCAUUCGUUAUUGUAACAUUUCGAACAAGUGUUGACUUAAUUCAACAUUGUUGGAAAGAUAGGCUUUUAAAAGCGGAAGAAAGCCACUCAAACCAAAGUGAUUGUCCUUGUAUUGAUCAAGGGAUGUAAACAUAUUACAUUUGCAGGAUAAGUUUUAAUUAAUCACUCCCCUGAUUUAUUUGGGUUGCAGUUUAAUUUGUGAAUUUUUUUCUAUAGACAUGUUAGUUCUUGCUAUUGAAAUGUUAAAAGCAUUGAAAAAUUAUUCAAUAAAUUAUGCAUAACAUUAAAAUAGAGGACAUAUUAAAAAGUUUCUAAUUACAAUGUUAAUAUUUCCUAUAUUUUAGCAUUUGCAUAUUUUAAUUUAUUUAAAAGCUACGUCGAUCAACUGUGGGCAUGAAGAUUUUAGCUUCUACGAGACUUGAUUGGAAUAUGCAUAAGGAAGAGUGUUAAAAUAUGAUGCAUCCAACGAAAGACAAACCACGUGUAGUCUUUUAAUUAAGCCAAAGUAGCAGCUCAAACAAAUGACACUUGGACCAACAUGCAAUCAUGAAGUGGCCGGAAAAAGGACAAAUGCAACUUUGGCUUAAAUAAAAAAUAACAUGUGACUUGACUUUUGCUGGACAUGCAUCAUGUUAUUACAAGACAACAGAAAUCAGUAUGAUAGUACUAAAAGUUGACAAUAACAUGAAGAUAAGAGGCAGAAUGUCAACACAUGCAUAGGCACACACAAGAAAGUAUUAACUUAUAUACCAUAGCAAAAAGUCUUUGAUAUGUCAUCUGUUGCUGCUGUGAUUCAACUGACAGCAUGGCAGCUGUUGCUUCUCUACCAAGAGCCAUUAUUGUAGAUUUAAGCUCGGUCAAUCUUGCUUCUGCAUUUCGAAGCUUCACAGCACUCUCUGCUGAUAUAUCAGAUUCCCUAAUCUUUGAUCGGCGCCUAAAUACUUCAGCUGCCUGGUGAAAAUAUUCAAUAUAAAUCUAACAUAAUUCUAAUCUUACCUGGGCUUCAACUUCAUGUCGAAGUUUGUCAUAACGAUGAGUCAGGUGUCGAGCAUCUUCCAAAGGUGCUCCGUUGAUUAACGCCCGUAGUGGCUCAGAUACCUACAUGUCCAAAAACCUGUAACAUAGUUAGAAAAAUGAAAAGAAAGAGCGAAACCUCAAUUAAAAAGUUCCUCCAACAUAAUCAUGGAAUUUGGGCCUACUUCAAGGAUAUAUAUAUAUAAGGAUAAUUUAUGCAAUUUUGGGUCUUAGGAUGAUUCAUAUUAGGUUAGUGUUCUUCUCUUCUGUAUUUAAGGUUAAAAUAGAAAUAAACCUAUGCAAAUAUAUAAAUUAGGGCUGUAAGACUUCCACAUGCAUCCUUCAGUCUCAUGGAUUUGAUUUUACUAUAGAUGCAAGUGUCUUUAUCGAAAAUGCUUGGAGUCAAUUGAGAGAACUCACGGCCAAUAACUUGUCAGACGCUAGUCUUUGCUAGUGAUGUAAGAAGUCACAAGGUCUCUUCAGCAUUUGAACCAAUAAAAUUAUUAAGUCAUGGAUGUCACUAGCAAUGAUUUUAAUAUAAAACAUUAAAUAUUUCAGAGUUGUAACUUUAAAAUGGAUUCUUUUAUUCAAUAUCUUAGAACUAAGUUUCCUUAUGAGAAGAUAAUAGUUUCAGUAGUAAUUUACAUAUAAUUUUCUAUAUUUGAAUUAUUUUCUAGUUAGGGAUGAACUAACCUGAUCACCAAGAAUCCCAAGCAAAGUUUCCCUCUCAUUUUCCAUCAAAUCAUGUGAAGUGCCAAAUUGAAGAGCAGCUCUUGCAACGCAAGAAUUGUCACUUUGAUUCUCCGCUCCAUACUUGCAACAAUCUUCAGCCAACUUUCUCGCUACAAUAUUUGAAUACAAAAAUAUUGUGCACAAGAACUAGUCAAGAAAAAAAAAAUCAAAUAUUAUAACGAAUGCAAGAGCAAACAAACAACCUAUUUCCAUUUGUUUCAAGCUUACUGCAACAAGCCCUUCAAUGCCACGAACAAUAUUCCUCUGAAAAUGCUGCGCUACAGAGCAUAUAUUCCAAAUUAUUGUUCAGAUAAAACCAUAGAAACCAUCAUAAUUAUUCAACAUACAUUAAGCUCCGUUUGGUAAAUACUUGCAACUUCAGUCUAGAGAAUACAGUUCUAUAUAUGUAGCAGUCUAAAGGAGGAUGGUGCCUUAGCUGCCCUGGUGGAAUUGUAUAGAUUUUGAAGUUGUUGGUGACACUCAAUUUCAGCUUCAUCAACUGCCUGUACAAAUCAUAAAAAACUAAUGAAAAAAAUAAAUAAAAUCGAGAAAUUUCACUAAUUAAAAGUCUAAAUAUAAUUUUAAAAAAGAAAGAAACGCACUUGGUGCUGCUUGGCGACUUGUUCUCGGAGCUUGAUUGCCUGUUUCUUGAUAGCUUCCAUACUGUUUCUUUCAAAAAGCGGCGACGGCUCAGCUCAUGGAAGUUGGGGAAAAAAAAAAGUGUGAUCAAGAAAAUAAAAAGGCAUAUUAUUGUUGACAAAAUGUGAAAAUAAAAAAGAAAAAAGAAAAUUAUAAGUUUGAAAGGAGAAGAUGAUAGUGGAAGAGUGCGGCGUGGCUGCCAGCUACUUGGAUUGUAUUGUCGGGUAAGGUAAUUGUAGAAAAUUAUAAGUUUGAACAGAGCAUGUUAGACUUUUGUUGACCAAAUUCAAAAGGCAAAUGGCACGGCCCAGAAGCUUUGGAAUACAGUAACUUACAAGAAAGCUCCAUUUAUUCUUCUUAUACUUUACGCUUGCAUCAGCUUAAAUCACUUCUUAAUCGCUUGCUUUAACUGCGCCGCUUUGUACUGUUCUAUAUAUGUAGCAGUUAUGCGGAUGUAGUUCACGGCUGAGGGUACGUGUUUGUUUGACGUGGUAGUUACGUUACGACGUUACGAGAGUAUUAUUAGUUAUUUCACAGGGAUAAAUAAGAUUAGUCACAAUAAACCCACUAGUUUUAUAAAAUUCGAGUAAUAUAGAAUAAAAUAAAAAAUGAAUACAAAAUUGACUUUUAUUUUUUAUGGUUGACUAUAUUUUGUGUUCUCUUCUGGUACUACUACAAUUGUUCCCUGUAUAUCACUCAUACCCAUAUAUCAUUGACACAAGAAAUGAAAUCUAAUGUCAGAUGUUUAGUUAAAGAAUCACUUAUGAAAAAAUUUUACCAUUUUGAUUUGAGGAUCCCUAUUUUGAACUGCAAGCUAAUGUUCAUCAAGAACAGAGUAUGGCAGUUGAGUAGAAAAACUAUUUUUGGACAAAUUAUUUUUAUUGAUAGAAGAAUUUCUCAAGGGACUACUAAAAUUAUUAAAAAAAAAUGUCAAACACGCCCAUAUAUCAUCAACACAAUUGGUUUUGAGAAUCCAUACUUUAAACUGCCGCCUAAUAUUCAUCAAGAGCAGAGCAUGGCUUGUGAGUAGAAAAUUUUCUGAUUUUGGCCCCAAAUAAUCCAGCACUUUCUCAUGAAGAAAUGCAUACAAAGCAUACCAUGGUACCAUACAAUACAAGGAGUCUCCGUUCUCUAGUUUUUCAAACUCUAAAGGGGCCAAUACUCCCUAAUUCCCCCUCGAAAAUUCUGAUUAUGACAUUAUUCAUCCCUCGAUGCAAUCAAAGUAGUGACAAAGUUAGGAAAAAUAUGAGUCCUAAGUAAUUGCUAGGCAGGGCUCCUGUGAGCAAAAUUGUCCUAAGCAUUAUAUGCAUACAUGGUGUGGUACAUAAAGCACAAUGAAUUCCACACUAUAACACAAACCCAGAAAGAGAAGAAACAACUUAAUUGAUGUAAAGACAAAAAGAAGAUAAAAUGAUAUAGAAAAAAAAAUUCAAAGAGAUAGCAACAUACUAUAGACUGAAGCCACUUGAUCUGCUCAUUGAUUGCAGCCUUAAACUUGCAAAUAGUUACCGUAAGCUAGUGCUAUAAGAAGUGAAAAUGAUGCACACCCUGAUUCCCUUCGACUUCCAUUUACUGUCAAACAUUCUAUUAAUACAAAAAAAUUGUUCAAAUAUCUUGCCAUAAAUAUAGCCGUUUGACUGGCUUAAUAAAGUCACAAAUAACCAUUCAUAUUGAUCCACAGUGUCACACCGCCUGCUUUAUGCAUACAACAGCUGUAUGUAUACCAACUCCUAACCUUAUCAAUACAUUUGGCAAAAACUUAAGAAGAAAACUAUUUCUCCAUCUCUUUUUUGAAAUUUCACAAUAAACCAGCAUAUUGUAAACGUUAUGUUGUAACCUUAUGAUAAAUGCUCUAGACUCCAAAUGAAUUUUAUAUAUGAGGGUUUGUUGCAGCAGAUAUAUUGACUUAUCAAGUAUGAAUCAUUGUCUAGAAGAACUAUCUUUAGAUAAAAGAAUAUUAGAACCAUUCUAGAAUAUCUUUAGGUUGCUAGUUCUAACAGGAAUCUGCAUGUGGCAACAGUUGCCAGAUCCACAAUUCCCCAACUUGAAAUACAUAGUUGCACACCGUGAGAUAGUGCUGCAAUCUACUGAGAUCUAACUUAUAUGAUACUUUAAGCUACUAAUGUUUGCAUAUUUCUACAUGUUAAAUUGACACUACCAUCUAUAAUCACUCUAAAACGACAGAUGAUAAGCAGCUUUUGGCUACUUAUUACUAGCAUCCACAAUUAAUUUUUGUUCAGCAAUCAGCUUAUUUUAUAGAAAUUGAUUUAGUCAGCAACAAACACUAUAAUCCUUGAAAUUAGUUCUUGUUCUUUGUAAUUUUCUAUGAUUUUUCAUACAUCAAUUAAUCUGCAGUGCCAAGAUGAGGUUUGGUUUUUCAAACUAAAUAAUCAAGUAGCAAAAAUACAAAUUUAGAGAUUAGGGGGUGAACUAGCUAGGUGGUUUACAAAUAUUCCUAUUUGUAAGGUGAAUUAAUUGAAUCAUGAGAAAACAAUGUGACCAUAGCUCAAUAUGAGAUGAUUUCGGAGAGGCAUAUUGUUUUCAAGUGAAUUUGAUCCAUUAAGAGAUGAAGUGGAUUGAAGUGGAAAGUUUAAAUAACAAAUCCUUGUUCUUGAGUUUUACGACGUUGUUACUCCUUCAGGUGGCAGAUUAUGCAAGUGAAUUCAAAAACACAAUGCAUCAAUCACGGGGAUGCUACACCAAAAGACGGGAUCAUAGUCUAUGCAUUGAACAGUUACAGUUGCUGCUACCAAUUGACUCGGCAAAGAUCAAGAAGACUGAACGGGAAGUUAAUGCCAUCAAUGUCGUCUUCACUAUAGCUGCUGGGAAUGUAGGUGAACUUUCCUCAUUUGCGGCUGUCUAUACAUAGGCUUUUCCCCAGCUUAAGUACAAAUAAAUGAACCUGCUUUGAAGGCUUUAUUAUUGACCACAAUAAGGAUUACUAAUUGAAGAAGACUAUACGGAGUUAAUCCCACACUUUCGUUCUCUCAAUUUCUUUCAGAAGUGCCUCUGAAAAUAGCUGCCAAACCGUUAGUCAGCUUGUUAGACUCUGUUUUCUGGAAACAGAGCCCUAACUAACUGACUGUACAGAGUAAGUCAACAUAGCAUAUUUAAUCGUUUUAAUUGAAUUGUCUUCGUAGCGAUCAUCAACAAACUCAUCAUGAGAUUUUUGAAGCACCCAAGGACUAUCACUGGGUUUCUCUUCUGGUUGAUUAAUUAAUUAAUCAAAGAACGGUUGGAUACCCAAGGACAAUUAAAAUUAUUCGACUUCUGGAACUGGGAAUGAAGUGCAAUGAUGGAGCAAAAUUUACAAUGUCUCCGGUUUCUCCUACCAUCGGACUUUUGCAGUGAGAACAUAUAACAAAAAGGCCUUCAUCAAAAUUUGUAGACUCCGGGUAUGGAUUGGAUCGAUUUUUUUGUUUGAUAUUGAAGAACCUCUUUACUAUCGCGAUAUAGAUUAUGUGCAAGGAGUUGUCUACUGUUCUUUGCCUUGUGCUAUGAUCGGUGCUCUUGAGGCUGCCCUGAAACACAGGAAAAUACUUCGAUAUCCUCCGUUCGAUGAUGCAAAGAACCGGUUAAUGUAUGAUUACCUAAUUGACUCAGGAUCAGGUAACAACAACAACAAUUUAUUAAUAUCACAAACGAAGAAGAUCGCGGAGAGGGAGAUGUAUGCCUAUACUGUUUACAGGUUUGAUCCAUUGGGGAUGAAGUGGUCUCAAGUCGAAAGUGAUUUAUUAAACAACAAAUCAUUGUUCUUGGGUUAUACCUCAUGAUGUCAUCAAGUGGAAGAUUAAGAUUAUGCAAGACGAAGAUCGUUUGAUAUUGAAGAAUUUGAACAGAAAGCCCAUAGAAAGUACUUAAAAAAGCAUAUUCUUGUUGGGGUAGAAUAUUGAGAAAGGAGUUGUCUACUGUGUGUUGCGUGAUUAUGCUAUGAUCUGUGCUUUGAACAUUGCCCUGAAAACAGUGGAAAAUACUUCAUAUCCUCGACAUGAUGAUAAAAAAUUGGUUACCGAUUACGUAACUGACUCAGGUGACAACAAUCCAUUAAUAGCACAAUUUGAGGUGAUGCCGUUUAGGUAUAUGGUUAACAGGUUUGAUUCAUCAAUGAUGAAGUGGGCUUAAAUUAAAAGAUCAUAUAAUAAGUCGUUCUUCUUGGGCAUAUCGUCAUUACUACUUCAAGUGAUCAAAGAUGAAGAUGAAGAUGAAAAUUGUGCAAGUGAGUUCAAGAAUACCAUACAUCGUUACUUGGGAUACUUCUUCAAAUAUGGAUGGGGUCAUAAUUUACUCCCACGAAUUUCAACCCAAUUUUAUGAUUGGAGUGUCCCACCAUGACUCAGAAAAAUUUUGAUUCAACCUCCUCCACCAAUGGAUUUUGAAUAGUCACUUUGUGAUCAAGCAACUUAAUUAAACUCAGAGAGUCAGAGUUCGAUUUUGCUGGCACCGCAUUUUCUUUAAAAUGUGGCCAUGUAAGGAGAGCGGCACAUAAUGUCACUUCCUUAUCAAGCACUUUAAAGAGGGAUUUUAGAAGAAGAUACAACUGCAAUUGUUUUCGUAUGUAUAUAUAUAAACAACAGCACACAUUCAGUUCAUAAAAGAAAUUUUUGCUAACCAUGAUAUGUGGUAGUGCUUUUUAGGCAAUUUAGAAACAGAGUUGUUCAACUUACAGCAGGUAUUCUCCUCAAGUUCGACGUAAAUACAAAUAUUAAUUAGAAUCCAUAUUAUAAUGACACACAUAACUUGCUUCAAAAUUAUCAGAAAUUAAAAUUGCUGAUUCAUAAUGCAGAUAACUUGGAUGAAUUGAUGUUAAAGGAAAAAUCACACGCAUAACUUGGAGAGCAAUUGCGACAGCAGCCAAGUAUAUAUUUUUAUUUGAGAGUUGAGAAGAAUAUAUUUAAUGAAGCUUGAUAACAUUUGAUGGGAUAGCAAGUAAGGGUAAAUAAGAUAUUUUUAUUUGUUAUUUAUUUGAAUUAUAUCUAUUUUGUUCAAGUUAAAAUACUAAAUAUAAAUUGGAGGUAGACAUUUUAACAGAUCAUCUAAGCUCUCAAAUCUGAAAUUUUGUGUAGAUUUAAAUUCAUAAUUUUAGUUAAUUUUCAUUCAUUCAUAUAAACAAAUUUAUGAGAUUUUUCUUUUCAGCAUGUUAUAUUUUGAAACUUUCAAUGUAUUAUUCUAGCUUUAUUUAAACAAUUAAUUUAUUUAAUUUUGAAUUUGAUCAGUAGUAAAAUUAUUUUUAUAUCAAAUUUUUUUUAUUUAAAUAGUUCGUGGAUUGGACAAAAUUAAAAAAUUUUAAUCUACAAAAUGGUGGAUUAGAUAUGAAUUGGGUUAAAUCCACAUUCGAUUUGCAGUCGUAUGAAUUUGAUUUGGAUUGAAUUUCAUCAAUCCAUGGAUUAGAUUGGAUUGAAAAUUUAUUAUCCGCAAAAUCGUGGAUCGAAUAUGGACUGAUGUCCAAUCAGCAAAAUCCGAUCCCCGAACACGCCUCUAUCAAAAUUUUCAAGAAUAUGUUUUAUCUUACAAAUUUUUUUUUAAAGUCAUAAUCUAAUGGCAGCCCAAUUUUAUAAAGUCACACACAACCAUUCUUAUUAAAUUAGAAAGAUCAAACACUGCACUGGAUCUUGAACAGAUCAACACAAGUUGCACAACUUGCGAUUGAAUCCGGCCUGAAACAAUCAACUCUUUAGCAAGAACAAUUAAUCAGAGUCAAGAAACAAGUUUAAUGAAUAUAAACCUAUAAUUGAAACAAACAUAGCAAAGAAAAAAAAUACAGAUUUUACACGGUUCAGUUGUACCUAGGAUGGCACAACCUACACCACGAGAGAAGCUUUCUGGUGAGAUUUUAUUGAUGAUCAAAGAAGAAUCUUUUGACAAAGCUAAUAAUAGAGAUUUCAGAGAAUAAGCUAUAACCUCUCUCCCUCUUCAAUCUCUCUCUAUUUUGUUCCCAUUGAUGACCCCAAUCUGCUUAGUUAGCCAGCUUUAUAGCUGCAUCAGUAACAAACCAGCAAACCCAGAUUGAGCAGAUUGACGACACGUGGAUAACGGCUUUAACGAACCUGGUUAAGAACUGCUCACAUGUUCGUCACGCGUACUGCUUAAAUGAUGGCCAAAACGACUUCAAACAAAUGUCGUUUUGAGGCUUAUGAAUUACAAGUGAUAACACGAGAUUGUCUCAUGACUUUUAAAUGCAACAACGUGCCCAAAACGCUGUCGUUUUACUCUGUUGAGUUUGAUUCAUUACUAAGCUUUACGACUGGCAAUGGAGAAGAUGAUAAUUUAAUUGAUAUGGACAGUUUUUAUAUCACUUUUACAAAAUCCUAUGCAAUUGUAAUAUUGGGAAUUAUUGAUGUUUUAUAUGUGAAUCCUCAUUGGCAAAAACUAGUGGUUUUAUCUUUGUUGAAAUGUAGAUUACCUCUCGUUACUAUUUUAUUAUAAACAUAUAGUUUCGUAAGUGAAACUAUAUAUUUAUAAUAAAAUUAACAUAUAGUUUCGUUACAUUUCUGCCUCAUUAAGAUUCUCAAAUACCAGUCAGGUUUGCUUAAGAAAUAAAAUUUUUCCAUUAAAAUUGCAGUAGUAUUUCCAAGCAUAUCGCAUUUUCUAUGAUUUUUCAUAAAUUAAUUAAUCUGCGGUGCCAAUAUCAGAUUUAGUUUUUCAAACUAAAUAAUCAAGAAAGCAAACAUACAAAUAUACAGUUUAGAGGGGUAAACUAGGUAGGUGGUUUAGAUUUUAGAACUAAGCCAGCUACCUCACUAAAUUCCGAUUCGUACAGUGAACUGCAAGAAAUUGAGAAAACAAUGUAUUUAUAAUUUAAUAGAAUCAUAAGAAAACAAUGUAGUCAUUGCUCAAUAUAAGAUGAUUUCGGAGAGGCACAUUGUUUUCAAGUUAAUUUGAACCGUUUAUAAGAGAUGAAGUGGAAUGAAGUUGAAAGUUUAAAUAACAAAUCCUUGUUCUUGAGUUUUACGACGUCGUUACUCCUUCAAGUGGCAGAUUAUGCAAGUGAAUGCAGAAACACAAUGCAUCAUCCGCGGGGAUGAUACAUCAAAAGGCGGGGUUUGUUUAUGCCUGCAGAUUAGCAAUUUCACUCAUAUCGAAAAUUAAUUUUUUAUAUAUACUAAUCAACACUAAAUUGAUUAUGUGUUGUAUGUUUAUAUGCUAAUCAACACGAAAUUAUAUUGAAUUAUUAACAUUCAUAUUCCUAAUAAAAAUUAUUUUCCAUCAGUAUUCAAAAUUUUCACUUAUAGAAAAUGCGUUUUACGUGAAUACUAGUUAUUGUGUAAAUUUGAAUGAUAGCGAAAAAUAAACCUAUUUGAAAACUGUAAGGGUGUGUUGGGAUAUUUUACAACUGUCGGAAUCUGGUAGGAUAUUGCACCAUUUGCCCAAUAUUUUUAGACGUACUCCAACCGGUAUUCAAGAUAAGUAAAAUUUACAAGCGUGGCAAAAUAAAAAAAAUUAAAUUCGUAAUUUGUAAACGAAUUUUCCUGACAUGUAUAGUAGAUGAAGUUGUUGACCCUUUCUUUGGAUUAUUUCAGCUCUGGUUGUUGGUCACCGAUGAGCCGAAGUCUUAUUUUAAUUCUAUUUAAACUCAUCAUAAGAUUCGUGGAGCACCUAACUAACUUAACUGACUGUGCAGAGCAUCUCAACAUGGCAAAUUUAACCAUCAUUCAAGUGAUGGGUUUAAUAAGACUGCUUUUGUUCUACCAAGUUCCUCCGCCUCUAAGCAGAAUUACUAUUGAAGGGCCAAAUGGAAAAUGAAAACGUGUGAACAACAACAACCACCCCACAAAUUCAAUGACGAUGCUCGGAGAGGGUUAGGUUGGGCCUCUGAGAAAAAAAAAAAUUAUUUAGUUAAAAAGUUACCCUUAUUGAAACCUGUAUAAAAAUUUUAUAUUAAUUAGUUAUGUUGCCUCUUCAACUAUGAUCAAAUUUUUAUCUGAGCUCAUCAUUUAAUGAGUAAACAUGUAUUUUAAUGAUCUCAAUUAAUAUUUAGAACAAAUAUUUUAAGAAGUAAAGCUCAUUAUAUCCCCCAUUAUUAUGUAUCUCUGUAAUGUAUUGAAUUAGAAGAAAAAAAAAAUUCAACUCACUCAAAAAAAAAAAAAUGCUGGUAGCUUCGUAAUAAUUACUGUCUUGACUGCACCAGAUAAAGUUUUGUAAAAGAAUUCUGAUAUUUACCCCGGGUCAAACCCCGAAAAUAACUUAAACGGUGUCGUUUUGAUUUUUUUUUUUUUUAUACUCCAAAACGUUCUUACCAUUUCCGUUUCACUUACCAUUUAAUGCUCACAACUCAAAUAAAAAGCCCAGAAACUAGAAUCAAACUUUACAGAAACUAGAAUGCCCAGAAACGUUGUAUAGCAGGAACGUAUGUAAAGAGAGUAAACAAGAGGGAUUAAACAGAACAUACGUUUUCUUCACUUAUUAUUAGCAACAAACACCCUACACAACACACAUUUAAUGCUCACAACUCAAAUAAAAAGCCCAGAAACUAGAAUCAAACUUUACAGAAACUAGAAUCAAACAAUACACAUUUCAUUUCUUCAAGGUUAGGGAGAGACUCAGGGGAGUGAUUAAUUAACAAAAAUAAGAAUAAUAAUACCAACAUUUGUACAGGUCAAAUAAGAAUAAUAAUACUCAACCUAAUACCCAGUAUAUACAAACAAAUGCCCAGGCCAUCGUUCCUAUUUUGCCAUAACCUAAAGAGGAAAAAGCGAAGCACUACCUCAGGCUGUGAACUUUGCCGCUUCGUGAGUUUAAUUUCCCGAACAAGUUUCGGCUACCAGCGUUACCAGUGUUGACGGUGACCGUGGCUGUCAGCGUUGACGGUGACCGUUGGUGGAUCCCGAAUGCCUGGACCUUGGUCGAGGAAGGAAAGUAACGAAUUUUUUGAACAAACGAAGAAACGAAGCACCGAAGAGAUUUACGGUCAAACGGAACAAGACCAACUUGCUCUUCUAUCUAUGGCUUUCCCAGUUGAAACGAAGAAACGAAGAGGAAGAGGUUUAAUUCUUCUCAAAAUCGUCCAUCAGAAACGGCAACGUUUUGGAGUAUAAAAAAAGAAAAAAAAAUCAAAACGACGCCGUUUAAGUUAUUUUUCGAGUUUGACCCAGGACAAACAUCAUUUUCCUUUGUAAAAUAAUAAGUUCUCAUUAGUGGUUUUUAAUUUUUAAUUUUUUUUUCGGCACACCUGAUCAAGAAUUCUAUUUUGUUAACUAAUAAAUUGCAAAGCAUAAGUGUUGAACGGUACAAAAAAAUUUGAAAAAAAAACACUUAAAACGUAGGGAAAUGAGAAAUAUAGAAAGAAAGGAAGAAAGUUAAGACAUGAAACUGAUCUGCCGUGAAAUUGAUAAUCAUGUUUCUAUUUCGUUAACUAAUCAAACGGAAAACUGGAACUGUAAACAAACAUUAACACGUGUGGACUCUGCUAGCUGCCCUACAAGUCUACAAUAAUAAUUGAGUACCUUUGAUUCAUCCUUCUAUGAAUUUCUAGCUGUAUUGACCCCAACUGCUAAAGUUUUGUAAAAUUAAAAAAAAAAAAAAAAAAAAAAACUGGAAUUUCAACAAAAUUCAAAACGUGAGAAAUUUAAUUUUUGGCCAUGUGGAACAAAAUGUAAAUUACGGAAAAAGUAUAAAUCUCAAUUGCUUAGUAUGGUUAGGUUUUGUGAGCAUCACUAGAAAGUGAAAACUAUGAAUGAUAGGGGUGAUGUUUGCAACAUGAAUAAACGAUGAACUGAUUCAAUUGAUGAUCGUAAUUAUAUAAUGAGCAAAAUUUACAAAAUCAACAAAAGUUAAUAAAAAUUUAUUUUAAUAAUAAAACUUAUUAUUUAACGGCGCUCUAACCAUGGAGUACCAUAAUCAUAUUCUUCUUUUAAGAAAAUUAUAACUUAUUUCAAAUAGCACCAUAACAUAAUUCUAGAUAUUUAAAAGAAAAGCAUUAUUCACCUGAAAUGACUUGGAAGUCUAAAGAAAAAGAGGGAGUGGCUCCCCACAAUUUUCUUGUUUUCAGUAUAUUUUCUUUUUAAAAUCUUUUGACUCAUACAUAAUCUACCCUCGUUCAUUAUCUCUAUUUUGCUCUGUUCAAGUCCCUUUUUUUUCAAAUCUUAGUUUAAAUAAGAAAAUUGAAUAAAAGUACAUUUGUGUAAUUAAUUAGUAUCUGCGGGGGAUAUUUGGUGUAAUGUUUUGCUAUGUAAGACUCAGCUAUUAUUAAAUAGUUCCUUAACCUGUUUCGCAGUUUAUUUGCUAUCUUUGUGGAUCUCAUAGGCGUUGCAGAAUUUAAUAAUUUUAUUCGUCAGAAGAAUAGGAUAUUGGCUUCAAUAAAUUUAAUUUAAACCAACUUUUAUUUACUCCAUCAAUUAAUUAAUGCCAUUUGGUUUUGAAAAAUUCAAUAAUUAAAUUCUCACGUUUCAUGUGUUUGAAGUUAAAUUAUUCAUGGGUAAUUAUCACAAACCUCCCCUGAAGUUUGAUGUAUUAUCAAUUUGAUAGAUUGUAUUCGCGUAUUCUCAGCCACCUCCCCUUAAGUUAGUACACCGUUUAGUAUAAGUUUAGUGAGUGAGGGCAAGAUAGUAAUAGAACUCGUUAAUAAUAAAAAAUUCAAACAAACUUAAAAAUAUCAAAUUGGAUUCUGAAAUUGAUUUGAAUUUUGUUAAUAUUCCAAUGGGUAAAAACAAAAACAUGAUUUUAACCAACAGACAAUAUUAUAACAAAAAAAUGAGAAAGGAAAAUGGCAUCUUCUUGCUCCAUUCAGACAAGAGCUAACAAGAACAACGCCCCUUUCAUCUCUACUAUACUUUAAUAGAAAAAGGGUGCCACGAUCGGGAGACCAUGACGAUGAACUCGAAGACGCCGAUAGCAGGGACGACCGAAUCACGAACGCCAGGUGGAAGAAUGUUGACCAGUGAGUUUCCAUGUUGACCCACAGACAACCUCAGUUUGUUCGAGCCGCGAAUGAGGUAUGAAAAUGCUUAUUACUGUGCAUGUCAGUUUUAUUAGAUGGAAUUAAUCAAUUUGGUAAAAAUGAGUAAUGGGUCUCGACAAUUUUUUGAGAGUAUCUAUGUUGCUUCCAUUGUUUUCCAUCGAUUGGGUUAGUUGUAGGUUAAUGAUUGUUGUAAAUGCAUGUUCACCUGAUUUUGAUUGAAGAUGGCUUCAGCUACAUUAUGCUGCCUUGUGAAUGAUUGAAGAUGGGUAUGAAAAUUUUUUAAUUGUUUAAGCUAUUGCCACUGAUUGUUUGGAUUCAUGCUAGUUUUUAUUAAAUUACAGAUGUAAUUAAGUGUUGGAGAUUCCUUGUGCCGCAAUAUUAAUAUUUUGAGGAUACUUGAUUUUGUUUUUUUUUCUUUUUAUCACGAUAUGUACAUGUCUUGGUUGAAAAAAUGUCAUGAUUUGCUGCAUUCUCUCACACUGGAGCAGUGAGUUUAGUGGUUUUAAUUCUUUUCUUCUCUUUGACUAUGGCUCUACUUCACUGCAUUCAGAUGUCUUUAUUUGUCCAGCGUCAAAUGAUAAAGGAACAUAGUCUCCUUUUGAUUUCAGUUUGUCUUUCUGUUUUGCAGCCAAGAGGUUCUAACUACCAUCGAGAGUGAAAGGCUCUCCAAGUCAAGGCACAUAGCUCCUGCUGCUCUUGUUACUUUCCCUGAAGAUUUUGAUAAUGGGCUGGUGAUUAUUUAGUUUGGUUUCAAAUUAUGUUCUCGACAUUGUAUUUUGAAAUAUUUGGUUGGUGAGAUAAAGUUUAUUAUUAUAUCUCUAAUAUGUGAGAUGGGAUAUUUCAAGAUGGUAUUUUGGUUACAAUGUUUUAUUUGGUAUUUACAAUGUAAUCACAGCUCUUGGCGCUAAAACGGAUAUGACUAGCCAACAAUUCUUUGAUUUGUGUGAACGAAGUAUUUUUUUUCAACACAAGGGUAUUUUGGUCAUUUUGUCAAGUAACAAACAGUCAACUAAAUGGUAUACUAACGUUAGGGGAGGUGGCUGAGAAUACACAAAUACAAUCUAUCAAACUGAGAAUACGCUAAACCUCAAGGGAGGUUUCUGAUAAUUACCCAAUUAUUCAUUAACUAGAACUCUGUUCAAAAUUGACUGUCUUGUGGUUCCCAAAUGUAGUUGUAAUAUUGAAUGAAGGUAAAAACUUUCUAUGCGAGUUUAAAUCUAAAUCUGGACAAUGAAUUUUGACUUUCUCAAUGCUAUCCUAAUUACAAAAAUUAUAUUAAUUGAUUUAUUGUUACAGUUACUAGCCUUUUAAAAUGGAUGAAUUUAUUGUUUCCGUGACCAAAUUAUGCCUGCCUAACGGUGCAACUAUUAAAAAAACUAAUAUUUAAUGCAUAUGUUAAAAGAUUUAAAAUUUUAUGCAUUUAUUAAUUGUUAUAAUCUAAAAAAAAAUAAUUAAUUCAGGUCAAUCUGAGUUGGUGCAUCUGCAGGAGCCUUUUUUUUAAAUUUUUUUCCCCUUAUUGACCAUAAUGACAUCUCCUUCAACAUGACUAUUGACUAGGAGCAUGUAAAAACAUGGAAACAGAAUUUCCACAAAAAUGUCAAACGUGUGGAACUUAAUUUUUGGCCAUGGGGAACAAAUGCAAAUGAAAGAAAAAGGAAAAGACGCCUCUAAGAUUUGUUUCAAUGGUUUACAUUGACUCUUUAAUUUAAUUUAUAGUAACACAAUUUUUUUUUGUACAAAUAUAUAUUAUUCAUGUUUUGUAUUAUUUUUUAACAUCAUAUUUUUAUUUAUUAUAAAUAUUUAAAAUUAAUUUUUAGGUUGAUAUUUAAUAAAAGGGUAUAAUCGUUCUAUCCAUUUCUCAUCUCGCGAUCUCUCUCAAUUAUCCUUUAUUGAUAUCUCAAAGCGCGUUGCUGUGGAAAAUUGUAGCAAAAUGAAAAAUUGGAAAGAAAGGGAAGAAAAUUAUUGCUUGGAGAAAACAACCAAAUAAGUCAACUGGUCUUUAGUGAGAACAUAUCAUUUGUUUUGAUAUUGAAGGACCUACUUCUCUGCCGCGAUGUAGAAUAUGUGAAAGGAGUUGUCUACUGCUCUUUAGGUCAUAAUAAUGUGAUUGGUGCAUUCAACGUUGCCCCGAAACACUGGAAAGUACUUCCAUAUCCUCCGAAUGAGAACUGAUUUAUAUAUGAUUUCCUAAUUGACUCAGGAUCAGAUGACAACAACAACUUAUUAAUAGUUAUAUCAAAACGGCAGAAGACGUGUUUUGUUUACAGGUUGAUCCAUUUGGAAUGACGUGGUCUCAAGUCGAAAGUAAUUUAUUGCAUGCCUGUCGUCUAAAGCAUUACCUCACAAGGUUAUAUCAAAGGGUGUUUUACCUCAUCACGUCUUCAAGUAGAGGAUGAAGUCAGCCACUCGGCCUUUGGCCGAGUGGUGAGAGCUGCUCUCCAAUUUGGAGAGCAGCAGUUCGAACCCCCACAAUGUAUUGUGGGGGUCUUCCUUUCUUCAAUUAAAUUUGAGUGAAGGCAGUCUGUUUUUUUACCCAAGUGUGAGUAGCAGACAUCCCUUGAAAGUGUGAGUAGCAGACAUCCCUUGAAAGGAAUGAAGUUAUAGUCUGAUUUGUAAAUAUCAGUUAUAUUCUCAUGUAAUAUGAGUUGUAGUUUGAGCAAUAGUCUCAUGUAAUCAAAAAAAAAAAAAAAAAAAGUAGAGGAUGAAGUCUAUGCAAGUGAAUUCAGGAAUAUUGCAUGCCUGUCGUCUAAAGCAUUACCUCACAAGGUUUUAUGAGAGACGAAAGAUGUGUUUGCUUUGAACAAUUAAAGUUACUGCUACGGACCUCCCCAAAGGUCAAGAAGACAGAACAGGAAGCUAAUGCCAUCAAUGUCUUGUUCAUUAUAGCUGCUGGGUAGUUAGGUGUAGUUUCCUCAUUUGAAGCUGUCUAUACAUAGGCAUUUCCCCUGCUUAUGUACAAAUAAAUGAACAACCUUGAAGCUUUAUUAUUCGCAACAAAAAGGGAUUACUAAUUGGAGAAGACUAUACAGAGUUUCUCUCACACUUUCUCUCUGUCAAUUUCAUCCAGAAGGUCCCUCUGAAAGCUUCUCCCAAAACAGUUAGUCAUCUUUUAUGCUCUGUUUUCUGAAAGCAGAGUCCUAACUAAAUUAAUUGACUGUACAGUGCAUUUCAACAUAGCAUAUUUAACCGUUUUAACAGUUAUUUGGACCGUCUUCAGAGCUAACAUCAACAAACUCAUUCAUAUGCUUAAUAAUGAACGAAUAGUCUUGGAUCGAUGUUUUGCAGCAAGAGCAACUCGACACAAUCUGGAUUCAACCUCCUCCUUUCUAACAGGGGAUUUCGAUUUGAGUUACUUUGUGCUCAAGCAAAUUCACAUCAUAGUUUUGAUUCUUUAGAUAUGAAUUCAUCACAUUACAUGUAUCAGAUUAAGUGUAACAAAAUUUGUAAUUUACUGCGAAAGAAUAUGCACUAAAAAAUGAUUUCAAGACUAUUUGACUAUAAAAAGCAGCUGUCAGAGUGCACUAAAAAUUUCUGUAGGAUAUUUUGUAGCUGUUUAAUAUGUUAUGAUGGGCAUAUAAUUCUCAAAUUUUGAUGCCUCUCAGUGAAAAAUAUAUCAAAGUUUAGAUUAUGUGUUCGAGCUUUAAUAAAUGGUCGGAAAAAAAGCUGCUGUCAGAGUGCACUGAGUUAAUAAUAAUAACAACAAUAAUAAUAAACUAAAAAGCAGAAUUAAUUACUAUUGAAUGGUCGGAAAAAAAAUUGAAAACGUGUGAACUCCAAUAAUCACCCCACAAAUUCAGUGGCGAAUUUUGGCGAGGGCAAGGCCGGGCUUCUCAGAAAAAAAAUUAUUUAGUUACAAAAUUAUCUUUAUUGAAACCUAUAUAAAUUUUUUUUAUAUUAAUUAGUUAUGUUAUCUCUUCAAUUUGGUGAAUAAAUGUGUGUCUAAAUAAUUUCAAAUAACAUUUAGAACAAAUGUUUUGAGAGGUAAAGCUUAUUUUGUCUCGCAUUAUUAGGUGCAUCUAUAAUUUCUUAUUUACAAAAUUAUAUUGUACGAUAAAAAUGUAUUGAAUUAGGGGGAAAAAAGGUCAGCUCACUCAAAAACAACAAAUGGUAUUAGCUUCGCCACUGCACAAAUCUAGAAUAAUAAUGAUUCCUUAUCAUGCUGGGGGAUCCUUUACUUUCUAGCCGUAUUGACUGCACCAGGUAAAGCUUUGUAAAAUAAUAAGUUACUCAUUAGUGGUUUUUAAUCUUUUUAAUUCUUUUUACCGCACACCUGAUCGAGAAUUUUAUUUUGUUAACUAAUCAAUUGCAACGCAUAUACCGCACACAAGAUUGGAAAAAAAAAUCUUAAAAAACGUGCGGAUUCGGUAGCCACACCAGAAAUCUAUUACAAUAAUUCCUGGCCGUAUUGAAGUUUUUAAAAUAACAAGUUCCCCUUCUUGUUUUUUUUUUUUAAAUAUAUAAGCUUAUAACAAUUUUAGAAUAAUGACUCAUUUGUAGAAGAAUUUAUGAUUUCAUAUUAAUAUUAAUAUUGAAGUGGGGUGGGUCAAAUCUCAAUUGCUUGAAGAAUUUAUUUAUUAUUAUUAAUAUUAUUAAUAUUGAAGUGGGGUGGGUAACGGAUAAGCGGUUCACUCAGUUCGUGGCGAAUUAAAUAUUACCAUCCAAGGUAGAAUUGUGGAAAAUUAAAGCAAAAUGACAAGUAUGGAAAGGAAGGCUGAAAGUAAGGCAUGACGAAAGGCUUUGAGAAGGCUGAAGACUACCAAAGAAGACAACUGAAAGAGAGAAUGUGUGUUUUUUAAUAGUUAGAGAUAUAGCUAGAGUGGGUGGCUCAAAAUCCAAAAUGGUGACAAUGUUAGUUCUCGUAUUGGUAAUCUUGGGGGGGGGGGGGGGGGGGGGAACUCAGGGGAGGUCGAGUGAGGGAUGUUUGGAGCAUGAGAAAUUUGAUCUUUUGCGGCUUAAACAUUUCUUCAAUUCCCCUUAUACACUUCAAAACUGGGUAGGUGAACAAAGGGAAAGGGUUGAGUGCAGCAACUCCACAGGCCGCGUGGUACAACUACACCUUGGUCUUACUAUAUCGAUCUGGGAGAGUGGUAUCUGAAUGCUUCUAUAUUUACUUCCUUUCAACAACUUGGUAACAAAAUAGCCGGCUGCAUGCGUUGAGAAUGAAGGUCCUUCAUUUAAUUUAAUUUACUUAAUUUCUCCCUCCUAAUUAAUGUCUAUAACCAUUAGGAGGAACAAGGGAUUUUAUUAACUCAAAUAUAUCUAAUGGAGCUCAUUCUUUGGUUUUACUUGCAGGUCUAGAAGUAGGUGUCAUCUAACAGCUGCUUUAAUAAUUUCCCACCCCUUCAUCUUUGAUGGAAAGAUGAAAUAAAAACAAAAUGGUGAAAAUGGUAUUGGUACCUGAGGCUAUGUAAUCUAAUUCAAAAACUGCACCAUCAAAACGAUUACAUAAGUCUCAGAAGAAUCAAACAUCAGUUUGCAAAAUAUCAAUUGCUGGAGGUUUGAUUCUAACUUCCGCUCUUCAUUUUUAUGGGCAUGUUGUGUUGUACUUGCAUCAGAAAAUCAUAUUUUAGUUUAUUUACACUCAACGCUUGGAUUAAAGUUUUAGAGGGGGGGAUUGAAGAAGACUAGAAUGACACAAAAGAAAGAGUUGAGCGAGUGCCGCUUUUGUCGUCAUUUAAGGAGCUCUUUAUAAAUUUUAGGAUUUUUUUCCUGAGAAAAUUUAUGCCAACUCAUUCUUUGCUUCUUUUCUGAAGGGAUAGAUGCAACCGAAACUAUAUUCUUGAAUUAUCCAGGAUAAGAGACAUACGUUUAGAUUCUCGAGCCUUUAAAACAAUAUCAAAUUUUAGAUUGCCGAAAUUUUAUAUUGCCGAGUAUGAUGGUGUUCCAAUUAUAAGCUCCAGGGUGCAACUUCACUGAGGUUUAGAAUGCCUUCCUAUAGAAUUGAGAAAUCUCCAUUGGCAUAAAUAUCUUUUGAAAAUACUGCCAUCAGAUUUUGAAUUGGAGAACCUGAUUAAACUCAGCUUGCCUUCUAGUAAGGUUAAGCAAAUUUGGAAAAGAGAAAAGGUAUAAUGUAUUACUAUUACCAAAGUAUCUAUUUUUCUUUCUUUAAGUAUUUAUAAUGAAUAACUUUGAAAUUCAAUGAUGGUCAUUUAAUAUAGUUAUGUAUCUUUCAUUAUAGGAUGCUCUCAAGUUAAAAUUUAUAGACCUUCUCCCCCUGUAUCUUGAUAGGAUCCCAGAAAUCCUAAAUCUUAAGAAAAUAAAUCUUUCAAAUUGUGAAAGCAUGCUUACAUUACCCCCGUAUAUCCACAAUUUCAACCAGCUCAGUAUGUUGUGUUUCAUGGGAUGCAAAAUUCAUUUUGUUGCUCAUGAAAGAAUUGACUUGUCCGGAUGUAUUAAUUUUGCAGAUUUUCCACAGAUUAUGGGAAUAUAACAAAGCUAGACUUAAGCGAGACCCCAAUAAAAGAAGUUCCCUCAUCAAUAGAGUGCCUAGCUGAUCUGAAAACGUAGCGUUCGAGUAAGUGCACGAGGCUGAAGAGGCUUUCCAACAAGCAUUUGUAAAUUGAAAUCUCUUCUUGAGUUUUAUCUUUAUAACUACUCAAACCUUGAAUGUUUUCCAGAAAUCAUGGAGAAAAUGGAACGUUGAAAGAUAUAAAUCUAGCAAGGACGGCCAAUUACAGAGCUACAAUCGUGAUGGUCUUCUGGAUAACAUUAGCAAUUUAAAAUCUUUGAGGUACAUCUCGGCUAAUGGAUCGGCCAUUAGUCCUCUGUCGGAGAUUUGGCUGUACUUAAAUAUCUAUUGUUUUCUCGAUGCAGAGGUUUUGUAUCAUUGCCUCCAAUAUUAUUUUCAGGUUCAGGUUUAUCGAAUUUCGUACAACUAACUUUAAGAGACUCUGCUGUAGUGGAAAUUCCCCAAAACAUUGUUUGGCAAUCCUCAUUGAAAAUUUUAAAUCUAAAGGCUUGUUUGUUAACUACUUGAAGUAUGAAACUAAUGAUUUUUUUUAAUUUAUAUUUGAUUUUGAGAUAUUUGUAUCGGAAUUAAAAAAAUGAACUUUUGUGACAUUUAUCUAAAUAAAAAAAAGCUUAAUGAGAAGUAAAUAAUCCCCUUUUUCGUUUUGACUUACAAAAACAUAAUGUUAACUAACCAUGUUUAAGAUAUUUUUUAUUUAUAAAAACAAAUUAGAUGCUACUUAUAUUUAUUAUCGAAAAUUGAAAAACAAACAUGUUAUUCAUACAUUUAUAUUCAAACUUAUUCAGUCUUCAGCUAAAUACAGAUACAUUUAGAUUUCAGAGAAAAAAAUAAAUACUUCCUAAGUGGGAAUAACUUUGAGAGUUUACUUGCAAAUGUCAAGCAACUUGCAAGGCUAGAAUAUCUUGACUUGAACGGUUGCAAUAUGCUUCAGUCAUUAACAGAGCUUCCAUUGUUUCUAUAUUUUUCAGAAGUAAGGAAUUGCAAGCGCUCCAAUCUUUGCCAGAGCAUAGAUUUCAUGUUUACCAAUUGCCUGAAACUGAAUGAAAACGCAAACAACAGCAGUUUGGCAGAUUCAGAACAAAGGACUCAACAUAUGGCAAAUGCACCACUGAGACUAUUCCAUGAAAAGGUACCCCUACUCACUUUCUCUGUCCAAUCUUUGCAUCUGAUCAUCUGGGAUUCAAAUCCUCUACUCAUCUUGCUACUUGGCCUGCCAUUUUAACAUCCACUGACUGGUCGUUACCAAAAAUCAAAAACAGUAAAAUGAUACAUCUAAACCAUGCAUACAUAACCAAUAAUGUAUAUGUGUUGCAAGACUUUAGAAAGGCAAGAUGAGUAGAGUAUCGGCUUUGGUCUAAAAUUGUGGUUUUUAUAUGACAGCAGAAGCCUCAGGUACAACGUCAUGUCAGCAUUUGUUUACCUGGAAGUGAAAUUGCUGACUGGUUUAGCAAACAAGGUUUUGGAUCUUCAAGAACUAUCCAACUUCCACCACAUUGUUGGAACAGAAACUUAAUCAAAUUUGCUCUUUGUGUUGUUAUUGAACUUGAGGAAGGUUUUGAUGCUAAUGUUGAUGAAUUUUUUGUCCACUGUUUCUGCCAUUUUGAGAUAAGGGAUACUCCCUCUGAAACUAAACAUGAUCACUUUUGCGUUAUGAAAGCCGUAAACGUCCAUUGACUCGGAUCAUAUCAUAUUUGGAUUUCAUCCCUGUUGGAAUGUUGAGUGCAUUUAAGUCCAACCCUGUUACUAUAAAGUUUUUUGCCAACAGUGAAGAGGAAUGCACUCAAAGUGUUCCUCAAAUCUGAAAAAGAUGAAUUGGAACCGACUCCCAAGAGAAUUUAAAGAAAGCAAGUUGGUUUCUCAAGUUCUGAUUUCUUAUCUAAGUCCAACUCUCCAAUUACACUUUCUAUUUAUUUAUCAUUGUGCUUUAUCAUCAUCAAUAUUAAUAUUAAUAAAAUAAAAAGCAGUUGAGAGCCAAAUAAAGCCACUUGAAAAUCACUCAGUCACGCUUUUGGGACAUCAUUCUGCUCAUUACUUUUAAUCUGUAUCUCCGUUGUUUUAUUUGGUAUUUAUUACCAUUAGCAAAUAAAGGGAUUAGUUGAUUAUUGUGAGCUCACUAGAUGGAGCUCACCCUUAAAUGUCGGCUUGUACCAAGGAGGUGCCUUAGGGUUAAUAAACCAACUAAUCCCAUAAUUUAUUGAUGUAGGGUCCUAACAAAUUAUUGCAGUAGGUCAGUACACAGCUCGAAAACGUAUUUGAUCCAUACAUUGAAGAUGAUUCAAUAUUAAGCAUGUCAUAUAAUCUGGAAUAGGAUAUUGGACCAAUUUGAUGAUAAUGACUUUCUUUCAAUCUCAAUCUUUAUCUUCUUCGCAAUAUGACUAGCCAUUGCAAACUCAAACUCUGACAAUGAUUUCUCAAUCGCUUUCUAAGAUAUUGAGCAGGUAUGUAUAUGUAUGUGUGUAUGUGUGUGUGUGUGUGUGUGUGUGUGUGUGUGUGUGUUUGUGUAUAUAUAUAUAUAGAGAGAGAUCACGAGUGUGUGAUUUCCUUUUGCCAAUAAGGUAUGCAGAGACCUUGAUGUUACCCAAUAGCAAAAAAGCUUCCUAAUAAGUGAAGGUAUAGUCUAAAUACUUACACUCUCAUAUUAUUUUGUUCAUCAGCAGUUUGAUUAUUUUAUAUGCAUCUUUGAUUUUAGUUUUCUUUCCCUAUAAUUGCUAUUAUCUUUGAACUGGUCAAGAUUUGCCUAUAAGAUUUCUCAUGUUGAUUUUAGGUGCAAUGGAUUUUGAAUUUAGUGCAGGUGCAGAAGCUCGAAGGCAAAUUAUGAAAAAGGAUAAAGAUCUAUAAUUAGCGGUUAUGGGAUGUCAUAUAUCAUAUGGAUGGUAAUGGGGUCGGAUCACGAGUCCAUUAAUAAUCAUAGAUUGGCUUAUAUAUUUCAAACAAUGUACCAUGAAGUAAUUUCACAAGCACUUGUUAGUCUAUGUUGAGCUUUAUUGAAUCAGUAGUUCACAGUUCAAUACAAUGCAGGUUUACUAUUUGAAGUAAAUGCUUAUGGUGUGCAUUCUUCAUAAAACUAACUACUGAAUUUUUCGUUGAAACUUGCAGAAUGUAACAGAGAGAUGCAGAUAGCAGCCACAAAACACUAAGAUUGAAAAUCAGGACUACUAAAUUCUAUUACAAGCCCUUAGAAUAGACAACGAUCAUCCUCGAAUGUAUAUACUGAAAGUAAGAAAUAUUAAUCGUAAAGUUAUGCAUCAACAGAACUAUUAACUACUUAUCUUUAGCAGAAGAUUUAUAUUUUUAGUUGCAGCUCUCUACUUUGUUCGAAGAAUUAGGCAAAAGUGGCAUAUCUCCAAUCCAAUCAGCAUAUAUACCGCUCAUCUUCUCCAGUUCUUUCCGCUUUGAUUUGCACUCAUACCCUGCACUUGCUGCUUAGAAAUAGUCAUAGUUUGCACAUUGACAGUAGAAAAAGUACUUGAAACAGUCGUUGGCACAGCAUGAGAUUCCAUUGAGUCAUGGUCUCCAAGCUUUCGUAGUUCUGCAAAGAAAAUGACAAAACAUCAUGCUAUUGGCAUUCUACUUUUAACAAUUUUCCACAACCUGAGCUAUUUCAUAUCUCUCUAUAAAUUAUGAUCCAUGAGUGGACCACUGACGGAUGCAAGUUUAUUAUCACUUGUAACUGCUGGUUCAACCUUCAGAUAAGUUUGUGAUAAAGGCAUUUACGAGUACAAUGGCAAAAUUACAUGAACUUAUGUUAUCAAUCAUUGUUUUGCCUUCUCAUGAUAGAAUUCAAUGCAACAUAAAACAUUGAUAUAUUUGUACCUUGCCAUGCCGUGUUGUGAACCUAGAAGCAAUGCAAAGUGGAAGGAACAUAUCAAGCUAUCUACUGUAUAUAACAAAUUCUUACUAGCCCACAAUGCUGUGCCGCCACAUUGAUCAAGUAACACUACUAUUUCAUUUCCAAACUGGCAUAUAUAAUCUAAUGUUGAACAAACCAAAUUGGGAAUCAUCAUUCCUUACAUUAAGCUGACAUUCGUACCUGCUAGUCCAUGGGCAAAGUUGCAUAUAUUUUCAUACAGGCAGCUUCCCCUUAUCUCUCAGUUCCAACAGAGAUUUGGUUUCCCAUCACCAGCCUUUGAUUCAUUCGAUCAUAGAUACUCCGAGUUAGCAAGCCCCUUGUUGUGUUCCCAUUGAACAGACCCACUUCUGUUAUCCACAGAAGAUCCACCACUCAAAAUACUUAUCACUGAGCUAUUCCUAAACUGAGUAGAAACUUUCGCACAUCUCUCCGCAUUUACGUUAAGAAAUCGACACCUAUCCUCAUAUUUGCAAGUUUUCUGAUAAUAGAACGGUCUACAAAGCUGCAUUUCGUUAGGCAAUCUAGUCUCUCCAUUCCUCGCAAAGUGACAUUGAUUCCCGUAUUUGUAAUUGCCUAAUUGGGGUUUUGGCAAUAGCCUGAUCUUAAAAUUAGCACCCAUUACUUUGUUCAAAGCCACUGGCAUCCUCAGAUUAGGAACAACAUUUUCAAAUUUUUUAGCCCUGUUAGUCGAAUCACAUUCAACAGGAUAGUGAGGCAGCAUUUCACCAACAGAUUCAAUUUGACUACUCAUAUUGAUGCACAUAUAAGAAUUUGAAAUCACUUUUUCUUGGAAUAUUUAAUGACCAGACGAAAGUUCUUGAAUGGAAAUUAUUUAAUUUGAUUUGAUUUCCAACAAAUUCAAGAAACCCCAGAUAGUAACUAAACAAAAAUCAAACAAUAAUACGCAAUGGGUUUCUUUCUUUUUGCUUUUGGAGGGCCAUGGAGAUCUGGAGUGGGCUGUAAGUAAAUUAUGCCUUCAUCACUGGAAUGACAAAUUUGUAGAAGAUGAUAUAUGGGGAAGGAUUGAAGUAUUGAACAAAUUAAAUUACGUCCAUUGUGAUGAAUUAAAAAUAAAAUAACAAUUUUAACUUUAUAAUAAAAUUUGAUGUUAUCAUUACAUCUUUUAUUAAAAAAUUAAAUUAAUCAAGAAUGAUAUUAUUUUCUUUUAAUGUUAUCAAACUAAUCAACCUAUAAAAAUUAUAAAUUGUGAAGAAUAAAUACAUACACCACUUAAAAUGAUAUUUAUAUCAAAUUACUAGUUUUUAAGUUUUUCUUUUCAGAUGUUGAAAAAGAAAAAACAAACAUGUCAUUUAGAUAUUUUCAUUCAGACCUAUUCAGAUUUAAACUAAAUACAGACCUAUUCAGAUUUCAAAUAAAAAACAAACACAACCUUAGUAUAGCACAGAGCUUUUUUAGUGUAGCAUUUUAUAAGCAGAUUUUUUUUAAAAAAUUAUUAUUUAUUUGGUUGUUUUGCAUAGGAGAGCGUUUAAAGCUCCAAAAUCUUUGAUCAGUCAAUUUUUUUUUUUUUUGUUAGUAAAACUUUCAACAAAAAUUUAUUAUUCAUUUGAUCGUAUAUGAGAGUUUUUAUUAGUAAGUUAUAUAAAGUUCUUUAAUUUUUUUUUUAUUAGUGCAACUUUGUACAAGUACAAUUUUUAUUUUCUAAAAAAAAUUAAUUCAAUAAUAUUAGGAAUUUCAAUAUUUAAAUCCUAAUAUCAUCUGUCACUCAUUUAUUAAAUGACUAAUUUCAUAACUUAUAAAUUUAUUUAACUAACACCCAAUGAGUGAAUAUUACUAUGAUGAAGACUCAAAUUGAAAUUUAGAUGUUAGGUUGCGUAACGUUGCUCUUAUUUGGUUAUUUAUGAGAGCUUUCUUAUACAAACUUAUUUGUAUACAAAUUGAUAUAGUCUAAAUUCAUUAACUAGAUGAAAAUAUAAAAUAAUAAAAAUAAAUCAUAUGUACUAAGAAUUGUUUAAUUCAUCAAAUUGAAUUAUCCUACUUAUGUUUGUACCAAAUAAAUUUAUAUAAGAAUUUAUAAUUCUAUUUUUAAAUGUCCAACUAAAUUUUUAGUCCUUUAUUCUUUGUAAAAUUCAAAUUCAAAUGGCUCAUCAAAUAAAAUUAAAACUAUUGGCUAAUCAAAUAAAAUUAUUUGAAACCAUUGGGUAUGGUAGCUGGACCUCUUGGAACUAUCUAAGCCAUGAAAUUAACAGCGAAAAGAGUUUUAAAUGUCUAUUUUAUAAAUUUUUUAAUUAUUUUUUUAUUUACCAUUUUACCACCCAUAGUGAAAGUGUCUCAUCGACAGUUGAACAGUCAACAUAUCAGUCCUUAGGAAUUUACGUUUGGGGUAUUUUUGUAAUUAUAAGAAGGUAAACUAAUCGCAAAAUUCAUUUGGCUUGAACUUGCUCGCCUUCGCCCUGUGUAUGGUCGUGGCGUUAUCAAUAUCACCUUCUCCACUCGUACUGACACCAAACCUUAACCGUUCAGAUUCCCUUUCUCGAUUGUCAUACCCUAGGCCCCGUCUACGUGUCUCCGAUAAACAGUGCUCAAUUAAGGCCAUCAGAUUAUCCCGGACCCACAUUGAUCCAACGGCUCACAAUGACCGACAACCUCUAUAUCUCCAUUUCAAGCUCCCUUUUCAACUGGCUUCUGCUUCCGUCGUACUCUUUCUCGGAUUCGGAGUCCGUAUUUGCUCGGCCGGUCCCGCACAGCUCCCUCUCGCUCCAAUUGUCACCCAACAAGACCAAUUGCUUAAUCAAGGCACAGACCAAGAAGAGGAUGAGAAAUUGAAACAAGAAUUUGAGAAUUGGAAAUCGAAAACGUACCCAUUUGUGAUAAGGAAUUUAUGCGAAGUAAGGGAAAGAGAUUGAAGUUUCAGAUGAAUUUGUGUGCUAGCAUUGAUGGGAUCGUUAACAAUUUAUCUGUGCCCUUUAACAAAGUUAAGGCUAAGUCAGCUUCUUAUAUGGCUGCUGAUUUGGUUAGUGUUGGUGAUUCAUGGCUCAGCUUUGCGAUUAAAAAGAGAUUGAUUGAGCCAAUAGCUGGAGCUGAAGAUCAAGAUUGGUUCAAAUGCUUAAGUCACAAAUGGAAGGUAACAUCUUUGUCUUUGACCCGAUAAUUUUUAUUGUCUUACAUUGAAAUUUGGUAAUGUGGUUUGUAGUCAUUUUAUUUAUUUGCUUUUAUUUGCACCAACGAAGUCUCAGGUAUAUCUAUGCAGGAAUGAUACAGGAGAAAUUGAUCCUCGAGGUAAAAUAUGGGCGGCACCAUACAGGUGGGGCACAAUGGUGAUAGCCUACAAGAAAAGUAAAUUUCGAAAGCAUAAUUUGGCUCCAAUUGAGGUAAUAAUUGUCUUUAAAUUUUAUAUGAAACAAAAUCAAGACUGCCUUUCUGUUCAAUAUUUUUGAUGAUAAUAUCUUUAGAAGCAUCGCAUUGACGGGUAAUAAUGGUAUCCCUGAAAGAGUCUAUAAACUCAAUGAUAUUAUCUUCUACACAUGGUUUAUUAAACUUCUUCGUUGUAGUCAAAUGUACACUAAGAACAAUGAGAAGCUAUGCUACUGUAGCAUGUAGUGAUGGCGCUUAAUAAGUGAGUUGCUAGGAUGUGAACUAGAAAAAUUAAAUAUUGUCUCCUUGGGUAUGCUAGCUUGUAAGUCAGGGUUAAUAUUAGAAUUUAAGAUACUAUAACCAUGAGAAGCUAUUGACUGCCAAUUAAAAUAUCCAUUAAAAUGUCUAGGGAGUUAAGAAGGUGGAGGUAUCUUCCGAUUUCUAAGGCCACAUAGUAGACAUCAUCCAGGAUCCAAGGAAGGUGCGGUUAAGCUCCUGCUCGGUGCAAUUAAUAAAUUUGGUCAAUGCCACUGAAACCUGCUAACUGAUGUCACAAUGCACCAUGAGCACUUCAAAAUGGGAUAGACGGUCAGUAGCACUAAAUUUUUCUUGCCUAAGAUUGGGCAAUUGGUCUAACUGCUAACCCCUAUUGUAGGUUGAUCAUUAUUUUUUCAAUUAUGUUCAGUUUGACCCAAAAAGUUACAGAAUCUUGAUCUGAAUAUUGUCACCGAACACCGUCAAUGUUGUUUAGCAUAGCCAACUAACUAAAGUUUGGUAAAACAAACACACAUUGUGUCUCAUGUCUCACAAUUCAAAUUAUCAUCUGUAAUGAUGGAGGAUUUUUCUAAUGUAUGAAGUAUGCUUUGAUACGUGGGUUAGCUUGGAGAAGAUAUCUCAAAAUAAAGAACAUGGGGAGCGAAUGGGAAGAAAACAGUUCAGUAGUUUAUUAUUCUGUAGUCAAGUUUUGUCUCAAAAAUGGUCAAAAUUUAAAUGAAUAAGGACAGCGGAUCUUCAUUCUUUUUCCCUUUUUUAUGCCAAGAUAUCUCUCAACCUUUAUAUAAUCCCCACUGGAUAUCUACUUCUAACAAUUAAAAUAAAAAUUUCACCCACACAAAUAAAUACUGACCAAGCUCUAACAAUAAAAAGUAACAUCUUUAGUCAGGUAACCUCUUUACAGUUCCUCAUCAUCUUAGUGUGAGACUAUCAGUACGUUCCAAAAACAUAAUAAAACUGGUUUGAUCCUGUUUAUUGAUGUUUAAAUGUUGUUCAUUGUGACAUGUAGAAAUGAUGAGGCGAAGUUUCUUUGGUCAUCAAUUGGUAAGAUCUUGUUUGAAGUUGUUUUCUGAAAUGAACUGCCAAAUGGUAAUUUUUUUGGGCAUAUGAUGGCUCCUUUUUCCUCAUUUUAAACAUGUGCCUGCAUGGAACGGGAAGGAUUAGGCUGCAGAGUUGUUAUAUAUUUUGACAUGCAAUGGUUAUUACACAAUUUGUUCACACUGGAAAUUAGAAUGAGAAAUUUGUUGAUGCUGUUUUGAGAGAUCCGCAUUCUAUGCGCAUUAACAUGAUUAAUGAAAACAGAUUAUAGGACUGGAAAGAUCUGUGGCGGCCUGAGCUCGCAGGAAGAAUUUCAAUGGUUAAUUCUCCCCGAGAGGUUAUUGGUUCCGUUUUGAAGUAUAUGGGAGCAUCGUACAAUUCAAACAAUAUUGAUUUGCAAGUUGCUGGUGGGAAGAUUUCUGUUCAGCAGAAUCUGGCAUUAUUGGCAAACCAGGUACUCUUAAAGAAAUGAUAUCUGGUCAUUGCAUGUUAUUGCCUGACAACUGAUUUUGUUUGUAAAGUCUGCUUCUUCAUACAUAUGAACGCAUAUGUUAGUGUUUUCCUCUCCUUUUCAUACAUAUGAAUGCAUUUGUUAGUGUUGUCUUUUCCUUUUCAUACAUAUUAAUACAUAUGUUGGCGUUCUCUCCUGAAGAAAUGGCAAGGGAUGUGAGAUUCUGUCUCAUUAAAUUAACAAAAACCCAAAACAAUGAAAACCCAUAAUAAUGUGGUGUGGGUAAAUUGGCGCCAUUUGGUUCGUUUCCUUAAUGUGAAUACGCGAGCAAUAGAGACUAACAAAAUGAAGUGACAACAAGAAGUCAGUGUCGUCUGAUGGAUGCAUUUUUAGGCAGAAAUAGGUUUGUAAUUGACCAAAUUUGUCUGGCAUGCCAAUUUCAAAAAAAUUAAAUCAUGUGAUUAUUAGCUGUAAUGAAGGGAGACAGUAGGUGCAAUCAGGUGGAUCCAGGAAAGUUCAACAAAGUUCUGGUAUGGCGUAGUGAAAUUGGUUGUCCAACUCAAGAGUCUUUCAGGUGAACGAUGAUGGGUUUUGAUUUAUAAAUGUUAUAAAUCUACUAUGAAUAGUAUUCUAGCAGAAUCAUCUGUAAGUUCUAGUUAUUGAAAUUGUCUACUUUGUCCAGUUUGAAUUAAGGGCAAAUGUAAUAUGAAAAAUAGUUGCCGCAUCUUUUAGGUUACCUAACAUUUGAUCAAUCCUAUUAUGUGGGCUUCAAGAUGUCUAACAAUAUGUAGAAUGCACAUGCUCCUACCCAUUGUUUAUCUUAUACAAUAAUUUGUUUUAGAUGCUAAUAUCUUUGUCGAUCCCGGUAUCAAUAUUACAAUAUCUGCGUUUAUUGGGUUUUACAUAGGUUCGACUGUUUGACAGUACACACUAUCUGAAGGCAUUUGGAAUUGGAGAUGUAUGGGUUGCUGUUGGGUGGAGUAGUGAUGUUCUUCCUGCUGUCAAACGUAUGUCUAAUGUUGCAGUUGUUGUUCCCAAGUCUGGCGCUAGCUUAUGGGCCGAUCUUUGGGUAUACCCAUGCCUGCCUUUCUACUUCGAUAUUCACAUUGUUAUCUCCUUCAUAUUAGUGAUCAGUAAACACGAUAAUGUGACUAAUAAGUUCGUAUCCUCUUUAUAGGCAGGCCCUGCUGCCUCAAGACUUGAAACAAAACAAAUUGGAGGGCGAGUCAGAGGUCCAUCUCCAUUAAUCCAUCAAUGGAUAGAAUUCUGCUUGCAAACAGCGAGAGCAUUGCCUUUCAAGCAAGAGGUUAUCCCGGGCGCAUCUCCCUCUGCCCUUGAGAGUACUCUGGUUAAGUUGCCUGAAGAACUUCUGAAGGGUAAACCAAGUCUGGAUACUAACUUAAUUGUUGGAGUACCCCCGGCUGAAAUUCUGGCCAGAUGUGAGUUUUUGGAGCCAUUAUCUGAAGCUACUUUGUCAGAUUAUGAGUGGCUGGUUGCUAAUCAGCAAAAACCUGCUCCUGUCUUGAUGAAAAGGGUGCAACAUUACUUGUCAUCAUUGAUCCAAAGCUUUCUAGCAAAAGCUACAUUGAAAAGUUAAUGGCACUGCAUGCCAGUGAUUAUAAUGCUUCAGGGCAAUUGGGUCAGGGCAAUUAGGUCAGAGCAUAACUUCAUUAGGAAAAGAGGCUUCAGCUACAUUAAAUAUUACAGGAUGUACUGAGAUGGCUGAAGUUCUUGAGGUUUUAUGAGAAAUGAAAGAUGAGUCUUUGUUUGAACAAAGUUGUUGCCAAUUUUGCAGAGUUCGAGAAGAAAGAUCACGGAGCGAAUGCCACCGAUUUCUUCAUCAUUGUAGCCUCCAUAGUUGAAGUUUCCUCAUUUGAAGCUGUUUAUGCAUUAAGCUUAUUCCCUGCUCAAGUACAGGAAACUGAAGAAUUAACCAGACAUGAUAUGCUGAAAGAGGGAAGUUUUCUUCCUUGAAUGUGGCCUUGUGAUUUGUAGUGAAGUAAUAGGAUGAUCACUAGCAAGAACCCUAUCAAGGUAGAUUUUAUAAUGUCAACAUAUUAUUAAGCAUUUGUCAAUUUAGCACUUUCGCAAUGAUACAUUCAUAGCCUGAAAUUAAUUAUAUGAUCCUGAUUAAUCAAUUAAUCUUCAUGAGAUUUAACCUAGUUAAAACUAAGUACAAUCAUCGUUAACAAAUACUGAAAUUGGGUAAAUAUGAUCUCGACAUUGAAGAAUUUGAAAACACAACCCACGGAGGAAAUUACCUGUUGCAUGGGGAUGGAGAUGGUUACUGCAGGGAUAUAAAAUAUGUGCAAGGUGUUGUCCACUGCUCUUUGGGUUAUGGUGUGACUUGCGAUUUCAAGGUUGCCCUGAAACAAUGGAAAAGAUUAACAUAUCCUCCAAUGAAUGAAAACGGCUUGUCUAAUUCUAAUUACCGAAUUGACUCAGAAUCAGGUGGCAAUAAUAACAGGUCAUUAGCAUUACACAGUCCGAGUACUUUUCCAGGAUCAGAUACAACGUGGUCUAAUGUUGAUAAUAAUAGUUUAUUAAAUGACAAAUCAUUGGUCUUGGGUGUUGGUUAUAUACGUCAUUACUACUUCAAGUAGAAGAUGAAGGUUGUGCAGGUGAUUUCAGAAAUAAAAUACAUUCUGAGAGAUGCUGGUCUACCAUUGCAUGCCCCCAGAUAUAAGAAUUUUUUGAUUGGGGCAUUUGGCAAGAUUCGACAAAUUCUAGAUUCAACCUCCUCCACCAAGGGAUUCCAACUGAGUUAUCAAUUAUCGUAGCAGUUCUAUUAACUAAAAUUAGCAAAUAUAAUAUAAGAAAAAGAACAAUAAAUACACACUGAAGUUGAAUUGAAAAUGAAGUUGCAAGUUGCCGCCCAUAGCUGCUGACUAAUAAUAAAACGAGACAAAUUAAUUAAACUCAGACCUCUUUGUAUAUGUUAUCCUAACUUUACUUACCCUUGUUUGUAAUUUUCACUUAACACUUGAUGCCUAAACCAUUAAAACCAAAUGACCAUAGGGGUAUUUAAAGUAUGUAAAAAUAAACAAAAACACGUAAAAAAAUUCAAACAAUUAAUAAUUACACUCUAAAUGCACCACUCAACUCUUAAUAAUAGCCAUACUCUAAAACAAUCUACAACCUUUGAGGGGAGUAGCUAUGAGGAAAAUCCUUUUCUCAGUGGAUUGCCAUUGCCCAAUAGUUGCAAUGAAAAGAGACCACCUGCAACUGUGCCGGAAGAUUCAACUAGCUCUGAAAAAGAUGAUAAUUUAAUUGAUAUGGACAGUUUCCAUAUCACUUUUAAAUCAUCUUAUGUAAUUGUGAUGUUAGUAAGCAUUAGUGAUCUAUAUGUGAACUAUUAUUGGCGCCAUUGGUGGUUUUAUCUUGUUAAAAUAUGGAUGACUUCCGGUUACUAUUUUGUAGUACACAAUUUUAUUCAAUUAACAUAUACCUUAAAACCAUUAUGUAUGUGCUUUAUUAAGAUUCUCAAGUACCAAUCACGUUUGCUUAAGAAAUAAAAUUUUACCAUUAAAAGCGUAGUAAUAUUUCCAAGCGCUUCGCAUUUAUCUCAACAUUUUGAAGGAAUUUCGAGAAAUACACGGGUCCAAAAGUCUAGUCAUCAUCCUUAUUCUUGGUAUGAGUUGAUUUUUAGUGAUUAUCUAAUUGACUGGGGUGACAACAAUAGCACAACGUAGAAUUCAAUAAUAGAAUUCUCCUGUUUAAUUUGUUUUAAGUUAAAUUAUUAAUUACUUAAAACUCUGUUUUAAGUCUUUAAUUUUAUGUCUUGGCGUAUAUGCAGAGUUGGAAUCUUGAGUGAGUUGGACAUGACCUACAAUGAGAGUGGCAGUAAACAAACAUUAGAACGUGUGGACUCCGGUGGCUGCCCUGCAAGUCUACAACUCUACAAGAAUAAUUUCUAGCCCCGUUGACUCCACUAACUAAAGUUUUUUAAAAUUUAAAAAGGUACAUAGAAUUCAACAACAAGCAAAACGUGUGGAAUUUAGUUUUUUGCCGUGUGGAACAAAAUACAAUUUAGCAAAAAAGGACAAGAAAAAUGGUAAGAUUUCUAAAAUGAGUGGAAGUUGAUCCAUAUUUUACUGAAACGACUUGCCCCGAACAUCACGACGAUUGAUUUUUUUUAUUUAUUUUUUGAAUAACAUCAACUUUCAUAUCUUUCUAACCCCCAGAAUAUGCUCACGUUCUAGUCUAUCUUGCUAAUUUAAAAAAAUAAAAUCAAAUCAACACCAAAACAAUGAAAAGUAAAGCUUUUGAAUUUCAACUCCAGCUAGCAAACGUAUUCAGCGUUUUCAAAUUCUUCCCAUUGCAUAUCUUCUUCCUCCAUCAAUGCAAUAUUUGAACGAUUAUGAAAGAAUUUAAGAACAUAAAAAAUCUCCUAGGUUUAUACGGUGUAACAAAUUUAAAUUCUCAAUUACAAUAGAUAAUAAUUAAACUAAUAAUUUUUUAUGUACUUAUUUUAGUAAUUUCACCUAAGAAUAAUAUUGUAAUUAGAAAAAAAAAAUCUAAUGAGUAGGGUGGUCUUAUACAAAAUCAACUGCAUACAUAUAUGCAGAUGCAGAUAAUAAUUUUUAAUUCCUUUUUUUAAUAAGAAAAUUGUGUAUUGAGAUGAAUAAGAUGUUUAAUUUAAUUAAUUUCCUUACUUUCGUAUACAUUGUCUUUCUAUCUAGAGAAAGCUUGGUGUUCAGAACGACAUGAAGUUGCGAGUUGUCGCCCAUGGCUGCUGAUUAAUAAUAAAACGAGACAAAUUAAUUGAACUCAGGCCCAUAUGUAUAUGUUAUCCUAACUUUACUUGCUCUUGUUUGUUAAUAUUCAUUCUUAGAGAGGUGAAAAAAAUUACAAGUCUUGAAUAACGAGGAGUUUAAUUGCCUCUAACUUUACUUGGCCAGGCCUUCUAUAAUCUCAUUAAUAAUACAGAGAAUUAAUUAUCUUUUUAUUAUUAAACCAUCUUCAGGAAGAUUUUCCUUAAUUUGCUCCAGAAGAGUUGGAGCUGUGGUUCUGAUAAACCAAAGAAUUAGUAGCAAUUAAUAUUAAUAUUUCGCCCAUGGCUGCUGAUUAAUAAUAAAACGAGACAAAUUAAUUAAACUCAGGAGCAUUUAAACCACUUCCUUAUCAAUUGCGGCAGCCGUCUAUUAACUAAAACGCCAAUCUAAUACAAGAAGAAAGAACAUUUACAGACUUGGCAAUUGAGUUCAUUAAGAAGUAGCAUCGCAUUCGGGUGAUGAGUUUCCUUUUGUUAAUGAUUUUAGUCUAAUUUCAAUUGUACUGUGACCGCUUCUCACUCAAGGUAAGUGAAAGUUACAGAUGUGGCAAAAUAAAUAAUUAAAUUAACAAAAUGCUAACUAAUUUUCCUAAAUACCUAGGGUUGUACAAUUUCACCAACCUGGAAGAAUUGACAUUAAUGGACCGGUCUCCUCCCCAUAUAAUUAUAAUCCUUCUAGAAAGCUAGUUUUUAUUAAAUAUUUGCUUUUAAGUUAAUUUCAAUUAAAAAAUGUUUUAAGUUAUAUAUACUCUAAUGAGAUUCUGAAUUCCUUUAUUCCAAUAAUAAUGAAAACGUAUUAAAUUAGAAAUGAAAAAAUUGGUGUUGAUGAUUCAACCUAUUUGGAUAGAUUACGUGAAUAAAAUUGAAAUUUUGAUUUAAUUUUUGUUUAUUGUUAAUUCUCAUGCUAUCUUAAUUUCAAGAAUUUAGAAUGUUAAUUUGGUCAUGGAUUUCAACCCGUGAGUAUCAUAUUCUAGACUUAAUGGUACCAUUCUUUGAUUGAGGGCAAUGACUCUCACUCCUCUUGUAAAAAAAUAUUUUCAACUAUUUUGAUGACUUAAAAAUUGAUAGAUUUAUUGUUGUCAUGACCAAAUUAUUCAUUUUAAUGAAAUAUAAUUAAUGCAUCAAAGUUACCAGGUUUAUGUUCUAUCUUACCUCUGUUUCAUUUUUUUUUUUUCAGUUAUCAGCUAUGCCCCUGAGGCAUUUUGUAGAGUAUAGCUUCUGCUUACCUCUGUUUCAUUUUUUUUAAUAAAAAAACAAGGGAAGGUUUUUCCGAGUCAUCCAUUAUUUGAUUUCCGUCAAUCAAGAAAACGACCAAAUUAAUUUCUCUCCAAAAUUUCCAAAAGCUAGAAAAUUUUGUUAUUUGAAAAUAACAUCAUUAAUUAUAGAGUGGAUCAAACCGCGUUAUUGUCUUUCAUAAAAUUGAUGUCUUUUUAAGAGUCAAUACUUUUGAUGUACGCAAACCAGUCGACAUCAACUUAAACUUCCAUAUUUUUAUUAUUAUGUUAUUUAUUUUAAUCCCCGAUUAUUUGAUUAGCCACUAUAUAUAUAUCAAGAAAGCGACAAAAUUUAUUUCUCAUGACUUCCAAAAACUAGAAAACAACAUCAUUUAUUAUUUUUUUGCAACCCUAAUUGACAUAAACUUUAACUUUAUUAUGUUAUUAUUUCAAUCCCCCAUUAUGACCUUUCUAAUCCUCCAUUAUGCAUCUUUUAUAGUGCAAAUUUAAUUGCACAUCUAAAUAAAUUGAUUAUUGUUACUCCACCACCAAUAUUUCAAGGAAAAUUCUAUGAUGCCGUGAUUAAAAUUACGGUAUUAAUGCCGUAGUUAUUAUGUACCGUUAGAUUAGAUCAACGGCACAUAAUAAUUAUAAUUAUAUAAAUUUUAUUUUUUCAACAGGUUACAACCCGGUUAACAUUUUUUUAUAAGUAAAAGUUAACCGAUUAAAAUUAAAAAUAAUUAUUAUAUUUUUUUAGAAAAUUAUUAUAACUGAUUUAUUUUAAAAUCGCUCAUUCACGUUAAUUAGGGAUUAUGAUAGGACCGAAGUAAAACUUCAGCCGAUUCAUAUUGAGAGGAAAAGAGCAACUGAGUCUUUCUCCACUACCAGUCUUUCUCCACUACCAACUCCACGUCAUCGCCGUUCCGCCGUUUUGUUUCAUCAUGUGUUGGGAAAGGGCAGAGGUUGUUUCCCAGUGGCCAACUCGAAGAAGCUAAAGUUCGUUAAAUUCCAAAACACAUAAUCCUUGCAAACUAGAACGGGCAAAGGCUAUCUUUGAAUUGUGCUUUUUUUUCCUGUUUUUCGAGCCAGACUGCCCACCAAGUUAGCCAAUUCUUGGUACUAAUUUUGUCUUUUAGUAUUGAUUUUUGGGGAAUUCCUUUUUUCACCUUGAUUUUCUUUUGAAUUGUUUUAUAUCUGCUUGAUUUUCUUUCUUUCACUCUUUUGUAUUCUUUGGUUUUCUUCAUCAAAAUUUACUAUUUUCACAUGUUAUCUUGAUUAUUUCCUGCUAAUUAAUUUUGUAUUGUAAAUAAUCUAUUUGUUGGACUUCCAGAGUGAGCAAGUUAAUUUGAUUUAAUUAGGUGCCUAUUAUAAUAGCUUUUCUGGUUUGUUGUAGGCAAUUCUAACUGUAUUCUAAAUAAACUUCCAUAUGAUUAGAUCUUGAUAAAUGCAAAGGAUAACAAUGUUAUAAGCCAUUGGCCUAAGAAAAUGUGUAAAUCCUCUAUUUGAGGUACAAAUUUUCUCUCAUAUGUUUUUUUUUUUAUUUUGUAUUUUUUCACAAAGAACUGGUUGUUAAGAUCCUAUUUCAUUAGUUGAAACUGAUUAAAAGGAGAUUACCCUUCGGCAGUUGGUGGGAAAGAUUUAAGUUCAUCUUUCUGGAUCUUCUACUUUAGACUUAUCAUUCAAGAAAGUGUCAAAACUCGAAUGGCUGUAAAACUUUGAACAGAUUAUUAAUUAAUUUAGGUGCAAGAUCUUUUAUAACACUUUAAUAAGUUAUUACCAUUGCAUUCUUUUUUUCUUUUCUUUGAGAAGAAACCAUUUAACUUUAGACUAACUUCCAAAUUUACCUUUGUAAUUUAGCUAAAUAGGUAAAUUUAUUCAAAAGUUGUCCUCCUCGCAAGCUUAAGGUAUUUCAACUUUGCCUACAACUACAAGUUAAAGAGAAAUUAUCGUGAAAACCAUGCCACGGCCGCAGUAUUUAAAAUGUGCACAAGGAGCUUAGAGAACUGGGCUUUGUUUGAUUACAUGAAAGGAAAUGGACAAAAUUUAUGUUACAAAAGAAGCUUGGAGCUGAUAAAUGAUGCAGUAUGAGUGAACUUUUUGUCGCUCUUUGAGGAAUUUUUCUACAAAUUUUGAUGUAGCUAUUAUUUUGGUGAAUGAUUUAUUCUUUUCUUUUUUCUUCAAUAUUAUGAUUUUGUUUCCAUAUUUUAAUAGAAAUUAUUAAAAUUCUAAGGAAAUUGCACUAUUUAUCUCAAGAAAGUGGCUUAAUUCUACAUAUAUGAGUAAUGUUUCCAUAAUUACAAGCAUAAUAGUGGCUUAACUCCAUAAUUCUACAUAUAUGACAUCAAACCCAACUCAUGCUCACCCUUAUAUCAUUCUAUCUAAAUCAUAAAAUGACAAUAAUCCAACUCUUUAACAAUUUUCACAUUGGAUUUAAGUUGAGGCAAUUGACCUAAACUAAAUAACCUAAAUUCCAAAUAAAUGUGAAAUAACACAAAAAAUUUCUAAACCACACGUAUGACUCGUAAAUUGAAGGUAAAACAUGUAAAUUAGCGUUAGAGUGGUAAAUUGGUCUACAAAAUUAAAAAAAAUAAAAAAUAGAAAAAAACUAGUAAAUUGAUAGAAAAUGUAGUAAAUAAAUGUUGGAGUUGUAAAUUAUAAGAAGAAAUUGUAAACAAAACAAAAACUUAGAAAAGUGACAUAGAACUUGUAAAUUGACAUUAAGUGUGAAAUGAAAAACAAAACUUUGUAAACCACAUAUAAAACUAGUAACUUGAUGGGAAAAUGGGAAAAUUAAUGUUGGAGUUGUAAAUUGUAAGAAGAACUUGUAAACAAAACAAAAACUUAGAAAAAUGACGUAGAACUUGUAAAUUGACAUUAAGUGUGAAAUGAAACAAAAUAUUUGUAAACCACACAUAAAACUAGUAAAUUAAUGGAAAAAUGGGUAAAUUAAUGUUGGACUUGUAAUUGGCAAGAAUAACUUGUAAACAAAAUAAAAACUUAGAAAAAUGACAUACAACUAGUAAAUUGACAUUACGUGUAAAAUGAAAUAAAAAACUGUGUAAAUCACACAUAAAACUAGUAAAUUGAUGGAAAAAAUGGUAAAUUAAUGUUGGAGUUGUAAAUUGCAAGAAGAACUUGUAAACAAAACAAAAACUUAGAAAAAUGACGUAAAACUUGUAAAUUGACAUUAAGUGUGAAAUGAAACAAAAAAUUUGUAAACCACACAUAAAACUAGUAAAUUAAUGAAAAAAAUGGUAAAUUAAUAUUGGAGUUGUAAUUUGCACGAAGAAGUUGUAAACAAAACAAAAACUUAGAAAAAUGACAUAGAACUUAUAAAUUGACAUUAAGUGUGAAAUGAAAUAAAAAAUUUGUAAACCACACAUAAAACUAGUAAAUUAAUGGAAAAAUAGGUAAAUUAAUGUUGGAGUUGUAAUUGGCAAGAAGAACUUGUAAACAAAACAAAAACUUAGAAAAAUGACAUACAACUAGUAAAUUGACAUUACGUGUGAAAUGAAACAAAAAAAAUGUGUAAAUCACACAUAAAACUAGUAAAUUGAUGGAAAAAGGGUAAAUUAAUGUUUGAGUUGUAAAUUGCAAGAAGAACUUGUAAACAAAAUAAAAACUUAGAAAAAUGACAUACAACUAGUAAAUUGACAUUACGUGUGAAAUGAAACAAAAAAAAUGUGUAAAUCACACAUAAAACUAGUAAAUUGAUGGAAAAAGGGUAAAUUAAUGUUGGAGUUGUAAAUUGCAAGAAGAACUUGUAAACAAAAUAAAAACUUAGAAAAAUGACGUAGAACUUGUAAAUUGACAUUAAGUGUGAAAUGAAACAAUAAAGUUGUAAACCACACAUAAAACUAGUAAAUUAAUGAAAAAAAUGGUAAAUUAAUGUUGGAGUUGUAAAUUGCAAUAAGAACUUGUAAACAAAACAAAAACUUAGAAAAAUGACGUAGAACUUGUAAAUUGACAUUAAGUGUGAAAUGAAACAAAAAAUUUGUAAACCACACAUAAAACUAGUAAAUUAAUGAAAAAAAUGGUAAAUUAAUAUUGGAGUUGUAAUUUGCACGAAGAAGUUGUAAACAAAACAAAAACUUAGAAAAAUGACAUACAACUUGUAAAUUGACAUUAAAUGUGAAAUGAAACAAAAAAUUUGUAAACCACACAUAAAACUAGUAAAUUAAUGGAAAAAUAGGUAAAUUAAUGUUGGAGUUGUAAUUGGCAAGAAGAACUUGUAAACAAAACAAAAACUUAGAAAAAUGACACACAACUAGUAAAUUGACAUUACGUGUGAAAUGAAACAAAAAAAAUGUGUAAAUCACACAUAAAACUAGUAAAUUGAUGGAAAAAGGGUAAAUUAAUGUUUGAGUUGUAAAUUGCAAGAAGAACUUGUAAACAAAAUAAAAACUUAGAAAAAUGACGUAGAACUUGUAAAUUGACAUUAAGUGUGAAAUGAAACAAAAAAUUUGUAAACCACACAUAAAACUAGUAAAUUAAUGAAAAAAAUGGUAAAUUAAUAUUGGAGUUGUAAUUUGCACGAAGAAGUUGUAAACAAAACAAAAACUUAGAAAAAUGACAUAGAACUUGUAAAUUGACAUUAAGUGUGAAAUGAAACAAAAAAUUUGUAAACCACACAUAAAACUAGUAAAUUAAUGAAAAAAAUGGUAAAUUAAUAUUGGAGUUGUAAUUUGCACGAAGAACUUGUAAACAAAACAAAAACUUAGAAAAAUGACGUUGAACUUGUAAAUUGACAUUAAGUGUGAAAUGAAACAAAAAAUUUGUAAACCACACAUAAAACUAGUAAAUUAAUGAAAAAAAUGGUAAAUUAAUAUUGGAGUUGUAAUUUGCACGAAGAAGUUGUAAACAAAACAAAAACUUAGAAAAAUGACAUAGAACUUGUAAAUUGACAUUAAGUGUGAAAUGAAACUAAAAAUUUGUAAACCACACAUAAAACUAGUAAAUUAAUGGAAAAAUAGGUAAAUUAAUGUUGGAGUUGUAAUUGGCAAGAAGAACUUGUAAACAAAACAAAAACUUAGAAAAAUGACAUACAACUAGUAAAUUGACAUUACGUGUGAAAUGAAACAAAAAAAAUGUGUAAAUCACACAUAAAACUAGUAAAUUGAUGGGAAAAGGGUAAAUUAAUGUUGGAGUUGUAAAUUGCAAGAAGAACUUGUAAACAAAAUAAAAACUUAGAAAAAUGACGUAGAACUUGUAAAUUGACAUUAAGUGUGAAAUGACACAAAAUAUUUUUAAACCACACAUAAAACUAGUAAAUUAAUGUUGGAGUUGUAAUUAGCACGAAGAAGUUGUAAACAAAACAAAAACUUAGAAAAAUGACAUAGAACUUGUAAAUUGACAUUAAGUGUGAAAUGAAACAAUAAAGUUGUAAACCACACAUAAAACUAGUAAAUUAAUGAAAAAAAUGGUAAAUUAAUGUUGGAGUUGUAAAUUGCAAGAACUUGUAAACAAAAUAAAAACUUAGAAAAAUGACGUAGAACCUGUAAAUUGACAUUAAGUGUGAAAUGAAACAAAAAAUUUGUAAACCACACAUAAAACUAGUAAAUUAAUGAAAAAAAUGGUAAAUUAAUAUUGGAGUUGUAAUUUGCACGAAGAAGUUUUAAACAAAACAAAAACUUAGAAAAAUGACAUACAACUAGUAAAUUGACAUUAAUUGUGAAAUGAAACAAAAAAUGUGUAAAUCGCACAUAAUACUAGUAAAUUGAUGGAAAAAUAGGUAAAUUAAUGAUGAAGUUGUAAUUGGCCAAAAGAACUUGUAAACAAAACAAAAAUUUUAAAAAAUGACAUAGAACUUGUAAAUUGACAUUAAGUGUGAAAUGAAACAAACAAUGCGUAAAUCACACAUAAAACUAGUAAAUUGAUGGAAAAAUGAAUAAAUUAAUGUUGGAGUUGUAAAUUGUAAGAAGAACUUGUAAACAAAACCAAAACUUAGAAAAAUGACAUAGAACUUGUAAAUUGACAUUAAGUGUGAAAUAAAACAAAAAAUUUGUAAACCACACAUACAACUAGUAAAUUAAUGGAAAAAUAGGUAAAUUAAUGUUAGAGUUUUAAAUUGUAAGAAGAACUUGUAAAUAAAACAAAAACUUGUAAAUGUUACAUAAAACUUGUAAAUCAACAUUAACUUGUAAAAGUUUCAUAAAACUUGUAAAUCACACAUAAAAUUAGUAAAUGUAACCUGGAACUUGAACAAAAAAGAGUAAUUACCUGCUAUUUAGGUAACAGGUUACCUAUUUAUUUAGAAUUAAUGGUAGAAAUCUUUUAUUCAAAUCUAACGGUCCACGUCCAUUACGGCAUCAAUGCCGUAAAUUUAGUUACGGCAUUAUAGAAUGACCCAUAUUUCAAAUAGUCACUAGACCAUUUCUGCCUUUAAUUUUCCCUUAAGUUUAACUAUUGACUGUUUUUAGCAUCUUAAAAUAUACAUUUAUUCCUUGAUUAUGUGAUAAAAUUAUGAAAAAAAUCCAUUUUAGCUUAAAUUAAUUGGAAUAACCAUAAACAUAACUUAAAUUAAUAGAACAAAAUUAUCAAGUGUAUGUUCUAUCUUACUUUUUGAAGAAUUUAACAUAUAUAAUGCUAUACUAUUAAUAAAUUCAUCAUUUAAUAUAUAUGUUCAAAUAUUUUAUAUAUUUAUUAAUUGUUAUAUAGUCAAAGGAUGAAUGAUUUUUCAGGUCUACAUGAGUUGGUGCAUCUGCAAGACUCAAUUUUGACAACAAUGAUCUAAGGGGUAAUUUACCUUGGUGUUUGACAAAUAUAACCUCUCUUCAAGAUUUACUUCCAAUCUACUUACUGUAAAUAUCUCCUCAUCUCCUCUCAUUUAUAUGAUAACCCUUGAAGAUCUCACAUUUUCAAACAAUCAUAUUAGGGUUUUUAUUAUUAACAUCAUUGUGUCAAUAAUAUAUGUUGCAGUAAGAUUUUUUCAGACCAAUUCCCUUCUUCAAAUAAUAAUGGAAAAGUAUUAAUUUAAAAAUAAAAUGAAUAUGCAUUGAUUAUAUCCUAAUUUUCAUCGAUUAUAGCGAGAGUUUCUCCAAAUCAACUCCCUUAUUCAAAAAAUACAGAAAAAAUAGUAAUUUAAUAGUAAAAUUAACAAGUGUUGAUUAUAUAUCCUAAGUUUCAUCGAUUAUGUGAUCAAAGUGGCAUUGUUGAUUUAUUUCUUGUUCAAUGUUAAUUUUUAGGUUAUCUAAAUUUCAAGGAUUUAAAAUCUUUGUUCAUGGAUUACACGCUUAUUAAUUUUUCUGCCAUUGACUGUCAUAUUCUAGACUUAAUCGUACCUUCCUUGAUCAAGGAUAAUUACUCUCUGUUCUCCUCUUAUAAAUUCCUCUUCCAUUAACAUCACUAGAAGUAUGUUGAUCUCUCAGACGUUAACUUCAGUGGAGAGUUUCCAAAUUGAUUGUUACAAAACAACACAAAAACUAGACACACUUGAUCUGUCUAAUAAUUCUCUUUCGGUAAAAUUAAUUAAUUUUAGGGGAAUAUUUGACCAACCUAUAUAAUUUUAGAUUGAUCAUUAAUUAAUUAGACGAAAAAAGUACUUGUGCUUUUGUGGCGACAAUUGAACCAGAGAAGUGAAGCUGUAAAGAUUUGGCAGUAGUAAUUAUAAUUUUUUCAAAAAACUUUUUUACAACACAGGCACCUGGCCAAAAAUUUUAUUUUUCUAACUAACAAUAAUUGAGUAGCUGACCGUAUUGACUCCACCUACUUGCUAAAGUAAAAAAAUAGAAAUAGAAUUUCCACAAAAUGUCAAACAUGUAAAAUCUAAUAUUUGGCCGUGUGGAACAAAAUACAAAUGAAAAAAAAUAGAAAAAAAGGCCUAAAGACUUUUAAAAUGUGUGGAAGUCUUUCGGCCCUUUUAUAAUGGUGUGUUUUUCAAAGGAACAAAUAAUAAUAAUGACACUUCUACGGUUUGUUUUGAUAAUCACACAUAUACUCUUUAAUUUGAUAAAUGGUUACACAAAUUUUGUUUACAAAAAUAUAUUAUUCAUGUUCUGUAUUAUUUUUUAACAUCAUAUUUUUAUUUAUUAUAAUUGUUUAAAGUUAAUUGUUAGGUUGAUAUAUAACAAAAACGUAUAAUCGUUCUCUUACUAAACAAACAUACUCGUAGUUUCUGUUCAUUUGUCAUCUCAAUCUCUCUCAUUUAUCCUUUAUUGAUAGCUCAAAACGCGUCACUGUGGAAAAUUAUAGCAAAAUGACAAAUAUGGAAAAAAUGGGAAGAAAAUUAAUGCAUGAAAGAGUUGUAGAAGACAACCAAAUAAGUCAACUAUACGCUAGCUGGGUGUAUAAAUUGUUAGAUGUGUUAUAAACAAAUAGCAUAGAGCCUUGGUUGGUUACAGAGAUAGAAAAAGUGUGUGUGUUUUUUAGAACUUAAAGAUACAGUUAGAAUGGGUGGUUCAAAAUCAAAAAUGGUGAUAAUGUUUGUUCUGUUAUUAAUAAUAUUUGAAGGUGGGUGGAGUGAGGGAUGUUUGGAUCAUGAGAGAUUUGCUCUAUUGCGACUCAAACAUUUCUUCAUUAAUCCUUAUAAUCUUCUUUACAACUGGGUAGAUGAUGAUGGAGCUACUGAUUGUUGUCAGUGGGAAAGGGUUGAGUGCAGCAACACCACAGGGCGAGUGAUAGCACUAGACCUUUUUGACGCGCAUGGGGGAGAGUACUGGUAUCUGAAUGCUUCUUUAUUUACUCCCUUUCAACAACUUGAGUCACUUGAUUUAAGUUGGAACAAUAUAGCCGGUUGUGUUGAGAAUGAAGGUGCUUCGUCUAAUUCAAUUAAAUUACAUUUCGCUCUCCAAAUUUAAGUCGAAUAUCAAGACUGAGCAGCUAUAUGCAUAUUCAUUCAAUUGACAAUUUUUACAUAUUUUGUAAAAUGUUUAAUUUUGAAAUUACACCAAACAUCAUAUGUGAUCUUUGUUUUGAUUUUACUUGCAGGUCUAGAAAGAUUGAGCAACUUGAAGAGGCUUGAUUUAAGUCAUAACUUGUUCAACAAUAGUAUCUUAUCAUCUGUGGCUCAUCUUUCAUCACUAACAUCAUUAGAUUUAUCUGAAAAUAGAUUGGAAGGAAGUAUUAAUGUUAAAGGUACGUAAUUAAAACGUCAUCGCUUUUCCCAACUCUUUCAUUAACAUGUUAAAAUAAGAUUCAAGGCUUUGAAUUCAAUUUUUUUUAUGAGUAAAUAUUAGAAAAAUAGUUUUAAGCAAUUCAUAAAUACAAUUUUCAAUGUUUCUCAUAAUUACUCUAACUGUGAAGCAAAUACCCCAUGACUAAUUUAUCAUUUUGUCCAGUUAAAAAUGAUAAAAUUUAUCAUUUGUUUAUAUUGAUUUAUUAACUCUAUUUUAAGUCUUAAGUCUUGGCGUCUUGGCAUGUUUGCAGAAUUUGAUUCCUCGAGCAACUUAGAGGAGUUGGACAUGAGCUACAAUGAAAUAGACAAUUUCGAGGUUCCUCAAGGUAAACAAUUAAAAUAUUAUUUAAUUACAUUAAUUUAAUUCGUUUGAUUAGGGAAGACCCAAAAUGUACAAAAACAUAAUUAAAAAAAUAAAGAAACAGAGAAUUCAUAUUAUUUCAAAAAACAAAAGGUAAUACUAUUAUUUCAAAAAAAGAAUGUAAUAAAGAUUUGAUUCCGGUUCUUUAAUCUUUAUAGCAAUUGAAAAACAAUGUUGCUCUUUUCCCAAAGCAUAAAAUACGAAUUGACUCCCAAUUAAAUUAAUCAUUUAUUUCGUUUAGGUCUAAAUUUAGAAAAAUGAUUUUUGAUUCUCUUCAAUCCUAUCCUUAUUAUUAUUGUUAAAUAGGUUACAGAGGUUUGAGGAAGUUGAAAAGCCUCUAUCUAUUGGAAGUUAAAAUUAGAGAUGGAAGCAAGUUGUUACAGUCAAUGGGAUCAUUCCCAUCCCUCAACACUCUUGACCUUUCGUGGAAUAAUUUUACCGAUAUAGCGACAACUACUACUCAAGGUAAGUAAAAGGUACAGAUGUGGCCAAAUUUAUAAACAAACUGUUAAUUAAUUAAUUUUUCCGUAUUAUUAAUUAAGCUAAAUUUGUUGCUUCUUCCUUCUAAAUCUAAACAGAGUUGCACAAUUUCACCAACUUGGAAUAUUUGACAUUGGACGAUUCCUCUCUCCAUAUAAGCCUUCUGCAAAGCAUUGCAUCAAUAUUCCCUUCGUUAAAAAAUUUGUCGAUGAUUGGUUGUGAAGUCAAUGGCGUCCUACGUGGUCAAGGUAAAAGAAAAGUGUUGAUUGUGAACUCGCUCAAUGGUGUCCUACGUGUUCAACAUUUUUAUUUAUUUAUUUUAUUGUUUAAUGUUUCUGCUAGGCUUUCCUCAUUCCAAGAGUUUGGAACAUUUGGAGAUGGAUGACGCGCGCAUUGCACUCAACACCAGCUUUCUUCAAAUCAUCGGAGAAUCAAUGUCUUCUCUUAAGUACUUAUCACUGUCAUAUUAUACUCUUAGCACUAACAGCAGCAGGAUUCUUGUUCGAGGUUAAUCAGAUGCUCCCACCCUCCCUUCUUAAUCUAUAAUAUUAAUUUUCAAUUAAAUAUUUAAUUACACAAACCAAUCACUUAUUAUAAAAGAACAAUACGCAUUCAUUAAUUUUUAUAUUGUAUUAAUAAUUGAUGAAUUUAAUAAAUUUUCAGGCCUCUGUUCGUUGAUGCAUCUGCAAGAGUUGUACAUUUAUAAUAAUGAUCUGAGAGGCAGCUUGCCUUGGUGCAUGGCAAAUAUGACAUCCCUCAGAAUAUUAGAUGUUUCUUCUAAUCAACUUACUGGAAGCAUCUCCUCAUCUCCCCUCGUUCAUUUGACAUCCAUUGAAGAGCUGUAUCUUUCAAACAAUCAUUUUCGGAUCCCAAUUUCACUUGAACCACUUUUCAAUCACUCAAGACUCAAGGUUUUUUGGGUUAAGAACAAUGAAAUAAAUGCAGAAAUAACUCAGUCACCUUCUUUUACCGCCCCAAACUUCCAAUUAUCACGUCUCUCAUUGUCUUCCGGUUAUGGAGACGGUGUCAUAUUCCCCAAAUUCCUUUACCAUCAACUUGGUUGUUGGAAAACAACACAAAAUUGAGACAACUUUCUCUCGUCAAUGAUUCUCUUGCAGGACCUUUUCGGUUGCCAAUUCAUUCACACAAGCGGUUAAGACUGUUGGAUAUAUCCAACAACAACAUCCGAGGCCACAUUCCAGUAAAAAUUGGAGAUGUUUUACCAAGUUUAUACGUUUUCAACAAUUCCAUGAAUGCUUUAGACGGUAGCAUUCCCUCUUCAUUUGGUAAUAUGAAAUUCCUCCAAAUUCUGGACUUAUCCAACAAUCACUUGACAGGUGAAAUCCCCGAGCACUUGGCCGUGGGUUGCGUCAACUUGCAGUCUCUUGCAUUAUCAAAUAACAACCUACAAGGUCAUUUGUUCUCUAGAAAUUUUAACUUGACAAACUUGAAAUGGUUACAAUUGGAGGGCAAUCGCUUCGUAGGUGAGAUCCCACAAAGUUUGUCUAAAUGCUCCUCACUAGAAGGAUUGUAUCUUAACAAUAAUAGUCUUUCGGGUAAGAUUCCACGAUGGUUGGGUAAUCUCACAUGGUUACAAUAUAUUAUAAUGCCCAAUAAUCAUCUUGAAGGCCCUAUUCCAGUGGAGUUUUGUCAGCUUGAUUCGCUUCAGAUUUUGGACAUUUCAGACAACAACAUAUCUGGAAGUCUACCAUCUUGUUUCCAUCCUCUCAAUAUCAAACAAGUUCAUCUUUCAAAAAAUAUGUUACAUGGACAGCUAAAAAGAGGUACAUUCUUUAAUUGCUCUUCCCUUGUGACAUUAGAUCUUAGUUAUAAUCGCUUGAAUGGCAGCAUUCCGGAUUGGAUUGAUGGGCUUUCUCGGUUAAGCCACCUUAUCUUAGGUCACAAUAAUCUUGAAGGUGAAGUGCCAGUUCAAUUGUGCGAAUUGAACCAACUACAAUUGUUAGAUCUUUCUAAUAAUAAUCUUCAUGGUCCUAUUCCUCCUUGCUUUGAUAACACCACACUUCAUGAAAGUUACAGCAAUAGUUCUAGUCCUGAUGAGCAAUUUGAAAUAUUUUUUUCCAACGAAAGCUCUCAGGGAAAUGUAGAAAAGCAAAUCCAUGAAAUUUUUGAGUUCACAACAAAGAACAUUGCGUACAUUUACCAAGGAAAAGUGCUUAGCCUCCUAUCAGGACUUGAUCUUUCUUGCAACAAGCUAAUCGGUCCUAUUCCUCCUCAAAUUGGAAAUUUGACAAGGAUUCAAACAUUGAAUCUAUCACACAACGACUUGACAGGAUUGAUCCCAUCAACAUUUUCAAACUUGAAGCAUGUCGAAAGUUUGGAUCUUUCCAACAACAAAUUGAAUGGGAAAAUCCCUCAUCAACUAGUGGAGUUAAAGACAUUGGAGGUUUUCAGUGUGGCAUACAAUAACUUAUCAGGCGAAAUUCCAGAAUGGAAAGCACAAUUUGCAACCUUCAACGAGAGUAGCUAUGAGGGAAAUACUUUUCUUUGUGGAUUGCCAUUGCCCAUUUGCAGAUCACCAGCAACUAUGUCGGAGGCUUCAAUUGGCAAUGAACGAGAUGAUAAUUUAAUUGACAUGAACAGUUUCUUUAUCACAUUUACAACAUCAUACGUAAUUGUGAUAUUCGGAAUUGUUAUUGUUUUAUAUGUAAAUCCUUAUUGGCGACGUAGAUGGUUUUACUUUGUUGAAAUGUGGAUAACUUCAUGUUACUAUUUUGUUGUAGACAAUCUUAUUCCAACAAGAUUUUGUCAUUGAAAUUAAUUAGUAGCUUAAUUACGAUUCUUUAAGUACUAAUCAAGUUUGCUUAGGAAAUAUUUUUUUAUUAAAAUUGUAGUAGUAUUUAGCAUUAUAUAGCUUCCAACUUCCAAGCACUUCACAUUUUUCUCUACACUUAAAAAACUGAGUGAUCAUGUUUUGCAGAUCUGGAUUUGGAGCAGGAUGGAUCCAAACCCAUAUCUGUCCACCAUAACUUAUAGCUUCCCUAUACUGUGCAGCAUACUUAAAUAAGAGAACCAUCUCCAAUGUUAAAAGCAUUCACUCUAUAACAUUCAUUUAGAAACUAUAUUCAGAAUAAUUUUAUAAUUAAACACAAGAAAUGAAACACACAGAUACACUUGAUCGCCUAUUUUACUCUAAAAAAGAACGAUUAUUGUGCUAUCAUCAUCUUCUUCACUAGCAACAUUAACACCAAAUCGAUGGACCCAUACAUUUCAUCAAGAAAGGUAUAUAUCCAAUAAAGUUGAAGCCUAACAAAAAAUUCAAGAAGAUUAAUGCCUCGCCACAACAAGGGGCACAACAACAUCAAAGUAGAGAUUAAGCAGUAUUCUCAAAGCUAAAACUCUCAAAUCCACCCACCAGAAUUUCAUAUCUCCUCAACAAUUUUAAGAACUAAAGAUAAUUAGGAUUUAACAUUAGUUUUUUAUAUAUUAGUUUCAUAAUUUACAAAUCAAUGAAGAUGAAGAUUAUGCUAAUAAAUUCAAAUUAUACCAUACAUUCUCUAGAUGUUACCAAAAAUUUCUAAGUCAAUCCCACAUAUUUCAUAAUUUUAAGACUAGAAAAUUUCACUAGUUAGAAGUUUCAUUACCUUCAAGUGGAAGAUGAAGAACAUUAUACAAGUGAUUCAGAUUAUAUCAUACAUACUCCAAAUGCAACUAGAAAUUAACAAGUUCAUGCGCACAUAUUUCAUAACAGUAAAAAUUUGUUGCUCAACAUGAUGUGUAUUUUUUUUCAAGGCAAUUUGGAAACACAAUUGUUUCUACAGAUAUUCUUCUCAACUUGGAGAUAAAUACAAAUAUUAAAAUGCAUAUGAUCGCACAUAUUACUUCGAGUUUAGUAAGAUUUCAUUAAAAGAAGCAAUCAAACCACUUAUCAAUUGUCGCAGUCGUUCUAUAAACUAAAAUAGCAAUAUAAUACAAGAAAAAGAACAUAUAGAUACUUGGCAAGAGUUCAUUAAGAAGUCGCAUCACAUUCGGGUGAGGAGUUUUCUGAUAUCUUGCUAGCUGGGGCUUUUUCUUGUCUUUCUACGUAUGCCGAGGGAAACCAACCAGCUUGGCCCUUGCAUUCACCUUCCGACCAUCCAGUAGGAGCCACCUUGAGAAGUUAUAACUAAAACGGUGAAUUAAACAAAAGUUAAUCGUUCAAAGACCUAAGGGGAAAACUAAUUCUUUUACGUAGGAGGAGUGAAUUAGUUGUGAUCACUGAAAUAACAGCAUAACUAUAGAAGCAUAACAAGAUAUAAAUUCACAUGUCUAUAAGGGUAAACUGGGUGGUUUAGAACCGAGCUAGCAGCCCUACUAUAUUCUGAUUUGCACUUCAAUGUAAAAGGGAAUAUAUGGUAGGAAGAAAGAAAACCAACCAUCAUUUGUUAACUCGUUGCUUUUCAAUCAAAAUUUUAAGAAAAAAAUGCCAUGUGCUUUGAACAUCAAAUAAGUAUAAGCAUUAGUUCUAAAUUCCACAUAUCAUAAGUUGUUAGAAGGAUAAGUUAAUAGCAGAGUAGAAAAAUCUAUGUGUUGGUAUUUAGAGGGGAAAGUACCUGGCGAACCACAACAUAAUCAUCAAUUGAAAGACUUAGCUUUCCAUUUGCUUGAGCAUCAAAUGGAUGUAUAACCUGCAAGAUAAUGGGAUAAAUAGAACUUAAAAAAAGCAUAACAAAAGUAGCAACAGUAGCAGCAACGUUCAUUGUAACCACUAUGAUCAUGGCCAACAAAGAUAUAUUAGAAACAAAAUUCCAUUUUUACUACGACAUUAAUAUGUACUAUACGAUAUCAUGACGAUUGGGUUACUAAGAGCUAUCAAAGUCUAAUAAGUUCUGUAUAACUUUAUGUAGUUAUUUAAAUUAUGGAUCAGAUUUUAAAUUUGAAAUUUUGACUGCUCUCCACAAAACAUGGCCUAUGCACAAGAAAGUCAUAGAUAAUGAGGAUUACAAGUGUCCGACAUCUUUUGAGUGAUGGAUUUAACAUGAGAGCUUAUGGUCAGUCAAUUUCCUCUGCCUAGCAAUAUAAGCUUUCUCGGCCAGAUUUAUCUUCAAAUACAUAGAUUGCCCCCAAGUCACAUCCAUAUAAACAUAGUUUUUCUAGGUAAACCAAGUAAGGAGUAUCAUAAUUCAGACAUAAUCAUAAAAAGGCCCAUCUAACUUAAGAGAAAAUCUCAAAAAGAGGGAUGCUGAGCUAUCAGUCUUGUAUCUAUAAGCAAUAUCAAGACUUUACAUCACCUGCUACAUCGUGAGUGGCUACACAACUUUCAGUGGUUUGUCUUUCUUUGGCAUGCCUAACUCAGCUUUGAUGUUGCUGAGAUAUUGAUAGUAGAGACACAUGAUACUUCUAGCUCAUGCAUUCUAUCUAACUCAUCCAACAACUAUCUCUUUUUUAAUUCAUUAGUGUUUGCUAAACCUCAUGCUUAAAAGUCCUGUUCUCCUAAACAAAGUUUCCUAAGAAUGACUUCCUUAGCACCACAUUUGGACACUUUUAGAGCAAUUUUAUUUGGGGGAAAAGAAUUUUCAAGGUGUUAACUAAUAAAUUUUUAAAAAAUAAUUACAAUUUGUCCUACGAUCAUAUGACAAUUUAUCUGGGAUGAAAGGAUACAGAUAGACAUCUUCCACUUUCAAGACUAAUCACUACUUCCGUAGAUGUUGUGCAAUAAUACAAAUACUUGACCAGAUGGUAGUAAUGGUAGAAAAAAAUUUUAUUGCUCCAAAAUUAAAAUAAGAAUGCAAUAUGUUAAGCAAAAGGCUGUGCAACAUCAAAUUAAUUGAUAAGUUUGUAAUUCAGUAAAUUAACAACUUUCAUGGUAAAAUACAACAAAUUUCUUUUGAAAAAAAUAAAAAAAAUAAAUCUUAAAAGACAGCAUUCAAUUUUGUGCGCAUCUUAUUUCUUAAGAUUUUUCAGGAGGAGGGCAAUAGAGGGACUUUCACCUAUGCAAGAGAGCAGAAGCCUUACUUUCCCUAUAAAGUAGACGUCAUUCUGAUUAAUAUGCGUUUGCAAAUCAGCUCCGUUUGAAUCAGUAUUCUGAUAGACACACGAGGCAUUUACAUCCAUUUCCAAAGUCACAUGUUGCGAGGAGGACUCAUUUGAUUGCUCCUAUACGAUCAUCUAAUUCAAGUAGCAAGGGUUGGAAGAGAAUAAAAAGUCACAAUUAUUCUUUUGCAUAAGUGAGACGAAAAUGAUAAAUGCAAUAUUAUCAGCAGUAAACAAGAAGAGAACGCUCCAAGAAAUAGAUAGAUGCAGACAAGCAAGUUAAAAUGCAUAGUCCCAAACCUCCGCAUACAACUUCUCUAAAGUAGCAAUAACGUGUUGAUGCUAUGUUUUCUCAGCAUCUACCUGCAAAGGCCCGAGACCAGGAAAACAACAAUAAAACCACUAGCUGAAGGAGAAAGCAAAGAAAGAAAUACACUUGACAUAAAUCUUGACAAGAAGCACAAUUUAAGACAUAACAAACCCCAAUCAUAUUGUUUAGAACUACCAUUCGUUAUUUCGUUAUUGUAACAUUUCGAACAAGUGUUGACUUAAUUCAACAUUGUUGGAAAGAUAGGCUUUUAGAAGCAGAAGAAAGCCUCUCAAACCAAAGUGCUUGUCCUUGUAUUGAUCAAGGGAUGUAAACAUAUUACAUUUGCAGGAUGAGAUUUAAUCACUCCCCUGAUUUAUUUGGGUUGCAAUAAAACUAAGCGAGCAACUGUUUGACUUUCAAGCAACAACUAAAUCAGCUAUUAAAAUUCAAAUAAAAUCAUAAUAGAAUAAUAACAGGCCAUCUUGCAUCAAAAAUUAAGUUUAAUUUGUGAAUUUUUUUCUAUAGACAUGUCAGUUUCUGCUAUUGAAAUGUUAAAAGUAUUGAAAAAUUAUUCAAUAAAUUAUGCAAGCAUUAAAAUAGAGGAAAAAUUAAAAAGUUUCUAAUUACAAUGUUAAUAUUUCCUAUAUUUUAGCAUUUGCAUAUUUUAAUUUAUUUAAAAGCUACGUCGAUCAACUUUGGGCAUGAAGAUUUUAGAUUCUACGAGACUUGAUUGGAAUAUGCAUAAGAGUGUUAAAAUAUGAUGCAUCCAACGAAAGACAAACCACGUGUAGUCUUUUAAUUAAGCCAAAGUAGCAGCUCAAACAAAUGACACUUGGACCAACAUGCAAUCAUGAAGUGGCCGGAAAAAGGACAAAUGCUACUUUGGCUUAAAUAAAAAAUAACAUGUGACUUGACUUUUGCUGGACAUGCAUCAUGUUAUUACAAGACAACAGAAAUCAGUAUGAUAGUAAUAAAAGUUGACAAUAACAUGAAGAUAAGAGGCAGAAUGUCAACACAUGCAUAGGCACACACAAGAAAGUAUUAACAUAUAUACCAUAGCAAAAACUCUUUGAUAUGUCAUCUGUUGCUGCUGUGAUUCAACUGACAGCAUGGCAGCUGUCGCUUCUCUACCAAGAGCCAUUAUUGUAGAUUUAAGCUCGGUCAAUCUUGCUUCUGCAUUUCGAAGCUUCACAGCACUCUCUGCUGAUAUAUCAGAUUCCCUAAUCUUUGAUCGGUGCCUAAAUACUUCAGCUGCCUGGUGAAAAUAUUCAAUAUAAAUCUAAUAUAAUUCUCAUCUUGCCUUAUACAUGCAUAUGUUACCUCAAAGCUUACCUGGGCUUCAACUUCAUGUCGAAGUUUGUCAUAACGAUGAGUCAGGUGUUGAGCAUCUUCCAAAGGUGCUCUGUUGAUUAACGCCCGUAGUGGCUCAGAUACCUACAUGUCCAAAAACCUGUAACAUAGUUAGAAAAAUGAAAAGAAAGAGCGAAACCUAAAUUAAAAAGUUCCUCCAACAUAAUCAUGGAAUUUGGGCCUACUUUAAGAAUAUAUAUAAGGAUAAUUUAUGCAAUUUUGGGUCUUAGGAUGAUUGGUAUUAGGUUAGUGUUCUUCUCUUCUGUAUUUAAGGUUAAAAUAGAAAUAAACCUAUGCAAAUAUCUAAAUUAGGCCUGUAAGACAUCCACAUGCAUCCUUCAGUCUCAUGGAUUUGAUUUUACUAUAGAUGCAAGUGUCUUUAUCGAAAAUGCUUGGAGUCAAUUGAGAGAACUCAUGGCCAAUAACUUGUCACACGCUAGUCUUUGCUAGUGAUGUAAGAAGUCACAAGGUCUCUUCAACAUUUGAACCAAUAAAAUUAUUAAGUCAUGGAUGUCACUAGCAAUGAUUUUAAUAUAAAACAUUAAAUAUUUCAGAGUUGUAACUUUAAAAUGGAUUCUUUUAUUCAAUAUCAUAGAACUAAGUUUCCUUAUGAGAAGAUAAUAGUUUCGAUAAUAAUUUUACAUAUAAUUUUCUAUAUUUGAAUUAUUUUCUAGUUAGGGAUGAACUAACCUGAUCACGAAGAAUCCCGAGCAAAGUUUCCCUCUCAUUUUCCAUCAAAUCAUGUGAAGUGCCAAAUUGAAGAGCAGCUCUUGCAACGCAAGAAUUGUCACUUUGAUUCUCUGCUCCAUACUUGCAACAAUCUUCAGCCAACUUUCUCGCUACACUAUUUGAAUACAAAAAUAUUGUACACAAGAACUAUAAAAAACGAAUGAAAAAUAAAUAAAAUCGAGAAAUUUCACUAAUUAAAAGUCUAAAUAUAAUUUUUGAAAAAAGAAAAGAAACGGACUUGCUGCUGCUUGGCGACUUGUUCUCGGAGCUUGAUUGCCUGUUUCUUGAUAGUUUCCAUACUGUUUCUUUCAAAAAGCGACGACGGCUCAGCUCAUGGAAGUGGAAAAAAAAAAGUGUGAUCUAGAAAAAUGAAAAGGCGUGAAUAAUUUUUGACAAAAAGCGAAAAUCAAGGAAAGCCGGCUCUUUCCAGAAAAUAAAAAAAAGAAAAUCAUAAGUUUGAAAGGAGAAGAUGAUAGUGGAAGUAUGCGGUGUGGCUGCCAGGUACUUGGAUUGUAUUGUCGGGUAAGGUAAUAGUAGCGAAUUAUAAGUUUGAACAGAGCAUGUUGGACUUUUGUUGACCAAAUUCAAAAGCCCAAUGGCACGGCCCGGAAGCUUUUGAAUAGAAAAACUUGCUAGAAAGCAUCAGUUUAAAUCACUACUUAAACGCUUGCUUUAACUGCACCGCUUUGUACUGUUUUAUGUAUGUAGCGGUUGUGUGGUUGUAAUUCACGGCUGACGCUAUGUGUUUGUUUGUACUGUUCUAUUCGGUGAUUGGGUAUUAUUAGUUAGGCCAAAACUAUGUUGCAAUAGUGGUAUUUCAGUCAUUGAAUCUAUAGUUGUACAGUUACAUUAAUAAGAUCUAAUGGCUGAAAGCAACAGUGGUACCGUACCACUGUUGCAAUAUAACUGGACCCUAUUAGUUAUUUCAAAGGGAUAAAUAAGAUUGCUUACAACAAACCUACUAAUUUUAUAAAAUUCAAGUAAUAUAGAAUAAAUUAAAAAAAUAAAUACAAAAUUGACUUUUAUUUUUUAUGGUUGACUAUAUUUUGUGUUCUCUCUGCUACAAUUCUUCCCUAUAUAUCAAUUACACCACAUACUAUCGACACAAGAAAUGAAAUCUAAUAUCACCCGUUUAGUUAAAAAAUCACUCAUGAAAAAAUUUUACCAUUUUGAUUUGAGGAUCCAUAUUUUAAACUGCAAGCUAAUGUUCAUCAAGAAUUACUGAUGGCCGUUGAGUAGAAAAAUUAUUUUUGGACAAAUUAUUUUUGUUGAUAGAAGAAUUUCUUUAGGGACUACUAAAUUAUUAAUAAAAAUGUCGAACACACCCACAUAUCAUCGACACAAUUGAUUUUGAGGAUCCAUGCUUUGAACUGCAGCCUAAUGUUCAUCAAGAAUAGAGUAUGGCUUGUGAGUAGAAAAUUUUCUUAUUUUGGCCCGAAAUAAAAAGAAAUUAAAUUGGAUGAGAAUCUGCCACUUUCUCAUGAAGAAAGGCAUACGGAGCAUACCAUGGUACCAUACAAUAUAAGGAGCCUCUAUUCUUUGGUUUUUCAAACUCUGAACGGGCCAAUAUUGCCAAAUUCCCCCUUGAAAAUUCUGAUUACGACAUUAUUCAUCGCUUGAUGCAAUCAAAGUAGUGACAAAGUUAGGAAAAAUAUGAGUCCUAAGUAAUUGCUAGGCAGGGUUCCUGAGAGCAAAAUUGUCCUAAGCAUUAUAUGCAUACAUGGUGCGGUACAUAGAGCACGUUAAAUUCCCCACUAUAUCACAAACCCAGAAAGACAAGUAAUAACUCAACUGAUAUAAAGACAAAAAGAAGAUAAAAUGAUAUAGAAAAAAGAAUUUCAAAGAGACAGCAACAUACGAUAGACUGAAGCCACUUGAUCUGCUCAUUGAUUGCAGCCUUAAACUUGCAAAUAGUUACUGUACGCUAGUGCUCUAAGAAGUGAAAAUGAUGCCAGCCCUGAUUCCCUUUUGACUUCCAUUUACUGUCAAACAUUCUAGUAAUACAAAAAAUUGUUUAGAUAUCUUGCUAUAAAUAUAGCCGUUUGACUGUCAUAAUAAAGUCACAAAUAACCAUUCAUAUUGAUCUACUGUCACACAGCAUGCUUUAUGCAUACAACAGCUGUAUGUAUACCAACUCCUAACCUUAUCAAUACAUUUGGCAAAAACUUAAGAAGAAAGCUAUUUCUCCAUCUCUUUUUUGAAAUUUCACAAUAACCAGCACAAUGUGAAAGCUAUGUUCUAACCUUAUGAUAAAUGCUCUAGACUCCAAAAGGAUUUUAUAUAUGAGAGUUUGUUGCAGCAGAUAUAUUGACUUAUCAAGUAUGAAUCAUUGUCUGGAUGAACUAUCUUUAGAUAAAAGAAUAUUAGAACCACUGUAGAAUAUCUUUACGCUGCUGGUUCUAACAGGAAUCUGCAUGUGGCAACAAUUGCUAGAUCCACAAUUCCCCAACUUGAAAUACAUAGUUGCACACCAUGAGAUAGUGCUACAAUCUACUGAGAUCUAACUUAUAUGGUACUUUAAGCUACUAAUGUUUGCAUAUUUCUACAUGUUAAAUUAACACUAUUAUCUAUAAUCACUCCAAAACAACAAAUGAUAAGCAGCUUUUGGCCACUUAGUACUAGCAUCCACAAUUAUAAAUAAGAGAUCAUGGGUUUACUUGUUGCACCUACUUAAUUAUCUGCAGUUGACAUCCUGACGCAAGGUUUAAAUAGUGACUGCUUAGAACCCUUGUAGUUGGAUCUUGACCUCUCCCAUUGUAGCCAAGAUUGGUUACUCUGGUAAUGAAUCAACACUCUCCUGCUCAGGGCCAUGAAGAUCUGAAAGCUCAGCACUAGUGGAGAACUUCAUCAAUCUCUUCUUCUCAGCAUACUUGAGACAAGGCUGCCUUACGAGACCAAUCACCACAGCACCAACGCUUAAAACUGCAACUUUUAAAGAAGAAAGAGCCAACACAACACAACACAAAUCAAUAUGGUUGGAGGAAUACACAUGAUAAUGGCUCCAACAGUGACAGUGGGUAUCUUGUAGGGACGAGAUGCAGCAGGAUAUUGCAUCCUUAACCAUACAAAUGCUAUGAACUCCAUAAUCAUUCCAAAACAGUACAGGAAGUUCUCUGCAGCUACAAUAUCUCAAAAGCUCAGCCAUGAUAGCAAAACCACACCAGAUGCUGAGAAUAUGAUUCCAAUCAAAGGAGUCCCAUAACAAGACCUCUUAGCAAAAAACUCAGGUAGCAUUCCACGCUCAGCCAUCCCCAAAAGUUGGAAAGAGUCGCUGCUCAUCUCAGCCACAAACAUGCCCAUAUUGGACAUUGCUGCAGCCCCCUGGAUGCACCAUCUCAACCAAACUCCUCCAAGCACUUUAGCGAUAUCUGAAAAGUAACCAUUGGUCCACAAGUCGCGAUCUAAUGGAAUAGCUCCAGUUCCAAGUAGAAGGGGAAAGAAAUAUCCAAAAACGACCAAGAUCAAAGCAUAAAACAAAGCCUUUGGAAGAGUCUUCUUUGGGUUAUCCACCUCUCCAGCUAGUGUACUUAUUGAGUCCCAGUAGUUGGAGAUUCCAAAACAGGGUGUUCAAAUACAAAUUCCAGUCCACUUCACCUAAAUUUACUACAAGCCAUCUUGAAGGCUCUAACUUGGGAAGGGACACAAGUCCCAUAACCACAAAAGGAAGGAAUGAGAAAAUCCCUAAAAGAACAGCAGCCCAUCCCACAAUGGUUAGACCCCUAUAGUUCAUGAAAGUGAGAACAAAAGUCAAAGCUAACGCCGCAAAGGCUCUAGGUAACCCAUCGCCCAAAGCAGGGAUACCAGACUUCAAGUAGUCAAGAAACAGAACUGGGUAUAAAGCAUUAUCAAUAACCCCACUUAGCCACUUCAUCCAAACUUGCUGAAAACCCCAAUAUGGGCCUAAGGCAGAUGAAACCCAAACCAUAUAACCACAAUUUUCAGGAAACACGGUACCCAUCUCGGCAGUAAUUAAAGCUUCAGGGACACUCCAUAUAAUCGGAAACACCAAGAAACCAAGAAGUGCUAAAAGAGGACCAGCUGCCUUUACACUAUCCUCAACACCAAACGGCCCCCCAGAAACCUCAUAGAAUAUAAGGAAAAUAAGUGGCAAGAUUGAUACUUUUUAGCGCCAUGGACUCUAGGAGAAGAUGGUUGGUCAUUGAUAUUAACAUAUUCAACAGCAUCAGACUGCCCCAUUUCUACUGAAAGUUGCCUAUUCACAGUGUUCCUCAAUUUCUGCAUCAAGUUUAAGCAUAACUAUCAAAAGGGUAUCGGCAUCUAAAUUAUGAAACAAAAUGAGCAUUUACUUAUUAAAAAAAAUCAAAAAAACAGAAAUGGAUUUCACAGAAUACAUGAAUUUAAGUUCAACAUUAAACAGGCGCUUAAGAAAACAAAAGGGUCUGUUCGUAAAGCCAUCAGAUUGCAAGAUUGAACAACAUUAACGGAAUCAAUAGAAUAGAUGUAAAGAGAUCUGAAAAGAAAAUAAAAUAAAAGAUGAAGAGAGAUAAAACGAACCAUCAAAUAAGUGCAUGCAGAGCAGAGAGGCAGAUACUAGAGAAGCUCCGUCGUGUUAGAGUAGGGGUGGCAAUAUGGGUCAGGAUUCGUUUAUUCGAUUCGAUUCGAUACGAAUUAAAUGGGUUUGGGUUUGAAAAAAUUAAUUCGUUUAAUAAAUGGAUGAAUUCGAUUCGAUUCGUUAAUUAAACGAAUCGAAUGCGGGUUUGAAAAUUUAGAUUCGUUUAUUCGUUUAAAAUUCGUUUAAUAAAUGGGUCAUAAACGAAUAGAAUACGGGUCGAUUCGUUUAAAAUUCGUUUAUUAUUUGUUUAAUUAAAUUACUUUUUUAUCCUUAAAUUUAUUUGAAAGCUUUUUAAAAUUUGAAGGUUAAUAUUGUAAUUUUAAGUAAAUAACAAAAAAAAAAAAAACAAAGUAGCGGAAACCUAAAGCUAAAUCCCUAAAAAUUCUCCCUUCACUCAGCCGCCGCUCUCGUUGCUCUCUAGUCUCUACCUCUCUCACACGAAUCACACUCACCCACCCAUACCAAGUGAAGCAAUCAAGCAACAAAAACAGCCGCCGGUAGCCACUGUCAUUAACUCACAGCGAACCGACGAUUACAACCACCAUCGUUCAUCCAUCAUCGAUUGAGCUUGAGGGACGCAGCCACGCGAGUGCAGCCCGCAACUCGGCAGCAACCCAGGAGCAUCAGCCGCGCAACGUAUUAGCAGCCACUCGAACCCACAGCAGUAGCUAACUCGUGCGGCGGUGCAGCAGCAGCAAACCCAGGCGAGCGCGACCCGAACCAGUGCCCAGGUUCUGAGUGAGUUCCUCGUUUAGGAAGAUCGCUUUUAAUCUUUUUGUAGUUACUUUGAUUUUAAGUAACAUAGACGAUGAACCCAACAGAGAAGCUGCAACGAGCUAUCCAUUUUUGAAGCGGCUUCUGUGGCUCUGCGUAAAGAGCUAAUUAACCAGCUGCAUCUUGGACCAAGAGAUAUAAAUGAAUAUAUUUUUCUUUUGCGCAGUACGAAGCAGUAAUUAAGUUGUUCUCUAGGAAAUCAAUCCAUAAUCAAGGUUUUAAUGCUAUUAAUGAUAUACAGUAUGUUCUUCUUUAGAUUUUAUAAGUGUAUAACACCUCCUUUGACAUAAUAUAUAUUGAUGUAGACCUCUCGGAGUCAGAUGGAUGAUUUGCCCAGGCCGGCUGCUUUCUGCAAGACAAUGCCAAAAAAAAAAAAAACCUUUUGCUCGCAGUUUAUGUGUUUUAUCCACAUUUGACAGGGCAUUUUGUAAUUUAUUUGAGCAUUAAUUAUGCCAAGUUUCAGUUCUGUUCUCAUUUUUCUUGGACUCGUAACAGCAAUCAGCAUCAGGAAGAUGCAAGGUAGGUUUAAGUGCUUAUUUAAUUAAUUCCCAAGCGAUCCGAAUCAACAAGCCAUCACCAACUCAGGGUAAUAUCAUGAGAUUAUGGUUGAAUUAUUGAGAAAUUUUGUAUUGUAGAAUAUUAUGAGAUUAUGGUUUAGAAAAUGUUUUGUAUUGUUCGGAAAAUAUUAUGAAAUUAUGUAUAAAUUGAUUAUGGUGUUAAAAAUUAUCUGUAGGAUAAGGAAGAAGCCCCCACAAAUAUUGGAUUAAUUUUUUUUUAGUAUUAAAAUUUAUAAUUUAUUAUGUUGUAUUGUUAAUAUUUUGUGUAUUGGAAUAUUGUGCAUUAGGAAUAUUGCUGGGUUAGAAUUUGGCAUACAUGAUGAAUAGAUUUGAUUUUUGAAAUAUUGUUAGGUAAAGUUUUUAUCUUGUUCAAUUAUCAUUUCCUUGAAAAUGCUACAAAUUUGCUAUAUAUUUGAUUUUUGAAAUUUUACAAUGACUAUUAUCAAUAUUGCAGCAUGUUAAUAACAUUUUAUUUACUUUUUGGUGUAGGAUUUUUGUUUUCAAGGUGACAAAGACAAAUGAAGAGAAUUAAAGAAAUUACAUUUCUUUAUAAUUUGAAUUUGAAUUAUUGUUAUUUGUAAUAUUAAGGAUUUGGUAUUUGGUAUUUGGAUGACUGUAUAAUAUAAUUUGAAUUAUUUGUAUUUUGUUGUGGGAUAUUAAAUUUGUUUUUUUUGCUUAAUUUUGUUUAUUAAUUAUAUUUUCUAAACGAAUUGAAAACGAAUCCUAAUUCGAUUCGAUUCGUUAUGGAUUCGUAAAUGAUAAACGAAUAAUAAACGAAUCCGGAUUCGAUUCGAUUCGUUUAUCAAUUCUAUUAAACGAAUUAAACGAAUCGAACCGAAUAUUCGUUUAAUAAACGAAUCGAAUCCGAAUCCUGAAAUUUCAAUUCCUUUAAUAAACGAAUCGAAUUCGAAUUCGAUUCGUUUAUUCGUUUUGCCACCCCUAUGUUAGAGAGAGCCUAAUUCAAUCAGAGCUCACUGAGUUUCUUUUCAACCGACCGGCAAAUUUGGAGUGCCACAACAUAAUAUUUUUACUUUUAAUUUUUGGAACACUUUUGAAUAGAAUUUUUUGUUUUUAAAAAAGGUAAGGGAGAUUAGUAUUUAUUUAACUUUAUAUUUUUUUAAAUACUUUACAAAUAUUUUUGUCGUUAAAAUAUUAAUAUUUUUAUUAAUAAUUUUUAUAUUUUUAAUUUAUUUUUAUAAUAUUAUUUUUUUAUAAUAAUUUUUUAUUUUAAUAUUAAUAAAAAAUAAUUAAAUUAACAAGUUAAUCCUAAAAUAAAUAAACACGUGUUUGGUUUUGGGCUUUUUCUUUUGUUCGUUUAAUAUCAUCUGGCUCCCUGAUUUGUGACUAAUUAUCAACGGAAUCCCGUUGGUUUCUAAAUUGAAAUAAUAGAAGGUCAUGAGACUAUUUACUCCAUUUAGCACUGCAGACUUAGGUGGCGUUUGUUUUUUAACUUAAUGACUUAAAGUGACUUAACUUAAUUAAUUAAGUUAAUUAGAGGUGUUUAUUUUUAUAACUUAAUAAGACCUUUUAGAUAAUUUUGACUUAAUAAAAUAAGCCAAUUUUUUUGGCUUUUUACUUAAUGGAGAAAUCUGAAUUAAGUCAAUUACUUGCUAAUGUCAAAAAUAUCCUUGCUUUAUAAUUUAUUUUUUAUGUCUAUCCCAAAACUCACCCAUAGACAUUUACCCCACACAAAAAUAUCCUUAUUUUUUCUUUCUUAUAUUAUAUACGAUAAAAUUUAAAAUUUAUGAUAUUUUAUAUAUUAAAAUUCCAAAAUAAUUAUGUAUUCACUUGAAUAUAGUUUUACUUAUAAAUGUUAAAAUAUUGUGGUAUUUAAUUUAUUAUUUAUUUGACAUUCAAAUUUAAUAAGGAUACAAAUGUAAAAGUACAUAUUUUCAGCUUUUUAAGUUGAAAAAAACAAACAACUUAAUACUUGUUUUCCGAGAUUCAGACAAAAAAAUAAACAUAUUAUUCAGAUUCAGACAUUCAGAUCUAUUCAGAAUUCAGAUUAAUUCAGGUCUAUUCAGAUUUCAGACAAAAAACAAACGCCACCUUAGAGUAUAUUGAAAAAGCUUUGUCAAAUAGUAGUAAUAGGGGCAUAAGAAAUAAAUUAUAGCUAUCACAAAUUCGUUAGAAGAAUUUCAAUUUUUUCCAUCAAUAAUGGCUAUGAAGCAAAAUUACCUUAGGUUAUAUUGCAAUACUAAUACUUCAAAUCCUGAUAAUAAAUUUGAUGACAGUCGUUUUUAUCAUGGUUUUAACAGAUAUAAGAAGAGAAAAUUAACUGUUCAAACAAAUUAGAAGCAAAUUCUUUCAUAUCUUUCUUUUAUUUUUCCGCUUACUUUCUUAGCAUCCAAACAAGUUAAAGUUAAAACGCUGUUAGAGCCAACAAUAUGCAGGCAUCAAUAAGCAUAGUAGUUUUGUAUAUGUAUUCUAUACGAUAUUCUAGGGAUGUCAAUUGUAGAACAUUUUGUGGUAACUUUUUUACAUUAAUUAAUGUUUGAAGAACUUGUUAAAAAGAAAAUGGUAAUUUUAUCAUUUUGAAAGACAAAAAAAAAAAAAAAGAGUGAAAGUGGCGUUACCUCAUGGUCAUUAGAGACUUGUUGCAAUGAUAGCUCAAAAUUAAAAAUUUGUGAAGAAUUAGUAGACAACGACGAUACUAUAUUUAUACAGUCACCAACGUGUUGAUUUUUGUUUAAUGUUUGAUCGAUAGAAACUUUCGUCGUCGUCGCCGUUGUUGAAUUCGUGCUUAGAAUAUCACAAGAGAAGAAAAAAGGAUGAAAGGGAAGAGAAGAAGAGAGAAGUGGUGGAUAGCAAAUAUGAUAUGCUAGCUACACACAGGCCUUAGAGAGUUUUUUUUUAAUAUUUAUUGUAUUUUUGUUUUUGUUAUUGGUUUUUCAUAUGCUUCCAAGGCAGCAAUGCGUUACAUCAUAAAUUGGACCUUUUAGGGGAGGUGGUAAAAAACAUGAGAGCAAUGCAUUCUAGCGCAUACAUGCAGAAAGAGUUUCCAAAUUUUCAAAAGUUUUUUUAUUUCUUCCACCUUUUUUUGCUUAAAAUAAAUUUUAAUUGUAUUUUGCAUUAACUUAGAGAAAAAAAAAAUCCAGUUCUAUACAUAAACGCAUACAUUGAUUAGAAAAUGAGUUUUAUGGACACAAAGGGACAAUAUAAGAGAUUCUUUUUGUUUAUUAGAAGUAACAUAACUAGUUAGUGUAACAUGUAAUUAUAAGCUACCAAUAAUUUGCACUGAUGAUAAUUAACGGUAUAGAUUUUGAGCUAUGAAUGUCUUGUGGCUAGUUUAAUUGGAUUUUCGAGUUUUCAGCAGAUCUAUUUUAAUGAUUAUUAAAUUAUUUUCACUUCUUAUGCCUUAAUAAAAAAAAUCAAUAUUUUUUGUUGUAUUCUAUAUUUUAAAACUUAAUUUUUAGUUCUUUAUAUUGCAAACCAAACUGAGUCAAAUCGAGUAUGCUCUUCAAAUAAUUUUUCCAUUGCCUUCAAGAAGAAUUCAUUUUAUUUUUAUAUAUUAAUUUAACACUUGUAAACCGGGCCGUCAGAUUGCACAUAAAGCAAAUGAUCAAACCGUUACAAGACCGGCCCAGGCCCACCGACUCUAUUUUCUUUCAUUUGACCAUUAAAAAGCUUUUGGCCACCCCCACCAAAUAAAUAAGCUCUUGUUCUCUUUUGUUCCCUCUCAAAGGAAAAUAUCUGAUCACCGAAUAAUGAUUCCGGUGACAUAAAAGAUCGAAACACCCCCCUAAAUUCCCUAAAUUUACGAUAAUACCCCACCAUGGAUGAUUAUGUUGAAAUGCCGCCUUACGAUGAAAGGCCUAAAAAGGGUUUUAACUUCACCUCCAUGCGCUUGAUCUUAACCCUCGUUUUCCCAAUUUUAACUUGCUUUUUGUUGGCAUUUUUUAUUGGAAUCGUAGCUGUUUUAUUCGGCAAAUCAUCAGUUUCCAGUUCCAUUUUUGUCCCUUCCCAGUGCAAGAUAGUGUCCAGCAGUAAGCUUUUUUUAACAUUUUCAAUUUUUUCCAUUUAUGAAGUCCAAAAAUUUUAUUAAUUUUGAUUUUUUUGAAUGAUUUUGCAGGUGUUGAUAUAAGUUCAUCAAAAGUUUGUGAACUUGGGGUGUUGAAUUAUAAGGCGAAGCGUGUGUUUUAUCCAUUUGAAGCAAGUAAAUUUCGAUGUCGGUAUGAUUACUAUUGGGCUUCUAUCUUCAAGGUAUUCAUACAUUUUUCCCUGUACUAUAAGCUUCUCAGUGGCGUUCUUGUGAGCGGUAGUGAGCGGUGUGGCUGACAGCUUCUUGAAAAUUAUAAGUUUGAACAGAGCAUGUUAGAGCACCACCAAAAGCCUCUUUAAAUAAGAUUUUAUUAUUUAUUUAAAGAGUCACAUCAAUAUUGAAAGCUCCAAAAGACACUUCAAUUAAAAUUCUUCAAAUAAGAAUUGAUUCUCUCUCUUCAAAUUUGGAGAGUUAAUUUCUCCCUCUUCAAUUUAUAUUUUAUUACUUUUCAUUGAAGAAAUAGAGAAGUGCUUUAAUUGCUAUUGACUUUUCCUUUAAAAAACUAAUUAUAUGAUUAAAAUAAUAUUAACUUAUUUAUAUUUGAAGAGUCUUUUGGAGAAUAUCAUAUUUUUUUCACCCUUCUAUUUGCCACAUAAGUAAACAAAUAGAUAUUUAAAAAGUAAAAUUUAUAGAAGCUUUUGGAGAUGCUCUUAGACUUUUGUUGACCAAAUUCGAAAGCCAAAUGGCACAGCUCAGAAGCUUUUGAACUGAAUAACUUACUAGGAAGCUCCAAUUUUUUGUUGGCUACAGUAAAAGGAUGUUGUUUUAUUCUUCUUAUACUUUACGCUUGCAUCAGCUUAAAUCACUUCUUAAACGCUUUGCUUUAACUCCACUGCUUCGCUGGGGGGAUUUACCUUGGAACAAGUGGGGACUUAAGUCCCCACUGAAAAAAAAAAUUGUUUUAAUAAUUAAUUUGAUUUGCCAAAACUUCUCAAUAAAUUUUUCUUAAGCCCCCCAUAAUUUCUUUCAACAAGCAAUUGAUCUAAAUGAGUUAAUUUCUGUCAGUUGUAUCCAAAUGAGUUCUCUGCAAUUGAUAUCAUGGCACUUGAAAUUCAACUUGAUACAUAUAUUUUGGAUAUGCGCACUAGUGCGAGACUAAAAGACAUAAGGUAUAUCCAUUGGUUUACUUGUUAAUAAUAUUAGCAUUGACUUUACCCGUUGCCACUGCUAGUGUAGAGAGAGUAUUUUCAGCCAUGAACAUUUUGAAGAAUUGGUUAUAAAGCCGUGAGUAAUGGAUGAAUGAUAGUUUAAUUAUUUACAUAGAAAAAUACUUAUUUAAUAAUAUUGAUAAUGAACUUGUAAUGCAACAUUUUUAAUGUAUGAAAACUUGAAAGGACAAUUGUAAACAUAUAUUGAAGUAUGAUAAAUCUUUCAAAUUUAUAUAUUUAUUACUUUUAAAAUUUUUUUAUAUUGCCGUUGAAUGAGCCCCCAGUCAAUCAAUAUGUUGUCUUCGCCCUGCUUCGUACUCUUCUAUAUAUGUAUCGGGUAUGCAGUUGUAGUUAACGGCUGAGACUACGUGUUUGUUUGACGUGGUAGUAACGUUACGAGUCUGUUAAACAUUCGAUGAUUAAAGUAUUAUCAGUUAUUUCAAAGGGACAAAUAAGAUUAGCUACAACACACCCACUAGUUUUAUAAAAUUCGAAUGAGAUGGAAUAAAAUAAAAAAAUAAAUAAGUAAAUUGACUUUUAAUUUUAGUGGUUGAAUAUAUUUUGUAUUCUCUUAGGGCACUGCUGUAAUUAUUCCUUAAACGUCAGUCAUACCCACAUAUAAUAGACACAAGAAAUGAAAUCUAAAAUCACCUGUUUAGUUAAAGAAUCAUCAUGAAAAAAUUUUGCCAUUUUGAUUUGAAGAUCCACAUUUUGAACAACCAACUUAUGUUCAUCAAGAAUGGAUCAUGGCCUGUGAGUAGAAAAAUUAUUUUUGGACAAAUUAUUUUUUUUAAUAGAAGAAUUUUUCAAGGGACUAAUAAAAUUACUAAUAAAAAUGUCAGACACACCCACGUACCAUCGACACAAUUGACUAUGAGGAUCCAUGUUUUGAACUGCCACCUAAUGUUCAUCAAGAAUAGAAUAUGGCUCGUGAAAAGAAAAUUUUCUGAUUUUGGCCUGGAAUAAAAAGAAAUUAAAUUGAAGGAGAAUCUGCUACUUUCUCAUUAAGAAAGGCAGACAUGGUAUACCAUGGUACCAUACAAUAUAAAAAGUCUCCAUUCUCUGGCUUUUCAAACUCUGAAGGGGGCAAUAUUCCCCAAUUCUCCCGUGAAAAUUCUGAUUACGACAAUGUUCAUCGGUUGAUACAUAAGUACAAGUAGUGACAAAAUUAGGAAAAAUAUGACUCAUAAGUAAUUACUAGGCAGGGCUCUUGAGAGCAACAUUGUACUAGGCUUUAUAUGCAAACAUGGUGUGGUACAUAGAGCCCGUUGAAUUCCACACUAUAACACAAACCCAGAAAGACAAGUAAUAGCUCAACUGAUAUAAAGACAAAAAGAAGAUAAAAUGAUACAGAACAAAGAAUUUCUAAGAGACAGCAACAUACAAUAGACUGAAGCCAGUUGAUCUGCUCAUUGAUUGCAGCCUUAAACUUGCAAAUGUUUACUAUAGCCUGGUGCUCUAAGAAGUGAAAAUGAUGCAAACCUUGAUUCCCUGUUUACUUCCAUUUACCAUCAAACAUUCUAUUCAUAAGAAAAAAAAUGUUUAGAUAUCUUGCCGUAAAUAUAGCCAUUUGAUUGUCUUAAUAAAGCCACACACAACCAUUCAUAUUGAUCCACAUUGCCACAUAGCCUGAUUUAAGCAUACAACAGCUGAAUGUAUACUGACUCCUAACCUUAUCAAUACAUUGGCGACAACUUAAGACGAAAACUAUUUUUCCAUCUCUUUUUUGAAAUUUCACAAUAAAACAGCACAAUGUAAGAGCUGCAAUGAAAAUGGACCGUCUGGAACUAUGGCGGAAGCUUCAACUAGUGUAGUGAUUUGACCUUCUUAUUAACCUAGCGAGAUCAAACACUGCCGUUGAUCUUGAACAGAUCAAUACGAUACGCACAACUUAUGAUUGAAUCCAGAAACAAUCAAAUCUUUAGCAAGAAUAAUUAAUCAGAAUCAAGAAACAAGUUUAAUGAAUAUAAACCUAUAAUUGGAACAAACACAGCCAAAGAACCCAAGAAUGACACAACGUACACCAAGGGAGAAGCUUUCCAGUGAGAUUAUAUUGAUGAUCAAAGAAGAAUCUUUUUACAAAGCUAACAAAAGUGAUUUCAGAGAAUAAGCUAUGACCCUCUCUCUCUUCAAUCUCUGUCUAGUUUGUUAACAGUGAUGACCCCAAUCUGCUUUGUUAGCCAGCUUCAUAACUGCGUCAGUGACAAACUAGCAAACCCAGAUUGAGCAGACUAACGACACGUGCAUAACAGCUUUAACGAACUUGGUUAAAGAACUGCUCACAUGUUCGUCACGCGUGUAGCUUAAAUGAUAGCCAAAACGACUUCAACCAGAUGCCGUUUUGAAGCUUAUGAAUUAUAAGUGAAAACACGUGCUUGUCUCGUGACAUUUAAAUGCAACAACAAGCCCAAAACACUGCCGUUCCACUAUGUUGAGUUUGCCAUCUCCAAGCUUCACAACUAGCAACGGACAAGAUGAUAAUUUAAUUGACAUGGAGAGCUUUUAUAUCACUUUUACAACAUUCUAUAUAAUUGUGAUAUUGGUAAUCGUCGGUGUUGUAUAUGUGAACCCUCGUUGGCGACACUGGUGGUUUUAUCUUUAUUGAAAUAUGGAUGACUUUUCGUUACUAUUUUGUUGUACAUAACCUUAUUCACAGGAGAUUUAAUCAUUGAAAUUAACAUGUUAGUUUCAUUAGAAGGCUGAGUGGUUAGGGCUGCUACCCUCCAACUUGGAGGGCAAUAGUUUGAACCCACAAGCGCAAUGUGGGGGUAUUUCAUUCUUUAAUUACAUUGUAUAAUUGAAUAAAGAUAAUAUUCUCUCUUACCUAAGUGUGAGUGGAGUAGACAUCCUUCGAAUAUUAGUGAGGGUCAAAACUUGGGCAGAGCUCAAUAAGUAUUGAUAUAAGUUGGUCCUAAUAAUAGUCUGAUUUGUAAAUAUCAGUUAUAGUCUCAUGUUUCCUUCCUUAGUUAUAUUGUAUAAUUAAGUAAAUGUACUCUUUUCUCUUACCCAAGUGUGAGUGGAGUAAACAUCUCUCGAAUAUUAGUGAGAGUUAAAAUCUGGGCAGAGCUCCAUAAGUAUUGAUGUAAUUUGAUCCCAAUAAUAGUAUGAUUUGUAAAUACCAGUUAUAGUAUCAUGUAAUAUGAGUUGUAAUUUGAGUAAUAAUUUCAUGUAAUUACAAAAAAAAUGUUACUUUCAUUACUUUUUUCUUCGUUAAAAUUCUCAAGUAUCAAUUAUGUUUGCUUAAGAAAUAAAAUUUCAUUAUGAAAAUUGUAGCAGUAUUUCCGAGCACCUCACAUUUUCAAUGAUUUUUCAUAAAUCAAUUAAUCUGCCAUACCAAUAUCAGGUUUAGUUUUUCAGACUAAAUGAUCAAGAAAGCAAACAUACAAAUUCACAUUUUAGAGGGGUAAACUAGCUUUUAGAUUUUAGAACUAGGCUAGCUACCUCACCAAAUUCCAAUCUGUACAGUGAACUACAAGAUUAAGAAAAUAAUGUAUUUAUAGUUUAAUUGAAUCAUGAGAAAACAAUGUAGUCAUAGCUCAAUCGGACAUGAUCACGGAGAGGCAUAUUCUUUUCAAGUUAAUUUGAUCCAUUUAUAAGAAAUGAAGUGGAUUGAAGUUAAAAGUUCAAAUAACAAAUCCUUAUUCUUGAGUUUUACGACGUCGUUACUCCUUCAAGAGGCUGAUUAUGCAAGUGAAUGCGGAAACAGAAUGCAUUAUCCAAUUUCACUCAUAUAGAAAAUUAAUUUUUUAUAUAUACUAAUCAACACUAGAUUGAUUAUGUUUUGUAUGUUUAUAUGCUAAUCAACAAUAAAUUAUAUUAAAUGAAGAAAUGCUUCAAAAUUUUCUAAUUUAAUUUAGAAAAUCAAUUAUUAACAUUAAUAUUCCUAAUAAAAAUUAUUUUCCAUCGGUAUUCAAAAUUUUCACUUAUAGAAAAUGCGUUUUACGUGAAUACAAGUUAUUGUGUAAAUUUGAAUGAUAGCGAAAAAUAUUUUUUUUAAUAAUUGUAAAAAUAAUUAACCAUAACAAAUCCCUUGCGUAAAUAAUAAUCGUUAUUUAAAAGGUAGAAAGAUGGUUAGUGCACAAUCAAAUUUUAAGCCCCUACCUCCUCAGCCCAAGAUUCAAACUUAGAUGAUCAGCCAAAUAAAAGUAUUUGAAAAUCAUUCAAUCAGGUUCUCGGGGCAAAAAUACAAGAUCCUUAUUUGCAUGAUAUAUAUGAAUUAAUGUAAUUUAUUUGAAUUAUCCAAAUUUAUUAGAGAUAAAACUAUAAAAUAUACCAAAAAAGUUAGAAGGAAGGGUGUGUUGGGAUAUUUUACAAACUAUAGGAAUCUAGUGAGAUUUUGAGCCAAACUGUAGGGAGUUGAAGGCAUUUGCCCAAUAUGUUUAGACGUACACUAACCGUUAUUUGCUCUUGUUGUUGGUCCCGGAUGAGCUGUAGUCUUAUUUUAAUUUUAUUUAAACUCACCAUAAGAUUCGCGGAGCUCCUAACUAACUUAAAUGACUCUGCAGAGCAUGUCAACACAUAGCAUGUUUAACCGUUUUAUUUGUAGAAGAAUUUAUGAUUUCCCAUUAGCAUUAUUAUUGAAGUGGGGCGGGUCAAAUCUCAAUUGCUUGAAAAUUUUUAUUAUUAUUAUUAGUCUUGAAGUGGGGUGGGUAACGUUCGCUCAAUUCGAGGGGAAUCAAAUAUAUCAUCCAAGGUAGAAUUGUGGAAAAUUAAAACAAAAUAAGAAAUAUGGAAAGAAAAGAAGAAAGUUAAGAUAUGAAAGACAUAUACAGUUGAAAUUGAUAAUCAUGUUCCUAUUUUGUUAACUAAUCAAAUGGAAAGCUGAACUGUAAACAAACAUUAAAACGUGUGAACCAAGCUAGCUGUCCUACAAGUCUACAAUAAUAAUUGAGUACUUUGAUUCAUCCUUCUAUAAAUUUCUACCCAUAUUGACUCCACCGAAAUUUCCACAAAAUAAAAAAAAAAAAAAAACUGAAUUUCCACAAAAUGCAAAACCCGUAGAACUUAAUUUUUGGUCAUGUGAACUAAGAUGUAAAUUAAAGAAAAAGUAUAAAAUUAAAAAAAGAUAAGAUUUCUAAAAUGUGUGGAAGGUGAUUCAUGAUUCACUGACACUACUUACUCCAAAUAUGAAGAUAAAUCUAUCUAAUUUCAUUAAAAAUAGUUGGAAAAAAUUAACUAAUAGAAAGCUACGGAAAUUAACCCCCCACAAAAAUGACUUUUUAUGGAAGAAUUUAUGUUUUUUAAAAUAUGUUAUCAAAGUGUAUUUGAUCAAAUCUCAAUUGGUUAGUAUGGUUAGGAUUUUGUGAACAUCACUAAAAAGUGAAAAAUAUGAAUGAUAGGGGUGAUGCUUGCAAUAUGAAUAAAUAAUGGACUGAUUCAAUUGAUGAUUACAUUUAUAUAUUAUUGAUUAUUUAUGAAUUUUCAGACUUGUUAUGAUGUAUAACUAUGUGAUUUUGAAACUUGAAACCGUGGCAAACAUUGAAAGGAAUUAUAACUUGAAAUCAUGACUCACGGGGUAUGUCAUGAUUCACGUGCACAAAAAAGGUAGAAUUGUGGAACUUGAUAACCCAACGACAAAUGCGGAAAGAAAGGAAGAAAAUUAAAAGACUUGGGGCCUAGCCUGCGUGUAUAAAUUAUUAGAUUUCUUUCUAUUUUAUAAGCGUAACCAUCAAUUUACUCCAUAACAAUCUUUAAUUCAUUUCUUAAAGAGUAAUGAUAUAGCCACAAACUCUUGUACAAACUUAUUUUGUAUAAAUUGAUGUGGCAUGAUAAGAUUUGUUGAAUUAAAUAUUACUUGGCCCAUAUGAUUUGUUUUUAUUAUUUUAUAUUUUCAUUCAACCAAUGAAUUAAUGUCAUGUCAGUUUGUACAAAAUAAAUUUAUACAAAAAUUUGUGGCUGUAUCAUUACUCUUUCUUAAAAUAUCAAAACUUUAAUUUAUCUUUUAAAUAUCGUUACCUCUCCAUUGGUUUUAACAGUUAAAAGGGUAAAAUUAUAUUUGUAUAUUUUCUUGACUGUUAACUAAAUAAUAAAAGUCAAAAUUCAAUCUUGUUAUCUUGUUUCAAUCCUCUAUCAAUCAAACAAGAUUUCUAAAAUAUGUGGAAGAUAUUGCAUGAUUUCCUCAACGUACCUGGCCCGAACAUCAAGGUAAAUAUCUCUAAAAUAGUUGAUUAAAUCUCAGUUGCUAAGUAUAGUUAGGAUUGUGUGAACAUCACUGAAAACUAUGAUUGAUAGAAGUGAUCUUUGCAAUAUGAAUAAAUAAUUAACUGAACCAAUUGAUUUACAUAUUAAAGUUUAUGAAUUUUCGGACUUGUUGCGAUAUAAUAAUAGCAUAUGAUUUUGAAACUUGAAACAGUGGUAAAUAUUGAAAGGAAUUAAUUUGAAAGCAUGAUCCGUGGGGAAUGUGAUGAAUCGUGUUUACCAAAAAGGUAGAAUUGUGGAAAUUUAUAACAGAACGAUAAAUAUGGUAAAAAGGAAGAAAAUUGAAAGACUUGGGGCCUGGCCUGGGUGUAUUUUCUAACUGUCCAAUGGACAAAAUUAUAUUUGUAUAUUUUCUCAUCCCUAGGUUUCAUACAAUAGCUCAUUUCAUUUUUAUUUUUUAAAUAAUAGCCUAAAACAUCAUUCUAUUAACUCACUAUUAGUUGAAUGUCGUUUGUUAGUAAUUCAUUAAGGGUAAAAAAUCAUUUUCUAUCAAAGAGAAAAUUAGAAAAAUAAAUAAAAGUUGACAUAUAACUAAAAAUGAUUUGAUCUAAUCCCACUAAAUAAGAAAUACCAAAAAAGAUGAAAAAUUUAUAUUUCAAGCAAUUCUUUUUUCACUUAUUUCUAUUUUGGCAACAUGAAAGCCCUAUAAACCCUAGAUCUAAGUACUAAAAAUAUCACAAUUUUCUUAUUCAUAUAAGUAUACUCUCUAAUUGCAUUGUAAAAUGGUUUGAAUUAAAUUGAAAAUAAAGAAGAUAUUCAGCACAUGCAAGCACAUAAAAAUUGGUGGCAUUUUUUAGUUUUUCUUCCAAUGAUUUAAAGAUAUUGUUUUAAUUACAGUUUGUUCCUUAUGACAAUUAUUCAAUGGCGAUAUCAAACUAUAUCAUCGUUGAUUUUAUUUAAGAAAAAGUUAAUGAAUUUUGCAUAUUUUGUAGUGUUAUUUAAUUGUGUAAAAAAAAUUAUUUUAAUAUAGUUUGUAUCGCUUUAAUGAAAAAUCAUAUUUUGCCCCCAAUGAAUUACUAGUUAACGAUUUUACAUUAAUGGUGAGUUAACGGAAGGAUAUUUUAGGCUAUUGUUUGAAAAGUAAGGAUAAAAUGAGCUAUUGCAUUAAACUCUAGGGAUGAAAAAUGCUUUUUCCCCUUUCUUAUCAAUCAACUAUCUGAUAAAAGUCAAAACUCAUAUUUUUUUUUUCCUUGUUUCAAUCCCCUCUCAAUCAAAAAAGUUUCCUUGUCUAAGCAACGAGGAAUAUGGCUAGAAAGAUUGUUAUUAGAAAGAUUUAUCAAUAGUAAUUGGUUCACAACUGAACAUUUUUAGAUUAUUGUGAGUCAAUAUAGGUCCUGUUUGGGAUUGAAGUGUUGCAGUUUUUAAGUUACAACUGCUGUGGAAAAAAAAACUAUAAUUAUGAAAUAAAAGUUAAUAAUAUAUAAUAAAUAUAAAUUUUAACUAAUAAUUUUGAUAAAAUUAUUAAAAAUAUAAUAGAUUUUUCAUAAUACAAGUAAAAUAUCAUAUCUACAUAGCUUGCAAGGUACAACAGUUAGUAUUUACCAAAUAGUUUAGUACUAUUUGUAAUGUUGUAAUGUCGAGAGAUUACCCAACCAUUAUGGAAUCCUACCAAGAUGAUUGUUACCACUAAGAUAAAAUCCUUCUAGUGAACAACAAUCAGACAAAUUUUUUGGGGAUCUCUCUUACAAAGUGAUUACCAUCCAAUCGCAAUUUUGAAUGAAAAUAAUUUUUUUUUAUUGGGAGUUUGACCUUAACAUUAAAUUUAGACAAUAAAUUUUAACUUUCUUCAAUUAUUAAACAGAUUACAGACAUUUGACAAAUUUGAAAACACUUCAUCCAUCGAAAGUUCAAAUUAGAGAUGGAAGCUAGGUGCUACAGCUAAUGGGAACAUUAAUUCCUGUCCCUCAUCACACUUUAUUUUGGGUCUAAUAAUUUUACGGCAGCAUUGACCACUGCUCAAGGUAAGUAAAACUUACAAAUGUGUGGCAAAAUAAAUAAUUAAGUGCAUAAACUCUUAACUAAUUUUCUUGAUAUAUACAGCUAAGGUACUUGUUCCUUUUUUUUUAAAAAAAAAUGUUAAAAAAUUUCGGCUGAGCCUGCUUGUGGUUUUGAUAAAAAGGAGGGGCUGGCUUCAAAUAUUUGAAUAGGCAUCUCCGCCGUACCUCAAACAAAACUGUCAUUAUUAGUGUCAUGAAACAUGUUUCGGCCGUCAAAGUCAUGAGAGGGUUGAUGACGCUACUACGUAUGAUGACACACCAGCCGACAGUGUAGUAACAGCUCAAAAACAAAAUCUACCAAAAUCAACGAAAGUUAAUAAAAUUUUAUUUUAUUAAUAAAAAAACUUUUUAUUUGUGGAGAUAUGUGUAUUUGAGUCUGUGGACUGAAAUGGAAAAUAUGAAGACGUUCGUUGUGUAGAUUGACUUCAGUUGAACGGGUCUAACUGGUAUUUUAUGCUGACGUGGCACGAAUUAGUUAUAAUCUGUUAUAACGAUUCCAGAAAUAUCAGUAUAAAUAGAAGCUGAUGAGCAGUGCCUGUUGUACGAUCCUUUUCUUCUUCACUUGUUCGUCAAUUUGCAUAGCAUCUGUUUCAUUGUGAUCUAUGCAAAGUCUUCUGUAAAUCCACUUAUGUUUGAUUAGUUGUUGAUCAAUAACGAGAGUAAAUUUUUCCUUCAAAUCUUGCUGCUUCGUGCCCCUGUUUCAGUUCUGGUUUUUUUUUUUUUUUUUUUUUAGUUCUGGUUUCUUAAUUCAAUUGAAUUUCUUGGUGCUUAAUUCAUCAAGAUUCAGUGGAAUCGACUUGAAAAGGACUCAAUAGACUCAACAUUAUUUAACGACACUCUGACCGUGGAGUACCGUUAUAAUAAUCUGAUUUUAAGAAAAUUAUAACUUAUUUUAAAUAGCGCCACAAUAUAAUUCUAAAUAUUUAAAAGGAAAACAUUAAUGACAUUUUGUUUUGAAAAAUUCAAUUAUUAAACUCUCACGUUUCAUGUGUUUGAAGUUAAAUUAUUCAUUAACUAGAACUCUGUUCAAAAUUGACUGUCCUGUGUUCCCAAAUGUAGUUGCAAUAUUGAAUGAAAGUAAAAACUUUCUAUGGCGAGUUUAAAUCUAAAUCUGGACAAUGAGUUUUUAGUUUCUCAAUGCUAUUCUAAUUACAAAAAUUAUAUUGAUUGAUUUAUUGUUACAGUUACUAGCCUUUGAAAAUGGAUGGAUUUAUUGUUUCCGUGACCCAAUUAUGCCUGUCUAACGCUGCAACUACUAAAAAAUCUAAUAUUUAAUGCACAUGUUAAAAGAUUUAAAAUUUUAUGCAUUUAUUAAUUGUUAUAAUCUAAAAGAAAAUUAAUUCGUUCAGGUCAAUCUGAGUUGGUGCAUCUGCAGAGCCUUUUUCUUUUUUCCCCUUAUUGACCAUAAUGAUCUAAGGGGUAUAAUACGACCUUGGUUCUUGGUAAAAAUGACAUCUCCUUCAACAUGACUAUUGACUAGGAGCAUGUAAAAACAUGGAAACAGAAUUUCCACAAAAUGCCAAACGUGUGGAACUUCAGUUUUGGCCAUGUGGACCAAAUGCAAAUGAAAGAAAAAGGAUUUUCCCAGCUAAUGUACAAAUAAAUGAACAACCUUGAAGCCUUAUUAUUCGCAACAAAAAGGGAUUACUAAUUGGAGAAGACUACACACAGUUUCUCUCACACUUUCUCUCUGUCAAUUUCAUCUAGAAGUCCCUCUGAAAGCAUCUCCCAAAACAGUUAGUCAUCUUUUAUUCUCUGUUUUCUGGAAACAGAGUCCUAACUAACUUAACUGACUGUACAGAGCUGAUCAAGAAUUCUGUUUUGUUAACUAAUCAAUUGCAAAUCAUAUAUUAGUGUUGAACGGUGAACAAAAUUGAAAAAAAAAAAUUCUUAAAAAACGUGUGGACUCGGAUAGCCAGACCAGAAAUCUAUGACAAUAAUUAGCUUUGAUGCUGGGAAUCUUUUAGUUUCUGGCCGUAUUGACUCCACCAGUGAAGUUUUUAAAAUAACAAGUUCCCAUUCUUCGUUUUUUUUUUUUAAAUGUGCUUAUAAUAAUUUUAGAAUAGUGACUUAUUUGUAGAAGAAUUUAUGAUUUUCCAUUAAUAUCAAUAUUGAAGUGGCGUGGGUCAAAUCUCAAUUGCUUGAAGAAUCUAUUUAUUAUUAUUAAUAUUGAAAUGGGGUGGGUAACGGACCAACGGUUCACUCAAUUAAUAUGUGGGGAAUUAAUUAAAUAUGACCAUCAAAGGUAGAAUUGUGGAAAAUUAAACCAAAAUGACAAGUAUGGAAAGGAAGGCUGAAAGUAAGGCAUGACGAAAGUCUUUGAGAAGGCUGAAGACCACCAAAGAAGUCAACUGAAAGCUAGCUGGGGCCUGGUAUGUAUGUUAGAUGUGUUUGUUAUAAAUAACAUAGAGCCCUUUUGUUAUUUAUAGUUAUAGAGAAAGAGAGAAUGUGUGUUUUUUAAUAGUUAGAGAUAUAGCUAGAAUGGGUGGUUCAAAAUCCAAAAUGGUGACGAUGUUAGUUUUGGGGGUAGAGUGAGGGAUGUUUGGAGCUUGAGAGAUUUGCUCUUUUGCGGCUUAAGCAUUUCUUCAAUUCUCCUUAUAGACUUUAAAACUGGGUAGACGAGCAAAGAGGUUGUUGUCAGUGGGAAACCGUUGAGUGCAGCAAAGUGAAAUUAAUUUCUCCCUAUUCUUAGUCUUACCAGGAGUAUCGAUCUGGGAGAGUGGUAUCUGAAUGCUUCUCUAUUUACUCCCUUUCAACAAAUUGGCAACAAAAUAGCCGGUUGGGUUAAGAACGAAGGUCCUUCACUUAAUUUAAUUUACUUAAUUUAAAUUAAGAAGAAGUUCCGUCAUCAAUAGAGUGCCUAGCUGAUCGUAAAACGUUGCGUUUGAGUAAGUGCACGAGGCUGAAGAGGCUUUCCAUCAAGCAUUUGUAAAUUGAAAUCUCUUCUUGAGCUUUAUCUCUAUAACUGCUCAAACCUUGAAAGUUUUCCAGAAAUCAUGGAGAAAAUGGAACGUUUAAAGAUAUAAAUUUAGCAAGGACGGCCAAUUACAGAGCUGCAAUCUUGAUAGCCUUCGGGAUUGGUAUCAUUUUCAAGCAAUUUUCUCAAUGCAGAGGUUUGGUAUCAUUGCCUCCAAUAUUAUUGUCAGGUUUAGUUUAUCGAAUUUGUUACAGCUAAAUUUAAGGGACUCUGCUAUAAUGGAAAUUCCCCAAAAUAUUGUUUGUCAAUCCUCAUUGAAAAUUUUAAAUCUAAAGACUUGUUUGUUAACUAAUUGAAGUAUGUAAUUAAUGCUUUGUUUUUGUAAUUUAUGUUUGAUUUUGAGAUAUUUACAUUUGAAUAAAAAAGUAAACUUUUGUUACAUUUAUCUAAAUUAAAAAAAAAAAGGCUAAAUGAGAAGUAAACUAUGUUCAAGCAAUUUUUUAUUUAUAAAAAUAAACCAAAUACUACUUAUAUUCAUAUAUCAAAAAAUGAAAAACAAACAUGUUAUUCAUAUGUUCACAUACAAACUUAUUCGAACCUCAGCUAAAUACAAAUCCAUUUUGAUUUCAAACAAAAAAAAAAAAACUUCGUAAGUGGGAAUAACUUUGAGAUUUGACUUGCAAAUGUCAAGCAACUUGCAAGGCUAGAAUAUCUUGACUUGAACGGUUGCAAUGAUUUCUCAUCAUUGAGAGUUUAUCAUUGUGCUUCAUCAUCAUCAUCAUCAUCAUCAUCAUCAUCAUCAUCAUCAUCAUCAUCAUCAUCAUGAUUAAUAAAAAGGUAAGCAAUUAAGAGUCAAAUUAAACCACUUGAAAAUCACUCAUCCACGCUUUUGGGACAUCAUUCUGCUCAUUAUUUUUAUUCCGUAUCUUCAUUGUUUUAUUUGGUAAUUAUUACCAUUAGUAAAUAAAGGGAUUAGUUGAUUAUUGUGAACUAACUAAAUGGAGCUCACCCUUAAAUGUCGGCUUGUAUCAGGGAGGUGCCUUAGGGUUAAUAAAUCAACUAAUCCCAUAAAUUGUUGAUGUAGGGUCCUAACAAAUUAUUGCCGUAGAACAGCACACAGCUCGAAAACAUAUUUGAUCCACACAGUGAAGAUGAUUCAAUAUUAAGCAUGUCAUAUAAUCUGGAGUUGGAUAUUGGAUCAAUUUGAUGAUAAUGAGUUUCUUUCAGUCUCAAUCUUUAUCUUCUUCGCAACAUGACUAGCCAUUGCGCAAAUUCAAACUCUGACAAUGAUUUCUCAAUCGCUUUCUAAGACGAUGAGCACGUAUGUAUAUAUAUGUGUGUGUGCGCGUGCGCACGUGUGUGUUUGUGUAUGUAUAUAGGGAGAGAGAGAGAUAUCACACGUGUGUGCUUUCCUUUUGUCAAUAAGAUAUGCAGAGAGCUUAAUAAUCAUAGAUUAGCUUAUAUCCUUCAAACCAUAUGCUAUGAAGUAAUUUCACAAACACUUGUUGAAUGUUAUUGAAUCAGUAGUUCACAGUUCAAUACAAUGUAGGUUUCCUAUUUGAAGUAAAUGAUUAUGGUGUGUGCAUUUUUCAUAAAGCUAACAACUGAAUUUACCAUUGAAACUUGCAAAAUGUAACAGAGAGAUGCAGAUAGCAGCCACGAAACACUAAGAUUGAAAAUCAGGACUACUGAAUUCUAUUACAAGCCCUUAAAAUAGACAACAAUCAUCCUCAAAUGUAUGUACUGAAAAUAAGAAAUAUUAAUCGUAAAGUUAUGCAUUAACAAAACUAUUGACUACUUACCUUUAGCUAUAUGUUUUUAAUUGUAGCUCCCUACUUUGUUCUAAGAACUAGGCAAAAGUAGCAUAUCUUCAAUCCAAUCAGCAUAUAUACCGCUCAUCUUCUCCAGUUCUUUCCACUUUGAUUUGCAUUUCAUACCCUGCACUUGCUGCUUAGAAAUAGUCAUAGUUUGCACAUUGACAGUAGAAAAAGUACUUGAAGCAAUCAUUGGCAUAGCAUGGGAUUCCAUUGAGUCGCGGUCUCCAAGCUUUCAUGGUUCUGUAAAGAAAAUGACAAAAACAUCAUGCUAUUGGCAUUCUACUUUUAGCAAUUUUCCACAAGCUGAGCUAUUUCAUAUCUCUCUAUAAAUUAUGAUCGAUGAGUGGACCACUGAUGCAUGCAAGUUUAUUAUCACUUGUAACUGCUGGUUCAACCUUCAGAUAAGUUUGUGAUAAAGGCAUCUAUGAGUACAAUGGGAAAAUUACAUGAACUUAUGUUAUCAAUCAUUGUUUUGCCUUCUCGUGAUAGAAUUCUGUGCAACAUAAAACAUGAUAUAUUUGUACCUUACCAUGCCAUGUCGUGAACCUAGAAGCAAUGCAAAUUGCAAGGAACAUAUUAAGCUAUCUACUGUAUAUAACAAAUUCUUAUUAGCCCACAAUCUUGUGCCGCCACAUUGAUCAAGUAACACUAUUAUAUCAUUUCCAAAAUGGCAUAUAUAAUCUAAUGUUGAACAAACCAAAUUGGGAAUCAUCAUUCCUUACAUUAAGCUGACAUUCGUACCUGCUAGUCCAUGAGCAAAGUUGCUUAUAUUUCCACACAGGCAGCUCCCCUUAUCUCUCGGUUCCGACAGAGCUUGGUUUUCCCAUCACCAGCUUUGGAUUCAUUCGAUCACUGAUGCUCCGAGUUAGCAAGCCCCUUGUUGUGUUCCCAUUGAACAGACCCACUUCUGUUAUCCACAGAAGAUCCACCACUCAAAAUGCUUAUCACCGAACUAUUCCUAAACUGAAUAGAAACUUCCGCACAUCUCUCGGCAUUUACAUGAAGAAAUCGACACCCACCCCCAUAUUUGCAAGUUUUCUGAUAAUAGAACGGUCUACAAAGCUGCAUUUCGUUAGGCAAUCUAAUCUCUCCAUUCCUAGCAAAGUGAUAUUGAUUCCCGUAUUUGUAAUUGCCUAAUUGGGGUUUUGGCAAUAGCCUGGUCUUAAAAUUACCACCCAUUACUUUGUUCAAUGCCACUGGCAUCCUCUGAUUAGGAACAUUUUCACAAUUUUUAGCCCUGUUAGUCGAAUCACAUUCAACGGGAUAGUGAGGCAGUAUUUCACUAACAGAUUCAAUUUGACUACUCAUAUUGAUGCACAUAUAAGAAUUUGAAAUCACUUUCUCUUGGAAUAUUUAAUGACCCCUGAUGAAAGUUCUUGAAUGGAAUUAUUUAAUUUGAUUUGAUUUCCAACAAAUUCAAGAAACCCCACAUAGUAGCUAAACAAAAAUCAACCAAUAAUACGCAAUGGGUUUCUUUCUUUUUGCCUUUGGAGGGCCAUGGAGAUCUGGAGUGGGCAGUAAGUAAUAGCCUUUAUGACUGGAAUGACAGAUUUGCAGAAGAUGAUAGCUCAAAACGCGUUGCUGUGGAAAAUUGUAGCAAAAUUAAAAAUUGGAAAGAAAGGGAAGAAAAUUAAUGCAUGAAGACUUGGAGAAAACAACCAAAUUAAUCAACUAUAAGCUAGCUGGGUGUAUAAAUUGUUAGAUGCAUUAUAAGCAAAUAGCGUAGAGCCCUUUGGUUAGUUACAGAGACAGACAGUGUUUGUGUUUUUUAAUAGUUAAAGAUAUAGAUAGAAUGGGUGUUUCAAAAUCAAAAAUGGUGAUAAUGUUUGUUCUGUUAUUAAUAAUAUUAGAAGGUGGGGGAAGUGAGGGAUGUUUGGAUCACGAGAGAUUUGCUCUUUUGCGAAUUAAACUGUUCUUUGAUGAUCCUUUUAAUUAUCUUCACGAUUGGAUAGAUGAUGAGGGAGCUACUGAUUGUUGUCAGUGGGAAAGGGUUGAGUGCAGCAACACCACAGGCCGAGUGAUACAACUAAACCUUUUUUUAAUUGGGAAUUGGGAUUUGGGAGAGCGGUAUCUGAAUGCUUCUUUGUUUACUCCCUUUCAACAACUUGAGUCACUUUAUUUAAGUUGGAACAACAUAGCUGGUUGUGUUGAGAAUGAAGGUGCUUCGUUUAAUUUUAUUAAAUUACUUGCUCUCUCCUAAUUUAAGUUGAAUAUCAAGACUGAGCAACUAUAUGCAUAUCCAUUCAGUUGACAAUUCUGACAUUUUUUUGAAGUGAUUAAUUAAUUUUUGAAAUUACACCAGCAUCUAUGAUCCUUUUUUAUGUUACUUGCAGGUCUAGAGAGGCUAUCAAAAUUGAACAACUUGAAGAUGCUUAAUUUAAGUGAUAACUCGUUCAACAAUAGCAUCUUAUCAUCUCUAACUCAUCUUUCAUCAUUAAGAUCAUUAGAUUUAUCUUACAAUAGAUUGGAAGGAAGUAUUAAUGUUAAAGGUAUGUAAUUAAAACGUCAUCUCUUCUCCCAACUCUUUCAUUAACUUGCUAAAAUAAGAUUCAAGGUUUUGAAUUCAAUUUUUUUUAUGAUUAAUAUUAAAGGAAAAAAAACAAUUUUAAGAAAUUCAUAAAUACAAGUUCUAAUGUUUCUCAUAAUUUCAUCUUGUACUUUCAUAUGUCUUGAAUUUAAGAUUUAAAAAAAAAAAAAAACUCUAAUAGCGAACCAAACACCUCCACAACUUAUUAUUAAUAAUAUUAUUAUUUUUUCUGUGAGGUUUGAAACAUUAAACUCAAUUUGUACUCUUUACAGAAUUAGAUUCUUUGAGAGACUUAGAGGAGCUAGACAUUGCCGGGAACAAGAUUGACAAAUUUGUGGUCUCAAAAGGUGCUACAAAUACCAUAAAAAAUCUAAACUUUUACAAAUUAGCUAGAUUCUUUGCCAUUUGGUUAAUUAUUUUGCAGGUUUGAGGAAGUUGAAGUAUCUCGGCUUAAGUGAUGUGGGAUUCAAAGGAACAUUUGAUGUUCAAGGUAAGUCUAAGCCAUAUGCUUUCUCAUUUGAAUUCAUUAAGGAUAUCAAGAUCAUCGACAAAAUUAAAACAUACUUUAUUUUACUUCGUCAAUCAAUUAAUUAAAUACUAUUUGGCUUGGCUUCAUCAAUCAAUUAAGUCUUAUGUCUAGGCAUGUCUGCAGAAUUUGAUUCCUUGAGCAGCUUAGAGGAGUUGGACAUGAGCCGCAACGAAAUCGACAAUCUUGUGGUUCCUCAAGGUAAACAAUUAAAAUAUUAUUCAAUUACAUUAAUUUAAUUCAUUUGGUUAGGGAAGGCCCAAAAGGUACAAAAAAUAAAGGAAUAGAGAAUUUAUAUUAUUUAAAAAACAGAAUGUAAUAAAGAUUUGAUUCAAGUUCUUUAAUCUUUACAGCGAUUGAAAAACGAUCUUGCUCCUUUCCCAAAGCAUAAAAUACGAAUUGACUCCUAAUUAAAUUAAUCAUUUAUUUCUCUCAUCUCUGAAUUUAAACAAUGAAUUUUGAUCUUCAAUCCUAUUCUAAUUAUUAUUAUUAAAUAGGUUACAGAGGUUUGAGGAAGUUGAAAAGCAUGUAUCUAUCGGGAGUUGGAAUUAGAGAUGGAAGCAAGUUGUUACAGUCAAUGGGAUCAUUUCCAUCCCUCAACAUUCUUCACCUUUCGGAUAAUAAUUUUAUAGAAACAGUGACAACUACUACUCAAGGUAAGUAAAUGGUACAGAUGUGGCCAAAUUUGUAAAUAAACUAUUAAUUAAUUAAUUAAUUUUCCGUAUUGUUGAUAGUGCUAAAUUUGUUGCUUCGAAACAGAGUUGCGCAAUUUCACCAACUUGGAAUACUUGACAUUGGACAAUUCCUCUCUUCAUAUAAGCCUUCUGCAGAGCAUUGCAUCAUUCACUUUGUUAAAAAAAUUAUCUAUGACUAACUGUAAAGUCAAUGGCAUCCUAAGUGGUCAAGGUAAAAGAAAAGUGUUGAUUAUGAAUAAGUUGUUAAUUAAUUAAUUUUGUUGCUCCUUGCUUCUAAACAGAGUUGCGUAAUUUCACAACUUGAAUAUUUGACAUUGGACUCUUCCUCUCUCCAUAUAAGCCUUCUGCAAUUGCUUGACGAAUUUAUUUAUUAUUAUUAUUGUUAUUGUAUUGAAGUGGGGUGGGCAAGGGUUCACUCAAUUAAUAUGUGGGGAAUUAAAUAUUACCAUCCAGCAUAGAAUUGUGGAAAAUUAAAGCAAAAUGAGAAAUAUGGGAUGAAAGGAAGAAAGUUAAGGGCAUGAAAGACUUGGAGAAGACCGAAGACCACCAAAAUAAGUUAUGUGUUUGUUAUAAAUAACAUGGAGCCCCUUGUUGGUUGCAGCGGCAGGAGACAGAGAGAGUGUAUUUGAUUAAUUAAAAUUCAAAAUGGUGAUAAUGUUAGUUUUGCUAUUAUUAAUAAUAUUAUAAGAGGGACUUAAACAUUUCUUCAAUUCUCCUUAUAAUUUUUGUCAAGACUGGGUAGAUGAUGAGGGAGCUACUGAUUAUUGUCAGUGGGUUGAGGUUGAGUGCAGCAGCGCCACAUGCCUAGUGGUAUCUGAAUGCUUCUUGGUUUACUCCUUUUCAACAAUUUGAGUCACUUGAUUUAAUAUGGAACAAUACAGCCGGUUUUGUUGAGAAAGGUGCUUCAUUUAAUCUAAUAAAUUUACUUCCUCCCUCCUAAUUUAAGUGGAAUAUCAAGAUUGAGCAACUAUAUGCAUAUUCAUUCAAUUGACAAUGUUGACAUAUUUUUUAAAAUGUUUAAUUUCGAAAUUACACCAAAUAGAUGUGAUCUCUGUUUUGAUUUUACUUGCAGGGCUACAGAUGCUAUCAAGAUUGAGCAACUUGAAGAUGCUUGAUUUAAGUGGAAACUCCUUCUACAAUAGCAUCUUAUCAUCUGUAGCUCGUCUUUCAUCAUUAACAUCAUUAGAUUUAUCUGAGAAUAGAUUGGAAGGAAGUAUUAAUGUUAAAGGUAAGUAAUUAAAACGUCAUCUCUUCUCCCAACUCUUUCAUUAAUAUGCUAAAGUAAGAUUUAAGGCUUUGAAUUUAAUUUUUUUAAUGAGUAAUAUUAGAAAAAUAGUUUUAAGCAAUUCAUAAAUACAAUUUUCAAUGUUUCUUAUAAUUAUAUCGUGUACUUUCGUAUGUCUUGACUGUAAGAUUAAUAUAUAUAUAUAUAUAUAUACUCUAACUGUGAAGCAAAUCCCCCCAUGACUAAUUUAUCAUUUUUUCCAGUUAAAAAUGAUAAAAUUUACCAUUUGUUUAUAUUUAUUAAUUAACUCUGUUUUAAGUCUUGGCGUCUUGGCGUGUUUGCAGAAUUUGAUUCCUUGAGCAACUUAGAGGAGUUGUCCAUGAGCUACAAUGAAAUCGACAAUCUUGUGGUUCCUCAAGGUAAACGCUUAAAAUAUUAUUCAAUUACAUAAAUUUUAUUCAUUUGAUUAGGGAAGACCCAAAAGGUACAAAAACAUAAUAAAAAUAAAUAAAUAAAGAAACAAAACGUGGUAGUAUUAUUUCGAAAACAGAAUGUAAUAAAGAUUUGAUUCUAGUUCUUUAAUCUUUACAAUGAUUGAAAAACUAUACUGCUCCUUUCUCAAAGCCUAAAAUACGAAUUGACUCCCAAUUAAAUUAAUCAUUUAUUUUGUUCGUCAUUUAUUUCCCAAAGCAUAAUAUGUACAUCCUAUUCUAAUUACUAUUAAAAAACAGGUUAUAGAGGUUUGAGGAAGUUGAAAAGCCUGCAUCUAUCGGGAGUUGGAAUUAGAGAUGGAAUCAAGUUGUUACAGUCAAUGGGAUCAUUCCCAUCCCUCAACACUCUUUACCUGAUGGAUAAUAAUUUGACGGAAAUAGUGACAACUACUACUCAAGGUAAGUAAAAAGUACAGAUGUGGCCAAAUUAUAAAUAAACUGUUAAUUAAUUAAUUUUCCGUAUUAUUAAUAAAGCUAAAUUCGUUGCUUCUUCUUUCUAAUUCUAAACAGAGUUGCACAAUUUCACCAACUUGGAAUAUUUGAGAUUGGACCAUUCCUCUCUCCAUAUAGGCCUUCUGCAAAGCAUUGCAUCAAUGUUCCCUUCGUUAAAAAAUCUGUCAAUGUCUCAUUGUGAAGUCAAUGGUGCCCUACGUGAUCAAGGUAAAAGAAAAGUGUUGAUUGUGAACUCACUCAAUGGUGUCCUAUGUGUUCAAUGUUUUUUUUUAUUUAUUUUAUUGUUUAAUGUUUCUGCUAGGUUUUCCUCAUUUUAAGCGUUUGGAACAUUUGUACAUGGAUUACGCGCGCAUUACACUCAACACCAGCUUUAUUCAAAUCAUCGGUGAAUCGAUGCCUACUCUUAAGUACUUAUCACUGUCAAAUUCUAGUCUUAGCACUAACAGCAGGACUCUUGAUCAAGGUUAAUGAGAUGCUCCCACCCUCCCCUCUUAAUCUAUAAUAUUAAUUUUCGAUUAAAAUUAUGAUUACACAAACCAAUCACUUCUAUAUGAAAGAAUGCUCUGCAUUUGUUAAUUUUUAUAUCGUACUGAUGGAUGAAUUAAUAAAUUUUCAGGCCUCUGCUCAUUGGCGCAUCUGCAAGAGUUGUACAUUGAUAAUAAUGAUUUAAGAGGUAGCUUGCCUUGGUGCUUGGCAAAUAUGACAUCCCUCCGAAUAUUAGAUGUUUCUUUCAAUCAACUUACUGGAAGCAUCUUCUCAUCUCCCCUCGCUCAUUUGACAUCCAUUGAAGAGCUGUGGUUUUCAUACAAUCACUUCCAAAUCCCAAUUUCACUUGAACCACUUUUCAAUCACUCAAGACUCAAGAUAUUGCAAGCUGACAACAACGAAAUAAAAGCUGAAAUAAUUGAGUCACAUUCUUUGACCCCAAAAUUCCAAUUACAAUUUCUCUCCUUGUCCUCCGGUUACGGAGAUGGUUUCACAUUCCCCAAAUUCCUUUACCAUCAACAUGACCUACAGGAUGUUUAUUUCUCACACAUAACGAUGACUGAAGAAUUUCCAAUUUGGUUGUUGGAAAACAACACAAAAUUAGAAUUUCUUUUUCUCGUCAAUGAUUCUCUUGCAGGACCUUUCCGAUUGCCAAUUCAUUCACACAAGAGGUUAAGGUUGUUAGAUGUCUCUAACAACAACUUGGAAGGCCACAUUCCAAUAGAAAUUGGAGAUAUUUUACCAAGUUUAUAUGUUUUCAACAUUUCCAUGAAUGCUUUAGACGGUAGCAUUCCCUCUUCAUUUGGUAAUAUGAACUUCCUCCAAAUUCUGGACUUAUCCAACAAUCAAUUGACUGGUGAAAUCCCUGAGCACUUGGCUGUCGGUUGCGUCUACUUGGAGUCUCUUGCGUUAUCAAACAACAACCUAAAAGGUCACAUGUUUUCUAGAAAUUUUAAGCUGGUAAACUUGAAAUGGUUACAAUUGGAGGGCAAUCACUUCGUAGGAGAGAUCCCACUAAGUUUGUCUAAAUGCUCUUCGCUAGAAGGAUUGUAUCUUGAUAAUAACAGUCUCUCAGGUAAGAUUCCACGAUGGUUGGGUAAUCUCACAUGGUUAAUACAUCUUAUAAUGCCCAAGAAUCAUCUUGAAGGUCUUAUUCCAGUGGAGUUUUGUCAUCUUCAUUCGCUUAAGAUUUUGGACAUUUCAGACAACAAUAUAUCUGGAAGUUUACCAUCUUGUUUCCUUCCUCUCUCUAUUGAACAAGUUCACUUGUCAAGAAAUAUGUUACAUGGACAGCUAAAAGAAGGUACAUUCUUUAAUUGCUUUUCCCUUAUGAAGUUAGAUCUUAGCUAUAACCAGUUAAAUGGUAGCAUUCCAAAAUGGAUUGAUGGGCUUUCUCAGUUAAGCCACCUUAUCUUGGCUCACAAUAAUCUUGAAGGUGAAGUACCAGUUCAACUGUGCGAACUGAACCAACUGCAAUUGUUGGAUCUUUCUAAUAAUAAUCUUCAUGGUGUUAUUCCUGAUUGCUUUGAUAACACCACACUUCAUGAAAGUUACAACAAAAAUUCUAGUCCUGAUAAGCCAUUUGAAAUGUCUUUUUCUGUCAGAGGCCCUCAAGAAAAUGUAAAAAAGAAAAUCCUUGAAAUUUUGGAAUUCACAACAAAGAACAUUGCCUACACUUACCAAGGAAAAGUGCUUAGCCUCCUAUCAGGACUUGAUCUUUCUUGUAACCAGCUAAUCGGUCAUAUUCCUCUUCAAAUUGGAAAUUUGACCAGGAUUCAAACAUUGAAUCUAUCACACAACAGCUUGAUAGGAUCAAUCCCAUCAACAUUUUCAGAAUUGAAGCAUAUCGAAAGUUUGGAUCUUUCUUACAACAAAUUGAAUGGGAAGAUCCCUUAUCAGCUUGUGAAGUUAAAUACAUUGGCUAUUUUUAGUGUGGCAUACAAUAACUUAUCAGGCAAGAUCCCAGAAUGGACUGCACAAUUUGCAACCUUCAACGUGAGUAGCUAUGAGGGAAAUCUUUUUCUUUGUGGAUUGCCAUUGCCCAUUUGCAGCCCACCACCAACUAUGCCAAGGGCUUUAACUAGCAAUGAAGGAGAUGAUAAUUUAAUUGAUAUGGAUAGUUUCUUUAUCACAUUUACAACAUCGUACGUAAUUGUGAUAUUUGGAAUCGUCGGCGUUCUAUAUGUGAAUCCUUAUUGGCGACGUAGGUGGUUUUAUCUUGUUGAAAUGUGGAUAAUUUCCUGUUAUUAUUUUGUCAUAGACAAUCUUAUUCCAACAAGA